rnacentral:lncRNA from 1 species
UCUUCUUCGUCUUCCUCGAAAUCCUCUUCAUCGUCUUCCUCCUCUUCCUCGGCAAGGGUCUCCGGUGGCAUGGAAGAAGCGGAUUGGUCAGGGCUCUGGUAAGGCCCUUGCUUCUGCACACUCCAGUACAUGAUGCUUGCAGUAAGAACCAGGGUCAUCUUUGGAUUUACCUGCCACAGGAGAAAUGGAAAGCACAGAUUACUGCCUCAGCUUUUAGGUCGCUCCUACUACGAAAUGCUGGCCAAGCUAGAUUAUCGCGAAAACCGGGAUGAAAUAUCUGAGUUUGUUCAGUGAAGUUUUCGGUUUCGCCGGGCCAGCUGAAGAUGUCCGGUCAUUUUCAUUAGAACAGGGGAGAAAAAACAAGGUUCACCAAGGGUUACAAGCAAAACAGUCAAGGCUACUAUUCUGUGAAAGCUUUGAAAUUUAUUUUUCUGCAUACUGUCAGCUACUGCCGUAGAUCUAGAACCAAUAAACCAGUUUCGCUGUGUUUACCUCCAUUAUGUCCUCUGGCAACAAGAAGACAGUGCAUCCAAGCUUCCUAGCAACACUGAUGAUGUAUGUGGCAUUCAGUUUCUUCUCCUCAUCUGUACCCAAAAAAAUAAAUGAAUAGGCAAUCUUGAAGCAACAAAAGUUAACACGAUGAAAAUCUUAGAUUGAAACAAGAAUCAUAUGCAAGGUCAAUGAUACACACCAUCCUCCCCCUUCUUGACCAAACUCCAGUCAACAUGCCUGCGUUGGACAGCACUCAGAAGCUCAAGGAAGAACACCCCAUUUGCUAUGCUCUUGUCCUAGAGAAUCAAUGUGUAGUACUGUAAGGGGUCAGCUGAUGAAACAAUUACUAAAAUUAAGUGAAAAGGAAAGGUUGAUGAACCUUGAAGCUUUCAAUAUGUGACGUUUUGCCUGAUUCUUUGACCUUGUUGUUUGCCCAAAUGAGAAUAUCAGCAUCAGUUAUCUCUUUCUCUUUGGAGUGGGUUCUCAAGUUUUUUAGCAAUUGUAGGAUACUGGUCCUCAUGAGUUGCCACAAGAAAGCUAAAAAAAGAAUUAAGUAAACAUCAAGAAAAAAAUUCAAUUACAAACUCAAAAGGUACCAACUCUAUGGAUUCAUUUUAGGCAACUAUAUUAUAUCAAGUAGUUUACCUAGAAUUAGCUUCUUAUUUCCUUGAACAAUGUCAUUUCCUGCUACGUUCACCAGAGAUAAUUUCAACUCUUUUCCAAUUUUGACAACUUGGUUGCAGUUCUCCACCUUUCUAAAAGGCAUAAUGAUUGGUGGUUUAGAAGCUUGCUUCCAAUUAACUAUUCCUGGAGAAAUCUUGUCAAGAACCUCUAACAAGACCCAUCUGUAAAAACACUUCCUUUAGAUAUCAAAAUAUAAAUCAAGAAAAGUUACAGUGUAGUUAAUGAUGAGAGAGGCUUACCCAGUCCUUACAUCCUCAAACAAAUUAUUAACAUAAGUUGCAAUUCCAAGGCUGUUGAUCCACAAGCGAAACGCUCUCUCUUCCUUGGAUGCUUCAACAUCAUCAGGAGUAUCUUCAACAACAGGAGCUACAUUGUUGUCGGACAGACCAUUUCUGCAAUUAUUUCAUAUUAUGCAUUAACCAAGGGGAAAAUUCUUUUAAACAUAUAUGUUACUGCAAUAGAAAACGUGUCUAACUUCUUUGUGGUUAAGACAGAUAAAAGGAUCAAUUACUAUAUACCUAUGUAGGCCGCGUUCGGCAUACCCACCGAUUUAUCCAGAUUUCUUCGUUUUUUCACAUGCACGCUUACCAAACUGCUAAACGGUGUAUUUUUUGCGAAAAUUUUCUAUAUGAAAGUUGCUUUAAAAUAUCAUAUUAAUCUAUCCUUAAUUUUUUAUAAUUAAUAAUUAAUUAAUAAUAUACUAAUCUAUUACUACGUUUUCCGCGCGGGAUAACUUACCCUCAUAUUCUACACGCCGAACACAACCGUAGUGUAGUUAAUAUCAUUUCUCUCUUCUCUCAUGAAGACACAUCACCUCAAUUGUUUCUAGCCCUUGGAAGAUUAAUCUAUGGUCAAAAUCGUCUCCUUCUCAUGAAACCACAUCAUCUCAAUUAUUUUGGCAUUUGAAUAAUUCAUCUAUGGUUCAAAUUGUCUCUAUUUACUCGCAAACCACAACAUAUCAAUUGUUUCUAGCUUUUUUUAUGAUUGAUCAAAAGUGGUCAUAUCAUCUAGCUAUGAAGAAAAUUUACUUUGCAUCUCAUUUCUACCAUUGUCAUACAAUAUUACCGCAUCAAGGGAAGGGGUUUCGUGAGGUGAACAGAAUGAUUGUUGAAAUGAUCGGUUCACUGCACUUACCUGUGCUGGAAUAUUUGGGCAACAAAGGCCAAGUUGAGAUUUGCAGAACCCUCCACAAUAUCUUUAGGCGUUACAUAUCUAGUACACUCGAGCUUUUCUGCAGUUUCAAGAACUUUCUUUGCCCUUUCAUUAGGAUCUGAAGUUUCUAUCAUGGGUGUUGAGUUAAGUUCAGGAGCAAGGGUGCUGAGAAGGUAAGCGUAUGCUUCACCAUCCUGCAAUUACACUACUCAUAAGAAACAAAAUAAUGAAACCAAAUAUAAAGAAGUUUUUCCAUUUUAUUAGCAAUUUCUAGAAUGUGUUGAUGAUAUAUCUCUUUAAUAAACAUGGCAUAACAGUAAAAUGAUUUCUAAGCUAUAAGAAUACGUUUUGAAGAUUGUGCAUUGUCCAGGUCCAUUUUUAAAAAGUAUAUGAUAAAGCAUAAUGUCCAGAUUUACAAAUAAAAUUCUACUAUGAUAUGUACAUGCCUUAACAUCAGUAGAGAAGUUCGUCACAGUUUUCUUGUACCCUGCUUUCUUGAGAUGGAAGUUCAUCCAUUUGAGCAACAUCUUAUCUGGUGCUAAUGUGACCAGCUCCUCUGCUUCCUGUAUAAUAUCAUGGCAGCAUAUAAUCAGAUUUCAGGAAAUCCAUGCACGAACAGUUAAGUAAUUGAUUAUUCAAAGUUCAAACCCUGCUAUUGUCAUCAGCCACCAACUCUGCCAACUGAGGUGUCUUCUUUAAAUUCAGAUCAGCUAACAGUUGUAUCUGAUAAGUGGAAAGCAUAAUAAAUGACCACCAAAUUUGAUAUCAGAUUAUGUGGCAUAUGCCUCUUUGCUGAAUUUUCUAUUUAACAUUUGAGAUAGUAAUGGCAAUUAUAGCACACAUACCUUUAUAAUUUGGGAUAACAGACCAAGAACUAGAUGGGGCUACAACAAAAAAAAUAUUUCAGUGCUCAAAAAACAAUGUUAAUGAUUCAGUUAUACUCCCCACAACAGAGUCACAAAACUUGUGUUUUAGGCAUACAUCAAGGCAAGCUUUAAAACUUUGAGAAUGAAUAUUUAUAGCAUUUGGAUGGAUGUAAGGAAAUCAUCUGUAGAUUUUAUCCUGGAAAACAUUUUGAUGAUAUCUUAAUUUAUCGAGUUUUAUGAAUGCAUCGCAAUAGAAAUCAGUGGUCAAAGUUGCUUUGAAAGGUGGUCCUCAAAUGACAUGGUUUCAUAACAUGAGGGAUCGACCGAAUUAAUUAUCCUCAUCGAGAAACUUUAUUUAAUAAAGUAAAGUAGAUAAAGCACUGAUAACUUUUGAAGUCAUCGAAUAAUCAGUUCAUACAAUUCAGUUGCCUACAUUGUAUUUAAAGUUAUGCCAGCCCAAAGAAAAGCCUAAUUAAAAAACAUGUUUUUUUCUUGAAAAUCAACUAGACUUCUCUACUAAUUUAUUAAUUUAGAUGGGAACAUGAGCCACAAGCAUACAGUGAGUUGAAUAAUUGAAUGGUAAAAGGUAAAUUAUUCAAAGUUUUCAAAUCUUUGUCGAAGAAAUAGUAACAGAAAAGACGUACUCUAGCUUCAAUCAAAUCCUGUGUGCCAAUGUUAACAACUGUGCAGCCAAUAGCCUUUGCAGAGUUAAGACAAAGGGUGUGAUUCUCGUUCCUCUCCCACGGAUUAAGGUCCUUCUUUGUAUUGAUUGCUCUCUCAUCGAUUGUGCCCGGAACAGCAACGUUGAUCAAUUUGCUGAUUUAGUAUAAGAUAAGGCAACAAUUGCCUUAGAGAACAGUUAAUCUUAAAUCAAAAAGAAGAAAAUAUUGUAGCACUAAAAUACUAUAAAUGGACACUGAUAAGAACAAACUAACCAAAGUAGCACACCAUCACGGACAAGAUUAAAUAUUCCAUUUGAUGCUGGAUCCAAAGGCAAGAAAUUCUUCAGGAAAGUAUCCUCUCCCAGGAAAUUGUUGAUAUGAUUGACAUAAGAAGUUUUCUCAGACUCAUUAAUGACGUGCAUGAGAGUAGUUGUUGAGGCCUUCAAAAAAGAAACAGAUCCCUUCAGUUUCUUUUUGCCACCAGUUUUGCUGGCCCCCUUUGCCUGAAGAUUUAAGUACUCCUGAUAUAGUGCAAAAUGGACCGUCAUUGAAUUUAUUUCCCGAAUGUAAAUGAACAGCUAGAAUCAAUAGUAUGCAAGCCAAGAUAAACCAUUGUACCCUGAGGAAUGGCUCGAACUCUAUUGUUUGAUUCAUAUCAGGGUAAGACUCGCGCAAAAAUUUGCUAAUCUCUUCCUCGGAUAGAACCUCAUGGAUGCCCCUAAGCUUCUCCAUUACCGGUGGCAAAUCUUUUAUAGCUACAUGAUCAGCAUCCGAGUUCUUCACAGACGCAAACUACAAAAGUGAAACAUAAGAGAUAGCAAUGUGAUUGGACAGUUAUAGAACGACAGAAUUUUUCACAUGGGUGAAAAGUUCCCCCAGGUGCUCACUUUGGUUUUGAGAGUUCGUAGCUGCACUUGGGUGAACUGGCUCUGAAGCCAUGGGUCGGAGACAAGAACACCAACGAAGCUAGACAUUGCCUUACAAAUUCAGUGUAUUCUUGUCCCUGCUUAUUUCUCGCACCCCCUCCUGAAUUUUUGCAGACCUGCAAAAGCCCUAAAUCGAUAAGCCUGGGCACACCACUGAGGCAUCAAUCCCUUGUAAAUCCAGCAUAAUGUUCGUAACAUUCAUCAAAACAGAUAAAUGAAGAAAGAUUAGGAGGAUAGAACAAAUCAGCACCAACCUUUUUUCUAUCAAAAAGGGGGCAGAUUUCGUUUCCUCUUCCUUCCUCCAGCUCCCAAAAGGUAUUCACUCCAUGCGAUUCCUUCCAGCUCCCGAGCAAACCCCAAGAAUGGAGGGGAGGCGGGCGUGUGGUCGGAUCGCGGGAAGCCAUAGAAAGAAAAAGGGCUAAAAUUUGUGCGCGGGGAAUUAACCCUGCGAGAGAAGAAGCUAAAAAGGCGGCUCCUUUCUUGGUCUCCCGCAAACGCCUGGAAUAGCAAAAGCAAGAAAUGGCCAAUCUUAGAAGAUGGAAACUUGUAGUAGUACUCGACACUGACUCCCGCAUCGUCUACUCCUCCUACCAUCCACCAUGGCGAUUGGAGUGGAGAAGAACAAACAGAGCAGAUCAACAGAACACCAUGGUUGCGAACACGACUGGCAUCCAGGGUUUCGCUUAUCGUCCGUGGCAGUGAUAACACGAUUAUCAGCGAUAAUCACUGUAAUUACACGAAAACCGCAUAUAUUUGAAUUCAAAAACUUUAAAUAAAAUUAUCAUGGUUUUAGGUGUCAAACUGGUAGCGAUUAUUCGUCACAAUUUUGGUGGAAAUAAUAAUAGUGGCAUCAGGAGGAUAAUCGAAGCGUUUUUCGUGAUAUUGAUAACCGUGGUUUUCAUGUGAUAUUUUGUGAUUAUUAUAACAUAUCACCAUAAUUCUAUUAUAUUUUUCUUUUAUGUUUAUUUUUUUUGAAUUGAUAUUGAUCGAAACCAAACCGUGGUUUAUGGCCCUACGGUAUAGCUGAUUUAUCUUGAUUAUCACCUUCAAAUCGAGAUAUUGCAAACCUGCUUGUAUCUGGUGUGACAAGGACCGAUAAAAAACAUAGAAGUGUAGGCUUCCUCUGUUCAUGGGCCGGGCCUCGGCGGAAGAUGAGGAGCAAAUGAGCAGCAACCAUGCCACCCUUUUUUUUUUCCUUUUUCUUUUUCUUUUUUUCUUCAGAUGAACUACUCCGUUUAUUCAUGUGUGUACUUUCUUUGGAUGUUCGCUUAUUUUAUUUUCGUAAGCGAGGAACGAAUAAACUCCAUUCAGUUUCUUUAUAUGAUAAAAUUGUAUCUAGCAUUUACAUCUAAUAUAGGUCAUGUUCUUUUUCUCUACAGAUUUUGGAUUCUUCACAAUCACACGAAACCUAGAAAUCGAUCACUGACCCAAUUUGACUACCUCUACGGGAUAGACAUCAACAGAAAACUGUUGAGUAAUGGCAGCAAGUGAUUGAGUUCAGUAGUUCCUCAUAGAAAAUUAUUGACUCUAGAUAUAUGGUAAUAUGGAGAAGGUCUUACUCGUCUAAACGGUGUGUUUCAUACAACAAUCUAUAUAUAAAAGUUCUUUCUCUGGUGUUUUUUAGCAAAUUUUUAACUUUGCAGUAGUUAUUCGUUUGUACCCUCAAAUAACUAUAGAAAAUCAAAUAAUUCAAAAUCUUCUAAAGUUUCAAAUGGAGCCAUACUAUGUACGAUCAGAAGUGUAUUCCUGAACAAUCUUUUUCCAUUCGAGAAUGCCUGAAAAAAAAAAUGCUUCCCCGCAAGUCAUGCCCGGGCCUAAGAAAUGCACCAGGCCCAACAUUGGUACAACUGGGCCUGCAAAAAGGCCUGCCGUAUCUAGCUUACUAAUAUUCCGGAAAAAACGUUGCUUUAGUUUUAUUAUUAAUUAUUAUGGGAUCAAAUAAUAUCUUUGGGAUUUGUUAAAAGGGAACUUAGUUUUACUUUAUGAGAAAUUUAAUAGUAUGCAUCUAUUCAUGUUACAGUAAGAUAAUCUAAAACUUUAUAUUUUAUCUGAACUCAUAUAUAUGCUAAUAAAUCUAUACACAUGCAGAUCAUAUAUAUUAAUUAAUGGAUAAAUCUAACCAUGACUAGAAAUUAAUAUCGUAUGAAACAUAGGGAGUAGUUUAUAUUAAACCAAACACACAGCAUGUCUAUCUCCCCUUUACAAAUUUGGAUGCUUCCAAAACUUGGCCACAUUGACAAUACCAAGGGCGGAGCUACUCUAUAGGCAGAGGGCGUCCAGAAACCCCAUUCACAAAAAAAAUUGUUAGAGUUUAUCUAUUUCUGCCAUAUAUACAUCCACUCAAUUUAAAUUUGGGGACUUGCAACACUUUUAAGUCCAAUUUAAAACACUAAAAAGUAAUAUUUAGUACAUUUUAUAUUUUGUUUUAGCUCCGUCAUAAACAAUACGGAAGUCUUUGGCAGUGUACCAAUCCAAAACGACCUCAAAAUAGAGUGCUCGCCCAAUAUCGACUAGUCCUAACAUUGCUCCUCUGUCUCUUUUCUCCCCGUGCUACCAUUUCUGUCGCAAAGACAAAAAUGACAAUUGGGAUCACAUCACUUUAAAUAAUUACACCACUUUGUGACAAGAAUAUGGGUGCCACAUUACCUUAGAUGCACAGGAUUGGCACGCCCUACACGAAGAACAUGAAGGCAAGCAAGAUGUUACAUUUGUCAAAGUUAAAGAAGGAGAAUAGUUGAACUUGAACCCUAUGAGUUAGUUUUACGUUCUCCGUCGAGAACGAUUGAAAACCACCGAGGUUUCGAAGUGGGAUGAAGGUAGAUUCCUAGUGAAAAUUUGAGUACAAAUUUGAAGCGGUAAAAAAUGACCGAAAUUUAUCAAAAUAUGGCGAUAAGUGUCAUACAGUUGGGUCAAAGUCUAGCGCUCCAUUGGAAAGGUAAACCCUACUUGCCAUAUUGAAAAUAUAGAGAAAUUCUUCAAGAGGAAAUAGUUCUUCCCGUGCCAUCAACAGUUCGGCGCUGAAUCCUUAAAAAAAAAUGCUAUAUCAUGCAUUUCGGUGAAGAUUAUAGUGAACUGAGAGUGUAUAUGAAGUGUUUUUUAUAUCGUUUUUGAAGAAGUAUAUUAAGGUAUCAUAUUUUUAUUGUAAACAUUCAGAACCUUAAGAUAUAAUGUGCAUUAAAAUAUUAAAUUUUUGUAUACCUUAAUAUAAUUUUCAAAAAUGAUAAAAAAAACUCAUAUGAAUGCACUGCCUAGCUAAUAAAGUGCGACAAACUUUAUCCUCGGUUUAUCAAACUUGUCUGAUACAAAUGUGACAAUGCAGGGCCCUCAACUGACAUGGCCUUUACUCCUUAUCCCUUGUCUCUUAAUUCAUCGUCAUAAACUCACAUAUAUAGUCCUGUUUGUCUACUUAUAAUUAUGCACGAGUACUAACAGUGUUCAUUGGACACGUACCACAAAUUCAAUGGAGCUUGCACAAACUCCUGGUACAAAAAGGUCAUUUUUGUGCUUUGGUCGCUUUGAACUGAUAUCUCCACCCGAAAGCUUGCGACCAUGUCUUUCGUUCCGAUAUAAACCAAUUUCUAAAACUAAGCUUUGUUAUAAAGUAGUUAAUUUUUAUCUUCUUGCAUAUUCUUAACCACCAAACAAGAAGUUUUAUCCUUGAAUACUCUUUACCUACAUAACUACCAAUAUCAACUUUGUAUUAAUAAGUGACAUUGUGUCUUUUUUUUUAUUAAUAAGGAUUCUCAGGACCCGUGAGUGUUUGUUGGAAAUCUUAUGAGAUUUAAUUUCAUAUUAUUUUGGUUCCAUGUCAAAAUUUUAUGUCUGUAAUCUGCAAAAAAAGUGCACAUCUUCUAGUCCGAAUAUGUUUAGGUUCGUGCACCUUAUUGAGUUUUUGAUUGAUUGACCUGGUUAUAAAUAACCUCUCAUCUCAUACAACUCAAAAAUAGCUAGUUGUGAUCGUCAUUAAACUUUAGGUAUGAUUAGAUUAUUCUGUCACUUUACAUUUUUACAACUAGCUUAGUUGGUGGAGUCCCAACUAUUUGUGAUUAAUUUUUCAUCCGUAAUUUAGAUUGUAUUUUUUAUUCUCUUGAAUUUAUUUGAUUGUGUGUAAGAGUAAAACCUCCGUGAUAAUGUUUAUUAUAUAGGUAGGGGUGGAUCUAGCGGGAGGUGGUGUAGCUUUGGUCCCCUUACACGUUGAAUCCAUAUGAAAAAUAGGAAAGGAGAAGAAGAGUGAAGGAUGAACAAGAGAGAAAGCUAACCAGUCUUUCAAUAUUUGGAUGAUUAUUUGUACAUAGGUCGUGUUCGGCUAGAGGGGAGGAGUGGAUUAGUUAUCCGGCACGAAAACUGUAUUAAUAAAUUAAUAUACGAUUAAUAAAUUAUUAAUUAUUAAAAAAUAUAAAAUAGAUUAAUAUGAUUUUUUGAAACAACUUUUCUAUAAAAAAUUUUAAAAAAUUAUACCGUUAGUAGUGUAAAAAGCGUACGCGCGCAUAGGAGUAAAAGAUUUUUUACAAAAGAGGAGGGGAAAAAUACAAACAAGCACACAUCGCCGUGGUCUCAGGUACACCACUCACCGGAUACCAUCCGCGCCGUACGCGUCGCGCGCGUCGCCAUCCCCACACCGCACGCACGCACGCAAGUGCGAUCCAGCACAGCAGCGCUCGCGCUCGCGCUCGAGCCGUCACGAUACGAAGUUAGGUGGGACCCACCGAAACGAGUACUUGUAGAGAGGUGGUGGGCCCACGUGGCGUCCGAGAACUGGAUAGGGGGGCCCGCACGCAGGAGCAUCCGAGCAGUGACGAGGAUGGAUGCCGCCUGGGGGUGUGGGGCCCACAACGUGGGAGUCAUGUGGGGCGUUGCCGAGCUGGGCCAUCCAUCUGGCAUGAGCUGGUAUGCAUUUUCCUCCUGUUUUUCUCGUUCCCUUCUGGACACCAUUUCUUCCCCCCUCUCUCUCUCUCUUUCUUUUCCGAUAGAGGUUUUUAAUUCCUUUCUAAAAAUUUUUCACCUACUUCACCUGAUUCAGAAACUUCAUGUGCUGUUUUCAUAUUCGUCUGGUGGAAAUUUAUUGUGUCGUCCGACUAGCGCGAUGGAUUUAGCGAAUAAUACUUAGGGUCUAAGAUAACUAUAGAUAGAGCUCCAACUCUCUUUAUAGUGAUUUCUGGUAUAAGAUUUUUGGGUGAUUUAGUAAGGCUGCCAUGAUCCUAACAUCCGCCUUUGGUUCUAUGAAACCAAGAUCCUGGACUAUCUUCUUACUUUAUUAUAGAAAUAAAUUGUAUGUUACAUGUUAAAUUAUAUAAAAAAUACAUAUAACAUGUUAAAAUAUAACAAAUACUCCUAGCUGAGAACAAGUGGGUGAUACAGUAGAAUAAAGUUUCUUAGGAAUUGUGUUUUUAGCAGCAUAGAGCAAAUAAUCAAAGGCAACAAUUUAUUUAAGUUUCUCUAUGUACGACCGUAGGCAUAGGGCAUGAGUUCACGGGUGGAGUUACAGGGCAUGUCUCGCACCGCGUGCCCGGUAGAUAAGUAUAUAUCUAGUAUAUAUACGUAUUUUUUUAAAAAAAACUCAUAUAAAUAUGGUAUGCGUUACGUAAUGCAUAUAUAUUAAAUCAUGUUGUAAAUUUUAUAAAUAUUAUUGAUUUACUAAAAUAAAUUUACUAAAUUAUAUACAAUAUUUUUAGAUGAACAUACUCAUAGCUAAAAUUGUACAUUCGCCAAUGCAUCUUUCAUGUGGCAACUGGUAAGGCAAAGGCGUAAGUGGACAAGUGGUAUGACUGUGGUACAAUUAAUGCCAUCAAAUAUGGUACAGUAGUCUUUGGUUUCGUAAUACCACUGCCAUUUAUCCACGGCCGUUAUGAGCAAUGAACAAAGGAUACACUUACGCUAAAAAAAAGUUAAUGGAAAAUGAGUGUAUGCGUUGCUCCAUUCUCUUAUACUCCCUAAGUUACAUUUUGUUUCUGUCCUAGGUUAACCAUGUUUAAGUUUGAAUAAAUUUAUAAAAAUAUAUAUUAAUAUUCUCAACAUAAAAUAAAUAUAAUAUGUAAAACAUAUCAAAUGGUGGAUUUAAUAGAAAUAAUAUGGUGUUCCGAAUGUUAGUAUAUUAUUUUAUAAAUUUAAUCAAACUUAAAGAUAUUUUAUUUAUGAUAAAGCCCAAGUGAAUUAUAAAACUAAACGUAGGGAGUAUUGGUAUUUAAUUUACGAUGUUGGCAUAUUCUAUGUAGUGUCAACUUAGCAAUCCAGGUGUAAACCUCUUCAUUGUAAUUUAAAUAUUUCCCAUAUUGUAGUACUACUUCCAUUCUAAUAUACCAAAAUAUAGACAUUGUUGCCAAUAUUCACUGCUGGUCACAUCAAUAACUUCGUAUUCUAAAUUCUUCAUAUUUUAUCCCCCAUCUACUCUUCCACUCUCAUCCAUUUGGCAUUUAUUAAUAUGUAUCAUAAUAUUUUCUUCUUAACAUUAAUCUAUGUUAAACAAUCUAAAAAUAUUUAUAUUUCAAAACAGAGUAGUGCUUGACUGUGACCAGAAGACGAAAGCCAUCUUCUUACAGCAAGUUUUAUAAAAGUAAUAGUUAUCAUCUCAAAUUUCAUCCAUAACCUAGUAUUUAUCAUGUAAGUAUGCGCUAUAGAUCACCUUUGCGCCGCCUCUAGUACACCAACACGAAUAAUUUUAUUUAUUUAUUUUUUAUCCAACUUACUCUCCAUAUUUCUCUUAAUUAUUUCUAUGUUACUAUAUAAACAUUUUAAGACAUCGAUUUCAAUAUACCGUUUUUUAGCACAUGGCGGUGAUCUUCUAUGUGGUAAAGCUAAUGUGAAAGCGGUAUGACCGCGGAGCAAUUAAUGGCAUCAAAUAUGACACAGUAACCAUCGGUUCUGAAAAAUUAAGUCUACAUUUACUUAGACUUAUGGAAAGUGAUAUCUCUCUUUUACGAUCAUGGCUGCCUUGAUACAAUGUAACAAUGGUGUUUUGCAAUAAAUGUCCUACAUAUCUAUAAAAUUUAACCAUGGGGCCUUCGUCACGGUUCUUUGCUCAAAAAAAAAAAGUUAGACUAAAGUGGCGCCUACGUGUUGGUGGGGCCACGUAGGUCCCACAUGUCAAUAUCUCCGGCAACGAUGUUACUGUGUAGGACCCACAUGGCCCCACCAACACGUAGGCGCCACCGUCGCAUGCUACGUCAGUGGAUGGAGCGGGUCGGAGCCUGUUUGGACCUAUAUGACACACCAGACAAGUUCGGGGACCCAAAAAUACAUUUUGAGAGUUUGGAGAUCUAGAUGACACAUGCAAACAAGUUUAGGGACCGCUGGUAUACUUCGCUCAAAAAGUCAAUGCAAAAUGAUUGUAUGUGUUGCUCCAUUCCUUCGUGUUCGUUAUUUAGUUUUCGAUAUUGGCAUGUUCUGUGCAGUGUCACUUUACCGCUAAUCUAAUUGCAAACCCCUUUAUUGUAACUUAAAUAUUUCUCUAUUAUUCUUGAUUGCGAUUGGAAGUUUACAAACACAUUGGCAAUUAUAAGAAUUUACAUACGAGCCAUCUCAGGGCAUUCCUAACCCAUAACACUAGAUAUGAUUUUUAUAAACUUUUCAUCAUCAAGAAACUAGUACUAGACACUACUCUUCCAAUGCAAACAUCACUAUUUCACACUUAAAUUCAAUGCUACUAAUCUCACAUGAUAUCUUAGAUGUUGUGUAGAAACCAUGUCUCAUGCAAGACAUGGUUUCAUUCUCUUUUCUCAUUUAUUAACUUGCCACGUCAUUUUUUAUCCUAUAUGACAUCUUAUUUUUGUAGUCAUUUCCUUAUUUAAUGCUAUAGACACUAUCCUAGUUAUUAGGUUAGGAAUGCCCAUAGAAAACAAAACCUUGGAAGAUGCUACUCACUGUUCACCUUGAAAUUAAUGUCAGUAGGUAUUGAUGAUGGUUAUUAACGACCGCGUCCCAAUGCACAGCCAAGUGGCAAAGUGAAUCGCAAUCUGAGUUCUUUGACCCAGACACAUCUACUAUGAUCUAUCCUAUAUUUGCCGUUAACUAAUUAAGGUUCGGUAGAAGCAAACAUUAACAAUGUAUGUGAGUAUCUGACACCGUGUUUAAAGAAACAACCUUAACCAGCAAAAAAACGGUAUAGUAGUUGGUAGCAGGAGCAGUGGAGCCGUGCGCGGCAUCCAGUCCUAGGGCUUUGCAUCUCCUCGUACGGAUAGGGAUGAAAACGAAUCGAAUAUGGUCGAAAAUCAGUUCUAUCAUAUUUGUUUUCAUACUUUUUUCGGAAUCGAAAUCGGAAUCGGAAACUCGGAUAUGAAAACGGAAUCGAAUAUUAUCGAAUACAAAUACGGAGUGAAUACGGAUCGAAACGAAUACGGUGACGAAUAAUAAUCAGAACAUAAAAAACUCUUAAACUAAGCUUCACGUAUCAUUGAAGAAAUAUAACUUGUUAUUUUUUAAUAUAAGUAUAUAACUUAUCAAUAUUUUUAAAUAUAAGUAAUUACUAAUACCAUAAAAAGAAAUAUCCGUAGCGGUUGGAUGGGCGUGGGUGCCCAGACUACUUGAAGCCAGUUAAUCAGAACCAGCUAAGGUCAACACUAUUUUGGCCAUUGGGAUGGGCUUCUUUACGUCGAGCUGAUUUGAUUGAAUGGUUAAUGCAUAGGUCCAAAUAUCUGGGAAAAAAUCCGGAUACUAUCCGAUGAAUAUCCGAAUCCGACGGAUAUCACUCGUACCGUAUUUGUUUCCUUAUCCGAAAAAAAAUAUCCGAAUCCAAUUCCGAAUCCGAAAAUUUUCGGCACUAUCCGACCGAAGCUAUCCGAAUCCGAAAAACGAUCCGGUCGGGCGGAAAUUAUCCGAAUCACUUUCAACCCUACAUACGGAUCCAGUAAGGCCCCCUUUGAUUCAAAGGAAUUUUAGAGGAUUUCAUUCAUAUAGGAAUUUUUUUCUAUAAAGCCCUUUGAAUCAAAGUAAUGAAUCCUAUGAAAUCCUAUGAAAUUCCUAUGGAAUACAUCUUCCUAUACAAGUUUUGGAGGAAAUUUAACAAAAGGUUGAACCUCAUGGAAAAAAUCCUUUGAGUCUAUAUCUCUCCUUAAAUUCAUGUGUUUUUCAUGUGGUCCAAUCAAACGGUCAUUUCUACGUUUUUACUGUGUUUUGCAAUCCUCAGUUUUACUAUACAUUCCUUAUCAGAAUUCUAUGUUUUUUCUAUUCCUCCGUUUUUCCAUUCCUGCGAUUUAAAGGAGCCCUAAAAUUUGCUCCAAACCGCAAACUGGGACGCAUCCCUAAAAGCUCUUUCUACCGACUGCCCCUCUUAGGUCUUGUUUAGUUUAUAAAAUUUUUUUGCAAAAACACCACAUCAAAUAUUUAGACACACAUUUAAAGUAUUAAACGUAGUCCAAUUAUAAAACUAAUUUCAGAUUUCGGCUGAAAACCGCGAAACGAAUCUUUUGAGUCUAAUUAAUCCGUCAUUAGUAAAUGUUGGUUACUGUAGUACUUAUGUCUAAUCAUGUCCUAAUUAGACUCAAAAGAUUUAUCUCAUGAUUUCCUCCAUAACUAUGUAAUUAGUUUCAGUGUCCAUGUAUAUUUAAUGCUUCAUUUAGAUAUCCAAAAUUCGAUGGGAUGUUUUUUAGAAAAGUUUUUGUGAACUAAACAGGGCUUUAGAGCAAGACUAAUAAUAUAGCUAACAAGCUGACUAUAAGACUAUUUAUAGUCUUCUUAGCUAACAAGCAGGAUCCACAUGUCUUUCGCAUAUAAUUUCUUGGUUCUUAUGGCAGAGCUGGCUAUAAGUUUACAGUCCGCUGCUCCUCUCUUUCCUCUCCUCUCUCCACCACGUCAGUAUUUAGGAGGCUUAUAGCCUGCUAUUACACUUGCUCUUAAGGAUAUAUCUAGAGGUUCACUCAUAUAUAGCUGCAGUUUUUUGAAAAAAGAAUAUCUAGAAGUUGUCGUCUCUAUUAAACAACACUUAUGUUCUCCUGUACUCCUGUAUAAUUAAAAAAAUAAAUUAGAAGUUUUAGAAACUGAAAAAUAACGUAUCUUUUCAAUUCUGAAAAGCUAUCUUCUCAUUAGCUGUUUUCCAAAAUUUUAAGCUCCCUGAAUAGGCCCUAAAACCGCCACUCAUAUCGCAUCCAGGCAUGUCCAUUGAUCCAUAUUCCAUUCCAUGGUGCUCCUGAGAGCAUCCAUGAACAAGGGCCCUUUUUCUCUUUCCAUGUUUCCAUGUACAGGUCCAAUGUGCGCUUAGAAAAUAUAUUAGAAAUAGUCUAUAUCCUUGUUGUCCUACUCAUGGCAUGCCUGAUUAUCGGUUUAACCAUCGGUAAAAUCCAUAUUAGGAUCAGAUAUGUUUUCAUUUUAUACCUAUAAAUAAAUAUGCUAUUAGGUAAAACCUAUAUCCAAUGGGUAGCCAUUACCCAUACCCUACUGUUUGUUUACCCACCAAAUCUAGUUGAUAUAUGGGUUUUAUUAGUCCAUAACCAUGUUUUAAUAUAUAGUUGAGUCAAAAUUUAAUUUAUAUCUUGCACAAUAAUAUGGUUAUUUUAAACUAAACUCAUAUUUAAAUUAAAUUGAAAAUAUUGGAUGAUAAUAAAUCCAUGAGUACAGUAUUUAUUAUAUAUUUUCUAUUAUUUAUGUCAUGUACCUAUAGUGAUGAGUAAAUAGGUAACCUCGUGGUCGUGUAGCGCUGUGGGUAAUGGUCCAAUGGACAUGGCAACGCGUAUAAGAGUAAUGGGUACACCAUUGAGAACCAAAUAUUCUUGUUGACAUGGAUACGUACUGCUCACCUAUCUAUGCCAUCCCGAUUGUCAUCUUUGCCUACUUCCAAUCUAUCCCCAUUUACUAUUGUACUAGAAAUACUACUCCUCUAAUUUUUUUAUUUUUUACCUAGCGUUUAAUCAUUCAUGUUAUUUAUAUAAAAAUCAAGAAAAUUAGUAAUAUGUAGAAUACCACUCGUGUUUUAUCUACUAAUAACAAUAAAAGCAUUAAUCAUAAGUUUUUUAAAUAACACGAAAAAUCAAACAUUAUAUAAAAACUAAAAACUGAAAAUACUUUGGAACAGAGUAGAAUUCGCUCGAGGUACCAGAGACCGAGAGUCGAGAUGAGACAUAUAUAUAUAUAGAGAGAGAGAGAGCAGCGGCGUGGAGGCGCCGUCCAAUGCGUUGUUGCCUUGUUGGUUGCGUGCGUUUCGCGCAUUCGGUUUUCCCCCCGUCGAUCGCGGCCGCGGCCCGGCCGGCCUGCCGCUACCGAAAACUACGCCGUGGUGGGUGCGAGUGCGAGAGCCUGCAGCAGCAGCACGACGCCCGCCCACGAGUACACGGGAACCCACCAACUGCAGUUUGCUUUGGAAGGGGGCGCGUCCAGUCCAGUCGCAGGAGAGGAGAGAGGAGGAAGCAGCGGCUGCUCGCCUCAUCCGUCCAUGCGUGCGCACGCACCCGCACCCGCACCCCCCGCCCACCCCCCACACAUCGGGUCAGAGUUUUUGGGUAGUUGUACAAAUUUUUAUUCCCGGAGCGCAGGUCGGUCCCCUGGUUUUGGUUGGCUUGGCUCGGCUCGUCGUGCGAGGUCAAGCAAAAACCGCCUAUAGGGGCAGGCUCCGGUGCUCCAACCGGCUAUUCUACGGGAAAGGAGUUCAAAACAGUAUAAUCAGCGCACGUAAAACAAGAAUAGUCAUUAGCACGUGAUUAAUUAAGUAUGAGUUAUCGUAAACUUGGAAAAUGGAUUAAUAUGAUUUUUUAAAACAACUUUUAUAUAAAGUUUUUUAGCAAAAAAUACAUUAUUUAAUAGUUCGAGAAGCGUGCGCACAGAAAAAAAAAAGAGUAUUUGAAGUCAACAGUGUAUUGUGAUCGCCUGCCUGUGCAAAGUGUGCACGUGAAUAUACUGCGCGCUUGUGAGCGAUCCCGUUUUUAUUUGUUGCAUCAAGAAGGAGGGAUACGGCCAUACCCUUUUUUGUGUUUUUUUUCUUUUCUCUAGGGUUGCCGCGACUUACGUGCAUAGUAAAAAAAGAGACCAAAUCGGCGGUUGAACCGGAAAAAACCAGAACCGGCGUCCUCAGCGGCUUGGUUUCGCUCAAUGACCGUCUCCGCAAUUGACCCGGUAAAAAGCCGAUGAACCGGCCGAUUUUUACGAUCACACCGGUUUUUUAAAAUCUGAUCAAUUUUUUAAUUUGUCUUAUGGCAAUAGUACAUUAUAAAUUUACUAGGUUAUCAUACUAUAAUAUAGUUUUUGACGUUGUAGCCAUUAAAUUUACUAGUUACGAUAUAUAUAUUUAUACAUAUUUUUACUAAUUUUUGAUAGUUGUAUAUAAAAAAUAAUAUAAAUUAGAUAUAAUGCAAAUAAAUAAAAAUCAACGGUUUGACCCGUGAACCGACGGUACGAGCGGCGGGGCCGGUUUUUUUACUGUGCUUGUGUGGGAAUUUUUCCUCCUGCUAUGGAUGUUGAGGUCUUAAAUGACCCAUAACGAUUUUUAAUGCUUGCGUUCUAAACUGAAGGUGGGCUGGGAAUUUUGCUCUGCUUCGUGUGAGCGUGUUUAUACAGCUAAAGGAUGUGUUUCGUGUAAAAAAAUUAUAUACUAAAAUCAAGUAAAUCUAUUUUUUAAAUUAUAAAAUUACUCUAUCGGUUUUAUAUUAUAAGUCACUUUGGAUUGUGUUAACACCAAAAUUUGAUAAAUUUUCGUAUUGGAUUCGGAUAAGGAAAGGUGUAAUCGCCGAUAGAAAUUUUAUCCGGAAGAGUUCGAAUCCGACAGGGAAUCGUGAAGACCAAGACUUGACGGCGUAAAUUUAUCUGUUAAUUAGAGUUAGUUAGGAUUUUAUUUUAUCUCUAAGAUAUUAGAGUCUGAUCGGGACUUGUGUGUGUUUUAUCUAGUAGGAGUUAGAGAUAGAGUCCAUAUAGGAUUAGUUUGUUAUUUAUUUUUAUCUAUUAGGAGUUGUAUGUCGUGUCUAACACGGCCUAGUCUCAACCCGAAGGUAUAAAUAUGUAUGCCCGGGGGUCAUUGUUUUUCAUCUACACAUCAAUAGAUCAAUUACUCUCGACGCAUCGCCACCCUCCUAACCGAGGUUUCAAGUCCGGCGGAACUUGCCACCUGAGGCGAGGCUGCAUCGCUUCGAUCUCCAGCGGAGGGGUAAGUCCAUCGUUUCACCGAGCCACGGUAAUCGCGCGGCUAGAUUAGGACUGUCUCGGUUCGGUUCGAUCUUCUAACCUGGUUUUAUAAUUGCUAGUUACCGUAUCAAUUUUAGCUUAGAACACUUUCAUGUUUUGAGUUAAUCUGGUCGAUCACUUUGGGCGAUCUAUUUUGGUUUGAUAUUUGUUGUUUGACAUAUUCAAUCUAGUACUGUCUCGGUUAGGUCUGAUCUAGUAGAUUGCGUUUGUUAGAUAGUUUAUAUUAGAUUGAUGUAUUUUGCUCAUUGUUCUAUCGAAGUACCGGCCGAUAGGUUACCGGUCAUCGGCUCAUCGGCUUGAUAGCAAUCUAGAUCUGUUUGGUAUCUAGCCUGACAUUACUAGCUUUAAUCUUGAACUGUCUCGGUUUAGUCCGAUCUUCUAUGAUUAUUCUUAGCAAUCUGGGCUAGGUAUUUUAUAGAUCUUAGUUGUUUGUCCGUCGUCUAUAGCCGAUGAUUUGUGCCGAUCUACAUGCUUAUCAUAUUUACAUCAAUAGAGCAGUCGAUUGCCUUACUGCAUUGCUUUUAUAUCAAUCGGCUUGAUUUAGUUAGAUCGGCAGUUAUUUAUGUUACAUCGGCUUAUGAGAAUUACAUGCAAGUUAGUUUUAGCCGAUCGUAACAUAUGAUUUAUUGUUUAAUCCAAGUAAUUCGUUGGUUUAUUUAUUAGCCUUAUUGAUCUUCAUGUUUUCUAUAAUCAUAUCGUGCUCGACUGCAUACUGUUUUGGUUAAGUCCAAUCUCUGUACGUCUGGUUCGAUCUGGUUAUAGGGAUUUAUCCGAUCGACCGAGAUUGAUAAGUAACUUGGAGGAUUACGUUGGUCUAAUAUUUUAUUUAACUAUAUUUUUAUUGAUUCUCUGGUCGAUCCAAGCUUUUUACAACCGAUCCUUUACCCUAGGCUAACCGCUGCAGCAUCAACGUCUGAUCGGCUAGAUAUUUAUUCACAUAUCGGCUCGAUGGCCGAUCGACUUGUUUUAUUGUCUAUCUUGUGAGUUGCAGGAUUAAACUGACUGGCACGGCCGCGCAUUCUAAAAAUUUAGGACCUGUACUGGAGCUGUCUAAGAUUGACUCCCAGGCCUUCGUGUGUGACACGUCAGAUUAUAUUUUUGAUGUCAACACAUUGUCGUAAGUCAAACCUCCUUAAGUUUAACUGGAUUUAUAAAAAAUAAAGUAACACCUACAAGACCAAAUUAGUUUUAAAUUCAUUAUUGAAUAUUUUUUGUAGUAUAUUUAUUUUGCAUUGAAAAUGCUGCUGUAUUUUUUAAUAUAUUUAGUCAAACUUAAAAGAGUUUUGAGUUAAGAUAAAUCCAAAGUAAUAUCAAACGGUAGAAAUAUAAGUUAAUUAAUUAUGUGCUAAUGUUUCGUCCUCUUUCCCAUGUCUAAAGGCACUUCAUCCAAUCUUUAUUUUAGAAUACAAUAUUACUUUCUAGAUUGCCAGGUCUCUCCAUUUUAACUAUGUUUGUCUCUUAAAUAGGAAACUAUCAUCUUUGAUCAUAUGGCAUAAGAACAUAACAUACAUCGACCGGUGAGGGCGACGACGGUAGGAUAGACUUGCACUAAGAAGGGUGGGUGUACUCGGCCCUUGUAUCAAUUUGGCUUGUAAGGACGAUAGUGGAGUGUAGAUGAGAUUGGUGGCUUAGGGUGAAGAGCUGCACAUCGGCAUGUAGAAAACACGGUUGGAGGCUAGCAAACAAAGAGUCGUUGGUACAAGAGUGUCUAUGCGCUGAGUUCGUGGAUGCUAGUAAGGUAAUGAUGCUAGUAAUAAAGCGAUGGCCAAAUAGUAGAUGAAGGUCUUGCCUAGAGACUUCUAAAUCGACAAUGAUGGUCCUUUCAGGUGCCUUUAAAUCCCUUGUGAGGAUGUUGUCGGGACAUCUCAUUGUCUCCCUAGCGAAACACUCCGAGUUAAAAAACACUUAUUUUUUUGACACACGACGAGGGCACUAUGGCAUCGCUUCCUUCCCGGAGGCUUUGUCUAAGAGUUCCCCUUUCUGCUCUUUUGUGUUCCAAUAGUUGGGCUCGUGCUUCUUGACCGUGUGUGUGCUGGUACGAGAGAGAGGAUCUUCUUGUCUCUCACACCGUCCCUCUGCAACCCUUCGCACAAGUGAUGUUUGGAUGAUAGUGUUUCAGUUGUUUGGAGGUGUUGGUGGACAUUUUAGUGGUGGCUAUAUUCGUAGGUCCAACGGUGUCCAAUCUUGUUUAGUGGCAAUCUGGGUGUGUUGUAGGUUUGAUGGUGUCCAAUCUUGCUUAGUGACAGUGAGGGCGGUCCUUAAUCUUUGGUGUGUUAGCUUUGUCGAAGUGUGGAGUGGUUUUCUUUUUCUGAUUAUAGCCUUUGAGAGCUCUAGUCUUGUAAUUUUUCAUGCUAUAUCACUAUAAACCAUCACAUUACUACAUGCAUGCACUGCCAAAUUAAAAGCAUGCACCCUCCAAGCUCCAACCAUAUAAUUACUGCCAAAAUAUUAGAAUAUUUUAUAUGUUUUGGUUUCUCAUAUUCGUAAAAAUAUUAUCAUUUUUUUUCGAAACACAGUAUAAAUGCCUAUGUUUAUAAACACGGGCACACAUCUACUGUUACGAUCACAUGCACACACCAUCCUCUCAUAAACACCUCAAGCAAAUGAGCUUCUAUAUUUUAAAAUUAAAAAAUUCUUUAUGAACACCUUAUUGCAGACUAACAGAAUAAUAAUUAACCAUAAAUACAUGCACGUGUAUCAAGUUCAAGAUUUAUACCAUUUGGAUAGGUUUAAGGAAGUUAACCAGGAUUACUAUAUUUGUGUUACUGUGUAAGACUUUCUAACAUUAUCUACAUUUAUAUAAAUGUUAAUGGAUUUAGAUAUAUACAAAUAAUAUACAUCGAUAAAUAGAUAAAUCUAGUCAUAGUUAAAAAAAAUUAUAAUAUAAAAUAGAGGAAAAAUAUAGUCAGACUUUAAAAAUAAUACAUGUAGAAAUCGUUCAAAAUUUCUGCAUUUGGAAGUUAAAAUUGAUAUGGGACCUACAAACUCACCUAACCCAUCAGCAAGAGUUGACGACCGUUUCCCAACUUAUGCCCUCUCUGGUACAAUAAAUUAACUGAUCAAAUCCAAACACACGCAUUUCGACCUGAUUUUGAUCAAAUCAAAACACACGCAUUCAACCAAUCGACACCCUUGUUCUCUCCUAGGAUAUCAAGCAAACUCGAUUUUUUUUUCUCUUGUUUCGUGGACGCAAGAAACAUCACCAUGAAGAAAAAGGGACGAUCUUUUUAUUUUUUUUGGAGACAGAGAGAGAGAGAGAGAGAGCCAGGAAGGUUCACAAUUGUUUGACCACCUCCCUGGUGCCACCUCCUCCUGUUGGCUUCAUCGCCACAGCUCAGCAGCAUCAUCGUCUCCUCCCCCCUCCCCGUCUCCAUUUCUUUUGUCUCUCUCGGUCUUCAAAUCCAGCGGUGCCUAUCUGGUAGCUGCCGUCGCACUCGUACGCGCAUUGCCUCCUCCCUCCGCGGCAGCUCUUGGCUCCUCGCCCGUUUCGUCGCGGCGCCGUUCUUGGAGGAGAGCUCUGGGACACUCCAGUUCGUUUCUUGGAGGAGCUGCCGCUGCCGCUGCUGGUGGUGGGCGGCGGUNNNNNNNNNNNNNNNNNNNNNNNNNNNNNNNNNNNNNNNNNNNNNNNNNNNNNNNNNNNNNNNNNNNNNNNNNNNNNNNNNNNNNNNNNNNNNNNNNNNNNNNNNNNNNNNNNNNNNNNNNNNNNNNNNNNNNNNNNNNNNNNNNNNNNUCGGGACCACUCCAGUUCUUUUCUGGGGGGCCCUGCCGCUGCCGCUGCUGGUGGUGGCCGUCGAUGGGGAGGGGCAGCUAUGGCUGCUCCGUUGUUGGGUCGCUUCUGCUGCUGCUGCUGCUGGUCUGCCUGGGCUCCGCCGUUGCGCAGAAGGCGUCGACUUGGAAGACCCUGAGCGGUACAUUCACGGACCCCUCCCUCCGUUUCUUACUUCGCUGCUUGGUACGCGCGAGCGUGAUCUGAUCUGGGAUGUUUUUCAUGCAUUAUUAGCUCGAAAUAUCACUCUUUUACUAGCAAUUUUUUUUUUUGGUUUUGCGCCGCUGGUUGAGCUGGAUCUUUAGGAUGGGGAUGAGGUGAAUGCCCAUUUUUUUUUUUGCUCAAUGUUCUAUUUUUCUUUCAGCAAAGAUUGGUUUUGCUGAUUUUUAGCACCGCUUGGGAAGUUGGGAGACCAGAUUUCUGAUUGGAAGCUUGGGCUCAGCCAUGAUGCUUCCUUUUUAUUUCUUUCUUGGAAAAAAUGGUAUGGUAGUCGGUAGCCUUUUCAGCUGAAUGACUGAAUGCCAUUUGGUUGGGAUGCACAGCUGCAGCCAGCAGUUUUUUUUGUGAUUAAUGUACAACAUGAACUUAGUCUAGAAGAGUAGAAUUAUAUGCUUAUUUGAUCUUAGGACGAGAUUUGCAGAAGCCGCUGUCUUUAGGAUUUACCGUUCAUCAGCUACUUAUGGGGCGGACCGGCGGAGGCGCUGAGUGGAUUGUCUAAUGCGAGAAUUGGUUGGUCCAGUUCAUGUAUAUGCAUUCCAUGGAAUGCCUUCUGCUUGUAUGUUACUAUGUUGUUCUCACGUUAACCGGUUCUAUGAACUUGGUUAUGGGAGUUUCUGCUGUGGCAAUGCACUUAGGAUGAACAACUCCUGGCCUUCCUCAAGCCUAACAGUAAUAUUCUUGUUGCAGGUGGUCCUCCAUUGGUCAUCGCUAAGGGCGGUUUCUCGGGCCUGUUUCCAGACUCCAGUGAUUUUGCUUAUGGGAGUGCUCCUGGUGCAGCUCUGUGGUGCGACGUCCAGUUAACCAAGGAUGGUGCUGGCAUCUGCCUUCCAGACAUAAAUAUGAAUAACUGUACAGGCAUUUCCAGUUUUGAUCCAAAAGGGAUUAAGACCUACAAUGUGAAUGGCGUGCCGGUAAAGGGAUGGUUCCCCAUGGACUAUAAGAGCGCCGAUCUCCUGCAACAAGUAUUUUGUAAGUGGAAUCCCUCUUUUGUAGUUUAUCGCUUAUGUUUUUAAUCAUUUCUCAUGUGAUGGUUACUUUUCUGCGUACAUUGAAAUAAAAAAGUGGUCAUAUGCAUUGAGAGCAUCUAUUAUAUUAUAAAGAAAGGGUUGGAAGGAGCUACCAUGUUUGCUUUUAAGUCCUAGAAAUUACCACCUUAAUCUCAAUAAAGGAGAAAUUUACACCAUCCAUUGUGGUGGGACAAAAUUAUAAUGGUGUGGAUUGAUAGCUAAAAAUGUAUGGGAGAUACAAUUCAAAUACUAUAACAUUUCAAAUAUCCACUGACCCCAUGCGCAGUUAUGUGGGUAAUUCGACAGUUAUUCUCAUAUGAGAUGUCACAUUUGUUCUAAUGUACAAGUUCAACGGAAAACAAAGGAUAAAUAUCUUCACAUUCCAUCUUUCUAGUCUUGUUUAAAACCGUUCUCUUGAUUGCACCGCUAACUUUUAUUUUUACAGUGAAGCAACCAAUCCUAUCACGCACGGAUAAAUUUGAUGGACUCGCAAUAGUUCCAGUUGAAGAUGUACUGUCCAAAUACAAGACACCUGCUGUUUGGCUAAAUGUUCAGGUUUGUGUCAAACUUGAUUACUUGCAAUAACCAUGUAUUGGGUUAUUCUCCUGACUUGUUAAUGUCUGGUUUGUGCAAAUUGCAGCAUGACAGUUUCUACAGCCAGUUUAAUCUGAACAUGAGAAGCUAUAUCCUGUCUGUAUCAAAACAAUUCGCUGUUGACUACAUAUCAUCACCUGAAGUCAACUUCCUCAACAGCUUACUUGGAAGAGUUAGCAAGAAGACGAAGCUUGUGUUCCGUUUUCUUGAUGAACAAACUGUUGAGCCAUCUACAAACCAGACAUAUGGCUCACUCUUGAAAAAUCUAACAUUCAUCAAGACUAUUGCAUCUGGAGUACUUGUCCCCAAGCACUACAUAUUGCCUGUUACAAAAGAUAAUUACCUGCAGCCCCAUACUUCAGUUGUUGAUGAUGCUCAUAAAGCAGGAUUAGAAAUUUAUGCUGCAGAUUUUGCAAAUGACUUCUCAUUCAGCUACAACUACAGCUAUGAUCCAUUAGCGGAAUAUCUUUCCUUCAUUGACAAUGGUGCCUUCUCUAUUGAUGGCGUGUUGACUGAUUUCCCUAUUACCUCAUCAGAGGCCAUUGGUCAGUCCUCGCAUCCUUUAUACAUUAUGCUAUAGAUGUACAUUCAAGAGAUGAAAUCAAACUGGCCACUUGGUCAGCAUCAACCUUCACUUAGUACAACUCUCUGUUUUCAUCUUUUGGCAUGUAUAUAUUUGAACGAGUUAGAAGGUGUUGCAUGGAUCAUUCAUUAUCUGGUCUUAUUACUAAUGUUUUUAUUUUGAUCCUGCAGGUUGCUUUACUAAUCUGAAUAACAGCAAGAUAGAUCAUGGUACACCUGCAUCCUUUGUUAUCCAUUUGUAAUUCCUCCAUUUAGUAUUUUUAUUGAACUCUGGCCUUCACACACUGCAGGAAAACCUCUUGUUAUAUCCCACAAUGGAGCCAGUGGUGACUACCCAGAUUGCACUGACCUCGCUUACCAAAAGGCAGUUGCUGAUGGCGCAGAUGUCAUUGACUGUCCUGUGCAAGUGACCAAAGAUGGAAUACCAAUAUGCAUGAGCUCCAUUGACCUAGGGGAUGUUACUACAGUUGCAAAUUCACAAUUUUCUUCUCAAACAUCUGUUAUAAAAGAUAUUAAGGCUUCUCCCGGAGUCUACUCAUUCAACCUCACUUGGGAUGAUAUUUCAAAGAACCUCAAGCGUAAGUCAAUAUGAACCCUUAUUUGGUAAAUCUCAAGUGCAAAUAGAUACUGUCUGUGCAUAAGUAUAAAUUCUUAUUAACUUUUCACUAUCUCUUCAAUGUAAGAGUUUGACUACUGAAUUUUCUUGUAACAUAUUAGCAUAAGUUUAUAAAAAUAUUUUGCAAGAAAAAUCCAAUGACAUAUACAUGUAUUGAACAUUGAUGGUCAAAGUCUGAAAAGGAUAAUUGCAUUAAUCGCAAUGCUACUGUAUUUAGAGAUGGGUGGGGUAACGUUUUACUAGAAAUGAACCACGUAAACUUAUGUUAGGAAUAAUUUAAACUCCUUUUGAAUUCCUGUACUUGACAUUGCUUGUGAUACUUGAGCACCUACUGCACAUUUGUUAAAGUAUGCAUGGUUCAAAACAGUUAAUUAACCGAUGAAAAAUCAUAUUUGAUCCAUGAGGUGGACCACCAGUGAAGUUCCUUAUGCUCAUCUUACAUUUGUUCCUAGAUUGAUAUGUCUUAUUUACAGCGAAGAUAUCAAACCCAAUGUCUACGUAUAAACUGUACAGAAAUCCCAGAAACAUGAAUGCAGGAAAUUUCAUGAGAUUGUCAGACUUUUUGGACUUUGCAAAAGGAAAGGAUUUGUCUGGGAUCAUGAUCAGUAUAGAGGUAAGGAUUUAAUGAUAUAAAAGGGAAUUAUUUAGUGCAAACUGGUAUCACAGAAUAAAACAAACUUCUAUCUUGCGAAUUCUCAAGGCAUUCAAGAACCUGAAUAUUCCAGUACUUAUUUGUCCUCAUGGCUUAGUAAAACACAUGAUGCAAUGGCUCUUUCUUCUUCUACUUUGUAAAAUCGUUAAUUGGGUCUUAAAUGCUUUUUCUCAGUAGAUUAGCAAGAAUAUCAGGGACAACUUUAUGUUUAAGUGCAUCCCCCCCCUCCCCCCCAGAUUGUAUCAGGUUUUCACAGUGUUUAACUUUACUUCCCUUUUCUGUAGCAUGCUGCAUUCAUGGCACAGAACCUUGGCUUUGGGGUAGUAGAUGCAGUAACUAAAGCUCUUGAUGACUCUGGUUACAGCAAACAAACUACCCAGCAAGUCAUGAUUCAGUCAACUAACAGCUCAGUUCUAGUGAAGUUCAAGCAGCAAACCAAGUACAAUCUUGUCUACAUGAUUGAAGAAAAUGUCAGGGAUGCCGCACCUUCCUCCAUUGCAGAUAUUAAGAAGUUCGCCGAUGCUGUUUCUGUUAACACCAUGUCCGUCUACCCGGUGACACAAAAGUUCUUGACAAACCAGACCAAUAGCCUUGUGCAGUCCCUGCAGUCCGCUGGGCUUCCAGUCUACGUUUAUGUGCUCAUGAACGAGUUCGUUUCUCAGCCAUGGGACUUCUUCUCAGAUGCCACACAGCAGAUCAACGCGUAUGUGAAAAGACCAGGUGGUGGCGUGGAUGGGGUCAUUACUGAUUUCCCUGCAACGGCUCACAGAUACAAAUGUACGUCGUCGUUAAACAUACAUACAUUCCUUUAACCAUUUCAGAUGUCCACUGUUCUUUAUGUUCCUUUUUUUUUUGCUUGCUCACCUUGCAUCUUGAAAAUUGAUUGAUUGAUUUCUGCAGUGAACUCCUGCAUGAACAUGGGCAACAACACUCCUGGCUUCAUGUUCCCUGCCCAGCCCGGUGGUCUCAUCGAAAACAUGCCCGGACCGGUGCAACCACCGGCGAUAGCUCCAUUGCCGCCCUUGACAGAAUCCGACGUCGCGGAGCCACCCCUACCGGCCGUCAACAGCAACGCCAAAGCUCCGGCGUCUUCACGUGCUGCUGCCAUCAGAGUGCGAGCCGAUGUCUCGGUCCUUGUCACGUUCAUGCUAUGCCUAUGCGCUUCUCUCAUGAUCUGAGUGGUUUCAUUGCAUUGCAUUGCAUUGCACAUGAGACAUGAACAUGCUAGAGCUCAGAGGAUCUACGUGUUGAGCUAUUCAUUUCAUCACCACUUUUAUGUAGUGAUUCUUUUCCUCUUUUUUCUUUUGGUUUUGUUUUGCUGUAUUCUGGGGGGGAUGCAUGGUUAGCCUGAUACCUUUGGUGAUGGCACUUCUGUCAGCUCUGUGGCCUGAUUGGCUGAUCAUAGCAACAUUUUGGUACAUAUAUGUCUGGUGCAUUACGUUGUUUCAGCCUUUCAGAUCUUUUCAUGCCUGCAUUUGAUUCAUUCAGAUAGCUCUUUUGUUUCAGCCUCACUUCCUCACUGAUCUCUGCUCCCCAGGAACCAGAAUUCUAGGGCAUUAUCAUACUGUUCUGCACUUCGGCUGUCUGUACUGUAUAUAUGCAAUUUAACUGUGAAAUAACACUUGGCAAUUUGCCCUGAAUGAAAACAUUAAGAGAAAUUUUACAUUCCUUACAAAAAAAUAUCUUAAGGUGCCAAAUUUAGGGUAAAUUUUGGUACCUUGAGAUACAUAGGCUGCGUUUGGUAGGUAGGGGAUAAGUUAACUUAUGCGAUGUGAAAAACGUAGCAAUAGAUUAGUACAUGAUUAAUUAAUUAUUAAUUAUUAAAAAAAUAUGAAAUAGACUAAUAUGAUUUUUAAAGCAACUUUACUAUAGAAAAUUUUUAUAAAAUAUAAACCAUUUAGCAGUUCGAGAAGCGUGCACAUGGAAAACGAGAAGAAUAAGAUAACUUACUGGCCUGCCGAAUGUGGCCAUAGUACCUAGAGGUACCAAAUUCUUUCGCUUGAAAAUAUGCACUUUUAUAUUUUCGUUUCUACUUAUAUUUAUAAGUCAAAAUUUGAAUUUUUAAACUUAAAUUUAUAGUUAAAUAUGAGUUUCUUUAUUAAAGUAUCACUAAAAAUACGUAUAUAAAAGUUUUAUUUAUAAAUAUACUGUUUGACGAUGUGAGAGAAAAAACAAAGCCGCCGACAUGCCCAAAACAGAAAUAACAAAGCCGCCGACAUCUGAGAAGCGGAUGAAAAUGAUCGAGGAGCCGUCCGAUCGACAUCCGACGGCUGCGCUGCUGCCAUCCUCGACGCGGCGCGGCCCUAGCCGUCGGGUAGAAUUCGUGGCCACCGCCGCGCGCGGCUAAGCCGUCGUUCCCGCUCGCUCGCUUGCCCGCGCAGUGACGUCCCGCCUCUGCGCCGGCGACGAUGGCGCGGCCGNNNNNNNNNNNNNNNNNNNNNNNNNNNNNNNNNNNNNNNNNNNNNNNNNNNNNNNNNNNNNNNNNNNNNNNNNNNNNNNNNNNNNNNNNNNNNNNNNNNNNNNNNNNNNNNNNNNNNNNNNNNNNNNNNNNNNNNNNNNNNNNNNNNNNNNNNNNNNNNNNNNNNNNNNNNNNNNNNNNNNNNNNNNNNNNNNNNNNNNNNNNNNNNNNNNNNNNNNNNNNNNNNNNNNNNNNNNNNNNNNNNNNNNNNNNNNNNNNNNNNNNNNNNNNNNNNNNNNNNNNNNNNNNNNNNNNNNNNNNNNNNNNNNNNNNNNNNNNNNNNNNNNNNNNNNNNNNNNNNNNNNNNNNNNNNNNNNNNNNNNNNNNNNNNNNNNNNNNNNNNNNNNNNNNNNNNNNNNNNNNNNNNNNNNNNNNNNNNNNNNNNNNNNNNNNNNNNNNNNNNNNNNNNNNNNNNNNNNNNNNNNNNNNNNNNNNNNNNNNNNNNNNNNNNNNNNNNNGCCGCCGACGCGUUCAGCGCGCGGUGGCCGACCGACCUGGUCGUCGGCCGGCACGACUGUCGACACUACACCAACGGUUGGUUUGGUUUCCCUUCCCGCCUUAAUCAAGCACUCAUCUUUUUUCUUCUUCGCGCCUCUUAAUCGCAAAUUCGCAAUGGAGUGAUGCGAUGCGACGCGUCUCGAUCGCUCCUAGACUUCUAAUAUGAAGAAAAAAAAUCAUUUCUUCUCACUAUCUUCUUUUCUUGCGCUGAUCGAAAGGGCUCGUCGAAGUCCUGACAGGUGAAAAACGUGUCUUGGACUCCAUCAGAUCGUCAGCUGCCAAUGGCGAGGGUGGUCAGUGGCUCCCUUCUCUUCUCUUCUCUUCUCUUUUCUUUUCUUUUCUUUUUCUUCUGUGUCAUUUCGUUUUCGUGGUGCACUGAUGUUUUUGUUUAGUUGAAAUCGUGCUCGAGAUAUUGCUUGAAAUUAUUGGUGAUAUCAGCUGCGCGCAAAAGAUUCAGUUUGAUUGAAAAAGCCGUUUGAUCUGGUAGAUUGCUUGCCAUGGUCGAUUCACUCUCGGGGUGUUUGUUGGGGGAAAUGAAAAUUUUCAGGUGAUCACAUCGGACGUUUGAUCGAAUGUCUGAAGGAGUUUUUGAAAACGAAUGAAAAACGAAUUUCUCGGCUCGCCUAUAAACCGUGAGACGAAUUUUUGAGCCUAAUUAAUCCAACAUUAGUGUAUAUUGCUUAUUAUAGCAUUUAUUGUUAAUUAUGGACUAAUUAUGCUCAAAAGAUUCGUCUCACGAUUUCUUACAUAACUGUGCAAUUAGUUUUUCGUUAUAUCUAUAUUUAAUGCUCUAUUUAGGUGUCUAAAGAUUCAAUGAGAUGUUUUUGGAUAAAAAAAUUUGACAACUAAACAGGCCUCUCUUUUCAGCGCGUCUGACAGAGCUCCACUCUGAUCUUUCUUUAUUUCGUGCUUUAAUAUUCAUUUUUUAAAACGAAAAGAACUUCUGCCUUUAAUGUUCUCUCCGAGAUAAUUUAUCGACUCAUUUUGCAGAUCAAUAGGUCUAGAACUGUGAAAUGUGAACUGCUCAGAUGAAGAUUGAAGCACAACGGGAGAUACUUGUCCAUAUAAUCAGGUGAAAUAUUUUCCACUGAAGCUGUAUUUACUAUAGUUUCUUUUCCAUGCCCGACAACAAUUUACCAUGUAAAUCAUUUACUGGCAAAGUGGAGAGAAAAAAUGAUGACACCCACACAAAUAUGAGUCUAUGCGUACAGUUGUGAUCAUGUAAAAAGGCUUUACCUUUAGCAUACAAAUUUAUCCUGAAUAUCGUUUACCAAACUGAGACGUCGAUUUCGAAAUCGACAAGCCAUCGCUGCCUUUCUCCUCCAUCAAAAGUGCCCAAGUGUUUCGCAAUUAUCCUCAGCGUAGAAAGCUUAAGCUUUUAUGUACCUAUCUAACUCCCUGGUCCCCGCUGACUCUUGCACCUGGUGCCUCUCUCAAGCCAUGGCAAGUUGCACCCCCUGUCACGCCCAGAAAUUUACACUAAAUUUCUGAACAAUAGCAUGUAUUAAAUCUCGAUCCAGAAAUCAGUCCGAGUACACACUAUGAUAAAUUAAUACACAGUUUCACGACUUAAAAACAAACAAAAACAUAUUUAUCGAAAUACAGCGGAAAAGAAAAACAAACUAAACCAUCUAAUCUUCAGCUUCAGCUGGCGACGACGGCUCCGCACCAUAGGCAUUCUCGACGGCGGACUGAAUCUCACUUCAACCUUGCGGACGACUUUCUGACUGAAACUCUGGCACUUGCUCUGGUGGGGAAUUAAACAAGGUUGAGUACAAACCACCGUACUCAACAAGUAACACCCAAGAGCUGGGGGAAUAAUGAAUGCAAUAUGAUAUAAGGAUAGGCUAAGGUUAAAUUACACAAAGCUGCAGUAAUUUAGCAAAACAGUAGAUAAGAUAGACUGAAAUAAAAGUAAAGUAACAUUUAAAAUAAUCAUCCACUGUCCAACGUUACAUCACGUUGCAACAGGCCCGAACCACUGUCAAGUGUUACACCACACUACAACAGGGUCAACCCUCUGUCCAACGUUAAACCACGUUGCGACAGACCCAAACCACUGCCAACGUUACACCACGUUGCGCAGGGUCAAACCAGUUCCAAGAUUAAUAAAAUUAUUAAAGGGGUUCAACUAAUCCCAGUGAGUCUGUCAGUUCGCCCANNNNNNNNNNNNNNNNNNNNNNNNNNNNNNNNNNNNNNNNNNNNNNNNNNNNNNNNNNNNNNNNNNNNNNNNNNNNNNNNNNNNNNNNNNNNNNNNNNNNNNNNNNNNNNNNNNNNNNNNNNNNNNNNNNNNNNNNNNNNNNNNNNNNNNNNNNNNNNNNNNNNNNNNNNNNNNNNNNNNNNNNNNNNNNNNNNNNNNNNNNNNNNNNNNNNNNNNNNNNNNNNNNNNNNNNNNNNNNNNNNNNNNNNNNNNNNNNNNNNNNNNNNNNNNNNNNNNNNNNNNNNNNNNGGUACAUCGAAUAGGGACAAGCUAGAUUAUGAGUCUCACCGUUGCCCAUUCUGGCUUGUGGUUAGUACGUGUAAGACUUUUAGUGUUUUCUGAGAACCGGUUCUUAAUUGCCAUGGGCACGAAUCUCAAAACCAUGCACCCACAGCCCACCAUAAGUAAUAUUUUAGUUGUAUUAAUCUACAUCGGGAGAUUAACCAUGAUCAAAACCAUUAAAGGUCUAUCAAAGUCUAAUCAAUAAUUAAAUGAUAAUUGGUGAGCUAGUUGAAUUAAGCAUGGCUAAGCAUUGCCUAAGCCUAUUUCUAGUCAAAUUAACCCUGGGAUGUCAAUAAUAAAGAGUGGGAAUCAACGGAUAUAUUGUUAAAUGCCCAAUAGGUAAAUAAAGUAAAUAGAUUUGCAUAAAACAAUGCAGAAUUGAAUGUAAAGCGGGGAAUUUUAUAAACAUGGGAUCAAUAUGUUCAAAGAAGGCUGCCACUUGCCUUGCUUAGACCCACGAGGAACUUCGACGACGACUUUGAGAACAAACAGCGCUUCAACGGGGUCAAAACCUACGACAAACAAGGCAAAACAAACGAAACAUGCUAUAAAACUACUGAAACAGAGAAAGAAACUAUUUUUAAUGGAUUCUUGGCAUUUUUCUGGAUUUACGAAAACUUGAAUGGACCUAAACGGAGACUAGAUGAAUUACUUAUGAAUUUUAGAAGUUUUCUGGGUUUUUUUAACUAAACAGAAAAGUCCUAAAUCAAUUAUUGCGCAAUUAAUGGGGCUGCUGACGUCAGCGGAGGGGAGGUGGCAUACGGCUGACAGGUGGGGACCACCUGUCGGUGAGAGAGAGGGGGAGGUGGGCGGCUGACACGCGGGCCCGGGGAGGAGAGAGAGGAAGGGAGGGNNNNNNNNNNNNNNNNNNNNNNNNNNNNNNNNNNNNNNNNNNNNNNNNNNNNNNNNNNNNNNNNNNNNNNNNNNNNNNNNNNNNNNNNNNNNNNNNNNNNNNNNNNNNNNNNNNNNNNNNNNNNNNNNNNNNNNNNNNNNNNNNNNNNNNNNNNNNNNNNNNNNNNNNNNNNNNNNNNNNNNNNNNNNNNNNNNNNNNNNNNNNNNNNNNNNNNNNNNNNNNNNNNNNNNNNNNNNNNNNNNNNNNNNNNNNNNNNNNNNNNNNNNNNNNNNNNNNNNNNNNNNNNNNNNNNNNNNNNNNNNNNNNNNNNNNNNNNNNNNNNNNNNNNNNNNNNNNNNNNNNNNNNNNNNNNNNNNNNNNNNNNNNNNNNNNNNNNNNNNNNNNNNNNNNNNNNNNNNNNNNNNNNNNNNNNNNNNNNNNNNNNNNNNNNNNNNNNNNNNNNNNNNNNNNNNNNNNNNNNNNNNNNNNNNNNNNNNNNNNNNNNNNNNNNNNNNNNNNNNNNNNNNNNNNNNNNNNNNNNNNNNNNNNNNNNNNNNNNNNNNNNNNNNNNNNNNNNNNNNNNNNNNNNNNNNNNNNNNNNNNNNNNNNNNNNNNNNNNNNNNNNNNNNNNNNNNNNNNNNNNNNNNNNNNNNNNNNNNNNNNNNNNNNNNNNNNNNNNNNNNNNNNNNNNNNNNNNNNNNNNNNNNNNNNNNNNNNNNNNNNNNNNNNNNNNNNNNNNNNNNNNNNNNNNNNNNNNNNNNNNNNNNNNNNNNNNNNNNNNNNNNNNNNNNNNNNNNNNNNNNNNNNNNNNNNNNNNNNNNNNNNNNNNNNNNNNNNNNNNNNNNNNNNNNNNNNNNNNNNNNNNNNNNNNNNNNNNNNNNNNNNNNNNNNNNNNNNNNNNNNNNNNNNNNNNNNNNNNNNNNNNNNNNNNNNNNNNNNNNNNNNNNNNNNNNNNNNNNNNNNNNNNNNNNNNNNNNNNNNNNNNNNNNNNNNNNNNNNNNNNNNNNNNNNNNNNNNNNNNNNNNNNNNNNNNNNNNNNNNNNNNNNNNNNNNNNNNNNNNNNNNNNNNNNNNNNNNNNNNNNNNNNNNNNNNNNNNNNNNNNNNNNNNNNNNNNNNNNNNNNNNNNNNNNNNNNNNNNNNNNNNNNNNNNNNNNNNNNNNNNNNNNNNNNNNNNNNNNNNNNNNNNNNNNNNNNNNNNNNNNNNNNNNNNNNNNNNNNNNNNNNNNAAAGGAAAAAGAAAAAGAGAGAGGAGGAAAAUUGGACUUCGGCCCAAUUUGAGGAGGAAGGGAAAAAGAUAGAAAAAAGAGGGGAAAAAGGAAAGCCCCACUUUUGCCGAAUUUUAAAUUAAUUUGUUUGGACAAAUUUUAUAGUUUGCAAUUGAAGUUUAAAUCCUGUUAAUCGAUUUGCGAAACUCGAUUUAAUUAAAUUAAUUUCUUUAGAGAAAUUUUUCCUGAGUUAAUUAAGCCAAUUAUUAUUUACGGAUUUAUUUUACGAAUUUAGGCUUGGGAUAAAACUCCGAGCGUGACACCCCCAUGGUGUCUUAGGGCAUGGACAUUGUCAUCGAUCGCCAUUGAUGAACACCUUUGGCCCACCCCCCUCGCAUGCAUUUCCAAGGAACAACUUGCAUUUGCCAUGGUCCAUGGCGACUACUUUUGACAUGAUGACACAGAAGCAGAGAGAUGUAUCUGGGGUGUUGACUAUCUCCAUUAAAUCUUUACCAGAAUCCUUAAAGGCAGGAGGGGGCAAGAUCCAUAUAUCUUGAUCUGGAAGCAGAAAUGGUAGGAUCAUCAUGCGUUGUAGUCGGAGGCGGCAAUGGAAGCAUUGUCAACUCAGAGAUUCUCACAUACCCCAGCAAGGGCAGGUACUGUGCAGUGAGAUUGUGCAUCCGCCAUGGAUGGUGACCCUACCUAGCUACACUGAAAUUAGCAACUAAAAACCAAGACGAUGGAUUAGUGAUAUGCCUAACAGUGGGAGAGGACCCCGUGUUUAGCUGGCAACCAAAUCCUGAUCUCUUCCAUGAGCAAGUUCAAUAUUAUAGCCAAUGGCUCGCUAAAAAUUAUCUGUAGCCACUUAAUAGUCAAUUCAUAUAAUAGUCAUAUACUAUACAAUUAAUAUCUGGUCCCACCUAUCAUACACACAUGUGUCUUGAAGUCCGUAUUGCAGCUGGAUAUAAAUCUAUAGUCUGCUGUUUUUUUCUCUUCUCUCUUACCACCUUAAAAUAUGUUUAUAACUGGCUUAUAGUAUAAUAUUGCGCCUGCUCUUACUUUCUGUCUGCAGGUGCAGGCCUGCAAUCUCCACCAUAUUCUGUAUAGUCUAAUCUAUCAGCGGCACAGGCUAAGCUUGCGUGCAUUGUUUGUCUUUUUGCUCGAAUAUAGAUGAGAUGAGCGAAAACGGUAGGUGGUGAAACACAUCAUUCCAUCAAAAGAUAAAAUGAUAAAUCAAGAUUGCAUUUCAAUGUGUUUCAGUGGUCCUAUUGGGUUUACAUCUCUAUGUAACUUAGUCUUGUCUAAGAGUGUUUAAUAAGCUAGUUGGGUGAUGACAACAAAAAUAUGUUGUAGUUUCAGAAACUGAAUAAACCAUGUAUUUCUUAUGGCUAAUAAUUUUCACAUUAUCCAAUAGUACUCCCUCCGUACGAAAAUAUUUGACGUUGGCUAGUUCAACGUCAAAUAAAAAUGUUGGGAGGGAGUAUUAUUUAUAUUCAGAAUGACUGAGUUGACAAAUCUUUUUUAUGGAUGAAAAUCAUCACCACAUCUUAUAUUGUUUAGGAACAUCUGCAUCUAUGCCUCUGUGCCACUAGAACCUACCCAGGACUAGCUCUAUAGCCACUUGUAAAACUACCACCAUUAAACUUGGGAGAUUCAAGAACAUAUUCUGGAUCAGUGUCAUAUUUUUUUGAUUGGCAUUCUCAAAAAAGUUGGCGAAAAUGCGCUAAUUAUCACCGUCCAUGUAACGUAUAAAUUGCGCAACUUGCGUAUCAGGGAAGGGGAUUGCUGGCCAGGCCAGUUCUUGUGGAGGGGCAAACGUUUGGAUAUCUGGAGGGCCCUGAGCUGCACUAUGCAUGAUCCUCACCAGCCACCAUAUGGUCAGCUUAUUCAGACUGAACUGAUGAUCUCAAAUAAGCCCUAUUUUGGCACAUUCCUAUUAGCUGUUUGGGUUGACCUCUUUCAGGCCUCAGCUCACUCUCUCUAUGGUCACUAUCACCCUGCCUUCGGUCGCGUUCGGCCAAGAGGGUCUACGUAAACUUAUAUGUGGCACGGAAAAUAUAAUAAUAGAUUAGUAGAUUAAUUAAUUAUAAAUUACUAAAAAAUAUAACAUAGAUUAAUAUGAUUUUUUAAACAACUUUUCUAUAAUUUUUUUUACAAAAAAUACAUCGUGUAAACGUUUGGAAAGCGUGCGUGUGAAAAACAAGACCGAUAAGUUACCUUAUGGUGGGAGGGGGGGAGAAAGCGACUGAUGGAUGAAGAGAUGUACUGACAACACUGUACACGUAUAAAGCCUAGAUUCACUUGCACUAGUAUCGUCCUUGAAAAAAAAUACCGGGAGUUACUUUUUAAAGAAAAUUGUUCUUCGCUUAAUUGAUAGGAGUAAAUUACACCUUUAAGUCAGUGUACUUUGUUCCACUCUGCACCAUAUGUUCACAUAAAUACAAAUUUUACGGUUCUUUAAAAAAGUAACCAAAGAUACUAAAAUUUUAAGAUAAGAUUAUGGUACAUCAACAUAUCCAGUACAUGGAAGUACCAAGUUGUUAUACUAGAAAAUACGGUUACGUUAUCGAGGACGAUAAAAUAACUCCCAAGAGGACGAUAAAAAAACUCCCAAAUAAAACUCUAAAACUCACAUUGCAGUUUGCACCAGGCCGGGCCGUGAAAUUGUAGUGAACCUUGUGAAUGAGCAAAACCUUACGAGACCUGUGAAUUUCGACCAUGUUUCACGGGGUCCCAUGUAGGUUGCAUGAUGUACCCUAGUGCUGGAAUUUAUCUUGCCUCGAUGCAAAAAUGAAAGAGGUGGUAAAUUCGGUGCAAAGUGAAAUAGUGUUUAAUGUACCUGUGCGAUAAACAAGAUGGUCUGCAUGAUACGUGUAAAUCAUAUGCAACUUUCAAUGGUUCCUGUUCGUUUCUCUCCACAAAAUUGCACAGGAAUCAUGAUAUGCAAACAAUUGUCCUCUGAUGAAGAAUGUCGAGCUAGCAUGGUUUCAGUCCAGCUAGACCAACGAUGAUGUUUCUUUUGUUUUUUCUAGAUUAUAUAGAAAACGCAUAUUAGCAUAUAUGUACACAACACUACAGGUACACGCACGUUCAAAGGGAGAUACACCUAUCAUAAAUAAAUACAUGGCCUUAUUAAAUUUCAAUCAAAAGCUGAUCUGUAUAUGUGCAAUUGUGGCUACUAGGAUUCUGAUGGUUAUAUUCUUUGAUCCGACCAAAUUGUGGCCUUAUUAAAUUUAAAUCCCAAAGAUCGUUAAUUUCUUUGAUCCGACCAAGAUUUGCACCGUUGUUUGGGUAAGCACAAAUCUCAAAUUAAACUGAAAAUUAAAUACCUGAACUUGCAGUGCGACAGAUUAAGUUUUUCAGAAAUUGCAGCUUGUUAUGUGCAUAUUCUGAGUUAAUGACAGAGCAUCAUGAACACAAACGACUGUCAUGCUUUUACUUUCGUAAUGAAAUACAAGGCUCCAGAGAUUCCAGAUACCAUACAAAAAUUACAUCACCAAAAUAUUAAGUGGACAGAAACAAAAAGAGAAUAAACAUAUCAAGAAAUCACCCAGAGCUUGACAUGUAAAUUGCAACAAUUCCGUAGUGAAAACAAGAAUAUGCCACGUAGGCAAAAAGACAAACCAUUCACGAACUAUGGCACUUGUACUGACCUAUACUACGUACAUCCAAGAUGCAUCACGUACGUAGUCUAUACAAUGAUGUACUACACAGCACCACGGCCUACUUACGUAUACGUAUGUAUACGAUCACUCUAGCUAGCUAGCUACCAAACCGUACAUACAUACAUGUAUAUAUACGUGCUUAAUUAAUUUAACACUAAAUAUAUUAUUAUGGGGGGCUACGCGUAGAUGGCGUAGCGCAUGCUCUCCCGCACCAUGAGGUGGCUGACCUCGUCGGCGCGCGGCCGCCACCCGCUGGCCGCCCACGCCUCCUCCGUCGCGCCGCCGCCGUCCUCGCCGUCGAAGCGGAUGGUGNNNNNNNNNNNNNNNNNNNNNNNNNNNNNNNNNNNNNNNNNNNNNNNNNNNNNNNNNNNNNNNNNNNNNNNNNNNNNNNNNNNNNNNNNNNNNNNNNNNNNNNNNNNNNNNNNNNNNNNNNNNNNNNNNNNNNNNNNNNNNNNNNNNNNNNNNNNNNNNNNNNNNNNNNNNNNNNNNNNNNNNNNNNNNNNNNNNNNNNNNNNNNNNNNNNNNNNNNNNNNNNNNNNNNNNNNNNNNNNNNNNNNNNNNNNNNNNNNNNNNNNNNNNNNNNNNNNNNNNNNNNNNNNNNNNNNNNNNNNNNNNNNNNNNNNNNNNNNNNNNNNNNNNNNNNNNNNNNNNNNNNNCGCUCGCCACGUCCUACUCACGCAGCUCGCGCCGCCACCACCACCACCUCCCGGCAGCGGCAACCACCUCCCAUCUUGCUUUGGCUUCUCGCUCCUUGCAGCCUCCACCACGACAUCGACCGAUCGAUCACUUCACUUCACACCACGCACGAGACACGGCUGCUGGGAGAAUGAAUUAAGACGCGACAUGGAACGGAAGCACAUGGGAGUAUAUAUGCUAGCUAGCUAGCUGGAGAAGGAGACAAACAGAAGAGAGCUGAGCGACGAUGGAGCUAGCUAGCUAGGUAGAAGAAGGUGGAGGUGGAGGGGGUGGGGGUGGUGGUGGUGGUGGUGGGGAGAGGGGAGCACUGGGAGUAGGAAGGAGAGAGCGCUAGCUAGUGGGGAGGGGAUUCCGGUCGCCAGCUCGCCCCUGUACGUACUACUUCUGUGGUGUGGUGGUGGUGUAACGUACACGUUAGGCCCUGAUUAGUUACCAAAAUUUUUCUAAAAUAUCAUAUCGGAUCUCUGGACACACACUUGAAUAGAGUAUUAAAUAUAGAUGAAAUAAAAAAUUAAUUACACAGUUACGAAUCUUUUGAGUCUAAUUAGUCUACGAUUAGCCAUAUGUGCUAUAUUAACCAACAUGCGCUAAUGACAGAUUAAUUAGGCUCAAAAGGUUCGUCUCGCGGUUUCUGGGCAAGACGUGAAAUUCGUUUUUUCAUUCGUGUUCGAAAACCCUUUUCAUUUUCUCAACUAAACAUCCCCUUAGUUGUACUGGCUCUAGUUUAAUAAUUCUUAUUGUUUUAGAUAAAUAUGGUGUUAAAAUUUUAAAGUUUAACUUAUUAAUAACUUUUAAAAUAUUUAAAUUUAAGAUAGUACGAUAAAGAUAAGUCUUAAAAAUACAAUAAUAAGAGUAAAUAUUUUCUUUCUUUCUUAUAUAUAUUUUGAUAAAAAUUUAUAGCCAAAGAUAAGUUAAGGACCACAUUAUUGAAUAAAAUGAUAAGAAUUAAUAAACUGUAAGGAGCUUUUGUUCUUGAGGUUUGUUUCGGUUAAAAAAAUUACCUCGAGGUAUCAAAUCAUUUUUGAUUGUUGGAUCUAAUUAUGUACAUCUGAAAUCCUAUUCAGAUGGAUCCAAUGAUAGAAAAUAAUUUGGUAUCUCGAGAUACAGGUACAUUAAGAUAUUUUUUAUUAGACCGGAGCAAAUUUUUGUUCCUUAUCUUUUACCCGUGCGAUGAGGAAGACGUAGGUACGCGGAUGACAAUUACCUGCCGAAUUAAUUAAUUCUCUCUCUCAAAAAAAAAUUAACGCUCCAGAUGAUUCUUUCAUAUAUGCGUAUGUAAUAUAUAAGUUAGGUAGUAUUGUUUCCUCACGUCAUAUUCGAUCGCCCUAGGGUUCUUUUUUUUUUUCUUAACAUCGGUAUCGUUUUCGAAAUACAGUUCCAACAAUUCAUUUCUACUGUAAUAUUGAUACAUAAAUACAAUGUCCUUGUUAAUGUAGGUUUUUAAGAAAAAGUUGAGCACAAUAUCUUGGUUCUCUCGACGUUAAUUACGUUUUAGAGUAGAAAUAGAACCUAGCCGAUACACACACGCAUAAGAUUUGUAAUGGCUCAAUUUCUGUUCUAUAUACAGUGUAGCGUGGGGGAUCAGAACCAAUAUAGUCUUUAUUAAAAAUCACACUUUUGUAGUCGAUCGUACAAAGCUUUUUUUUUUAACCUGCUUUGAAUGAACUUCAUGCUUGACAUGCUUUUCUAGUGUAUCACACAUUCACACUUAGUGUAUCAUGCUUUAUCUGUUUCUCCUUAUUGCAUGCUUUGCUUAUUUCAUCUCAUGGGGUUAUUGCCCAUUUAUUAAUUAAAUUCUUACUGAGUUUUUUUUUAACUCAAACUUUAUGGCUAUGCUAUGUAUAGUUAACAUGUCAUUUAUUCAACCUGCACAGCUUAUUUAGUAAGCUUUGCAAUACAAGGAUCCGUAAUUCAGUACAUACGAAGUACAGCUUUAGUUUCCUUGUUUUUUCUAUUUUUAGAUUAAUCUAGAUGUAUUACUAUGCUUAUAUAAAAAAAAUCAUAAUUUCUAGUUUCAUGCCGGUACACCUACGCAUACUUUUUUUAAAAAAACUUUUAGGUUAGAAUAUUAUUUGCUCCACCACAAGAAAAAGAAAUACAUAAGUGUUAGCAGUUGAUAUUGAUCUAGUCUUUUUUGCGAUUGAUCUAGUGAUAAAAGGUUAUUUAUAUAACAAGAAAGGAAACCGCACCCACUUUUUGCUUCUGAUCAAUCUUAAAUUUAAAGAUUUUAGGGUCUUUUGACCAUGGUUUAUUUUCAUCAUUGACUUUUAGAUCGCUCAGAACACGUAUAUAAAAAUUUUAUUCAUAAAUUAUUUUUAUUUUAAAUAUGUCAUUUAGCUUUUUCCGAACACGUAUAUAAAAAUUUUAUUCAUAAAUUAUUUUUAUUUUAAAUAUGUCAUUUAGCUUUUUCCUUGAAAAGCUAAGCAAUCACCCCUUUGAUAAAUAGAUGACCUCAAGGGAAAUCCCUAGUCAAAUAGGAUAAUAUAAAGCCCUGCAUGGCAUGGCUUCAGCUAUGGAAUUAUUGCAGAAAAUUGAAAUUUUAUAAUAAAUUAAAGUAUUCUAAUUCUUUUUAAGACAAAUAUGAAUAAAAUAUGUUACCACAGUAAUCUUAAUCUAGCUUCAGUUGUAAUAAUUUGAUGAAGCUAGAGAUAUCCAACUAAAAAACUUGGAGUUAGAUGACCUUGAUCCAACAUUUUUUUUGCGUAUGAUAAAAGCCCCUAUAUUUUCGUUUCUGCUUAUGCAUGUAAGCCAAAUUUUAAAUUUUUAAUCUUAAAUUUAGAGUUAAUUUUAGGGGUUUUUUUUCGAAGUUUAUUUUCCAGUAUUGACUUUUAUGUUACUAAUAAUACAUACAUAAAAGUUUUAUCAACAUGGCGUGUCCUUUUUCUUUUUAUAUCUAUUUAACAUAUAUACCCACACUCAUAACCACACCACCUAUACAUAAUAUUAUACCCAUGCUCAUAGACUUGUCAACAUCCUUUACAAAUGCUUUUUUAUAAAUUAUAAUAACUAUGAUCCACAUCAAACUUAAAAACUUGGAGUCAUCGUCCUUAUGUUCCCUCCAACAAGAGUACACCUCUAAAAUUGAUGGGCACCAAUGCCCAUCUGGAUAACCAUCUUACCGUUUUACCAGUUCAUAAGUCCCAUACCACAUAAGGCAUGUCAAAAAGUAAAGCCCGGUAGGCUCUUAGGCAAUACACAUUUUUUAAGACUACACCCUUACCAUGGUUGAGAAAACAAAGCUCUAGCCAUUAAUUAAAUAUAUAAUUUGUUUAUCACUAUUAUUUUUUCCUUCGCUCAUGUGCGACAUUUUCAUUUUUAUAAAGAGUAAGAGUCGUUGUUAAGGCCUUGUUAAGGUAGCAAGAAUAGUUGUCUCUCCUCUCCUCUCUUCUAUAUUAACACAUAUUCCUAAUUAGCAAGGCUAAAAGUCCCCUCACCAUUGUAUAUGUAUGUAGGAUCUAGGGGGUGAAUGGUAAGUAUAUCAAAACACAAAUUUUUUAGCGAAAAUAAAAUAUUACCUUUACAAAAAGCUUUCACAAAACCUCCGGUCCCACUGCGUUUAUACCACCAGUCAGACCGACAUUAUGUCACCGGUCAGACCAGCCCCUUGCCUGCGGUUGGACCAUUGGGAUCAUGUAAAAAUGCUGAUCGACAACACUUGAAGAUGUAGAUUGAAUCUCUCGACUUUUAUUAAUCAACUAGUGUUUACAAAGUACACAAACAACACUCCCAACAAAGUGUACAAAGUCCGAGACCAAGCUAUCUCCAACUUGACUUAUUGUUAGCAAAACAACAGUACCCAUACAUAUAGAAACCAUCUAGAAGUCAAAUCCACGAAAAACAAAUCCGAAGCCGAAAAUAUCCUCGAAAACUGAAACUGUCAGUCAGCUCUGUUGGUCUGACCACCCAUACAUGUGGUCUGACCGCAUACGUCUUAAUAGUCUAACUGCCUAUAUACAUACGAUCUAACCGUCCAAUCAAUUUAUCUCAAAAACACUUGGUCAUCGUAAACCAUUAAUUGUUCAUCAUCAAAACUUAAUGAUCACUCCUUGAUUUUACGAUGUGUAUUGAGUGGUUCAUACCAUAGUUCUUAUUGUGUCACUCGCCACUAUACAUGGACUAUAUUUAUCUACAUAAAAAUAGCACGACAUGUUUCUUCGAUAUACCCAUUUUUUUCUACCGGGUUUCUGGUAUCUCAAUAUUGUUUUAAGUUGGCCACACACACAUAAUCCGUUGCACUAUCAACAGAGGCCACGAGAUUUCAGUAGCAUCUAGAUUUUAUUCCAAGCUAGCUAGGGAGGAGAUCAUGUCAAGCCUGUGCACGACUCGUUGUCGAUUUGCCGAUGGCCGGGGCCUCGAUCACCAUCUUAUCUCGUGUUAGGUAGGGAGUAUUCAGGUGUUGACUCAUGAAAAGAAAGGAGGGCCAGGCCGACAUAUUUCCGCUGUUUUUAACUGCCUCGUUCGGUUCAGAAAGUUUUUUUUAAAAAUAUCACAUCAAUUUUUAGACAUCUAAAUAGAGCAUUAAAUAUUUAAAAAUAAAAACUAAUAAUACAGUUAUGGAAAAAAAUCGUAAGACGAAUCUUUUGAGCCUAAUUAAUGUAUGAUUACCUAUAAGUGUUACAAUGACCCACAUGUGCUAAUGAUGAAUUAAUUAGACUCAAAACAUUUGUCUCGUAGUUUCUUGGUGGGAUCUGUAAUUUAUUUUAUAGUUAGACUAUAUUUAAUACUUUAAAUGUGUAUCUGUAUAUCUGAUACGAUGUUUUUGAAAAAAAAUUUGUAAACUAAACGGCCCGUCGUCGAUCCCCUUAUCGUUUUGUCCUCAAGGGGAUCCCAUUUUGCUUGGAUGAAUGCAUGCAUCAGCUGAGCCAUUUAGCAGAGCAACCUGAAUCAGCUGAUACACAUGAAUAAGGCCUUGCUUAGUUUGUAAAUUCUUUUUACAAAAACAUCACAUCAAAAUUUUAAACACAUAUUUGAAGUAUUAAACGUAGUCUAAUUACAAAAUAAAUUUCAGAUUUCGUCUGAAAACCACGAGACAAAUCUUUUGAGUCUAAUUAAAACGUCAUUAGCACAUGUUGGUUACUGUAUCACUUAUUGCUAAUCACGUCCUAAUUAGGCUCAAAAGAUUCGUCUCACUAUUUUCUCCAUAACUGUGUAAUUAGUCUUAAUGUUUAUAAGUAUAUUUAAUGUUUUAUUUAGAUGUCCAAAAAUUCGAUACGAUGUUUUUGGAAAAAGUUUUUAGGAACUAGAUAAGGCCUAAGAUGUAAGCAACUACACCGAGUGUUAGUAGGUGCAACGCUUCCAUCGUCCUUGUUGUUAGCAACCGCUAAGUUCUUUUUUUAGGAAUUGGGAAGCAUAUUACAGUGGUAAUACUCUUAUAGUUCUGGAGAAGGUAUAUAUGCCAAGAUAUUAUUUUCUCCGGUACCAAGAGCUUAGAGAUACCAAAGUUUUACAUUAAAAAUUUAGCAUCUUAGAAUACUUUUUUUGACACUAGUUCCAUUAAUUAAUACCAUAACGAGUAACUCCGUUAUAGACAAAGACCAUGCCAUAGACCCAAUGUUGUACCUAAUUAAUUAAACGACCAGCAUUUCCUAGAGUAUGGUUUACCAAAUUUUGGUCAUUCAUUAAUUUCUUGCACUACGAGCGGGGUACGUUUAGGAUAUAUCAGUAUUAAUUAUUGACUCCGCUUUCAUAAUAUCAGAGACAAGUAAAAUGAUUGGUCACCUUCACGUAAUCUCAUAGCCUGCGGACGCAGAUAGUUUGUUUGCCUUACACGAGUAGUGCUUGGAAUGAUCUCCAAGUGCAUAUACGAUAUGCAACUCAUUCUGCUGCCUGUCGUGCAAGUGCUGUUCAAGCUCAAGAGAUCGACGACAUCCACUGCAGGAAGUGACGGAUGCUGCCUUACACGAACACACCGAUCAUUGUUUGAUUUUUAUGGAAAAAACAAAUGACAUAUUUACAUACAAAAAAUAAUUUAUAAAUAAAAAUUUUUAUAUACAUAUUCUUAGCGGUAUAAAAUAAAAUGUUGAAAAAUAAACUACGAUGAAAAAAAACUCUAAAAUCAAUUUUAAAUUUAAGGUUAAAAGUUUUAAAUUUUAACUCAUAAGCAUAAAAAAAAUAAAAAAACGAGUCCAAAAGAUUUCGAGGAGUUUCCCAGAGACGAUCAUGGAUCCAUGGUGUGUAGAUCGAUCCACUCUAGGACGCAUAUGAUGAGAUAGAUUUUGCGUGACCCUUCCGUUGUCGUGGUGGUGCAGGCCGCUGUCUCAACUCUCAACCUGCAUACGCUAAGCUGUUGCAUGACUGAAACCUGUAGAUAACAACUGAUCAGGAGAUGUUACACCCACCAGAUCAGCUUAAUUGUGUGCAGGGUUGCUCGCGUACGUGGACACCGCAUUAUCACAACACUGUUGCACCCUUAUUUUUUCACUUCCGAUUACGCAUAUAAGCCAAACUUAAGUUUUAUGUUUUAAAUUUAAAGUUAAUUUUGAGUUUUUUCAUUUUAUUUUAUUUUCUAGUUUUUUUAGGUUGUUAAUAACAUGUAUAUAAUAAGUUUAUUUAUAAACUAUUUUUCAUUUAUAACCAUGGCCAGGGAGGCAGCGAUGGCUUUUUACUGCAUGGAUGGCUGACUCGAGGAGAACACAGGUCAAUCUGUUGACUCAGCCAUCAUCUUAGGAAAAAAACGAUUAAAAGUCUCAGUUAUACAUGUGCAUUUUGUGUAUUAAUUGCUACCAUAGAUUUCUUUACGCAGCACUAUCUCCUUGUAUUUAUCUAAGCUCCUAGGACGUGUUUGCCAGUUAUGUUGUUUACCCGCGUGAAAAACGUAAUAAUAAAUUAGUAUAUGAUUAACUAAUUAAUUAACUAUAAAGAAUUAGAAAAAUUGAGUAGUCUAAAUUUUAAUAAUAAUUUUUAUAUAUAAUAUUUUUAAAAAAUAUAUCGUUUAAGCGUACGCAUAAAAAAUAUGAGUUCUUAAUAGGGCAUUGCCGAACGCGCUGAUGCUUCGUUCUUUAUCCUCCCUCCCCCAAUUGCAAUUGAACAGGGCACAUGAGAAAUGCCAUGAAGGAACUUCCCCAAACUCACCACGGCUAAUAAUAUGAUUAGAAAUAAUUAAUCAAGAAAAUUUUAAUUGACUAGCAUGCCUGUUAUAGUCAACACCACAACCAAACAAACAGGGAGAACAGUAUAUCCCAGACAGCACUAAUUGUUUGUUUAAUUCGACAGAAAACAGAGACACACAAAAAGGUCAAAACACUUUGGCAGCAUGAAUGAAAAAGGAUGCAACUUUUUUCAGAUCGGAGGGAUUAAUGCAUGAAUGGAACAUUUACAUCCCUAUCUUUUAGCUUUUGCUUACGCUUGUAAGCUAAAAUUUAAAAUUUUAACCUUAAAUUUGAAGUUAAUUUUGGUUUUUUUCACCGUUUACUUUCUAGUCUUGACUUUUUAGGUCGUUAAGAAUAUGUAUACAAAAACUUUAUUUACAAAUUAUUUUUCGUUUGUAAAUAUGUCCUUUGUCAAUUAUCCCAUUAGUCUCUACCACUAAGAAAACAACGACAAACCUCCAGUUUCGUUUGAUAUAUACCGUUCUUAAAGCCAGGAUUCCCAAAAACUUUUUUUAAAAACAUCACAUUAAAUCUUUGGAUAUCUAAAUAAAUUAUUAAAUAUACAUGAUCAUUAAAACUAAUUACACAAUUAUUGAGAAAAUCAUGAGACGAAUCUUUUGAGCCUAUUUAGUACAUGAUUAGCCAUAAGUGCUAUAGUAACCAACAUAUGCUAAUGACAGAUUAAUUAGACUCAAAAGAUUCGUCUCGCGGUUUUCAGGUAAAAUCUAAAAUUUAUUUUGUAAUUAGACUACGUUUAAUCUUUCAAAUAUAUAACCGUACGCGUUGACGUGACCUCUCUCUCAAAAACUUUUUGGAACUGAACCGGCCUUAUUGUGAUAGAUCAGGAUGGAGAGAUGCAUGCAUUCCCACAAGCUAGCUAGAGCAUGCAUGCCCUAGAUGGAGCAAACAUGGCAGCAUUUGCCAGUAACCAAGAGCCAACUAGCUAGAAAGCUCUGGUCAAAAAUGGAAACCUAGUAAAGUAAUUAGUGAGGCAGGGCAUGCCUAAAUGCACUAAGUGUAAUGGUCCAUACACGCCUAAUUAUGUGAUCCACUACCUAAAGCGAACACCAACAUGGUAUAAUAUAUACCCCUCCAUGUUGAUGUAAAAGAAUGGAGAGAAAAAGAAUAUGCAUGUACUAGACAGUUCCUUCGAUUCAUUUUUAGUACAGUUAAUGCAGUAUAAUUAAGCAAAUGGUCAAUUAGUGUGCACGUUACUGUCGACCUAAGAUCAUAGUAAAAACACCGGACCGGCCAGCAGUUGAAUCGGAAAAAAUCGGAGCCGGCAACCUCGGUGACUUGGUUCCACUCAAAUACCGUCCCACAAGUGACCCCGUAAAAAUCGGUGAACCCGUCGAUUUUUUGGUGAACCCGCUAGUUUUACAGUGAACCAACCAGUUUUUAGAAUCAGACCGGGUUUUAAAUUUGUUCUAUGGCAGUAUUGUAUUACGAAUUUAUUAGAUUACCCUGCUAUAAUUAUUUUUUUAAUAGUGUAACCAUAUAUUGGUUUAUUUAUAUGUAUUUUUAUUGGUUGUAUAUUAAAAGCAAUAUAAAUUAAGUAUCAUAUAAAUAAAUAAAUAAAUAACCAUCGGUUCGACCAAUGACCCCAUUGUUCGACGCUGAACUGAUGGCUGAGAGCGGAUCAACCUCCGGUCCGGUUUUUUAACUAUGCCUGAGAGUACUGGGUUGGUGAUCGAAAUUUGGUAAUGUCUAUCCUAACUUUGUGACUGUGAAAUGCUUUUAUGCCAUUUUAUUUGUCUUUUCCCCUCUUCUGCUUUAAUUUGUUUUGUGGCUACGAACGAAUGUUACAUACAUAACAUGCAGUUUGGCCCCCGGAUUAGUUGAGAAGAGUUGUUGUCUUAUUCUUCUUUUAUCUUUUUCUUCUUUCUGAUCUUCUCCUGUCUAUGAUGCCAUUUUGGUUGUGGAGUGUGGGCCCAUGGAACAUUUUUCCUCUACCAAAAGGUUGAUUGAGUAUUUCAGAGCUUUCAUGAGAACAAGCUAGAUUUACGUACAUGUGUGCUCUCGUCGGCAGUGAAUUUAGGAGACAAUUGCAAAUCUUUCCCGAAUCAUUAUCCUAAAAUUACAACUAAAAAUACAAAAAAUGCUAUCAAAAUUUCCGUUUUAGUAGCAUCCUUGCAAUAUAAAAAAAUUACAAAUUGUAAAAAUCCUAUUUAAUGACAAAUUGUAAAAUCCUAUUUAGGAUACAUAAACUGGACUACAAGAAUACAAUUUAGUACUAUAUACCCAUUUUUUUUAAAAAAAGAAAGCAUAUCAAGUUUUCAACAAAAUUCUACUGCCCCCAUUUUGAACACCGGUUAGUUCAAUUUUAAACUAACCAAAAUAUUACGUUUGCACAUGAAAGGAGUGUUACAUAAUAUCCCCAGGUGCCAUCGCAUGAAUAAUGUUCUUCAUGGAUAUUUUUUUCACCCCAAAAUAUCUAGUUUUCCAUGCAUAUCUUAACUUGAAAUUAUUUGGGCAGGGAUUCAAAACAUGAAACUGAUUUGAAUUUUUUGUUGACAGUUUUUGCACUGACAAUGUAUUCUUUUUAAAUUUACUCCAUGUAAUCCGCACUCAUAAACAAUAGAAAUACAGAUUAACAAACCAUGCAUAUAGAUCAGAAAUUCAGAAGUAAAAGAGAAUCCUUCUAAACAGUUAAACAGUUAAAUUGCAAUUAAUGAAAUUGCUGUUCCCAAAUCCAAAUGCGGAGCGGUCACAUCUCAGGUUUAACAUCUUCCGGCAUAAUGAUAAUCCCCACUUCAAUCUGAACACAUACAAGCCCAUCCUUUUGGCUACGACAUAUUUGCAAAAAAAAAAAUUUAUGAAUAAAACUUUUAUACAUAUGCUCUUUCCAAUUUAAAAACAAAUGCUAGAAAAUAAAUUAUGAUAAACCCCUCUAAAAUUAACUCUAAAUUUAAGACGAUAAUUUAAAUUUUGGCUCAUAUGAAUAAGCAGAAAGAAAAGGGUAGGACCCAGACAUGAUCCACAAUAUAUUCAGAUAAGCACAAUGCACCGUGUGUUCCCGCUAACAAUUGCCGCUUUAACCCGGUCGAUCUUAUUAAAUCUGAUUAAUUAGUCUGAUCGAUCUCUCGUUCGAGCUGGCCCCAUGGCGGGCAUCGUGCAUGCAUCUAUCUCUUUCGUUGUCUCCUGCUCGAUCCAUCCAUCGAUCUACCUGCCUUGAUACGAUUCUCAUAUCCACGAAGAUUAGACGCUCCAAUCCGGUUUACUUACUUCGCUGCCAAUUAAACUAUGGUCUAAUCCAAUCUAAUCUAAUCUAAAAAAAGCCAAGAGCAUUCGAGCCACGUAUCGAGCAUUCGAGCCGCCAUGGGAGAAGCUGAUCGAGCUAGCUCGGCCGUCAGUUCAUGGCGUACACGGCGGCGUCCUUCUCGAUGCCGCUCGGUAGCUGCUCUGUUGGAUAGAUGUGAUCGGCUGCAUCGAUCACCUGAUCUGCUGUCCGAUCCGAUUCUUGAAUGAUAAAUAAUAUUGUUGCUCCUAAUUGCACCGUCGUUGUUGUUGUUGUUAAUCUGUGCAUGCGAUUGCGUAGGGGCUUGGGGAUCAGAUCGAACAGGAGGAAUCUGAUUUGUUUUUGCUGCUUUGAUCUUUGCUUUUGAAGGGCCCUUUUUAGGCAGGAUUUGUUAGGCGUGCUUCUCUUCUGGAUGUCUGUACUGAACGACUCAGGGUUCACAGCCCCCCCCCCCCUCGUCUUUUUUGUUUUUCUUAUUUUUUAUAAGCCAAAAUUUAAAUUUUUGCCUUAAAUUUAAAGCUGAUUUUAGGUUUUUUAUUAAACUUUAUUUUCUAACCUUACUUUUAGGAUCGCUAAGAAUACAUAUAUAAAAAUUCUCAAACUAUAUUUUUUUUCAAAUAUACGGUUUGGAACUAUCACCACCUGUCCAAUGCAUGCUAUGUGAUUGCCUAAAAGUUCAGUAGAUUCAUUUUCCCUUGAUUAAGUCAAUUGAUGAGCCAUAUUGAGCCCACCGCAGCCUAACUAAGAAAAUUACUCAAAACUGGUUACUUAUUUUUGAACGAUUUUUCAAUACCAAAUUACUAUUCCCUCCAAGUUUUUUUAAUUGACGCAAUUAACUUUUUAAUUUAUGUUUGACCUUUCAUCUUAUUUAAAAAAAUUAUUUAAAUAUAUAAAAUUAUAAAUUAUGCUUAAAGUUACUUUAGUAAUAAAUCAACUCAUAACAAAAUAAUCAAUAAUUAUAUAAAUUUUUUGAAUAAGACGAAGAGUCAGAUAUAGAUAAAAAAGUCAAUGACAUCAAUUAAAAAAAAAUCAGAGGGAGUACUUAUUUGGAGUAGAGGGAACACUAGUUAAUUUGUCCGGAUUUUUUUGAGUUAUUGCUGAAUUUAUCAUUUUGUAGGUAUAAUUGGUUGGGUACUAAUAACAGUAUAAUUUGCGUUUAAAAUCACCAAAACCGAACAACCAACCAACCAAAUUUAUUUAUUUCGUGAACAUCAAAUUUGCGUAUAAUUUCAGCCCAUUAGCAAAUAUUAUGGCCUGGACUGGGCCUGGAAAAACUAAAUUGAUUAGCCCAUUAGCAGAGCCAACCCCAGCCGGGGCAUAUCUGAAAAAUUCUCGCCUUCUCUGAUUCUCUCGUGCCUGCGUCCACUUCGCUCGCGCAUUUCGCCGAACACCAUGGCUGCCGCCGCCGCCGCCGCCGCAUCCGACGAGGUCAAGCUUGGAUCCUUCCUUCAAUACCUUCAGGUGGUUACUUCCUCUUCGCCUCCAUGCCAGAUCCUCUUCUCCGCAGCCUGCCCAACGGCACCUACCGACGGCUUCGGCAUUUUCUUUUUUGCGCCGCCACCGAGACCACUUCCCAUCACCCCGACGCGAGUGCUGCGGGAACCCCCAACGUCGGCCCUGGCGUCUCGCACUGUUCGAGGUUCGGCUGCGUCAGUGACCGCCUCCUCGUCAGGCUCUUCGUCUCAAAGUAGCUUGGACCUGCUGUUGAAUGUUGACCAAUGCGCCGCGCGUGCAGGUGUCUGGAUAUGCUUCCGAUCGAGCACCUUGAGAGCACCCUUCAGUUCACCGAAGACGUGCUGGCCGAAUUGAAAGGGAACGACACCGAUGCAGUCUCAUCAGAUGCUUUCAGGUUUCAGCCUUUUAGUGAGUGAACUUGCUGAUGUUUCUAUUUUCAGAGGAAGCUGUUGCAAAUCUUAUUCGAUGGUAAGGACUAAGGAGCUCUUAAAUGCCAUCGAAUCAGGAAGGCUUAUGCUGAUUUUGCAUCGUUGUUCUUUUACUGCUAUGUUUCUUCACAAAGCACGUAUGCAUAGUUCAUAUCUUAGGUGGUGUUUAGUUGCUAAAAUUUUUUGGCAAAAACAUCACAUCGAACGUUUGACUGGAUAUCGGAAGGAGUUUUCGGACAUAAAUGAAAAAACGAAUUUCACGGCUGGCUUAGAAAACGCGAGACGAAUCUUUUGAGCCUAAUUAAUCCGUCAUUAGCACAUAUUGGUUACUGUAGCACUUAUGACUAAUCAUGGACUAAUUAGGCUCAAAAAUUCGUCUCAAGAUUUCUUUCAUAACUGUGCAAUUAGUUUUUUGAUUCAUCUAUGUUUAAUGCUUUAUUUAGGUGUCCAAAAAUUUGAUGUGAUGUUGUUGGAAAAAAAAAUUGAAAAUUAAACAAGGCCUUAGCGAAUGCGUUUCCACUUGAGUGUUUGUGGUACAUAAGUACAGUACAUGGGUUUGCCCUUCAAGCAAGAAUUUAUCGACCAGCUUCUCAUGUACAUUCUCUGACAUGACAGGCGAUUUGGGGCAUCGCACCGUUCUUUUAUAUGCGUUUUGAAUGCUAUCAUUGUUUCACUUGGUAGGAAUGUAGGAUUCAUGUUCUUUCUACUCUUUCUUUUACAGUGUUGAGUGUUCAGGGAUCAAUUCCUGGACAAGGUACAGCCUUACAGGAGCAGGGCAUCAACCACCCAGCCAGAGCCUCAGGAACCUGAAUUAUGCAAUGUUUGAUUCUUGGAGAAAACCGACAACUAUAGCUUGCUUCGAAGUUCGACAAAGGAGAUGAACUUCUGCAGAAAGCGCAAGUCUUCAUGCUUGGAAGCACGGCAAAGGUUCUGCCUUUGACAGUGGUAGCUGGCCAAAGGUAUCUUCCAAACGUGACAAAGAUCAUUCAGUACUUCCAUUUCAGUGCUGUAGUGUGUGGUGUUAUCCUUUAUGUUCGGUCAUCAUGAGGUAUUGCCCACUACUAGGUAUUUUUUUAUUCUAUUCCUUAUCAGAAUGAAGUGAUCGGUUUGUUUUUCGAAUCACCAGGGUGAAGUGCUAGGUCCUGAACAACUGUUCCUUGAUGCAAAGGUGAUUUUUCAAGUCAAACGGUAUAUUUGUAAACGUAAAAUAAUUUAUAAAUAAAAUUAUUAUAAAUGUAUUUUUAGUGAUCUAAAAAUCAAUGUUAGAAAAUAAACUUCAGUUUAAAAAAACAAAAUUAACUCUAAAUUUAAAAUUGAAAAUUCAAAUUUUAGCUUAUAAACAUAAAAGGAAAAGGAAAAGAUGGGGUGGCAGUCUACCUGCUGCCGUGGCCUGAUUACCGUCUCAUCCUGUUCAGUAACUCCCAGUAAUAACCAAUCCGAUUAAGAGUCUAGUAGAUUAGACGAACAGGACAUCUGCACAUGAUAAACAGAUCUCCAGUAUGGAAUAUUGGAAGUAAAUAGGAAACGAACUUGGUGUGAUUUUCAUUAUUACUUGAAAACUUGUAGAAUCAGACAGACAUCAGAUGCCAUUGUACAGUAAAUAUCUGAUAAAUAGUUAGCUCACACAAUGCCCUCAUUGACUCAUGCAAACCCAUAUACAUCAAGAUAAAUAGAAUCCCGAGCCUCCAGUAAGACAGAAUCAUGAACUGUAGCAAGCCUAUAUACACUCUCAGAAGAACACACUUGCAAACAAAGCCAUAUGCAAUUCUCUCCGCUACGUAAGCUUUGGCGACCCUCCCAAUUUCGGUGGAGUCAUAAGGCUUUUUGUCAGCCAUAUUGCCGUCUCUCUGGACGACACAGCUCCUUCCCCAAAUGGUCUGAGAACUCCAGCAAGCUCCUCAAGUCUGUCUUGCUUCAGCAGCUUGGCGCAAAGCUCGAGAAGAGACUCCAGUGCGUCAGCUCUCUGCUGUACUAUGUUCAGAUGAUCCCACUCGGCAGGCGUGCUGUCUGCAUGUGCCAAUUUCAUCGCGCUCUUUGGUGAUGAUUCUUCUGUAACGAUGGCAACAUCACCUGCACCUGGUUUUGGUCCUUGACAAGAGUGCGCUUUCACCUCCUUUCUUUGCUCUUGCACUACUCCAAUGGUCAGUUCCUCGUUUGGUAUUGGUGCCUCAUUAGGCUUCUGAAUCGCAUUGGUGACUGCAACAUCUACUAAGCUGCUGUUUCUUACAGCUUGAAGAAAUAUGGUCUCAUCAAUCUGUCGAUCAGUUGUCAUCAAACUCUCCUCUGUAUGUUGAAGCGAUAAAGCAUCGAUGUUUGGAUGUUCUUUGUUUCUAGCUUCAGGAUCCACAGAUACUUGUGAAAUGUAGGCAUCCUGGGUUCCAAUUGUUGAAACGUCUGAAAAGUAUGUGGAGCUGUCUCUUGUAUCCACAGCUUGCUCUGCUGCGGUUUCUAAUGCUUCCCUGGAUCCGUUGGUUUUGAUGAUUCGCUUUCUGCCACUUCCUGGCUUUCUUGACUGCUUGUCUCCCAGGUUACUUUUGGUGGGCUUCACUGGAAGGUAGAUUGGGGAGCAGCUGCAUGAUUCAGCAAGAUAAGGCUGGAAAUAUGGGUGCCUCAAUAGCUCUCCAGCCUGUAAAUUUUUCAGUUUAACUUUCAAUGUCAAGUGUUCUGUCGGUGCCUUUGAUUGGAACAGUGAAACUGAGUCUGUGGUACUUACAGUGGGUCUAUGUUCUGGAUUUUUCCUUAGCAUGCUCUUCACUAUCUGCUUCCUGCGAAACAAAGCAUCAUGUUUAACAAUAAAUUCUGAUUUAUAGUACUGGGCAAUCAUUAAAGAAUAAUAGUAUUGGUACUCACAGUGAUGAUGAAUAUAUUGGUGGCAUUGGAGAUAUUGAAGAUCUGUUUAUUUUGUUGACUAAUGAUGCCAUAUCCUUUGAAAACAAGAGGGGGUAAUUCAUGAAUUUCCAUGCUAUAUGUAAACAGUAAUGUAUCAUUUGAAUUGUGUAGAAGAGCUUACUGCAGCUUUGAAUGCAGGGCGGUGUGCUAAGAUCUCAAACAUACAGCAACCUGACAGUAAAAGAUGGAAAAGGAUUAUGCAGCUGUUUAAUUCUGUCUAGCAGAACAACAGAAAACGUGAAACUUACUCCAAAAGCUGUAGUACUGGGAACUCACCAAGUGACCAUACAUCAGAUUUGUAACCAUAAGGUAUAUCUGCUAGUAUUUCUGGGCACAUGUAGUUUGGGGUUCCCACAAUCUGAAAAACAUAGACGUUAAAUUCAUUAAGUGGAAAUGGGAUCUAUCAGUUCACUCACAUGUCCCGAGUAUUUUGAAUGGAGAUGGUAAGGAAGGGUCCUACUGUGCAUAUAUAGUUCUAGAAAUAAAUGAUGGAAAAGAAACAAAGCUGCUUGAAUUAUACUGAAAUGGCAUAACUUUUUUACAGAACAAUGUUCCUUUAUGCGACCAAAGAUUAUCAGCCAUAAAGAACUUAGUUAUGAAUUACUAUUCAAAAGCAAAAGGUUUUACAUGAAGGGUAUUUAUACAUGUGUAACUGUAUGUAGGUAACAUGAUAGUUGUGUUUCCUUUCAUCCUUUGCUAACUGGAAAUGUUUUGUGAGUUACAUUUACACAGCAUGAUAUCAUGGGUUUAAGCCAUACCGUUGAGGCAAGGUCCUCCAUGAGCAAUUUUGCUAGCCCAAAAUCAGCUGUUAUGAAGAAACAAUGGAUAUUCAGGUCACUAUACUAUCCAAGAAUGAGGACAAAUGCAGUCAUUUUCAUUUGUAAUAAAAUAUAUAUGUUCUUACCAAGCCGGAUGUUAUUAUCCUUUGUUAACAAAAUGUUUGAACACUGUAACACCACAGGAGUCAAGGACAUGUUAGGUAAUUGAUGAUACCUGAUGAAUGGACUUGUGGGUAGGGACAAUUUGCAUUUACCUUGAGGUCACGGUGGAGCACACGGUUGCAGUGCAGAUAGUCAAGGGCCAAGAGCAAUUGUGUGAACCAUCGGCACACCCUCUUCGAUCACAGCAAGUACCAAAGAAGCAGUAAGUUUCUGAUCCAUUUACGAUUUCUAUUGCUUAUUGACGCUGUAAUUAUCAGCAUUUCAUCUACUUACGGCGACUUAAUGUUCUUACCUCUUCAGAGAAAAGGACACCCCUUGCCUUCUUGAUCUUCUCAGCCCUGUGAUUUUGGUGUCAGUAACUUGAAACACUGGAUGGUAAAAUUUUAGGAGCAGUCGAAGUGUGAAAAUAUGGGAGCUUCUUACAUGUCACCUCCUUCACAGUAACUUGUCACAAUGCAGGCAGAGGUCCCCUGCAACCAUCAAAGAGAGAGGAGAGGUAAAAAAAAAAAGACUUAACCUUUCAUCUAAAGGAAUGCCAAAUUAUUCCCAGAACUGAAUUGAAGUGCAGAUUUUGUACCUCAUCAACCCAACCGUCCUUGUACUCGACGAUGUACGGGUUGCUGAGGCUCGCCAUCAGAGACAUCUGUGCAGCAAGAAAAAAGCAUCAAAAUCCAUCCAUCACUAAACCAUCUGUCCUCUCCUCCCAAGCAUUCAAUCAGGUACGAUACGACGACGAACUCCAGAAGGGGAAUAAUUUUUCAAUCCAUUUACUCAAACAAUUUUUUUUCCGUAAACCACAAAGCGAUUUUGCAAGCAACUGCAACACCAACAGCUCAGGGUGCAAAAACAUGCUGCAGCUCAAGCCGGGAAAUGAAUGAACAAAGGGUUCGGUCAGCUGCAGGCUAGCUUUACCUCCUGGUAGGCCGUGCGCUGGAACUUGUCGUUCUGCUUGGACAGCCGGAUCUUCUUCAUCACGUACCUGCACCACCACCAUGGAACAAGGAAGCAAGAGGGGGGAAUGGCAGACAGACAAGAAGCAUCAGGGAAGGCUGAAGGAAGAAACCAAGAAGAAGACGAGAGGGAGGAGCAGAGGAAGGCGGGGGGUGAGACCUCUUGCGCUCGCCCUUGUGGACGACGAGGUAGGCGGAGCCGUAGGCGCCCCGGCCGAUCUGCUCCACCACCUCGUACUGCUCCAUCGGUUCUUGGCACCGCCUCCCCUCCACCACAGGUACCUCCUCCUCCUCCUCCACCUCCUCCUCUGUUCGUUGCUUCUGUAGCUCAGUCAGCCAUUGUUGCUUGUGGCGGAGACUAUAUGAUGCUCUCUGCUCUCCCUCGCGGAGCUCGUGAUAAUACGCGCGUGUGGGAGUCUCUCUCUCUCUCUCUCUCUCUCUCUCUCUCUCUCUCUCUCUCUCUCUCUCUCUCUCUCUCUCUCCUGUCCAGGCGACGGAGACGGAGACGGAGACGGAGACCGAGACGAAGCACUGCUCUGUCUGCUGCGGUGGGGUGCGUCUCUCUGGGCUUCGCGUGUGCGCCGGUGUCGCUGUUGGCGCGUUUUAGCUCUGGCAUCUAAGAAAACAAAUUAGUUAAAAAAGAAUUAGAUGAUUUACAUACUAUUCUGUACUAUUGUAAAAAUAUAAUAGCGGCAACAAUUCUGUCUAGAACCCACCGCGCGUGGACCGAGCUGCUUCCCCUGAGAGUGCGUCCACCUGCGUUAACCAGGCCACCAUCGUCCGCGUCCACCUGGGCCGACCAGCCACGCGUGGCCCGCAGCUCCGGCAACUCAGCCCUUUCUCCGUUCUGUGAUAUGGGCCACGCUUGUUUGAAAAAAAUAUAUCAAAAAGCCGUGGAUGUGGGGUAUCGAACCCUCGCAUACUAAGCAGGCGCUAAACCAUCUAAGCUACGGUACAACGUCUCCAACUUGAUGAUAAGGCUGCAUCCCAAUUUGAAUUCUUUCGGAUUAUGUUAUACUCCUGCUACCUCCGUCCCAUAUUAAAUUUAUUUUUUAGUUGUUAGAUAUAAUGUUUUGACUUUUCGUCUUAUUUGAAAUAUUUUUACGAUUAAUAUUUUUAAAACAUGAAUAAUACUUUAUGCGUGACUAUUUUUUAAAGUUUUACAAAUUCUUCAAAUAAGACGAAUGGUCAAAACAUUAGACACAUAAAUCAAAAAAUAAAAUUAUUAUGGGACAAAGAUGGUAUGUGAUAUCAGAGAGAUACACUAAACUGAAAUUAAUAUAUGAUUGACUGCACAAGACAUACAGGCGCAGAUAAUCAUCUAACAAGUUAAUCUCCCUUCAAAUAUGCAGCAUCUUGAAAAAAAAAACCCAGUGCAAAUUGUUAAUAGUGUUUUAGUUCUUGACAUUUAAGUCGUCGUCUUCUCCUUUGUUUCUGCUUCUUAUAAUAGUAUAGAUAAGCCAAAAUUUAAUUUUUUUAAUCUUAGAUUUAUAGUUGAUUUUAGGAUUUGUUUAUCAUUGUUUAUUUAAGAGAAAUUUACAAACGUGUUAUUAUAAUUUUACAAAGUUAGAAAUAUGUCAUUGGUAUCUCAAUGACAUAUGGGGCCCGCAUGAGUCAAUGACAUGUGGGUCAUGAUGGUAUAUCUCUAAUUUUACAAAAUUAUACUGACAUCCUUACAAUUUUCCCUUUAUUGAUAUUUAAAUACAAUAUCCCCUCAUUCAAUUUCUACCGCCUCUCAUAAGCUUUCAAUUCUAACAAUGCCCACGACCAAUCACGUCGGAAGCAAAUGAAAAGACCAAGAGUUAUUGUUUGGGUGUUUCAUAAAAAAUGCCAAACAAUAUAUUUUUAAACGGAAAAUAAAAUUUUAUAUAUGUCUUCUUAGCGAUUUAAAAGCCAAUCAUAUAUAUAUAUAUAUAUAUGUAUAUAAAUAGCUAACUGUGCAUCGAGUGCGUUAGUGUAUAGGGAAUUUUUCUUGCCUCGUCAUAUGACCGGUUGAGCAAAUAUUUGUGUUGACUAAUAUGAAGUUUGAACUUAUUAAGAUUGACCUAGCUAAAUGCACACUAUCGAUUCAAGAUACCACUGAGAAUUGAUGAUGGUGCUAUUUGUAGCUUUACAAAACAAAGUGGAACGACCAAACUUUUACAGAUGGCAUCGAUGAUCAUUUAGGAUGAAGCCUUUGUGACUAAGGCCGCGUUCGUUUAACCCUGGUAAGUUAACUUAUCUUGGUGCAGAAAACGUACUAAUAGAUUAGUACAUAAUAGAGUUAAUUAGAUCCAUGCCAUUAUAAAUUUGCCAGUUUUGAAAUAUGCCAUUAUAAUUCGACUAAUUAUAAAAAUGUCAUUAUAAUUUUGGAACUAUUUCAGAUAUGUCAUUUUUGGACCAAAUUGUCUUUUGCAUAUAUCGAGGGCGCAGUAAACAACAUAUGGGCAAUAUGGUCCAAUUUUUUUAAAAAAAUACACUAAAAUGGUACGAAGUGGCAUAUUUCUAAUUGUUCUGAAAUUAUAAUGACAUCCUUACAAUUAGUUAAUGGUAUAUUUCAAAACUAGCAAAUUUAUAAUGACAUAAAUCUAAUUAACCCAUUAAUUAAUUAUCAAAAAAAUAUAAAAUAGAUUAAUAUGAUUUUUUAAGACAACUUUCCUAUAGAAUUUUUUUGCAAAAAAUACACCGUUUAGCAGUUCGGGAAGCGUGCGCGUGGAAAACAAGGGAUGCAAGGGCUAAGAGGCAAUCGGUGGAGGCACUAGACAGCAGUGUACGUGACAUAAUGAAUAAACCAAAUCUUCCUUUUGGUGGAGAAACAGUUGUGUUCGGAGGUGAUUUCAGGCAAGUUCUUUCGGUUGUUCCAAAGGGGUCAAAUAGUAGACGUUUCAUUGCACAGGUUUAACCUGAAAGUCCAUGUGCAUCUGGUGCACAACAUGAUGGCACAAAGUGAUCCGUGGUUCGCGGAAUACCUACUACGGAUCGGUAAUGGCACUGAAGAUGUCAAUGAUAUUAGAGACAUACAUGAUAUAUGCAUGCCACGUACCAGGGAUGACAGUGACAUAGACAAACUAAUCGAGAGUGCUUCUGUCCAUUUUCAUCCCUAUAUUUGGAACUGUCAAAUUUCUGUGUUAAAAUAAUUCAAGCUCGAAUACAAAAUCAAAAAGAGAUUACAUGCCCGCUGUAAUCUUUAAACAAGUAUGAGUCAAUCGAGCAUUUUUACAAAUUUUUAAUUUUUUUUUAAGUCUGUUACAACGCAUGGACAUUUUGCUAGUUUAUUAAAAUAAAAGGACUAUACGGAACUAGAGAUAAGUUACAUAAGUAUAGAUAAAAUGGAAACAUUUAAAUAUAAGGUAAUUGGUAGAUAUACUACUUAUGAGACAAAUGUAAUUCCUAAAAAUAUAUUUAUUAUCGGAGGGGUGGACUAUUAUUAACGAGUUGGUUAAGGUAAGGGGGAAGGCGGGAGCGUGUUUUGUAUGGGACUAACCAACUAUAAUCAAAUCAAUCUCUUUCUCCGGUCGUCUCCUUCGAUCGGAGGGAGAGGGAGAGGGAGGGAGAGGGAGAGAGUGAGUGAUUAGUACUACUAAAAUAAAUUACGUGUAUUUUAAGUAGUAGUGGAGGAAACGUUGGGCAGUGGGACCCACCUGGCAGGUGGAUGGUGGGCUGGUGGCGCGAUCCUUUUCCUCCGGUCUAUCUUUGGAUCUCUCUCUUUAAUUCUCAUGUCCAGUGCGAUCCUUCUGAUUAUAAGCCUUCAGCUUUAUUAACGACUAAAAACUAAUUUAUAAAUAUAGCUUAAACUAAUAUAUAUAUAGAUGCAUAUUGUUAGCACCUUAAAAACUAAUGCUGGAAAUAUAAACUACGGAAAAUUUAAAAAUAUGCUCUGCCUUACAUGUUACGUUUUGAUGUAGCACCUGAUUGCUUGCAUGUAUCUAUCAAUCUAUCCCAUCCCAAGUUCUUAUAAACCUGUGCUCUUGUGGGGUUGGCCAUUGCUGGGGCAUGCUUUUCUCUGGAAAAGGGAGAAGGGAUGCAUCAUAUGCACGGUGGUGGUGCCCACACUGCGUCCCACUCACUGGCUGUAAUUUUUUUGUCAUUCUUUUGAGGAAUUUGGCACCGGCCAGCAGCCCAUCACACUAGUGAGUCAUUGUACAUAUCUUAAUUGCAAAAGAUGGCCUCUCCCUAGGCUGGAAAAAGACGACCCUCCAUUUGCUUCACACUGUCACGUAGUUGUAAGCCUUUUGCUUCACACUGUCACGCAGCGUCACAUAUACUAGUGUAGUACUAGUAGCGUGGUCGGCCAGUGAGGCAGUGAGAACGGCGAGAGUAAAAUCCAAGCAUAAGAAUAGCCGAUGCAGCAGUUAUUAUACUACUCCGUAUUUGUGAGUGCACAGCGAUGUAGUUGUAAAUCAUGGGUAGUUACUCCUUGCGCCACUCGUUGUAAAUUUGUGGCCAUGCAUUACUACUGCAGCGGCGGUCGCAGUAAACAGCGGUGCAUGUGCUCUCUUCAUCGGGAUGCGUUCAGUGCAGUGGAUCUGCGGUACUACAAGUCAAUGUCCAGAUUUUGAGCCACUGUUGCGGCGCAUGGCGAGUUGCAGGUGUGAAGUUGUGAACACCACCGUGCACCCAAGAGAACAAGAAAUAGUCAUGACCAAAACAAUAAAGAACAAUAAAAUUUAGUACUAUGUCCAUUUUAAAAUGUAGCAGCAUAUCGAAUAGGUGAUGCUAUAUUUUACAAUGGAUGCAGUAACAUAAUAUAUUAUGGUGAUGUUUUUAUUUUGCAAUAUGAGGAUAAAUAUUUCAGAGUAUAAUAUUACCUGCUACAAACAGUUGAGGAUUUGUUUAGAGAGACUAGACAAGGAGAUUUUCUAAUAUUGUUUUUACAAAACACAUUUGCUAAGCGGGCUAGCAAACAUACGAAAUCCAUAAUAAAAAAGAAGAUGCUUAUGAUUGGCUAAGCUGGUGAUGCCAAGCUUAUGUCCAUUCCUGUGCUAGCUCCAGCUAAUCUACUAGAAUAAUUGAUCACCGGAAUUCGAUGCUGCUGUUUUCUUUCAACUGAAUAAUUCGAUUCCAUCAUAGUUUAUACUAAAUCAGAUAUAUAUGCAAUGCUCCUGUUCCUUUUUGUUCGAGGGACUUUGGAUCGAUGCUGACAUGAUACACGACCGAGAAUGCCUCAAUUAUCAGGCAGGUCUUUGCAGAUUUGCCCGGUGGUUUCUCUCAACAAAGAUUAUGGCCUGAUGAUUGGGUUGCUGGUCUGGUUCGCCUCUGCUUGCCAGCUGGGCUGUAGCUUUUUGACUGGAAACUCAACUGCUUGCAGACCUACUAAUCCUGACGAAGACUCGACUGUUCAUGCCGUUCUACGGCUCUGCUACUAGAAAAACGUACAAGAUUUGAUUUCCUGCAGUGAUCGACCGAUGGAUUAUCAUGCAUCAUCAUCCAUUAUCCUGCAUGCCCUACUCCUACUGGUACGUGUUUGUUGGUGAGCCAAUCAUGUCAUUCAUGCCUAAUCAAGCGAAUCAACGAACCAGCUUAUAAUUAUGCUCUUGGCUUCCCUUCCUCGUCACACCACACAUCCAUAAAAAGGCUAACGUAGGAAUAGGAUAAACUUGUGGUAAAACACAAACACACACAAGAAAUCAAGGGAAGAAUCGAAAUUUGGAUGGUACUAGAGGCACCCUAAGAAUUUAUCUCUGUUUGAAUUCAACUGUGGAUUUUAGAUUUUUCCGCACAGGAUUUUUCAACGUAUAAAUUUAUCAUAUUAUCUUUUUGAAGUAAUAUAUAUAUAUAUAUAUAAUAGUGAUUAAUUUAUCUCUUUUUGAGAAUUAAUAUUAUUUUAAUAGAAAAUCAUAAAAGUAGAGACCAUCCAAAGAAGAUCGCAAAUUUAGGGGAUUUAUCGAACGAUGGGCGUUCGACUGGGGCCUAUCGAACGAAGGGAGUUCGACGGGGCUCACCCUUCGAUUGCUGAGUCAGCUGGGCCGCAACAGAGGCAUGUCUAACUGUGAAAGUUAGACAAGCCCCCUAUCGAAUAGAGGCAAUUCGAUAGGACUUGUUGAACUACAAUGCUGACGAUCUAGACUGAUCUCCUUCCCAGUCUACUGUUGGUUGUUUUAUAGGGGUCCUAUGUCGUAUCGACAUGAUCCUAAAUUUGUGGUUUUUCACCGAUGCCCUCUAAUUUUGCAGUUAUCCAUUAAAAUAAUGUUAAUUUUAAAAAAAAUUGAUCGAUCCCAGCUAUCUUAAACACCAUCAAGGAGUGAGGGCCUGAGUGGCCAUGAUGUCGAUGUGACGUUGUAUCCUUGUCUUAAAUCUGUUUGCCUCUCUUGCAGGGAAUUGGACGUAGUACGUUCUACGUACGUACGCCUUAAUUGUGGCUGUUGUACGUGGUGAGAUGUCAGUGCUUAUCGGACGGCGGCAACGUGUUUUGACAUUUCGGACACACACGCACACGCUCGCUCGCUCUUGGUGCACUGUACUGUACGUACCAUGCAAGUACCAUAUCACACGUAUAGUUGUUGUUGCCGAGAUGAUAAAAAAGCUCGUCUCUACACUUGCAAGAAAAGCAGCAGCAGUGGUGCCUGUGCAGUACUGUGUGGUACAGCCCUUUGCAAGCUCUUCUGUUCACGUCGUUGUCAAAAACCGACUGCGAUUUUGGCUCUCUUCGAUCUCGUCGCGUCGAGGUCAGCUACGAGCCUUGAGUCUCACAUGGAGUUCGGACUUCCGUGUUUCAUGGACCACCCUGUUCAUUGCAAUUGCAAUGCAUGGCUUCUUUGGAAACAAAAUUUGGCCUCUUGUUAGGAAUUUAGCUAGGAGGAAGUAUAUAUACCGUGCGUUCUACACCAACUUGAGAUAAGUUCUUUUUUGUAACAGUUUCUCUAAAUUGUUAUAUUAGUUCCAUCGGUCUGAAGCAUCCAACCAAAGGCAAUUGAAUAUUAAUUUAUUUUCAUAUCAUGUAUUUAGAAGAGCCAUCUAGCUUAAUUGAUGCUUCAACAAAAAAAUAUUUAAGAGUUUGUCGUCCCCCCUCUAUUUGCUAGCUACUACACUUGACUGUCGUCACCAACUAUUUGUUUGAUGCCUUAGACCAAUACAUUUUGUUAAACAAAAUUCUUCCGACUUAGACCAAUUAAUUUUACCUAUAUAUUAUGUUUAUAUCUUCAAAUAUCUAAUAUAUCAAAAGUAGAUACUACAUUUGUAAGAAUAAUCAGACUUGCAAUCUACAAAUCGGUACAUUUGGCCUAUGGUGAGGUACAUUGCGAGUAACACAUACUCCCUUUAAUUUUUUUAAUUUGAUGUUAUUAACUUUUAAUUAUACACUUAACCAUUCGUCUUAUUACAAAAUAUAUAAUUAUUAAUAGUUUUGUUAUGAUUUGAUUUGUUGCUAUAAAAACUUUAAGCAUUACUUAUAUAUUUGGAUAAAUUUUUAAUAAAACAAACUGUCAAAACUUAGAUCAAAUAGUCAAUGACAUCGAGUAAAAAACGGAGAGAUUUGUACCGGGCAGUAACAGUGAAUAAGUUAAACACCUAGUCGUGCGGCAUCACGGAGUAGUAGUGUAGUAUAUAUAUUGCACGGAGUCAUUGGGUCUUGGAGAAGAUCCAUGCCACUUAUUUUCCGUGAUUUGGCGUUAAUAAAUGUACUACUAGUAGCUAGCUAUCUAGGCAGGACAUGGGCCCGGGAGAGGGUGGUGUGAGGUAGCGCUCUGCAUGCAAUGCAAAGAAAAGAAAAACCGAUAUGGUUGGGGCAUUGCUUUCGCCAAGGUAGAAAGAGACCAGCGAUCUGCCUCCUGUGUACGUAGUAGCCGUGUAGGAAAGGUGUAUGUUUUGGGGCGUUCCAGUAUCAACAAGGCCCGUGUGCUGCAUUUCUCUACGUACUAUAGCACAUUCAGUUCAUGCGUAUCGAUCGAUCGAUCCAGGAAAUAAUAAAUUGUUGCAAGUAUGCGUAGCUAUUGCCUGCCUUCAUGGCGGCUUCACGCAUUGUUUGGUUGGUCCCUCGUCGUCCCGUCGAGAUAGAGGCCUUUGCUCUGCCCUCUUGUGUGUUAGUAUGUCUGGUUUCUGAUUUAAUUUCUGACUGGUGAUAAUUAGGAAGCAAAUUAACUUCGAUGUGUUGGGAUCGAGCCAAUGCAAUGGGGAAGGCCCAGUUACCAAAUGGGCUAGGCUCAGAAUAUCAGUCACCAAUCUUUUGAAAAUUAGGAUACCAACGACGUGCCCUAAAAUGGAUCGAUGGCUAGUUUUCUUUUGAAAAUGCAGGUGCUGGCUGGACAUAUGGCACUUUGUUGUUAAGCUUGUGCCGAAGCUUGAGUAAUUCUGAGUUACACGGUAUUUAAUUACUUAUUUUUUCUAAAAAAUAUUGUGCUUCAAAAGCAUUGCAUAUUCUUUGGUAGAAUAGUUUUUGUUCGAGAUAUUAUAGCGUUUCGCAUCUCCAAACCACUCGGAUUUAAAUCACUUGGGAGAGAGAAAUCUGAGACGUCAUGAGACUGUUGCUCGAGUCGGGAUACUCGGUAUUCCGGGGAUGCCAUGCGUUAAAGUCCUUAUUAGACUCUAUGUUUAAUUGUUUCACAAGUCGGAGGCUACACCUAUUUCGGUGCAUCGAGUAGAUACGCCUAAAUUUUUUUCAUACAAUCUUUAUCAGACUCUGUGUUUAAGUCAUUCUUCUAUUUAAGCAUAAAGUCGGAUCUACAACCUAAUAGGUGCAUCUAUUCGAUGCAACUAAUUUUUUCAUUAUUCGGAGCCCUCUACAAUCUCUGCAAUCAUCUUUGAGAAGUAAGCACUCGGGAGAUGUCAAACAUGUCGUGUGAAGAUAUUCCUGAUGAUCAAGAAUCUGAACAGGUGAUUUGCGAGGCUAUGUACGACUCUGGGGCUUGUGUGGGAUGCCCGGAUAUGAGAUAUAACGUGCACUAUACUUAUCUGUAUAGGAAAGGGGGUCCUAGGUAUGUAAGAAAGAUGUAAUCUUAAGGUGGGUCAAUUGGGAGUCAGGUAUGAUUAUAUUCUGGAUUGCCGAAGCUGGUCGUGCUGGUUCGGAUAGACUUGAUAUUGUUAAGUUAUGUCUCUAUCUUUAAGGCCAUGCCCCUCGGUAUAUAAGGAGACCAUGGGGAUCCCAAGAGGACACACCUUAAUUAGUAGAUUGGCAAAUUCAUUGUGCGAUCUAUUCCACACAAAAUACAAACCUUAGCGGGAGUAGGGUAUUAUAUCAUCUUGAGAGCCGAACAUAGGUAAUCCACUGUCUAUUGCAUAACCAUUGAUUUCUGCUACUCACUUGGCACCUCAUAGUUUUAUCGUCGAUCUCAAUCAUCGAUACUAAUUAUUACCCAUGGUUACCAUUGGGUGUGAUAAGCCUGCCUAGCAGUAGGUUUGUAGGGGAAACCAUUGAUAUAUGUAUGUUGAUCACCCUAGGAGCCCAACACAAUCUGAGUCAGUUCCUCUUGCUUACUUCUCUCUAACUUUGACAUGAUCCCAAUCCAACACGAAGAACACACUUGGCGUGAAUUCUAAACCGGCGCACAAAAAUAUGCUACACAAUAGAACUGAAUUUGGGGUGGGAGGUAUGGGGAAUGCAGUUGAUCCAAAUGAUUGAAGGACUGGUGGAGUGAUAGAUCAAACACAAUGUCUAUAAUAAGAGCAGCGCGUCCAUGAUAUACCAAAUGAUUAUCAUCUCAAAAUUUAUGUACUCUUAUGUAAACAUAGAUUAUUUGUAGAACUUUGAGUCAUUUGUUUUUCCUCAUGCCCUUGCUAAACCAAUGUUAUUAAUUGUAUGUACAAAUAAGGUAUCAUAUAUUCAAUAUGUAUAAUCGUACAGAACAAGGUCAUUUAAACACUUCUGGGAUCAAUUCAUCCUCUUUGCUUUGCAGCGAUACAUGCUUAGAACUAGAGCAAAGCAAAUGGUAGAUAUAUGAUCUAGAUUUCAAUAUAUAUGCAAUAUGUUCAGAUAUGAUAUUAGUUUUCUAAUAUUAUUUUAAUUUCCCAAGAGUAAUUGAAGUUUUUUUUCCUAUUAUCACUCUUAGAGUUUCUCUUUAUAUAUGUCUGAUAAGUUGUAUAGGAAGGGCACGACGACCCCUUAUUAUUCCUCUACGUUAUAAUCAUCUUUCUAUACUGGUUAUUGCCAUUUUUUUCUCAUAAGGGGGUUUUCACGUAAAUAUUUGUCUUUGCUAUGCGUCUAUUUUCCUAACAAAAGUUAUGUGGCCAAUACUAUGUGCAUUACUUUACUUAGUAGUAGUGUAUAGUUGUGUAUGAAAGAGUAGAAAAAUUUUGUGGUACUUACUGAGAAGGUAUCGGGAAGUAUCAAAUUUUUAGAGUAGAACUCUGGUACCUCCAUGUAUCUUAUACUUAAAAAUACUAAAAUUUUUCACUAGAAAAUAUAAUAGCUUCUAGCAUGUUCAACGGCAAAAUUGCUCAAGCAAAAAAGAUAUAACGAGUCGUUCUCCGUAUGAUGCCCACUCUAUACAAGCACAUUAAAUUCAUGCAUAUCAAACCUGCAUUACCUCAUGGCACUUGGUUGAUUGCUAUUAUGACACUUGGUUAUUUGCCUUCAUGGCUUCAUGCAUCUGCAUGGUUGGUGCAGUCAAGAGUGAAGACAUGGCCUUUGCUUUGCCUGUGUCUUUGGUUCUGACUGGUGAUAACCAUCUUGCUGUGUUGUGCUUGAGCCAAUGUGCAAUGAAAACUAAGGGGGGGGGGGGGGGUACUCCUAUAUAAACGAUUUACACAUGCCGAUCUCCCCAAGUCGUCCCCAACACACUCGGUCUGUGGUCCAAACAAUGAAACAACCACACAACUUAGACCUUAUUAGAGAUAGCUUGAUCGAAUUGAGGGCAUGUUUGGAUGCCGUCCUGAGAAUCUCGCUAGUUGAGGUGUCGCUCUCAAAUGUCCUAUCUUGGUUUCCUUCAACCAGAUCGACCUGCUUGAGUGAGAGCACUCAGAUCAUGACAAUAACCAAACAAGCCCUGAGUCUAGGAGGCAUAGGGAAUACAGAUGAUUCAGUAUCCUCAAGAAAGAGUGGAGUGGGAUAAAUAGCUACAACAACAACACGACCUAAUAUUGCCCUUUGUAUGUACCGGUAGUAGUUGAAUGGGCAUAUAUGUAAGUCUAGUUAAAAUGUUAAAGACAAUACGGUUGUUUACCUAUGUGCAUAUAAUAGUGGUGUUGGUUUAUAUAUGUGAGUGUCAUUUUAUAAGUUUUUUAUUCUUCUCUAAAUUGAACCGUUUGUACUGCAGUGAGAAAUGUGUUCCUAUCUGUUUUUUUUUACUUCUGGACACUUGCUAAUUUAGUCAUAUAACUCUUACAUUACACAAAUUAAAGAAGGCAAUAAAAAGGCCCAGUUACUAAAUGGGAUAAGCUCAGAUCAGUCCCAAUCCUUUAUUACUUCAAACGAUAACACAAAAGUAAUUAGCAUUUUUGGCACUUUAUCUCCAUGGACCUAUUGCCGCUUAUUUGGGAUAAUAAUGAAGUCUUCUAUAGUUACUCAAAGAAAAAGAAAUGGGGAUAUGGCGUAAUUGGUUGAUACUAAAGACUUGAUUGUAUUGAGCCCUUUAUCCAUCACCCUCUAUCAAAAUGGUAAAAAGGCAUUUAAAAUAUCUGACUUAAUAAGAAAAAUGCUUACUAACAAAAUGAAAAAUUGUUAUCUAUCUAUGUAUUACAUUAUAAAGAUAACUUGAAAAGGAUCCACGACGUUUGCUUUAGAGGCUACAAAUUACCAUGUCAAUUGGCAAAAAAAGAAAAAGAUCUUGACCGUUAGAUCGUGAUCUAUCUAGAUUAUAGCUAUACAGAUAGAUCGAUAUGGUUAUAUACAAAAUAGUAAUAUAAUCUAAGAGUUGUAUAUAAUAUCAAAACCUUAUAAAAAUAGAGGCUAAGAGUUGAAUAUGAAAGCUAAUCAAUAUGUGAAUAGAAUAUAAGAGUUGUAUAUAAAAUACAAACCUAUAUAAAUAGAAUUUACGAGUUGUAUAUAAAAUCCAAAUAAACUUAUAUAAAUUGACAUACUAGGAAAUAAAUUUUAGUUAUGUAUUAAAUCUAACUCUAAGUGAAUUACCUAGCUCCUGCAAAACUGUGUGGGACAGUCUUCUAGUUAAAAUAAUAGGAGUAACUGUAUUCUGAAACAGAGUAAAAUAGCAUAUUCAGUUCAUGCGUACCAAGCCUGCAUGGCUUCAAGGCAUUUGGGUGUGUUAUGCCUUCAUGACUUCAUGCAUCUGCAUGCAGUUAAGACACGGUCCCUUUGCUCUGCCUCUGUAUUAAUAUCUCUAGUUCUUGACUGGCGAUAACCAUCUUGACUUGAUUGUAUUAAGCCAACGCAGUAAAGAAAGAAGCUCAGUUACUACAUGGUCUCGGAUCAGAUUAGCUGAUUAUGUCCACUUUCAUUAUUCACCUAGUUGCCCAGCUCCCAAAGGGUCCAACACACUUUGUCUUCAGUCCAAACAACCACACAUCUUAAAGAACUUAUCGAUCAAAUUGAGUGUAGGAGCCAUGAGGAAUGCAGUUGAUUCAGAAUCAUCAAAAAAGAGCAUGUGGAGUGAAAUCUGAAUCCACGGUAACAACACAACUUGAUCCAAGAUUCUAAGAGGAAAAAAGACUAUUGGCCCAUCUCGUUACAAUUUGGGUCAUACAUGGACUCACUCGUUAAGCUAUUGUUCUAUACAAUUACUUGGACCUAGGUGAGGACCGAGCUAUAGCUAUCCACCAUUACACAGAUUGUUGCGACUUCGAAUACCGCCCUCCAUAUAAGUGGUCGGUGGUUGGAUGGAGGGAAUGUCUUGUUAUUUUUUUCAAGAGGGAGAGAGUGCCUUGAUAUGUUGAAUGGUUAGGUACUACUCCCUUGGUCCCCAAAAACUUCAAUUUUUAGUCCAUAUUAUAUUUAUACAUACCAAUACAAAACAACAACAAAAACCUAAAAUACUCUUCACUUAUUUAAACCGGCCUAAUGCAUUUGUUUCAUACCCUUUUUUUAAUUUCAAUGCAUUUGUCUCUCACUCUAACAAAAUUCAAUGUAAUAAUUACUCAUGAAAUAAAAUUGUUAUGAAAUAAAUGAGUGUGAGUGAAUAUGAAGUCUUUAUGGAAGGGAUAUAGUAUUUAUCAAUAUAUAUAGUCGUGUUGUUCUGAAUACUCCUAUUAUGUUCUACAAUUUGUGUACUCUUCUUCAAAUAUAAAUUGUUUGUAGGUCUCACUUUUUUCUCUCUCUCUUGCACACUUUUUAAUCAUACCGCUCUUAUAUAUAUUUUUUAAAAAAGCAUUUUAGAUGUGUAAUUGUAUAGAAAAAGGUCAUUUUAACACGUAGUAAUAAACGCGCAUAACUUUAUAAAGAUUAUCUUUGGAAUUAGAUGAAUAUGUUGAUCCAUGCAACAAUCCAAUGUCAGCUAGCUCCAAGUCAGACCUAUACACCGUUAUGUUAAAUUUAAGCCACUGUAAUGGCAUGCAUGCUACAUUGGCCUGGCGCUAUGUGUUGUACCCUUGUCUUUCCGGCUUUUCCGCUUAUGCUUAUACUUAUAAUAAGCUAAAAUUUAAAUUUUAAAUUUAGAGUUAAUUUUGAUGUUAUUUUAAUAAAAUUUAUUUUUCAGUAUUAACUUUUGGACUACUCAUUUCUACGAGCAAAAUAUGUCUUGCAGUAGGAUCGGUAUGGCUUAUUUGAGCGCCAGAACAAUACCCCGUCUUGCAUCCAUGCCGCAGUCACAAAACUGAAGUGAACGAUGAUAGCGUAACAACUCCCCCCAAGAAUAACAUCUUAAAAUCACUAGCGGCAGUGUUGUAAUUUCUGGAGACUAAACUUAAUUUGAUGCCAUCUUAAACUGAAACUGAACUAAUCUAACUUCAAACUUUUGUGUAACUUCCUGCCCUCUGAAACUGAAAGUUUGAAUGACUGAAACAUUAAUUGCUACAUCUUCAUAUUUUUAACAGUAAACAAUACGGAUCAAGUUGAGAACACACACUAACAGACACGUGCAAACGGUGCCCACAAAAACAACGGCCAUAGAGUAACACGUGGCAGUUACAUAUACAGGGGUUAUCGUGGAAAAAAAAACGGCAUACGAGCAAACGAAAAAUAACAUGUUAAUAAAACUUUUAUAUAUUAAGUUUUUAGUGAUCUAAAAGUUAAUGCUGAAAAAUAAACUUCGGCAAAAAAAAAUCUUAAAAUCAACUCCAAAUUUAAGAAUGAAAAUUCAAAUUUUGGUUUAUAAGCAUAAGCAUAAGAAAAAAGAUUUGGGUGCUAAACACAUGGUGUAUAUGACCCAAAACAUAUAUUCCCUAGUCUGGCAAGACAAUGACCCAGGAAAAAGCAGAUGGACCAGUAUCCCGAAUGGUAUCAGGUGUUAUGUUGAUGCUUCUAGGGUGGAUAAUCAUGUAGGACUUGGAGUUUUCUUUCACAUGCCGUCCACACACAACCAGCUCUGCAAGCAGAAUUGCUGGCUCUUCAACUCGCUAUAGAAAUAGCGCACACUCUUGGCUUAACAAAUACUAUCUUCCUCUCAGACAAUGAAAUAAUUGCUAACACAAUGAAGAAGAGAAAUUUUAACCAAGAACCAGGUCACUAGAGCCUCAGACCUUUGCUACUCCAAAUGGAACAAGACCUCCCUGAGCCCUUGCAGGUUAAAUGGAUCUCAAGGAAGGUUAAUAAAGUUGCAGAUAAUCUUGCCAAGGAAGGAAGAAAAUCGACCAACUCUAAUUCCACUUUUCUUUGUCAGAAUGCUGUUCAUCUAGAUCAUCCUUCUAUUCCCUGUUCUGCUACGCAACUGAGGGAUCAGUUCUCCCCUCGUAAUUGUAUUAUAACUCAUGCUUUAUGCUUUUAAUUAUAUAUUUUCCUGGUAUUCAAAAAAAAUUCCCCUGUCUGAAAAUAACUCCAUUUUUCACUCAUCUCACAUCUACCAAUACAAAAGCUAAAAAACUAAAAUAUCCUCCACUUUAUCGAAUAUCAAUACAAUUAUCUCCUACUUUAUUUAUUCCCAAUGUGUUUAUUUUUUGUUUUCACAAACUUUAAUGCAAUGAUUACUCUAAAAUAAACUUAUUUUAGGAUAAACUUAAAUGGCUAAAAAUUAUCUUAUUUUAGAACCGAGACAGUAUAUUUUUUAAAAAAAAAAAACUUACUCCCUUCAUAUGAUCCACAGGCCACACAAGAUCCACUAACCACAAUUAUUUCCAUGCAAGCAAAAUGGUGGAAUUGCUUUUGCAUAGUAGGCAAAGGCAACACAGCAGCUUACUAUGCUGAAACGCAGCUGCAAAAACAAAAUGAUGGAGCCCCAUGGCUUAGAUAUGUGAUCAGAUCAGCCCAACUACCCUUUCGGCUAGAAGUACAAGGUCUUCAUUAGUUAACUCCUAUAUAUAUAAAUGCUCUACGUAUGCCGAUCGAGCUCCCAACGCACAAGGACCACCCCAACACAUAUGAGUUCACUCUGCAGCCAAAACAGGCUCAAAACAUAUUUUAGAGCAGCUAGCUCGAUCCAGCUGGGUUUAGGAAGCAUGGGGAAUACAGUUCAUCGGAUGAGUGAUCAUCAAGGACGGGUGUGUUGGGAAUGGAUUCAUAUAUUUUGUUAUUAUGGUAUAGCUAUUACAGUCACUUGCAUAUAGGAUUUUAGAAGGGUAUGAGUCACGUGUCAAUGAUCGUAAUGACACGAAUAUAAUGGCAAGGGACCCAAACUCACUGGGAAUUGUUCUGAUCACCACAGCGUCCAACACCAUUCGCGCUUGUAUCCACCGUAUGGAUGGUUGGCAAGUGUGAAAUGGCUUAUCUUUGCCCUUGCUGAUAUCUACUCACGUUGUAAUUAACCAUAGUGAAACAGUCUGUAAAAUUAAAUAGUUUAUAAGUAAACCUUUUAUAUAAAUAUUCAUGAUGAUCUCAGAACAAAAGACAAGAAAAUAAACUACAGUGAAACAACUCGAGAUAAAUUUUAAAUUUAUUCUCAAAUUUAAUUUAUAUAAAUAUAAGAUAAGUGAAAAAAAUAGUAACUCAUGUUGUAGCAUGACGAAGACAGUACAGGAAAUAUUUGUGGAAUUUUGAUAUUUUGGUCAUUUUAAGAAAUUUAUUUUACAAAUAAACUCUUAAAAAACUUAUUGCACAAAUGAACAUUUUUGAUCGCGCCAACAUCAUUAGCGUUGUUGUUGUAUAGAGCGGCGCCCAUUCCUCCAAGUCAUUGUGACAUGGUUACGUGGCCAGAGGAUGGCGCCAAUAUCAUUAGUGCCGUCCUAUACAACGACACCGUCAAUGACGUUGGCGCAAUUAAAAAGGUCUAUUCGUGCAAUAAGUUUUUUAGAGGCCUCUUUGUAAAAUAAGUUUUCAAAAAAGACUAAAAUAUCAAAAUUUCAGGGGAAUAUUAUCUUCUCCUCUGCACAGCUAAUCUCCUUGCCGGCUGCAGCUUGUUAAGGUAAUAAGCUACGGUUUCAAUUUUCAACAGUAAAUACUUCGUCUUUCAACUUGCGUACGCAUAUAUGCCUUAAUGCCUAUACUAAUUGGGCGCUGAGAGUAAGCUCACAUGUACGUCAAUCCUAACGAGUUAGUUGUUGAUCAGACAGAUAAUAUAGCAUCAUGGCUAUAAACUUUAUUAUAAAUACACAGACCAUUGGAAUACAGUAAAUUAUUUAGUUUCCACUUUGGUUUCCAUCAAACUAAAUAAAUGAAUGCAUGCAAUGAAAAUACGAUGAACCUAUAGAUUUUGUUUUGCCUGAAUUUAAACUUUUCCAAUAUAUACAAAUUUAUAUGGUUCUCUUUGUUUGGGUUUAGGUUUGUUAGCGUAGGUUUUAAGCCGACUUUUAAAUUUGUAUGAUUUAUAAGCUAAUAGUUUAAAAGCUUCAAAUUUAAUGAUAGGGUGUGACCUCUACUUCAAAAUAGAAAAAAAAAGCUAUUUGAACCUAGCUUUUGGCUUAACAAUAUAAGAGUGGUUUAUAGAUUCAAGAAAUCUCAACAAAAAAAGCUUGUUUAUUUAGGCUUAUGUUUCUUUAGCUUCAAAGUCAGCUCAUAAACCUAAACAAGGAGUGCAAUCCUUUAUAGUACUGCUCAAUAACAUAUGGACUCUACAUGCUAUUACGCUCAUAUGUUAAGUACGGCCUAUGUCCAUCUUGACAUCAAUUAAGAAUAUUAUUAAUGUAAUUACAAAAUACAAAAUUUAAAAUUAAUAGUUAGCUAGUUGCAAUUGACAUGAACUCUUCUACUAGCUUGGGCGUGCCUUAACAUUAACAAGAGGAUUAGAUAAUUAGGGCAUGUUUAGUUCACAGCCAUACAUUGUGACACACAUGUCACUGUUUAAUUCAUUAUGCUAGUUUCUGGGUUGGUUGUUGCAAUUGGGGCAAGCUGCAACGUGCCGAUCGAAGGGCUCACCUGUCAGACACACUCAAUUUGUAGCUAAACCAUGCAACAUACUUGUGGUCAAAAAAUUUUUUUACUUUUUAUGGUACUCCGUAUUAGGCUAGUCUCAAUGUAUAGUUUCAUGACAUAGUUACCAAUAUUGUAUAUUAGGUAACCGAGCCAGAUGAGUUUUAUGAGGAUGAAAUCCCUUAUUUAAUGACUCUGCCAAGUUAGCAAUUUUGCUGAUGUGACACUCUAUUUAAUAUGUAUGACACCCUCAUAAAACAUACAUUGAGACUGACUUAUGAGAUGAAAAUAAGGCGAGCAUCCACUUCGUAAAUAUGUGCUCGUUACUUUGCUCUCUACUUGCCUCGACUUAACCCUCUUCUUUCUACCAUAACUUGAUCAUGUACCUGCUCUCCGAUCCUCCUCCCAUAUAUAAAACGCCAGCCAUGGGGUUGCAUUGGAUCCAACAGAAGUUAUGUUAGAUGGCCAAAAGGAAGGAACAAAUUAUCAAACUUUACCACAUUCGUGCACAUACACAAAAUUAAUUCCCCUUCAUUAGGACUAGGAGGCCUUGGGAAUCAAGAUAUCACAGGAAGCAAACUGCUCGCCUAACAGCACCUCUGCAACGCUUGGGGUGUUGGAAAGAUGACUGUAGGAUGGCUUAGUGCCUUGAUCGAUCACGACCUAGCGACACCAAACUCAAUAUGCUGGCUUGAGUAAUCUGAGGGUCAGGGCUGUCUCUAAAAUUGGAGGCCCAGAAGCAAAAAUAUAAAUUGAGAUCAUAAAAUACAAAUGGAGGUGAGAUGCAUAACGGUGCGACAACCCAAACAGAUGUUGGAGCAAUCGCUGAGACGUGGUGUUUCAGUUGUUAGCAUAAGGCAUGGGUUGAAUCUUAUAAAUAUAUAUUGGUCCUUAUCGUUUGUCCUAAACUUUUAUAUAUGUGUUCUUAACGAUCUAAAAGCAAAGGUUGAAAUAUAAACUACGAUAAAACUUCAAACUUAUAUAUAUAUAUAUAUAUAUAUAUAUUCUUAUGGUUGAAAAUUUAAAUUUUGACUUCUAAGCAUAAACAUAAGCGAAAAAAUAAGAUUGACUAAACCUUUUUUUAUAGAUUUUGAGGGUCCUUCAGUUUGGGGGCCCUAUGCGGUCGCUCCAGCUGUCCGCUGAGGGUGUUCAUAAUACAAUGACUAUAGUGAUAUCCAUAUAAUUAUAAAUAAGUUGUUACAUAAGAUAAAAAAUAUCGUAGCAAGUGAGUAAAUGAAAAAGAGGUCUUGCAUUAGACAUGGUUUUUAUAUAACUCUAAAGACAUAAUGAGAUAUAAGUAACGUUAAAUUUAAAUAUGAAUCAGUAAUGUUUGUAUUAUAAGAGUGGUUGUGUUUAUAGUACUAGCUCUUUUUAAUACACAGAGUAUAUAUAAAUUAUGAAUAGUAUCUUGUAUUAGGAUAACGCCGCCGGCGCUGGCUUUUUGCUCUGCACCGUAGAAGUUGAGACCUGGUUUGGCAUUCGUCACCAUGGGGUUACUCAGCGCCUGCCGUGACCAGAGAACUGGUCCAGAACACGGAGGCUGGAAAAUGGUAUAUAGUUGCAUUUCAGUUGUCUGCUAAGCUCAUUCUGCCUCGUGUUGGCCUUGUUUCUCAUUUUCUCUCGUAUCUUCCCAUUAUCUUUGAAAUUUAUAGCUGAUGCACAUUGUCCUUGCUUGUAUCAUCGAGUGGAAGAAUUAGAAAUAAAGUUAAACUGAAAUAUCUUAACGGGGAUUGGAAUUUGAGGGUGAUCUGUCUAUACAUGUUUGUAAAUGCUCUGGGAUUUUGCCGAUAUGCAAGUGCUAAGAGACAGACUUAGGCCGCCAUGUUCGGUUGUUCCUACGACUUAUCUAGAUUGCCUCGUUUUUCGUGAGCACCAAGAGCACGGGCCUGUUCGCUCGUCGAAACCAAUCCCCUUGCAUGUGUGUCUUCUCCAUUUCGAAUUUAGUGACUGCAGCUAUGCUAUCCUACAUAUUCACUACUUAGGCAACGAAUUUGUUCGGUUGGAAAUAACUCUCGGCACGAGAGGUUCAUGCAUGGGGCACUUUCCAUCCUUGCACCCGUGCGUGGUUAACACAAUUAGUUUCCUAAACACCUGCAUGCAAAGAUCGACAUCGCUUAAUCUCCAUCCAUGUUUGGGUUGCCCCCCAUCUCCUUAGUGCAAGUCAAUCUCAUGGUUUUCCCUCCCAACAAAAACCCUAGUUACUGAUCACUUAGACGCUAGAGGAGCUUCGAGUGAUAGUCCCUAGACAGUGUAGGUGGUGACCCGAAGGCCGUCGCCACCCUCCUGAAUGUCGAUGAUCCCUUCUAGAUCAAGCCAGUGAGUACACCUACGUCAAUCAAACGACUACUUACUCUACUUCCCAUAUGGUUUUCACAUGAGAAACAAAGGAUAUUGCAAUGGCUUCAAAAAAUGGUUGAUACUAUAAGCUUACACAUUACAUGAUCAAAUAGGCUAAGCAUCUAAUGUUAGUAGAUAAGAUAGUCUAUAUGUUUCACCAAGGCAAUUAUAUGUCCCAUAUAGUACUAUCAUGUUUCUUGCUCGUUCGAUGUGCUCGUCACUAAGAGAAUUACAUCAUAGUCUAUGUAUAUUGAAUAGUCCAAUGUAUAUAUAACAUAGAAAAAUCUUCAACAGAGUCCACUCUGGGUGAAGGAAACAAAGCCCGAUGGAGGAUGUCAAUGGACCAUCGCUGGAGAAGCCUCUAGGUUGAGGAUCCGCAUAAUGGUGGGUAGCAUUUAAAAGGGAGUGGCAUGUCACCUACUAGACGGUUUCUCUUAUAUCUCGUCAGCCAUGUUCCUCUACGCGGUUUCCUAGGCUCCAAAAUAGCAGCAAAUCCCAAGAGGAUGUGAGGACACGUCCUUUUUUCGAGAUUGAGGGGCCUCUUGGUCGGUCCAACACUUAAUUAAGCCACCUGGUUUAGUGACAAGGGGAAUAUGUGAGAGAUGCCUCAAUGGUAUGAUGUAUCUACUAGCAAAUGAUAGGCCUAAAUGUUUCCAAUUGCUGCCCUGUGAGGAAAAAGAUAUAGAUAUAAUUAUGUAGUCAACUAUUCCCUCUGUUCCACAUUGUAUGACUUUCUGGCAUUGCUUAAAUUUAUAUGUAUGUUAAUGAAUCUAGUCAUAUAUAUAUAAUAUAUACAUUGAUACAUGGAUGAAUCUAGACAAACUCAUAAAGUCCUAUAAUAUGGAAAGGAGGGAAUACUAUAAAUAAGUAUUACCUUGCUCCAUUGGAGGGUAUUAUAGAUUGGACAUAAACUACACUCCCACUCACACAUCCACACAUAGCACUUGCUAUCUUGUAUAGAAAGUUAUACCUUAGUUCUAUCUUUGCUUCAACAUAUAUAGUCCCACAUGAUAUGUAGUAAACAUAACUUACAUGCACCAAGAACAAGACAAAGUAAUUAAACAUGUCCUCAUAACUUCAUACUAUACACUCAUUACACUUGUAACACCUUCGUGCUCAUAACUUCAUAAGCUCAUUUCAUUUGUGGCACUUUCCUGAGCAAUAUAGCUUACUGGCUAUGACCUAAUACAAAAGUAAUGAUAAGAAAAAAAAAAGAAAGACACGCUAGCGAAGUACACAUUACCAAUGUUUCUUAAUUUAAUUCGCUGGGAUUAGGAGGCGCUGGGAAUCGUAGUAUCACCAGAAACGAACCGCUCAGCUACGAGUUCCAUACCUGUCGUGCCGUGUUGAACUCCACAGCGGUGCACGUCCACUCUUAUCUUCUGCGUGCCCUGGGCCGGUGGAUGGCCUCACCAGGUCUGGUUGUCGUGCUGAAAGCUCCGAAGCGGCAUGAACCCGCCACGAGCUCGAAGGUGCCCAUGGCUUCUCCACCCCACCCUCACCGACUUGGGGUGGUGGUGUCCGAGAUCUCCGGAGUAGGAACGCAUGGAUGUUGCAGCUUGUUCUUGUAUGCACGCAUGGGUUAAUCUCGGGAGGACAUGAAGACGAGUGUUGCAGCUGCAUUUCGGUGUGGUUGAGCAUUUGCAGUUCUAUUCCGUGUCUUUACAGGAAAUAUCUAUCAUACCAUGCGUCUGGCAGAACAGUUUAAUUAGUGUGUAUAUUUUUGGAUGAAAAUAUGGAAGUUUAAUUUGUGCCUUCAUUUUAUUGGUUAAUUUUUUUAAAAAAACAAGUAGGAGCAAGGAGGAGAGAAGAACAUAUAUAUAUUAUAUCAUUCAUAUAUAUAUAUAUAUAUAUAUCAUUCAUAUAUAUAUUACAUCAUUCAUAUAUAUUAUUAGUAUUUUGUAACUCUCUUCUCUAAUGUUGUUAUUAUUCUCUUAUCUUGUAACAGAAGUAGGAGAGAGAACAUAUAUAUUUAGAGUUUCUUUUUUUAAUAUGGACAAUGUUCUAUUUUUACUGAUGAGAUAGAGUAUCCCCCCACACACAUACACCAUUUUUAGAAUGAACAAUAGAAUAUUUGCGAAGAAAGGAAGAAUGCACUUGGAGCUCCGGUCGCAUGGCAUUGGUGCAGGCAUGGUAGGCGCACGGGAGGAAGACGCGCAAGCGCACGCUGCACGUACGUACGGCUGCACGUACGCCUACCAGUCUACCACAAGCUGAGGUGAUGGCCUCCAUGACAGACAGCAGCUCUCAUGGUCCAAAGUCCCGGACCAAUCCUCCCCCGAUGGUGCCACGCAAGCCUCAUCGGUGGCGUGCUGGCUUGUGAGCGCGAUCAGAUCCAAGAUCCCGCUACCACGAACUCGAUCGGAAGCUACAGCCAGCUCCCUCUCCAGGUGAUGGCAGACGUUCCUCCAUAUGAGGCGUAGGCCGCAGUUGCUGCUCCCCCAUCGCUAACCAACAUUUAAUUCCCAGCAAUUAGCUUGAAUUUGGAUUCCCCAAUAGCGAGCUCCACGAUAAUUGAUAGUGGUCUCUAGUAAUACGCGUCAACUCCUAUGCACACGUAAAGAUCAUAUCAGACAAACCAUCACAACGUCAUAUACAAGCUAUUCCCUUUGCCUUAAGAUAUUUGGUCUAGCUCCAUGCUGACCUCUCUUUCUCGAUGUUGUGAGUCAGAUCCUUAAAUAGGUUAACACUUAACCUAGCAUGAUCAUGCAUUUCUUGAUCUGAUCACUCAAGGGGCCUAAAGAUAUCUCUCUCACAUAGAGAGGGGCAAAUCUCAUCUUGACUGAUCAUGCCUCACAGCAUGCUUCAUGACAAACCCAAAAGUUACCUUUAUAACUACACAGUUACGGAAUAGCAUUUGAUAGCCCCUGAGUAGGUCGGUUCACAUCUUGAGAACAUACAACAGCCUCAAGUCUAAGGACAAAGCAUACACGUUGUAUAAAGAGGGAACAAUAUUAUUAUCUCACGAUGGAUCGGUCCAGUAUUAUGUCAUACAUACACUCAUAUUAUUAGUUUAACAUCUCUACGUCCAUAACUUGUGAAACAAAGUCAUCAACUCCAACUAGGACAGCUUUAGAAUAACCAUACAAGUAACAAGUUUCACAAACAAUUCACAUAAUUGCCAUCAAUACAAGUUGUCUUUCAUCAAUAUCCAAUAGAUAAAUAAGUGUCAUGGAUACAAUGAAAUAUGAUCAUCUCUAUGACUAACUCUAGGACAUAUUUCUAACAUCGCUCAAAUUAGAUUUGGUAGUUUAUAUCUUUGUCGAGGGAUUGAUAAUUGAGGAAUGUUGUAUAUCGUCCUUUAUGAUUUAGGGAUGAAAUUUAGACCGAAGCCAUAGUUGAAGGUGACAAUAUAGACUUUCCCCUUAAAAUCCCUCGUCGAUUGCAUGAACUGUUUAAUUAUUUGGUAGGCCACAUGAUAAAUUGGAAGGGGCCGCAAAAGAAGCUAUGAUCCUAGCAAAGUGGGUUGCAUUGCAGCAUAUCCAACUCCAUUUCUUUCAUCCUAGAAAGCAUAUAGGCUAUACGUUCCAUUCUAGGCCUCCACCUAGAGAUAAUAAGUGGUCUGUAGGGAUAUGAAGGAAAAAAGUGUCACUAGGUCCAACAGGUGAACAACCGCAUGGGCGGGCAUAAGCCACAUUUUACCACAACUUUGGGAAAUAAGUUUGACCAACUUAGCAUAGUAUUUGUUUUGAUGCCACAUGUUUAGCAUGCCACAACAUUUAGCUCAAUAUCCACACUUAUCAUAGGCAUAAUUUCUUGCGAAAGUUUGUCUAAAAUGUGGCCAACUAUUUCUUAACCAUAAAACUUGUGGCAUGCCACACCUUGCUCAAAAGCUUCGCAAAGUGAAGCAUGCAACCAAAUGUCAUCUAGUGUGCAUUAUAUAUGUGUUGGGGUAUAUAUAUCACUCGAAUUGCCCAUCCCAUUCUUCCUAGUGCCUAUAAAACUAGGAUACAAUAGGUCAGCAUUUCCAUGUCAAUCUUUCUGUUAUUUUUUGCUCUUGUGAAAUUUCCUCUCCUUAUCUCCAACCUCGUGCAAUUAAGUUAUAACCCGGUAUCCACUAUCCACACCCCCAUGUUGACAUAGGCUAAGACUCACAGACACUUCAUUUUCAGAUAGAGUUGAGACACCAGAGAUGUCACUGAGAUGUUUUACUCUUCCUUGAAUACAAUGGACAUAGGAGGCAGCAGGAAUGCAGCUAGCAGAUCACUUGUCACAGGACGUCGUUGGUCAUACGAAACAAGCACAUCGGUAUAUAUCAGCACGGUAUUCUCAAGCCCAUAAUUCAUAUGAUCGGUAAUCCACCACGCGUAUUUUCUUUCUGGGCUUCUAUGCAUUAGAGGUUUGGGGCAAGAUUGGAGGAAGGGAUAUCUACGUGCACAGUAGGGCGAGUUAAUGCACCAUCAUGCAUGAGGUAUUCAUGAUGGAACUUGUAUGGUAGUUGGCUAGUUGCUAUCUCUUCUCGCUAGUAGAAUUUCUUUUUGUACAUGCAGCUAUGAUAAAACUACACAAUAUGCAAAAUAAGUGGAUCAACGGUGUCUGAUAGCUAAUCCCAUUAGGUUAGUAGUUUGAGCUUGGUUUUUAUGUUUGAUAGCUAAUCUAAAAUGUCACCAACUAUCAAUAUUGGGAGAAGUACAGAUAGUUAUGUUAGAUACCAGACCAGCUAGGUUUAGAAGACAUCACAAAUUUUAUUGAAUUAAAGAACAAGAUGAUGGCACUGCCCUAUCUUUUCGCUUCUGCUUAUGCUUAUAAGCAAAAUUUUAAAUUUUUAACCUUCAAUUUGAAGUUAAUUUUGGGGUUUUCUAACCAAAGUUUAUUUUUCUGGCUUGACUUUUAGAUCGCUAAAAAUACGUAUAUAAAACUUUUAUUCACAAAUUAUUUUUUUUUGCAAAUAUAUCAUUUGAUUUUUUCCAUAAAACACUCAAACAAUCAUCCAUUAGGAUAGCGUACAGUGGGAGUGAUCAUUUGGCUUUUUAAGUAGAAAAAGUCAAACGGUAUAUUUGCAAAUAAAAAUAAUUUAUAAAUAAAAUAUUUAUAUAUGUGUUCUUAGCGAUCUAAAAGCCUAGGCUAGAAAAUAAAGUAUUAUAAAAAAAGCCUAAAAUCAACUCCAAAUUUAAGGUUGAACAUUCAAACUUUAGCUUAAAUCAUAAGCAGAAGCGAAAAUGCGUGGGUGAUUAUUUCUCCAUUUGUAUAAAGAUUGCCUCUGCAGUAUUGAGCACAUGAAGAUAUACAUAUAAUCAUUUUUUCUAAGCACGCCGCUUUGACUUCUCGAUAUGAAGUUUGACCCUUUGUCUUGUAUAAAUUUUUUAAUGAAAGUAUAGUUUACUUUUUAUGAUUUCUUUUACCAUUAAAAAAACUUUAAGUAUAACAUAUAUUUUGUAUAUUUAUACUAAAUUUUAAAUAGGGCAUACUGCGAAAUGUAAUAUCUAACAGUUAAAAGCGCCAUACAUUAGAGUUAGUGCGUUAGUUAUGGCGAACAAAACAGAAACAGAGCAAUAUGAUAACACUGAUUAAUUAACUGCAUAUGCAAACAUGAACAAAAGGUUCCAAUACACUACUUUCUACACCGGACUAGCAAGUAGUUAGCUGGCUAAUGUUGCAGUAAUUUCCAGUAUGUUUUUGGCUCUGGCAUGGCAUUCGGCAUCUUGGCGGUACAGUUUUGCCAAGAUAAAAUGCGUGAACCAUGGAUACGAUUGACUGACUGAGAUAACGAGCUAACGAAGGAUUUCCAGGAUCAAUUAACCGUUAUGUUGUCUAGGGCGAAUGUUCUGCAGAGUAGCUAUGAUAUGGGCAUGGAAGGAUGAGGAUCAUAAGGUGAAUUUGUUUUGUGAGGAGACCCGCUCUAUUAGCUUAGUUUUGCAAGUUAUCAACCAUAUGAUUAGUCCAAGCAUAAUCUCUCCCAUUUAUUUGAUAGUAUAUCGUCUUGCUAAGAAUAGGGUUCCCAAUUUCAGAAAAUGCAAACGAAUUUCUUUCAGACGAAUGGAUUCAAGACAAGAAAUAAGGAGUAUGAAAUGCAAUCAGAGAACGUCACAACAGCUUAUCAAAUUGUAUGUCCUGUUUGAGUGCUUGUACUAUUAUGAGACUUUUACUGUCAACCGUUAAUAGCAAUAUGCAUUAAUUAGUGUUCUCCAGUAAACUCCAUCAGCCUACCACACUGAUCUCCCUUUCUCCACUCCAGAUUGGUCCCUUGUUUGUCUCACUACUCCAGGUGAUCGAUUUCACAAUUAAGUCAGGAGAUUUGCCUCACUACUCACUAUGUCCUUUUCUCACCCACUCCAUCUUCAGUAAUGUCAGCAGCAGCACCUAUAACUUCACCUGUUCUUCAUAUGCACAUCUACACAAAUCUUCAUCCUUGUCUCUACAAUCCUAUGCCAAAAUCUUCACCUCCCAUAACAACAUUAGCUGGAUUGAGCUUGGGAGGCACCGAGAAUGUAUUCAACAGACAAAAACCAUGACCUUGUGUUGUAUUAAACCCGAUCCCAGGAACAUGUUCAUCCAGGCCUACGUGAAACGGGUGUUCCCUUGAUAGAAAUUGGAACGAAACUAGUUUUCAUAAACAUAUCUUUUUCUCCACUGCCAUUCUUGCACAUACAAGAAUUCAUGCCUAGCUAUAUUUCUUGACCAUCGUGAAAUUGGCUACUCGGAUUUGUAACCAGACUACCAUCUUCUUUUUUUUUAUUGGCUCUGUUCAUAGCUUUUUAGGAUUUCUUCUCUGUCUCCUCAGUAUUUCUUAACUAAAACAUAUCCAUUGUUGACUUAAGUUCUUAAUAUCAAAAUCAAUCAGCUUGUGUUAGUUGAAAAUACGACAGGCUGAGGUGUGUUGUUUUCUCUUUCAUUGUGUGUUGUUAAUAAAAUGAUUCUUUUAUGAUAAUCUAUAGAGGUUUGCAACCAGGGCAGUUAUGCUCAAGUAAUGUUUGUUACAGUUUAGGGGCGGAAGCUAGCCCUAUUUGUUCAGGUCAGAUGACCUUGAUGAAAUUUCUAAAAGUAAAACUCUAUUUUGAUCCAUGAUAUUCGUAAUGAAGAUGACCCUAGUUUCAUUUUCAGUUGGCUUCACCUUUGUUACUGUUAGCUUCAAAAAAAAACAGUGAUGACUUGCAAUGCAAACAAAGCUGCCAGAGAACAAAUUUUCACCGGAAAUCAGGUUAUGAGCAGGGUUUCAUUUAUCACGGAGGCACCCUAAACCGUUCCUGGGCGGAGACGCAAUAAUCAGUGAUUAUCACGGUUUUUUCCUUCGUAUCGCGCGGUUUCAGACAAAUAUCACGACAAUAUGGCGAUCGCGGUUUGAAGCGAUAAUCGCGUGGUUUCAAACGAUUAUCACGAUGAUAUAUUCUCGCAUUGGAGUUCUCGAUAUAUCUCGCAAUUAUACGUGGCCAGAACUAUUUUUAUAAUUUUUCACUAAAAUAAUAUAUUUUUAAAAAUCCAAAUUUUAUGGUUCAAAAUAUACCCCAAAGAGAACACCGUGCUGCAGAGUUCUCCAAACCAACGGUCCAAAACCCCGAACCUCCAAACUGCAUACCACGCGGUCCAUACACUGGAUCCAUCCCAGCCGUCCAUUCCUCCCACCAGAGCACGUGGACGGCGAGAUGGUGCCAUCGGUCCACGAACCACUCCGUAGACCGGCCAUUUCAAACGCGAUAAGAAAUCCCGCCCACGCGCCGCCCUCCUCGCCGCCCCCCUCCCUCCUCUUCCCGUUAGUUAGAGCCCCCAUAGCCACCUCCCUCCAAGCUCAAACCCUAGGGGAUUCUACCCAGCGAUUCCGCCCUAGUUAGGCACUUGUAUCGUAGGGAGUAGUCGGUCGAGGGCCCCGGAUCGGCUGGAAUCGGAGAAGAGCCGAGCAAAUCGUAGGAUUUUUGGUUUUUGCGUUUUCGGGAGGUGUUUCUUUUCUUGGGUUCGUUCGAGCGGUUUCUUGAUGCGAUUUGGUUUGGUCCUUGCCUUGCAGAUCUGCGUGAGUGACAGGAUUAGCGUGCGGGGGGUUGCAGCGGUAGGAAUCUGAGGUGAGGUGCCCCGAAAUGUUGUGGGAUUUGGUUGGUAUUUCAGGGCCCUUUAGUUGCAAAUCAGUAGAGAUUUGAGGAUUGCAGGACUAAUCUGAGCUGAAAAAAAAUGGGGUAUUGGACGAUUUCUGGUGUUUCUUGAGGCGAUUUCUUGGCUGGUUUCUCGAGGUUCUCUCUUUUUUUUUCUGAAAAUGCGGGAUUUCUUUCAGGUAUCUUACGGUCGCAAGAGGCAGGAGCCAAAUCUGAGCUCGCGCGGAAGGUUUUUUCUGUUGGUUUCUUGCGUCGUCACCGACGUGCCGCGCCCGCGUGCUUCUCGCAGAUCUCCAGGAAUGGCUGAGGUGAGGAGCUCCGGCAGGACGGUGCUCGCCGACCCCUCCAGUGGCGGGUUCUUCGUCAGGAGGAUGGCGUCACCAGGAGCUGUGGCGGUGGUGAAGGGAGGAGCCGUCAAGCCGCUGGCUCGCCGGGGCCUGCCGCCGUCGANNNNNNNNNNNNNNNNNNNNNNNNNNNNNNNNNNNNNNNNNNNNNNNNNNNNNNNNNNNNNNNNNNNNNNNNNNNNNNNNNNNNNNNNNNCCACGAGUAGCGUGGUGGGUGGUGAAGGGAGGAGCCGUCAAGCCGCUGGCUCGCCGGGCCCUGCCGCCGUCGAGCAACAAGGAGAACGUUCCGCCAUCCUGGGCCGUGACCGCGAGGGCUACGCCAAAGAUGAGGAGGAGGAGCCCCCUGCCCGAGUGGUACCCGAGGUCCCCGCUCCGCGACGUCACGUCAGUCGUCAAGGUGAUGAACCAUUUCCAUCGGGCCGUGUGCCGGAUGCUCACUGAAUACUGUAGAAUCGCGUGGUCAUGUUGUGCUGCGUCGUAGGUUCAUGAUGCAUGACAUGUUCUUGAAGCUAUAGUAAUGCCGAUUUAUUGUGCACAUGAAUCUGAGCUUGUGUUCAAAACAUAAGGGUUACCAAGAGUCAUGAAUAUUACUAACAAGAGUCGCAGUCUAGGAAAUUAAGGUAUCUUUUGACUACUGCUGGUGAUAAUAUGCAUUUUUUUCUGUUAUUGUGAAAACAUGACUGAAUUUUUAUUGUUAGUGUUUCAAUCCCUAGGAUGAGGAACACAAUAGCAUGGCAUUAUCGAUUAUUACCGUUUAUACCAAAGUCAUAUCAUAGAAUUAGAAAUGAGGGACUCUUCUGACCAAUCUGUGCUUCUUUUUUAUUUCUGCUUUAAAUUUAUUCGUAAUUUUAAGUGGCCAGUAAGCAGAUGAAAUAUUGUGCUAUUCUAAGAAGUUCGGCGAAAUAUGCUUAAACCAUGGAAAUGACAUAAUAUUAUGCUAUUCAUCCAUAACUCAUUCUUAAGGAGUACUGUAGAGUUUAAAUGCUCCUCUGAUCCUGACUAAUCAACUAUGACAUGCCUUAUUAUUGUACUUGUUUCUUGCACGCACUAUGUAUCAAACUAAAGAGCCACACAUUUGCGCGAUUGGGUCUGUUCUAUCAUGAAUGUGUACCGAAGAUUAUAGAGAGUAAGAAUUUACCCCAGUUCUGGAAUUGUGCUAUAUAUGACCUUGACAACAGCAUAAUCUUGCUUACCCUGCCAGUCAUCAUAGCUUUUGAGAUACAUUUAACCAGAAAAAAACUGAACUGCAUGUAUUCACAAUGUAGUUUGCCUGGUACAAUUUCAGUUUGGCUUUGCUACAGUGGUGCCCUUUUCUUUUCUGUAAAUACUCUUUGGUCAGUUAUCUUUAAUCUUACAUUUCGAAAAUAAUUCAAUUGGUACAUGUUCAAUAAUCUGGUAUGCUGUGUAGGCUUAAAUACAACAUAUUUAUUUUUCAUAAUAUUCAGUUUAAUGGAAGUGUUGAUGAUGAAAUUCAUGCUAACUGAUGUAAUACUGUUAUUCUUCAUAGCAAAAAAAAAAAACUACUGGAGCCAUUAAAGUGUAUUUUCUGUGCAUUCAAAUAAUAAGAGUUAUAUGUCUCACUAUUUCACAAGUUCAUAUAGGUUUCAUAUUUUGCUUCAAUACUGUCAUUUGUGGGAAGGAAAAACGUCUUUUUGGGGGGGUUUUCAUUUUUCUGUAAAUAGUUCUCGGCCACUAUUAUAGCUGUCCAUGCCUUUUGUCCUUGUAUUUAUGCUCAAAUAUUGAGGAUAUGCUUCUCCAGUACUGAGUUGUAGAAGGCCAAUAAUGCUGGAUUGCCGGUACAUCCUUCAAGCUAAUGGAAUGCAAAUCUAGUUAUUCAUCCAUGACAAUCUGCUGAUAAUAGUACCUCCAAUUUGCAGGCAAUUGAGAGGAGAAGUCGCCUUGGAAAUGCUGCGGCUCGGCAGCAGCUCCAGUUGAGAGAAGAUUCUUCACGGUCUGUGGAUCCAGCAACUCCAAUACAAACAGAACAGGGUGUCCCUCAAAGCACACCAACACCACCAACUCAAAAGACCCUGGAUGUUGCCGCCCCUUGUCCUGGCUCAACUCAAGUCGUUGCAAGCACAUCAACAACUUAUUUGGCCGAGGGCAAGCUGAAGGCACCUUCCUCUCCACCAGACUGCUCCUUGCAGACGCCAUCCAGACCAAAUGAUCCAGCUCUUGCUGCCCUCAUGGAGAAGAAACUGUCCAGUUCAAUAGAGCAGAUAGAGAAGAUGGUAAGUAAGAACCUGAAGACAGCUCCGAAGGCUGCUCAGCCUUCCAAGAGGACCAUCCAGAGGCGCACCCUGAUGUCCAUGAGAUGAGAUGUGCCCAGAGAAGAGAGAGGCCUGCUCAGGCUUGCAAGGUUUCCACUUUGUCUGCUGCUUUCUUGGCCGCUAGUCCUAGCCACCCUUUGCAUCAGCUGCUCUUCUUCCAUCCCUGCUUUGAUCCUGGGCUUUGUUGAGGCAUGGUGCUCAGUUUUGUGUACCAUUGGGAGGGUUCUCUGCUUUAGGACCCUGGGGUAUGGGGGGUAGCCUAGCUCUCUGCUUGAGGGCAUAUAGGAUUAGCUGUUGAUAUACCAUUGGUCGUACUGGUACAUGCUUACUGCAGCAGAACUUCAAUUGUGUAUAUAUAGGCUUCUGUUUCUGUAUAUUUUUGUUACUCACCCGGACAACAGUUCAUCUGUAAGUUUGAUAGACUCCACGCUGCAUUGAAACAUCAAUCAUGUUAAUAGCUAACAAGACUGUUUUUCUGUGAUUCUUUUUUAGUAUUAACUAUUAAUGACAGUAUGGUACUUUUGUUGUAGAAAUGUAGAACAUUACACAUCCUUGGUAUGAACUUGAGACUGAUCACAUAGAGUAAAUGAAACUUUUCAUCAUUGAUUUCCAAUGUCGUUGGUUUAACUAAUCUCUAGUUCUCUACUUUGAAAAAAUAUCAAAUAUAUUAAAAUUAAUUGAGAUUUGAAUAAGGGAUUGGGUUUUAUGAAACACUUUGACCAUAAAAACAUAUGAUUAUGUGCCAAAGUAAUGAUACAUACAACUGUAACUUCAACACUAGUAAGAGAAAGUUUAUCAUCCUUAAUAAAGUAAUCGAAGAUAUCAAACUUUUACAUAAAGAUCUUCCUUCCACAGUGAAUUGGAUCUUGCGGAGUGAAUUGUGGACGCUUGCUAGCUCUCUUGCCUCUACCGUCGUCGUCGUUGCUGAUGUGCGAGGAGGAGGAGGACAACUGUACCUCAUGCGCUCGCGUCGCUGCUUGGCCUGCGGCGGAGGUUCAUCUGCACCGGCGGUGGCGACGGCGAUCGACGACUCCACUGGUGGAGCAUCAUCCGUGCCGUCGACCGGUCGACUUCGGCAGCGAUCGACUACGCCGGAGGAGCUAGCUGGACGUCGCCCGGCCCCAGGGAGAUACGGAUUACCCAUGGUGGAGACUGAAACAUGAGAAGCUUUACGGCCGCGUGCGCGGAGUUUACUUGGUUAGACGGUGGUGGGGAGUUUGAUUUUUUUAAAAAAAAAACAAGCGUUGCGUCUGCGGUUGCAGACUUGCAGUAACCAUACGUUUUGAGGAACUCCUCAGUCUCACCGCCGGCGGUGCUACCACCAUGCGCCCCGCCGCGCCAGAGACGGUUGCGUUACCGGCGCCGGAGACGACCGCGGAACGCCGUAUCCCCCUCCGCGACAUCACCAACACCGUUGAGGUCACAUUACUACAUGGCACCAAUUCUGGCUUUCCGUUUGGAUUUUGCGGUGUGUGUGUGUGUUUUUUUUACACUGGAGCGGCGCGGUUUGCUUCAACUCCUCGUGGCAGGCUACGCGGCCUUCCUUGCUGCCGGCGGCGGCGACGGAGAGGUCCGAGACGCAGAACGCAACUGCGGCGGCGGAGGGGCAGAACGCAGCAGCAGCAGCGGAGGAAACUGAACCAGGGAAGAAGCCGCUCGCUUCUGAUCGGAGCACUGGAACGGAAGAAACGGAAGCCUGUCCACUGACUGAUCCCGCCGUCGCCGCCGCCGCCGCCGAAAUCUCCGUGCCAUCUCUGCCUCCGGUGAGAGCCGUUCGUCCAUCAACCGAGCAGCCUCUGCAGGACGCAACCGGUGCAGCUCACGUCGCCGGCGGCGGGGCCGCAGCGUCCCGGCGAAAGCGCCGGCCACCGAAAAAGGCAACGGCAACGCCGCCCUCAGACCCCAAGAAAGCGAGGCGACGGCGCGCGCUCAGGUUGAUGAGAUGAGGUGUUUCGCCUUUUGAUUCAACGUUGUUUCGUCCCAUUGAUGAUCAAAGUUCGAACAGUUUGAGCAAAUAUUAUCCUAAUUUGUUUCUAAUUUGGCUAGUUCCUUAGCUGAUGGAUGAAUAGUUUUGUAAGCGCAUUUUUUUGUGAAUACCCGGAAAAUAUACUUGCUGGGUUUGAUUGUAAGCUGUAUGUUCUUAUUAAGGAUUUCAAUUUAAGCAGGGCGAAAUCCUGACCUCAGGUCCAACAAAAACAAUGUUCAAGACGAAUGAGUGCAAAUCAAUUGCGUUUACAAUGGGACCUAUCGUGCCUUCCAUUGUAUUAAAAAUUAAAAUUAACCCUUCAAAAAAAUGCACCUGAACACUACAAGAUUCAUUAGCCCACUGCAAUUUUGUUCAUUUCACAUGAUUGCAGUUACAUCUAAGAGAAUAGGAGAUGUAACAGGUUACGCUAACAUUUAAAGAAACUAGAAAACAUAUCUACUUCCUCCAUCCCAAAAAAAACUUAUCUUCAGAAGUCCAAGGAAUGGGAGAAAUCUGCCACAGGCAGGAGUUAUCAAAGGAAAAGAAAAGAACUAAGAUAAUUACAGGCGACCUUCAGAGACCCUAUAAGCAUGCUUUGAAAGUACAUGAUCUGUUGCAACACACAAUUCGUUGCCCAUCUAGAAAAAUGGAAGCAAUGCACUGGCGGAAGAUUGAAGCAUGUGAUGCCCUUCUUUGUGACAGGUCGAUCAGUUUCGGAGCCUUUGGUGGCACCAACAGAUGGGGUUCCCAUGCUGCACAUCACUCUUCGAUGCGGGACGGUCACGAGCUAAUGGAGAGCACUGACUGCAUUUGGAGACAAUCAAGAUGUUCCACGCGCCGCUACUCUGAGUCUUUGAUGGAUUCUUGCUUUUGCGAUAAUAUAAGCAAAGAUGAAAACUGAAGAGCAUAACAACAGGUAGCUUAGACUCAGAUCUGCUACUUAUGCUUAAUGCAAAAAUAGCUUUCCCAAUUAUACGUAGAGAUGCAUGGCACACUAGUAACUGAAAAUGUAGGUGAACUAACCUGAGUACCAGCAAGUAUUGUAUGAUAGAAGGGAUGCGCUGCACAGGAAAAAACUCUCUGGGAUAAAGGAAUAAACUUGUUUACUGCAGGUUUCUUUUCCUCUGAGUCUCUUACUUCCUCACUGAAACAUGGAAUGCCAAGUUUGAGUAUCCAAGAAGAUUUGAGUUGAGAAAAUGUAUGAUUGUGUUUUCUUUUUCAAAAAAAGGAAAAAUGUAUAUAUCAGCUCACUUGUAGUCAACAUGGCAUGCUGAACUUGUAUCCGGAUGAAAAUCCAAUAGAUGCAUGCCACCACUAUUGGAGGCAGAUCCAACUGCAUAAAUCUGGAAAAUGUAAAGAGUAUGUUAUGCAUCUAGCUCCAGUGUGUUUCAACGCCAGAUGAAAUAUUUAUUACUUCCUCUGUCCCACAAAGGAGGUCGCUACCAUUCAAAAAGUCUCACAAAAAAUGUCGUUUUAGCUUCUUGACCAAAACAGUAGGGGCCACCUAGGAGUUCUCCCCUAGAACCAUUAUGGUCCAUUUUUUUUUCCAUCGCUCUUUUUUUUUUUUCCCAGCAACGCUACAUGCAGUAUUUAAUUUGUGAGAAACCCCCAAGCUAUGAAUUGACACCUGCUGCAACUAAUAAACGAGGGCAAUUUGGCCAUUUUUACUUUAAGUUAAUUUGUGUGAGAAUCCUUAAAACGUCUUCCUUUGUGGGACAGAGGAAGUAUUAUGGCUACAGUGAUAACUAAGAGUGCCUUAUUCAGAAUUAUUGAAACCCUUUUCACUGUGACAAGAUAUCUUGCAGGGUUCAAUUUAAUCAGAAGAACUGCAUGGUGCUUAAAUAUAUUCUUACUGAAGAUGUAGGCAACCAGGUUGGUUUUCUCUGUAGCUUUUGCAACAUGAAGUUCAUGCUCUCCCUGGUAAAACAAGUAGCAAAGCAGAACGAAAUAAUAGGUGUAAUUAGUAAAGGUUAAUUAAACUUCGAAGAUUUGGAGGCAGAAAUAAUCUACUUACAACCAAUCAGGAGGAGGGCAGUGCAAGUGACUCACACUGAGGGUGUUAAUGUUCAGGGCUCCAGACCUAACAUGGGAUGUAUAUAGCAGAGGAAGUUACUGAGAUCUAGGCCAUCGCACAGAAUACUUGAACAAGUAGAAUAGUUAUUAAAUAUGACGCCCAAAGGGAUGGUGGAUGGAAAAUUCCAGUAAGUCAACAAAGUAGUUAGAUAAUUAAAAAUUGAGUAAAGUACAUGGCGGUAAAGUACAUGACCGGUCCUUAAACUUGCAGCGCGGUACCACUUAGGUCCAUAAACUUAGAAAGUGCACAUUUAGGUCCAUGAACUCGUUUUAAUGUCUAAAAUCAUAGACCUGGAUGGUAAAUUAAAACGAGUUUAUGGACCUGGAUGAUACAUUUAAAACAAGUUCAUGGACUUAAACAUGUAUUUUCUAAGUUUAUGGACCUAAGUGGUACCGCGCUGCAAGUUUAAGGACCGGUCAUGUACUUUACCAUUAAAAUUAGUACAACACACUAAACUUACCAGCCAUUGUCAAGGUGGAAGGCCAACUGAUAUGAGCAAGUAGGAUUGAAGUCUAUCGAAAGAAUUUCACUCGAGACAAUGUUUGUUUGAUCCUGAAGACAGUAAUCAAAUAUAUUAAAAGGAAACCGCCAUUACAUGCUAUACCAUCUAUCUUGCACAUAAUGAAGGUGACAAUUGGAGGACGUGAUGGCUUCAAACAAAGUAAAGAAAUUAUGCCCUCCAUUUCAUUCCUUGAGAUGUGUCGUUUUACAAUAUUUCUUCUUUGAGGAAAUCAAGUGUGGUUAUUGAAUAUUUGCAGAAUUUCUAAGCAAUGCCCCUAGUUUCAGAAUACAGUCCUAUGACAAGCUUGUGGCAACAGUUCUACAGAAUUUGUUUGAGGAAAGUGUUACAACUUUUCAUGUAUCUCACUGAAAAGUCAUUUAUGCUCAUAACAUUAGUGAAUAUUGUAAAACAGAUUGUUUGGUAUGUAUAGGGUUUAGGUACUUUCAGAUAUACCAAAAACUAAGCACACUGCCAGCUUCGCUCAUUUCUUAAAGUGCCAGUUCGCAGCAAGAAUAAGUAAUCUGGCUGCUUUAAUGCACUAAAGAAAUCCCCAGUGACCUCCCUUUUCAGCUAGAUGUGCAUAAUGGUUGUUAGGUUUGUUCCAGAUAUCAAGAUUUGAGAGAAGUCAAAGAAAAAACUUGAGAUAAGAGAAUUGUUGAGUUAACCAAAAACCUUUCAGAUGCCUGUUUCUAGUUUUUUUUUCUGGUAAACAGUUUUCAGAACGGUAAACAAGCCCAACAGGAAAAGGGAGGUAGGUGUUGGUAAUAAGUUUACCAUGGCUCAUAGGGAUGGCGUUUGAUGUUCUAUAUUUUAGUGAGUCGCCACAAGUCAAUAUUAUCAAACUUAAUAUUUUGCAUGUGAACAAAACAGCUAGAAUUCAUUCUAGAAUUGGUAUUUAAUAAUUAAUGCAGAUGAAUUUGAUAGUUCGUGUCUCACCAAUAAUGUGACUACAUGAAAUCAAUAAUGCUCACAAGAAUGGAAACUGAAAAAGGAGAUUAAUUUCCUUCUGAAGAAAUAGAAACAAUCAAGUUUUCUUUUCUGUUUUCAUACCUUUAGCGAUGGAAUUUUGCUCAACAAAGUUGAUAUCUUCACUGAUGACAAUUGUUGAACCUACACCAAUAAAUAAAUAAAAAUCAGCCCAACACCUACCAAUUUGUUGCAUGAAAACAGACAUUCAUAUUGCCCCAGAAAGCUAUGACCCUGCUGCAUGAAAAAUGUACUUUUAGCCGAGUUGGCUGAAGAGACGACGAACCAAAUCUUGUUAAGACAAAAGGAGUUUUACAAAAAAAAUACAAGUUCAUCAACAGUAUGCUGCCAAAACCAGGAGCGGCAGAGCCACUCUUAGUACAGACUCCACUACAGAAACCUGACAAAAGACUUGCCGGCUGCCGCUCUGUUACUUUCCUAUUAUACAAUAAGACUCAAGUGUUGGCCAUGAAUAAAAUUAAUAGAGAUAAGCCCAAAUCCACUUGUGCACAAACUAAGCAUUAAUUUUCAAGGAAAAAAGUUAAUGAGAAAUGACAAAUUAUGACCACUUAACCUCUUGAAAAGAAUUAAAUUAGGGUCAGAAAGUAGAAAAACACAAUCGGUGCUCUUGAUUUUCUCGAUGGACAAAAGUACGUUCUGUAGAAGUCUACAGAAACUUGCCUCUGGAUACUGAGUUGCCUCUACAUAUAUAAAUUUCAUGAACAGAAGUUUGCUAUUUUGCUAUUCUGAAUCUAUGAUCAUAAAAUUUAUCACAAUGAAUAUCAAUUAGGAUAAUGCAAUACCACAUACAAAUGAGGAAGAGCUAGCAGAGUACCUCAUUAUGGCUUUGAAAAGCAGCUGAUGCCCUCCCUCCACGGAGAUCCCAGGCAUGAACAGUGCCCUCUUUAGUUCCAGCAAACACAGUCUAGAAAAUGAACUGUCAGCCUCUAUCUAUGGAUGGCCCAAAGUUUAACACAAUGAGUCGAAAUUCUAGUUUAUAUCUGUAAAAUUCUGUAGCACUAAGCUCAAAUUACAAUCCAAGUUAGAAACUCAGAAUCUUACAUAGAUAUGUGGACGUGAGAACAUAAUUCAGAAAGCUAAAGAGGCAAAAGAAAAUGUAUUAUAAAACAAUAAACAUCAAGUGCUUUGCAUGAAAAUUAGCAUACCCGAUUAUCUAUAUUUAGCUUGACACUGCUAAAUUGAGAUUCUGGAUAUCCUAUGAGCUCAAGGCAGUGUUUUUUACUUAGCCGCAUGUCCCACAUGAAGACCGCCCCAUCAAGGCCAGAAGCAAAUAACCUAAGGAGAGUAAACAAGCAUAGCAUAUUAGUAACAAUGUUGUUCCAUUAAAAAAACAAACAUUGUUAGCAAUCUUUGUGGUACUUUGCUUUGCUUUGCAAACCAACACCCACCCUAAGCAGAAUUUAGUCAACCCACAUACCCUAUAAUCUUGUUCUCUAUAUUAACAUGCCCCAUGCCCACCCAGACAAAUGGAAAAAUAUUAUUGCAAUGUGCAAAAUGUGUAGAAUUCCCUGGCUUCUUUAGUGUAAUAAUAGGAGGUAAAUUAUUCCCAUCUUCUAAUUAAGAAAGAACAUAUGCAGUCACUCACAGCAAAGCUUCACACCAAGUACAUACUAGAAGUAGUUCAUUAUUAAAAAUAAAGCAAAUAUAGGGCCAUGGAAAGGGUGAACAAUACAAUUUUUAUCACAUACCAUGACUUAUCAUCUGAAGAAAAGGCUACAUCUGUCAAACCUUUGCGGAAUUCAGAGAGCACAGGAUAUCUGGAUCUUCCUUUCCGUAAAAUCUAAAUGAUUAAUAACAAAAAUCAGAAGGUCAGUGAGUUCAACUGGUAAAAAAAGCUAAACAAAAGUAUUGGAUCUAGGGGUACUAGAAUACAGUUCUUUUAAUGAGAUAAGACAUCACGAACCAUCAAUGGAAAAAAGGCACUUACUUCAGUUGGCCUGGAUGAGACACAGCCAAUAUCAAACAGGAGAACCAUGUCAUUUUGUCUAGAUGCACAAACUAUCUGCAGCAUGAAUGCAAUAAUAAGAGAUAAAUGAUGGAAAACAAGACUUGGUGCUGAUGGGACAAAGCCAAUAUCAAACAUUAGAACCAUGUCAGCCGGUAUACAUAUACUAUCUUCAGGAGGCAUACAAUAAUAAGAAAUAGAAUAAUGAAGAAUAUAAGGCAUGAUUCAUCUUUACAAAAUGGACAAUGUAGUCCUAACUCUAUGCCACUAGCUUAAGCAGUCCCCGUCAAUGUUAAAUCGACAAAGUACUUUCUGAACUGAGCUAAACUAGAACUCUAGCACCACAAAACAUAAAGAUGAAUGCUUGUGCACAAUUACAGACCUCAUCUUGAUUUGCUGGAUUCCAUCGGACAGCACAUAGGGGCAUUGAGUUUGAUAUAUGUAGCAAAUAAUUUGAUGAUUCGUCUGGCAAACCUACCAAGAAACAAUACAUUGCAGAAGGGUUGUGAUAAACACAACGGCAGAAAGCUAUGGACUAUGGAGAACCUGAUCUAAAAAAAGCAAGCUGUCAAGAAAUAACAUUUGGAGUGCCACUUCAGUCCAUCCCUUAUUUCAGAGUAUGUUGUUUGAAAAUGAAAACAAUGCACCUGCUCAACAUUUUAACUCUUUUUGUGUGCUCUCAGCUAAAUCUAUUCCAACUAGAUGUGUAGAAGUUGAAACACUUAACUGCAUCAUUUUGUACCAACAACAAUGCAGUAACAAAAACUACAGAACUGCAUCAUUAUUCUUGGAAAGAUAUGUCCUUAAUCCGACUUCAAUACCACAAUGACAAGGAAAACCAAGUCUAUCUCAGUGAAAAGGAAAAGCAAUUUCACAAAUGCAUAAUGGUUUGUGCUGGAAAGCAAAUAUCUGUAUUUUAAAUUUACUGACACUCUUGGUAUGCUUAUGUAUAACAAUAUUCCGACGUGUCUGCUGAUUUGAUAUAAUCCAAUUUAAUAUUUUAUAAGGUCAAGUUGGCCUUCAUUUUAACUUACUAUGUGACGGACCAUAUGUGGAGCAGUACAAGGUCUCAAAAUCAUGCACAGUUAAACAUCCUGCGGCUGUAACUGAUGCAAGGUAUAUUCCCUGCCAAUUAAAAACACAAGGAAUGUGUGUAAACAAUUAUGCAGAGAAAAUAGAUAAAUGACAUUUCAAACAUUAUAGUUUAGAGAUAUUCCAUCACAAGUUUAGGCUUACAAGAUACAGACAUGCCAUUGCAAAGUUGAUAUGUUCCUUAUAUGCCAUUGGAUAUCCAAAUUGGCCUAUUAGCGCUCUUCUUCUUCUCCUCUCCUCCCUUUCCACUUGUCCAUCAUCUCCCAUGAUCUGAUGAUCCCAUGUUUUCCACAUUUCCUCCCCUCCCCUCUCUAGCACACAUCUUGAGUCAGGGGUCCUACAUACCGGAACUGGCGAUGUGCUCAAGAAGGCAUGACAUGGAUUGGAUGCCUCAAAGGUGGAGGCUUCAUUCAUGGAUGCCAAUGCUAAAAUAUACUGUGGAGGUAGACUGGAUGUGCUGCCGACAAGGGUGCCACAUGAACAUAGCUGCUAGCAAAUUUCACAGCUGCUGGUGCUGCAUGGAGCAUGACAGCACAUUGCAAUAGCCGUGUUGCAUGCACAGGACUGUCGUCCACCCCACCUCACUGGUGAUGUCAAUCCUCCUCUGAUGCCAUCACUCUACCUCAUCCACCUCCUAACCUUGGGACACCAGAUGUGUAGAUCUAGUCACACCAAAGGGCAGGAGAAGCUGCACCAUCGUAGUGCAUAACAGGGGCAUGGAAGCUAGUUAGAGGAGGGUCAGGUGGUUGGGAGAGAGGGGAAGAUGGCAUAAUUUGGUCAAAUGUGCAUACCAGUUGCUCGUAAUGGCAUAUCUCUUAGGAAACCGAUGCAAUGCCACGUAUGGAAAAGGAAAUUUUUAAUGGAAUUUUUCUAAGUUAGAACCUUUACAAUGGCAUAACUAUUAAUUUUCCUUGUACACAUCAAUGUGUCAUUAGUCUUAGAAAAUAUCUGUGCCUACAAGCAAUUGCCAUAGGCAGACAUGCUAAACUAGGAAAACUGAUAUCACGUUUCGAUGCUACCUUUUUAUCAAACUCCAUUGCUGAAAUCCCCUCUCUGCCAAAAGAGAAAAAGGCAAGUUUAUUAGUGUAUUAAAAGGUUGCAGGUAACAACAAACAGCAGAAUAAAACUCUAGGAAGGUGGUUAUAGGCUUAUAGCAACUACUUUAAACUUGUGAUUUUAUAAUGGAAUACAGCAAGCAAUAUAAAAUGGAGAUGCUGACCUUACUGCUUGAAAUCCCAGGCCUGAAUCGUUAACACCUCGAUUCAUCUAAAAGGAGCAACCACAGUAAACUCGUCGAUCAAACAACGAACAGGAAUUCAACAUUACAAGGUACAUAAUGAGCAUUUUUGGUAGAAAUAAGGUAGGGGAGAGACAUACUGUUAUAUACUACUGUCUCAUAAUAUAUAUACUUUUUCCAUUUUUGGAGAGAUUAAGGAAUAGAGUGGGAUUAAAUGAAGGAUUGUUGGGAUGAGAAAGUAGGUGGAGAAAUUAAAUGAGGGAUGGUUGCCAUUGGUUGGGAUCAGGAUUCAGGAGUUAGGUGGACAAGUAGCUAUACCAUGCGAUAAAUUUGAAUGCUAAAAGUAACUAUAUUUUGAGACGGAAGGAGUAUUAAACUAAAAUACAUACACAAGUAUAGGAUGAGCAUUACAUAUGUUGUACACCGCUCCUGGCCUUCCAUGUAGUAAUUGUGAUUGAAGGUCCUUAUCUUCCCAACAUAAAAAAAUAAAUUAAUUAAAAUCCAAUUAAGUAUGUUGUAAUAUAACAUGAAAAUAGUGUUCCUUCAAAAAAAAAAGGAAAACUAGCAUAGACACAACUAAAACCACCUUCGUUUUUGUACUGCAGAAUUCCACACCAACACCUGCUAUGAUGGCGUACAUACCUUGCUAGGAUGGUUAACAUGUCAAGCUCUAUGUUCAGGCUAUACUUUCAUGUACAGGCUUGGAUUAUAUUACAUCUUUAGAAUUACACACGAGUUUAGAUGGCUUCUUAAACAAUGUUUUCCAGACCCCCGGCAGCAAGCCAGUAAACAUACAGCCAUAUGCACCAAUUUGAACCUUGGAGGACAUCAACACAAACUCUUGAUCUGACAAAUCAAAAAGGGCCAUAGCUGUGUGACACCCUACCAGUACUACUUCGUAAGUUAUAGAACUACCAUAGUCUUGUACAGAUUACUGUAAAAGGGAAAAAAAAACAAAAGAAACAUACGACAGCAAAUUGAUAUUGUAAUCUACAAACUUGCCCUAAGAUUAGCAUUACUAAUAAUGUCCAAGGAUUAGCCGCUCUGGAGAGUUCAAGUUCCGGUGCCUAAUUCAUACGCAGUAAUUCCAACGCUACUACAUAACCAAAACCAAACAAAGCAAAUACUCUUUUCGGAAUCUCUGUCACCUCGGAGAACGAAUCGAGCAGGCGAACGGACUCCCGGUGCCGAAACCUGGCGUCGACGCGGCCGUCCAGCUCGACGGCGAUGCGGCUCCACCGGUGGCGUCUGCGGAUCAAAUGUAAGGUUAGAGGAGAGAGAAAGCGCAGUCCAGGGAAGAUCAGUGACGAGGUGGUGACUGGUGAGCGGGGGGACAACCUCGGAGGAAGCGGUGCCGGCGCAUCGCCGGUAGGUGGCGGCGCCGCCGCCACGAGGAACUUCUCCAUUGGUAGGGACUCUCAAACGAAUCUUCGGGGGCUUCGACUCCUGCGGGGGAGGAAUCGCUGGAAAUGCGUUUGGUUCGAAGGAAAAUGGAGGCGAGCCAAAACCGAAAAAAUGGGAGGCUUUCCCCCUUCCCGGAGAAACAGAGGGCAGAACAUCCAAUCAACCUAUGCGCCGCGCAGGACCAAGCGAAGCCGCCCGCCGCCGGNNNNNNNNNNNNNNNNNNNNNNNNNNNNNNNNNNNNNNNNNNNNNNNNNNNNNNNNNNNNNNNNNNNNNNNNNNNNNNNNNNNNNNNNNNNNNNNNNNNNNNNNNNNNNNNNNNNNNNNNNNNNNNNNNNNNNNNNNNNNNNNNNNNNNNNNNNNNNNNNNNNNNNNNNNNNNNNNNNNNNNNNNNNNNNNNNNNNNNNNNNNNNNNNNNNNNNNNNNNNNNNNNNNNNNNNNNNNNNNNNNNNNNNNNNNNNNNNNNNNNNNNNNNNNNNNNNNNNNNNNNNNNNNNNNNNNNNNNNNNNNNNNNNNNNNNNNNNNNNNNNNNNNNNNNNNNNNNNNNNNNNNNNNNNNNNNNNNNNNNNNNNNNNNNNNNNNNNNNNNNNNNNNNNNNNNNNNNNNNNNNNNNNNNNNNNNNNNNNNNNNNNNNNNNNNNNNNNNNNNNNNNNNNNNNNNNNNNNNNNNNNNNNNNNNNNNNNNNNNNNNNNNNNNNNNNNNNNNNNNNNNNNNNNNNNNNNNNNNNNNNNNNNNNNNNNNNNNNNNNNNNNNNNNNNNNNNNNNNNNNNNNNNNNNNNNNNNNNNNNNNNNNNNNNNNNNNNNNNNNNNNNNNNNNNNNNNNNNNNNNNNNNNNNNNNNNNNNNNNNNNNNNNNNNNNNNNNNNNNNNNNNNNNNNNNNNNNNNNNNNNNNNNNNNNNNNNNNNNNNNNNNNNNNNNNNNNNNNNNNNNNNNNNNNNNNNNNNNNNNNNNNNNNNNNNNNNNNNNNNNNNNNNNNNNNNNNNNNNNNNNNNNNNNNNNNNNNNNNNNNNNNNNNNNNNNNNNNNNNNNNNNNNNNNNNNNNNNNNNNNNNNNNNNNNNNNNNNNNNNNNNNNNNNNNNNNNNNNNNNNNNNNNNNNNNNNNNNNNNNNNNNNNNNNNNNNNNNNNNNNNNNNNNNNNNNNNNNNNNNNNNNNNNNNNNNNNNNNNNNNNNNNNNNNNNNNNNNNNNNNNNNNNNNNNNNNNNNNNNNNNNNNNNNNNNNNNNNNNNNNNNNNNNNNNNNNNNNNNNNNNNNNNNNNNNNNNNNNNNNNNNNNNNNNNNNNNNNNNNNNNNNNNNNNNNNNNNNNNNNNNNNNNNNNNNNNNNNNNNNNNNNNNNNNNNNNNNNNNNNNNNNNNNNNNNNNNNNNNNNNNNNNNNNNNNNNNNNNNNNNNNNNNNNNNNNNNNNNNNNNNNNNNNNNNNNNNNNNNNNNNNNNNNNNNNNNNNNNNNNNNNNNNNNNNNNNNNNNNNNNNNNNNNNNNNNNNNNNNNNNNNNNNNNNNNNNNNNNNNNNNNNNNNNNNNNNNNNNNNNNNNNNNNNNNNNNNNNNNNNNNNNNNNNNNNNNNNNNNNNNNNNNNNNNNNNNNNNNNNNNNNNNNNNNNNNNNNNNNNNNNNNNNNNNNNNNNNNNNNNNNNNNNNNNNNNNNNNNNNNNNNNNNNNNNNNNNNNNNNNNNNNNNNNNNNNNNNNNNNNNNNNNNNNNNNNNNNNNNNNNNNNNNNNNNNNNNNNNNNNNNNNNNNNNNNNNNNNNNNNNNNNNNNNNNNNNNNNNNNNNNNNNNNNNNNNNNNNNNNNNNNNNNNNNNNNNNNNNNNNNNNNNNNNNNNNNNNNNNNNNNNNNNNNNNNNNNNNNNNNNNNNNNNNNNNNNNNNNNNNNNNNNNNNNNNNNNNNNNNNNNNNNNNNNNNNNNNNNNNNNNNNNNNNNNNNNNNNNNNNNNNNNNNNNNNNNNNNNNNNNNNNNNNNNNNNNNNNNNNNNNNNNNNNNNNNNNNNNNNNNNNNNNNNNNNNNNNNNNNNNNNNNNNNNNNNNNNNNNNNNNNNNNNNNNNNNNNNNNNNNNNNNNNNNNNNNNNNNNNNNNNNNNNNNNNNNNNNNNNNNNNNNNNNNNNNNNNNNNNNNNNNNNNNNNNNNNNNNNNNNNNNNNNNNNNNNNNNNNNNNNNNNNNNNNNNNNNNNNNNNNNNNNNNNNNNNNNNNNNNNNNNNNNNNNNNNNNNNNNNNNNNNNNNNNNNNNNNNNNNNNNNNNNNNNNNNNNNNNNNNNNNNNNNNNNNNNNNNNNNNNNNNNNNNNNNNNNNNNNNNNNNNNNNNNNNNNNNNNNNNNNNNNNNNNNNNNNNNNNNNNNNNNNNNNNNNNNNNNNNNNNNNNNNNNNNNNNNNNNNNNNNNNNNNNNNNNNNNNNNNNNNNNNNNNNNNNNNNNNNNNNNNNNNNNNNNNNNNNNNNNNNNNNNNNNNNNNNNNNNNNNNNNNNNNNNNNNNNNNNNNNNNNNNNNNNNNNNNNNNNNNNNNNNNNNNNNNNNNNNNNNNNNNNNNNNNNNNNNNNNNNNNNNNNNNNNNNNNNNNNNNNNNNNNNNNNNNNNNNNNNNNNNNNNNNNNNNNNNNNNNNNNNNNNNNNNNNNNNNNNNNNNNNNNNNNNNNNNNNNNNNNNNNNNNNNNNNNNNNNNNNNNNNNNNNNNNNNNNNNNNNNNNNNNNNNNNNNNNNNNNNNNNNNNNNNNNNNNNNNNNNNNNNNNNNNNNNNNNNNNNNNNNNNNNNNNNNNNNNNNNNNNNNNNNNNNNNNNNNNNNNNNNNNNNNNNNNNNNNNNNNNNNNNNNNNNNNNNNNNNNNNNNNNNNNNNNNNNNNNNNNNNNNNNNNNNNNNNNNNNNNNNNNNNNNNNNNNNNNNNNNNNNNNNNNNNNNNNNNNNNNNNNNNNNNNNNNNNNNNNNNNNNNNNNNNNNNNNNNNNNNNNNNNNNNNNNNNNNNNNNNNNNNNNNNNNNNNNNNNNNNNNNNNNNNNNNNNNNNNNNNNNNNNNNNNNNNNNNNNNNNNNNNNNNNNNNNNNNNNNNNNNNNNNNNNNNNNNNNNNNNNNNNNNNNNNNNNNNNNNNNNNNNNNNNNNNNNNNNNNNNNNNNNNNNNNNNNNNNNNNNNNNNNNNNNNNNNNNNNNNNNNNNNNNNNNNNNNNNNNNNNNNNNNNNNNNNNNNNNNNNNNNNNNNNNNNNNNNNNNNNNNNNNNNNNNNNNNNNNNNNNNNNNNNNNNNNNNNNNNNNNNNNNNNNNNNNNNNNNNNNNNNNNNNNNNNNNNNNNNNNNNNNNNNNNNNNNNNNNNNNNNNNNNNNNNNNNNNNNNNNNNNNNNNNNNNNNNNNNNNNNNNNNNNNNCCCAAGCCCACGCCGCCGGCCGCCGCUGGUGGAGCUCGAGCCGCCGGAGUGCCAGGCCCCGGCCCCCGAGCUCGCGCCGAAAAGUGGAGGUCUGUUUGUAGUUUGGAAGCUAGGGCUUGUUCGAAAUUUGGGACAGUAAUACCCAGCAAUACAAAAAAAAAUGAGAAACAAAGUAAAAUAUCAGAAAACAUAGAAUAAAUUGUAUGUGGUACUAUGCAUAUGAACGGAAGAAAUUGUAUAUGUGUAUGGACACACUGUAGGUCAGUAUUUAUACGGUAGGGAUUUCAGACGAGCUAAAUGCAAACUACUCGCUUAUAUUUAUAAGUCAAAAUUUUAAUCUUAUGAGUUAAUUUAUAAGUUUUUUUAUCGUAUUUUAUUCUUCAGUAUUUACAUUUAGAUCAAUAAAAACACUUAUAUAAAAUUUUUACACCAAUAUGUUUUUAACGUUAAUAGGCAGUUUUUGUUAUACUUCUAAACAGCCAGCAGAUGGGGGUACACAUUCAUCAUCGUAAAUUAUAUCCUAAAACCCAAAAAGAGGGAAAUGUAGUUCGAUCACGUAGAACACUGUUCCAACCAGUGCAGCGGGAAAGACAAACGAAGGGAUGAUUAUUCUUUCAUUUCAUUGGAUAAAAGUGUAUUCCAAACCUGCAUCUACCAUUAUUCGAGUUUUCGUGCCGAAGUGACAAAUAACUGAUGAGGAAAUAAGGUUGCGACUGGGCAUUGUUAUUAUUUGCAUAUUUUUAAAUUGGUUUUUGUCUACAUUGGUUGUAUUUAUUGACUCUACUCGUACGUAAUUAUAUCCAUUCAUUGCUUCACUUUUCUCAUGCUUCCAUCCAUCCCUCACGUAAAUCACACAAAUAAUUGGAAGGGCCAAUAAAACCCUUCCUUACGCCGUAUCAAUUCUGUCUUAUUUACCUCAUUGGUCCGUAUAGGGAUAAAAACCGAGUGGAUUCAAAUCUGAUCGGGGACGGCAGUGUGGGUUCCGCUCGUAAACAAAUUACCAUUGUUGAAUAAUACGUGCAUAUAGACAAUAUAAUUACAAACAUAAACAACUUAUGCCCGCUAUCUGAUGUUCCAGAACAAUCACUCCCUAAAUCAUACAGUCACCAUCGACUCCCUCUAAACCUCCUACCAACACUGAUCUGAUAUUACCUUGUUCGCAACUGGAGCAAUCACCGUUUGAUCAUGUCAUCUUGCGCUGUGUGAAUCUCACUCCGCAGAUCACACAUGCUUUUCUGCUUAAAUCUACUCCUAUAUCCCUAAACAAGUUGUGACAAACGAGGCAUACAUUGUAAACAAGCCACUCUGAACAUAAAUUAAAAGGCCAAACUCGUCAGCAUGGCACCCCCCAAAGCGGCAGGCAUCAACCGUUGAAAUCAAUGAGGUGGUUGCCUUCGUGAAAUCAUUUGCAAAAGAAAAAAUGGCACAGGUACAUUACUAGCAAGGUGAAUAGCUUAAGUAUGGCUCAAAUGUUAUGCAUUGCACAUUGAGUAGGUACGGGUAACCAUGAACCACCAAAGCAGAUAAUCCUUCUCUUAAUCUUCUCAUAAUAUUUGGCAGGCAGACUUCAACAGAAAUGGAGAGAGUUCACUACCCGGGCACAAAAUUCAGAAGUACAGAAACACACUAGGCAAAAAGACUUCCUCAGAAAUUGGAACUUGUACCAGCUAACUUAGAAUUGCAUCUCAUGGGGCUUGUCGCCGUCUCUCAGAGAGAACCGGGCACCAAGAUAGGUUUUCAGGUCUGGGACAGCCUCAAUAGCCUUGAUCAAUUCAGCAUCCAAUGCCUUCUGGUCAUCCUUCUUGAAGUCGGGCAGAUUCUUGGUGGCCUUCAGAUACAGCAAAGAAUAGGCAGGUGAAUAAUCACAUUGGAGUUAAACUGAUAAUGGAAGAGGCAUACUAUACAGAUUAACGAUGCAAUAUGUACCUCCUUCUCAGUCUCAAAAAGUUCACCCUCAGUCUUCUUGGCCUUUGCCUUCUUGUCCCGGGCAAAGUACUUGUCAUCAAACUUAUCCACCUUAACACCAGAGAUGUCAACCUUCGUGGAUGUGGCAAUGACAUAGGCCUGGUUCACACGGCGGAUGGGAACGCCAUUGACCUUAAAAGGUCCUGAAAGAGAACAGAAGCAUUAAGGCAAAAAUCCGUUUCGGCUGUGAUCAGAAUAAUCAAUUCCUUGGCAUAUCUCAAACAUGCCAUAGAGAAUCCCAAAAUAAACAAUUCCCAUCCCCAAUAUAUAAAGCUCAACAUCAAAAGUAAGAACAGAAAUGACAAAAUAGAAUGUGAAUACACUAACACCAAAACAUUCACGUUGGUAUUUAGCUUUAUGGAAUUCUCAUUUAUAAACAGUAUAAUCCACUUUACAUCUACAUGUUGGAUUUAUGGGCACAUUUUCACCUCAAUCUGUAUAUAUGAGGCAAAAGAUUCCUCACAAAACAUUUCAGAAAACCUACAUAGUAUUUAUUGAACACUUGUAUAAAAACUAGCUCUCAUCAACAAUUCAAAUUAGCCAUUAAAAAGGUUUGAAAGUAGGCAUUAAGAAGGUUUUAUGACAACGUAUAACAUAAGUUUGUACUUCUAGCCUACAUCAUUGGAUGUCCUUUGUAAUGAAUUAAGUACUAAGAUUAUGCGAGAAGCAAGAAAAUGAGACGCAUAUCUAGAUACUCAAUUUAAAGUAGGUAAAUAUUUCAGCACAAAUGCACCAACACGCAAACUAAAUGCCUCAUCCCUCUUCCGGUAUGCAAAAAAAUCGAUAUCGAUCAGAUAGUGGUUUCGCUAGUCAGGAUCCAAUAAGCAGGCGGGCCACUACAAAUCAAUCAAUCCAAUGUGACACGCCAUCGCAUAGUCUAGCAAGUUAGCACCCGCAGAAAUGAAGCAUCGCAGCAACACAAAUCACGGCGAGGGAAGAAGUGAGGCAUACCGGUGAUGAGGAGCAGGCCGGACUUGAGCUGCUUCAGGAACACCACGCGCUUCCCCAUGUACCUCCCCGCGAGCAUGAUCAGCACCGUCCCGGGCGUAAUGGUCGACCUGCCAGCGGGCAAACCCAAUGGUGUCACCUCAGAAACACUGAUCCAGAGAGAUCACGAGCAGCGCAGCCGAGCUGGACGCAUCCGGUGCUACUGCGGUGGCUGAUAGAUACCUGAGCUUGGUCGGGUUGGCCUUGCGGGUGCUGGGCGUGCGGGGCUUGGCGUCGUCGGCGGGGUAGAACUUGGGCUCGGCGGCGGCGGCGGGCUUCUCGGCCUUGGGGAAGGCGCCGCCGUGCUUGGCCUUGAUGGCCCACAGCCCGCGGCGGUGGUAGGUGUGCGAGCGCGACGCCCGCUUGAUGCCCUGCGACAGCUUCGACGUCGGCGCCAUGGGAGGGAGCCCUUCGGUGCGGGGAGGCGCUGCGGCUCGAGAGGAGGGGCGGAGGCGGCGGUGGGAGGAGGGAAGGAGAAUGGAGGGGAGGGUUUGGUCGCAGGUUUAUAUACGUGCCGCGGCGUGGAGGCGGAAACCCUAGCUUCUUGGGCUCUUCGGGAUGCUAGUGGUGGGCUGGUUUAUGCAGCCCACACAGCCUGGUUGGGGUAAGCUUACGGCCCAUGGUUAUGAUUGCAUAAAUGGUUUUUGUUUUCCGCAAACUAGUAUACUGUUCGUACUUUGUGAGUGUGCGAGCGCGGCGCCCGCUUGAUGCCCUGCGACAGCUUCGACGUCGGCGCCAUGGGAGGGAGCCCUUCGGUGCGGGGAGGCGCUGCGGCUCGAGAGGAGGGGCGGAGGCGGCGGUGGGAGGAGGGAAGGAGAAUGGAGGGGAGGGUUUGGUCGCAGGUUUAUAUACGUGCCGCGGCGUGGAGGCGGAAACCCUAGCUUCUUGGGCUCUUCGGGAUGCUAGUGGUGGGCUGGUUUAUGCAGCCCACACAGCCUGGUUGGGGUAAGCUUACGGCCCAUGGUUAUGAUUGCAUAAAUGGUUUUUGUUUUCCGCAAACUAGUAUACUGUUCGUACUUUGUGACCGGAUUUUAUUAAAAUAUAUCACAAGCAUAUUAUUAAAACAAAGUUAAUAAAAAUAAUUUGAUAUAUAAGUAUAAGUUAUUUUUUCUUUAAGCCUUUUCAGUUAGUUGGUAUUUAAUCUCCAAGAAGAAUCUAUCCCGAGAGGGAUUGGGUGAACCCCUCCCAAGUCACCUAAUCAUGUGAGAUUUGAAUCCCAACAUUUCCAUAAUCCCUUCCAUGAAAACAUCCGUUCAUUUUGGCAGAGAUUUAUAGAAAGUAGCAUGUUAAAAUUUUACACAUUAUCACACAAGAUGACGAGAUUUUUUUCACACCACUGAUGGAGAGGAUUAAUUUCUUGGCCAAGACGAUAGAAAAAUCCCGGUAUAGACCAGGCUAAACCCUGACCAGGCUUAACCGAACAACAAUUUUUUUGUAGGCCAGGAUUUAUUCAACGAGAGAGAAAUCCACGGGGGUUGUGGCCCAAUCCCGAUCAAUCCUCCUCCAACCGACAAGGCCUUAAAAGAAUAUAAGGGAGUUGGUGGUGUGGUGGUGGCAGAUAUAGAUUUGUAUGCUCAAAUUUUUUCCCCUAUUUUAUCACGUUUCCACUCGUAUGAUUUUUGUUAUCUCCAAUUUUAAAUUGGAUUGGCAUAGGGUCGAGUCGUCUCGUCAACCCAAGCAAUUAACUCAGAUUCAAAUGGGAACGAGCCAACAAAAACAUGGCAAACAAAACAGCAAACACCCAAGAGAGAAGAACAAGCUAAUCAUACGAUUUUAUUGUGGUAUCGUACGCUGAUCAUGCGAUUUUAUUGUACGUGUAGCAAUGCUCAGUUAUAAGUAACGAUGGGUUAGGAGUUCUUUUACCGAUUCGCUUGUUUGGGAUCGUGUGUGUCAGUGUGUGGCGGGAGACUGGGAGGUAGGAGUGUUUUACCGUGUUCGUUGCCAAGCGUCCAAUGGGAGAAGAAGAGCAGGGUCAUCACCAAACGAUACACGAUACAUUUUUAAAUAAAAAAUAAUUUAUAAAUAUUUUUUUAUAUACGUAGUUUAGUGAUUAAAACAAAAGGCUAAAAAAUAAUCUAUAAUAAUAAAAACAUCAAAGUUAACUUCAAAUAAGGUUAAAAAAAUUAAAUUUCGACUUAUAAAUAUACAAUAGUGGGAUACUAUGGCUGUAGCCGUUUUGUUGUUGUAACUAUUUAUAAGGUAAAGUUUUAAUUUUAGAACUUAGUUCUAUGGUUUUCUCACCAUGAUUAAUUUUAUGGCAUUGACUUUUAAAUCAUUACGAACAUGCAUAUGAAAUUUUUAACUGCAAAUAAACCAUUUCACUUUUUAUUAAAAAGCGAAACAAUGUGAACCUAUAAAGCCAACAAUGAGCUUAGAGAAAAAUAUCUAAGCCUGAUGUCGACAGUGAAUGAAAUACUACUAUGAAGCUAACAAAUAGCUUAGAAAAAAUAUCUAAGCUGAUGUUGCUUUUUUUUUUUAAGAAACCGUACGUCUUAAUGUUGUUUAGAUACAGAGAUUUUUUUAAGUUCUUUAUCACAUCGGAUAUUUAGACGUUAUCCUUUAUCACAUCGAAUAUUUAGACGUUAAUUAGGAGUAUUAAAUAUAGACUGAUAACAAAACUAGUUGUAUAAAUAAAAACUAUUUAAUUAGAUAAAAAUUUUAAGCCUAAUUAAUCCACGAUUAGUAAAUGUUUACAAUAGCAUCACAUUCGCUAUGAUUAGGCUCAAUAGAUUCGUCUCGUGCAAUAGUCCAAAGUAUAGGGUGAGUAUUAUUAAUAGUCUAUAUUUAAUCUUUCUAAUUAGUAUCUAAACAUUCAAUGUGAUAAGGAAAAAAAAAGGGUCGGAGGAAAACAAAAUCAAACACUCCCUAGAAGCGUGGCACAGGCAAUUUAUAAUUCCGUUUGCUGUCUACUAAGCCAGAACAUACUUAAGCAUGAUAAGCUCCAUUAAUCAGAAUGCUAAGGCAAACUAUACUCAAGCAUGGGAGUGGAUACGUAUACGUUGGACAUGACACUUAAAUCCGAUUAAUUGCUUCAGGUAAAUAAUAGACACAUGCUGUCUUACAAAAAAAUCCCACAAGACGGUCAACAAAACUCGUGUCUGGUGACAGCGAGAUCAACUAGUUUAACGGGGGUUGAUGGUUCAAUCGGUAUAGCCGAACUAGUCCUCCCCUUUCCAAAGCUCAGCAAAUUCGUCUGGCUCCAGGGUAUUUUCCAUCUCGUGCAUCUUCCUCCUCACCUUGGCCUUCACCUUCGUGGCAUAUUUGCCAGCCUUCUUCCGCUUUUCUAGUGCACGGAUCUGAUGAGGAUAACGAGAGAAGCAUAAGAACCACUCUUGCCGAACAGGGUACACAAACUUUGCAGUAAAUGAUUUGUUAUAGUCGAAUCAAAUCCACAAUGCAUAAACUCCUAAAUGAACAGAGUAUAGACAACAGCAAAAAAAAGAAAAGAAAAAACACGUUGAUUUAAUUAUACAUAAAAGAAAGCGUAAGAACGAUUUGAAUGAUAAAUCUAGAUUGCCUUAACAAUGUCAUGUGGUCACCUAAGACGUUUAGAAGUAUGUAUUUGUACACAACAAUCAAUUGAUGAGAAAAGGAUACCUGAUUGGGAGACACAUAGUAUGGAUUCUCAUACAAUGUAGGGCCACCAAAAGUACCACCAAAUAUUUUGAUUGGAUUCAAACAGAACCUUGGACCAACCUACACACAAAAGUUAUAUCUCAAAAUUGAAUGCAAAAUUGGAAGCAUAAAAACGUUUAAAUAGAAGCUAUGAGCCUAUACCUCAACGAGUGUCAUCUUAUCCAGACCUCCUUUAUCAACCUUGUCAAUCUCAUUAUGUGGAACAGAAAUCUGACAAAGUUGAUCAUAUGGUAAUAUUCAGACAGUGCUAGGAAUAAUUAUCGUAUCUACGAGGUGGACGUUCAUGAAAAUUAAGAAAAACAAACUGGCUAAUAUAUUACCUGAUAAUUUCUGAACCAAACAUGGUCAUCAACGAUGGAGAAGACAAACACAUGAUCAUGAAAAGGUUUUGCCUUUCGGUGGUCUUUUGGAGUAGCAAAAAUCUGCAGAAUACAUAAGAGUUAGUUUAUCAGCUGUGGCAGCAUGUACGACUUCAUAAGAAAAUUGCAUGCCCCCAGUUUUCCAUACUCCAUAAGCCUAAUAUGUGCAAACCUCGAAUAUCAUUGCACACUAAUAUUGCCCUCAUGAACAAAUUCUAAUUCUGUAACCCGACAACAUUAAGAAAAAGGCGCAGAAGAGAAAACACAUUCAUAAAUUCUAAAGGCUAGAACCAAAAUUUAAAGGGUACACUUUCUUAAAUCGACGUUUAGGCUAUUACCAGCAAGCCAAAAACAUAUGGAAGGUAUUUCAUGUACAUAAUACAGUAGAUAUCGACAGGCUAAUCCAUAUUCCAUAAAUAACAAUACUUAGGUAUCACAAACAGACAUUAUGAAAGACAGGUAUUCAGAUGCAAACUAUUCAAGUUUGAACCCUGUUAACACAAGGCAAACAAACAUGGACAAUACACUGAUAAAUAUUAGUUGUUUACUCUAAUGCAUAAUCAACCUGUUCAAUGAUCAAGAAUGAAUGUGGAGAAUUUAACAUAUCAAAUCAUUCAUGCACCUGAGUAAGCAUUUCUUUCACAAGCUUCCAAUGAGGUUGCUCAUCAAAAUUUGUAGAAAAUGUUAGAAGAGGCCGUGACCCUUUCAAAUGGUUCCCAGUAAGCUUCAAUUCCUCCAUGGUGUGAACUGCAUGUAAACAUCGCAUGACAAUUAUACACCGGUAGAUUAAUUUCCGUAAUAAACUUGUACAGAUUACAUAUUACAGCUCAAAAACACUUGACAUACCAGCAUUAACUAGGAAUUUCACUGAUGGUCCUCCGGGGGACUUAACCAUCCAAAGGUAAAGAUCCUUCUGUUUUCUGCACUGCAAUACACAUGUAGAACAAGCUCCACUAUCAGAAAAGGCAACUCUAGGUCUAAAAUGAGGGAAGAUUUGAAGUUGCAAACUUUAUUUUCAUAGUGAAGUAGUAGCUCAGUAAACUUCACGGCAGAACAAAAAUAUAGAAUAACUAAAAAAUGAAAUUGUUGUAGCACCAGAAAUCAUUAACUUAUUCCAUGUUAAUAAUAAUUAGAUUUACUACUCUCCCGUCUUUCCACCAAGCAACUUGAAAACGUAGUAGUAUCUUUCCACCAUAAAUAUACCUCAAAGAAGAGGCAGCUGGAGCAGCUCCUGAGCUCGAGCAGCUCGUUGAGCGCGUUGCCCUUGCUCUGCUUCGACUCAACCUUGCUGUCCUUCUUGGCGUGCGGCAGCAGCGACACCACGUUCAGCAUCAGAUGCCGAUACCUACGAGCAAACCCACCACCAUCCCCAGCAUGCACACGUCAAUCCCUGGAUCAAAUCCACCGCCACAUCCCACCGAACGUAAAACGAAGCGCGGGGCAGCACUCACCGGUAGAUGAUUCGGCGGGAGCAGGUCACAAGCACCUUCUCCUUGUUGCGGAACGGCGCCACUGCGGCGUCCUCUCCGCCCUCAGAGGCGGCCUCGGGCUCGGGCUCGUCGGCAGGCUUGUCCUUGAAGCCGAAGAGGGUGCGCUCGGGCCGCUCCGGCGCGAACUCGUCGGGUUUCUCUGCCGCGCACGCCGAGGCGGGGGCGUCGGGGGGGCGCUUCCGCUUCUUCGCCAUGGGUGGGGCUCGAAUCGAGGCGGCGGCGGCGCGAGCAGGGAGGAGGACGACGGGCGAAUGCUUCGCGGAGGAGGGUUUAAGCACAGAUCGCCCUGUACAUGGGCCGAUCCAGCAAGGCCCAAAUAAUCCAGCCAAUGGGCCACGGCCCGUAAACUAUCAUCCCUCGCGCGGCGAACGCGAAUGCACCGCGAAUAAUCCCACCUCGCUGGCUGGAGGGGAUGCGCAGUGCCCCUGGCGAUAUAAAUAGGGGCAACGGUGCGACUGGAAAAACUUGCCUUAAACUAAUGAGUAAGGAAAACAAAGCGGUGCGGUGAGAGCCGCUCGCGGUGCGGGACUCAACCCUGCACGGCAAUUUUUGGGAGGGGAAGAGGCCUGCGCGGGUAUUGACACUGCUUACUUUUGCAGGACUUGCCCUUGUGGGCCUCCCUACCCACUAAGCACCAAUUCUAAAAAUUUAAGGCGGGUAUACCCAUUUAUCCUCAUAGUUUAAUUAUUUUAUUUUAGAUAGAAAAAUUGACUCAUAAUUAUCACAUAAUUUUCAAAAAAGAAAUUUAUCAAAAAGUUUUGCUUAAUAAUGCCAAAUCAACAAAAAAAAUCCAAAACCCAAAAGUCAAAAGGAAAUGAAUUAGUUAGAGAAAUGGAGACAUCAUAUUUACUCAAUCAUAUUUACUCAUGGAAUGAGUCCAUAGAAAAAUUCAAUCAAUCUUCAUAUGCAUUUUGCCCUUUGGGAAAGAAUUGUGCCUAAUCUACUUUUUAUCUAGGACUUUGAUAUACAAAAUAUAUAAUGUCGUGAAGCAUUUGAUUUGAAACUUAUUUUAAAAAAUAAUUUAGAAAUUUUUAUUUGUGAUAAAUUAAUUUGAUUUGAAAUUUCCUCGAAUUUUAUUUAAAAUUUAUUCAAAAAAUUAAACAUAUUUUUUAAUUUGUGAUAAAUUAAUUCCACCCCUUUGUUUUUACAACAAAUCUUUUCUCACUACAUAUUCGUUGAAAAAUAAUAUUUUCAAUUUAGUUACAUAACUUAUUUUUUUACAAUAAAUAUUUUUUGAUAUGAAUUUUUUUAAAAUUCAUAAUAAAUAUUUCGUAAUUUAUGCCUUAUUUUUUUUCAUAACCAAAACAAUUUACACAUAAAACAUUUCUAGCUUAAAGCCAUUUUCAGUAUAACUAACGGUCCAACUAAUGUUUAACUUACACAAUGAGUAUGUAAGAGAUCCAAAUAAAAACUUAUGGGCAUAUAAGAUAUCAAACAAAUCUCAUAGAUGAGACAUAGAAGAAAUUGAGAUAAAUUACUGUGAUAUAGGAAAUUGGGGCUUUUUCAAAUUGUCUAUAGGUGCUAAGCUACUAUUGGGCAGAAACUGUCAUGGGCAAUGGACCUUAACUCUUUAACGCCAAGCUCCAUGGACAACCCAUACUAAGUUAAGUUAGAGAUAAAAUUAUCAGUUAGUUAGAGGUAAGAUAAGAUUAAAUCAUUUCUUAUAGCAUCUCCAAGAGAAUAGUUAAAAUUUAUUUUUCUAAAUCUUAAUUUAGCUAUUCAUAUCAAAAUAUUUCAUCUCCAAGUGCACUCCAACAAACUAUCCACUCCCACUCUCCCACAAGAGAAUACUUAUGAGGUUAACAAUGUGGGACCAUAGAUAAUGAUCCAAGUCCGUGGCGAACCCAGAAUACAAAUUACCAGGGGUCCAGUAUAUACUAAUUAUCUAAAUUUUUAUACUUGUACACUAAUUAAUAUGAUAUAAUUUAGUAGGAAUUGGAUAAUUUACCCGGAGUCCGAGGACCCCGGGAGGACGAAGAUAUGUUCGCCCCUAGUUCCAACUACGUGAGAGGAUGACUUGCCAAAUUUUGGCAUUGAGAAGACAUGUUUAACCAUUCAAAUGACAUGACAUGUCAAAUAAACAAUCUAUCGAAGAACAAUUUUUAAACAUAAUUAUUAAAAUUUAAUACGACUUAAAAUAGACAGUCUCUUGGAAACGGCUCUAAGCAAUGAAUAUUAAUUAGUCCAAUCUCUCCCUCCCCUUAAUAUUCUUCUCCCUAGCUUAAAUCUACAUCCCUUCUCUAAGAACCGACGCUGCGCGGUUAUAUUCCCAGCGGUGGUUAUCCCGUCCUCGCUUUAGGUCGUGACAGAAACCAUAACAAAAUCUAUUAUUUUAAGUUUGGUUUCCCAGAUACAGUUAAAAAGGAAAUUAGCAUGACUAAUUUUAUACUACUAUGGACCUGUACAAGGAUUGAGCCCUGAAUCUGGUCCCAACCUGAACAGGAGAGCUUAUUUAAAUCUUCAAACAGAUACAACCGAGAACAUAUAUCUAACAUUUAGAAGGGAAAUCAGCAUGACAAAAUUUUCUGGACCUGUACAUGGAUUAAACGAUGAAUCUAGUCCCAUCCUGACCAGGAGAACUUAUUGAAAUCAUCAGCUAAAAGCACCUGAGAACAGGUUUCUAAUAUCAAAACCGAGACUAGGUAUCUAACAUCAAAAUAAUCAUACAGAUAACAUAAAUUAACAUCAAACAGGAUGAAAUUGGUUACUCCUUUCAUUAUCCUUCCAGUCAUUCAAAUCUAGCAUGUCAAAUGGAAGUUUAACACCAGGUAACAUGUGACAACCCAUUGAGAUUUAGCUUCUGCUUAGGAUCAUAUACAUGAUAAAUUGAUAACAAAAGCCUAAGGCUAAGGGAAUUAUGCUGCAUUCCCGUGUGCUAAAAGAAGAGAACAGAAAUACCUGAUGACAAAGGUUCAGAUCAGAAACCCAAAAUAUACCAUUGUUAGAACACAUGAACACUAUGUCAAUAGGCAGGACUCAGGUAGUGAUUAGUGAAGGUGCCAGCAUGGCAACCAAUUCUUUCAUAAGAGUGGGGCAGUGUUAGAGUAUAUGGUUAUACACUCCAACAGGCAGCUCCUGCUCAGAUGCUCGAAGCCAUCGGCGGCGAUGACCGCGCUCAGAUUUGCCUGUGAACUGAGAAAAUGGAAGCACGCCUUCUUCAGACCGGCACAGUGGUGCUGAUCGGCCAGCGCCAGGAUGUUCCCCACCGUGCCCACAGCAAUGUAUCUGCACAACUUUUCCUCGCAGAUCAGCUUGAGCCUCUCCAGAUUGUACCGACCUGCCGCGACAAGUAGAUGCUGGCACAUGACAUCUUCCUCCAUCUCUGGCAACGUCUCGGUGUACACGUAGCGGAGCAACAUCUUGAACACCUGCGCCUCCAUGUCUUCGAUGCGCACUACUCCGGCAGCAUCACCCUCCUUCAUCGAGCUGUAGAGCUCCGCGCUGAAGACCAACGACCGCGCCGCGAGCACGCAUCGGUGCGCGGCAAAUGUCUCGUCCCCGACCUGAAACACCACGUCUGCACCCAUCCCGGUCUCCAGAAGGCCGCCGAGCUGCUGGUUUAGCUCAGGCGGGGGCACGACGACAAAGGUUGUGGUGGUGACCUCCUCGGUGCGGAUCUUGCCGAUAACCGCUACGUCGCACCGGAUGGUGAAGGAGUCGUCCCUGAGAUCACUGGACUUCUCAAAAUCUUCCCUCUUGAUGAACUUUCUAUGAGCACAAGACCAAGAACCCUCACAAUAUCUAUUCACUCGCGUGGAUGCCAACGGUGGUGGCUUCAUCACCUGGUCGGUGGAACUAAUCUGGAAUUGUGCCUGCACCUUCACACUGCUAUUGGUGGCCUUCUCGUCUAGCAAGAGAAAAAGCGAUAUGUAAUCGGCGCAGUCGGCGGAUGCUCCAUUGGGGUAGUAGUCGAUGCGCCAGCGGUAACCGCCGACGGUGAACUGGCUGGAACUGAGGAAGGAGGCGGGGGGCGCCGUCGCCCUGGUGCGCGUGUAGGCGCCGAUCUUGAGGAGGUGGUACCCGGUCUCCGUGUCGGCGACGAUGGCGGAGGCGGAGCUGAACCGCGACGGGCUCCCGCGGCAGGCGGCGGGGGCCAUGGCAGGACACUGCUCGCCGCUGCUCUUGUUAGGGUUUUAGCGCGAAUUGGGGGAUUUUUGGGGGAGCAGGCGAAGCGACGACGGCACGACCGCGUUUAGUUGGGGCCUUGGGAGAGAAUGACCCUGUUUGUUUCGUAAAAAAAAGUCAAUUUCUUUUAAAAAAACAGACAAAACUAUGUCAAUUUUGUUGACCACAAAUUUUUAAAAAUUUGUUCAAAUUUAAUCAAAUAUAUUUUAAAUCUUAGUUAAAUUUAUCAAACUUCAGUCAAAUAUCAAUCAAAACCGACUCGAAUAUGUUAAAUACAAGUUAAAUAUUACAAAUAUUUCUUAAAGUAUACGCAUGUGUAAAAACAUGACCAAAUAUGCAAAUAAUACUAACAAAAUAGGGUCAAAUGUGCAAGGGUAAAGACGUCCAUUUUUUUCUCACUUAACACCGUUAACCUAACUUAACGGACUAGGGCUAACCGGGAGCUUCAAUUUUAAAAUCUAGAGCUAACUCUGUAAAGUGAAAAAAUAGGGCUAAAUCCGCAAUUAGACUCUAAAGUAGGAUCAGUUAUGCAAUUGUCCCUUAAAAAUCUAAUGCAAAGUUGUAUCAAAUAUAGGAAAUGACAAAAAAAAAAGAAGAGAUGCCUCGUUUGAUAAUGUUAUUUUAGCAAAACCCAAAUCAGAAGGCAUAACAGACCAAACCCACCUUUGAUAAUAACAUAACAGCAAAAAAAAUCUCGAGAAUAGAAUGGUUGCAUUCUUUACCAAGAUUUUCGUCAAGUUUUACCAAGGCUUUUGCGAGCACGCUUCCUAAACUGUUAAACGGUAUAAUUUUGUAAAAAGUUUCUAUAUAUGGAAGUUCGCCAUCUUAUCUUUAUGAAAUAAAAUUUUAACUUUAUAAUAGCUAAUUCUAUCAUUUUUACUAUUAAAUAGCUAUCAUAAAAUCAAAUAAGUGUUCAUCAUCUCCAAAACGAUUUUCCUUGUUCUUUUUCUUUGUUGACACCAUAUGUGGGCACUUAUCUAUUAGAUUAUGGGCUUGUACUAAGAAAUGCGGGUUAGCCCAAAAAUCACCAAUGUCAAUCACAAAUAGUAAAACAUUCGACAGUGAUUAGUAAAACCAGUCCUUAAUAGUACUAUAUUAUGCUAAUGUUAUGACUUAGUUUAGUAAUGCAAAAAGAUAUCAUAAACUAUUUCAAAUACAAUCAUAUAAACUAGACAUUCAAAUUUAUUUGUCUACUGAGCAUUUUUGUUAAUUAGUUUAUUAUUUCAACAAACCCAUACACUAUAGUAGCAAACCACCAGUUACUAGUAGCUUUGCAUAAUUAAUUAUAGGUUGAGACCCAUUGCAAUUACAAAAUUUCAAGUUUAGACACUGAUUUUAGAACUUGCAAGACCAAGUUUAUACACUAAUUUUAAAAACAUUGCAACAACAAAUUGAUACAUUUGAUACAUUAAUUUUAGAAUCUAUAUGAGAUAAAGUUCACACAUUGCACGUAUAACUUUAGUUAAAUAAUUUAUGCACACAAAUAUUAACACAAAAUUUAAAAGUCUAUGAAACAUUCUUAUACUAGUGCUGUCAUGUGCCAGAAAUAAAAAAUAAAAUAAAAUGAAUAAACUGUAAAUUCAGUAAAGAAAGAAACUGUAAAAUUCGCGUAGUAGGUGCAUACCGCACAUGCUAGUAUAUAUAUCGCUUUGAGCUUGUGACAGUAGCGCAGGAGCAGAUGCGUUCGUAUUGUUUGACUCACUGAAGGUGACAGACUAGCUGACAUAUAUACAUGAUUGAGGCAUCCCGUUGAAUUUUACAUUUUCAUGAGUAUAUAAACUGUAAUCACUUAGGUCAACUUCAAGCUACCAAUCUAUCGCGCGCGCGCGCGUCUGUAUAUAUUUUAUAUAUAUAUAUAUAUAUCAAAUGAACAAAACAAUUGUGCAAUUCUUAAAUAGCUCGUAAUUCAGAGUCUAAACUUUUUAUGAGUUUAAAAACAAAUUUUAUUAUGUCUUGUUAUGUUACAUAAAAGAAAAUUAUUCAAAUAUUAAGCUCAUAUAAUACCUAGAAAAUAGUUAUGACACAAGUUCGUUUAUGUUAAAAAAAACUAUGAUAGUUUUUUAACAAAUUAAAAUUACUAAUGAUAUUUUUAUUGAUUAUGUUUCCCGUUUGUUAUUAUUAAGAUGUGCAUAUAUCUUUCAACGAUUAAAAAUAUUCUACAGCGAUGCAUCGUUUGAUAGAUCAAUGAAUUUACUUAUUUCACAUAAAAAGAUGGCGCCAACAAAGUAUUUCUAAAACCCCUAAUACUCAUUCAUAUUUACCAGAGAUUUAUCAAUAACGUUAUUGUUAUUGAUUUGGCUAUUUGAGUGUGCAAUAAUAGUAUUUUAGAGUCUUGAUAAAUCAUACAUUUAGCAUGAUGUAGUAAGGUGUUGAACACGAACUUUAUUGUCUUAUAUUGUUGGUGUUCUAAUAUCAUUUCGUGGCAACUUGUGCUAUUGCGCCUACACAUGUCGCGAUAAUGUUGUGAUUAAACUUUAAUUCUAAAGGAAUACGAUGCAUAUUUAUAUAAACUUUAUGAUCGAAAAGUUUAUAUAUUUAUAUUUAUAUAAAGUCUAAUAUAUAUAUAUAUAUAGAAAAUGUUUUACUAGUUUCUAAUUGGAAAGAUAAUUUCUAAUUCAAGAAAACUCUGUAAUUGCUAGGUAAUUUUUAAUUUAGAAUGUCUGUAAUAUAUGGAGAGUUUGCAUAAGGAGAGGUGGAGUCCAUCCUAGUAUUCCUACUGGAAGGAGGUGAAUUAUAGUCAUUGGAUUUGAAGAAUGAUAAAUGAAGGACGAGGAAUGAGUAAACAAGUUUGGUACGCUGUAGGGUAAGAUGAGUAAACCAUUUAUCACUGUGUUUGUUACGAUUUCACCCAUUGAAUGAUUAAUUAAGAGCUAAACCAAUUAACAUAAUAUAUUGUAAUAAUAUACAUUAAGACACUGAAAAUUUGAAAUUUUAAACUAAACCGUUGAAAUUAAAGUAAUAUUAGAAAGAUUAAUUAAGAAUUGAACUAAAAAGUUGAAAUUAAAGUAAUAGCACCAAUUGAUAUUAUAUAUUGUAAUAAUAUGCAUCAAGAUACCGCCAAGUUGAAAUUUGAAAUUAAAGUAACGACACGAAGAGUACAGAUUUGAAAUUAAAGUAAUAGUAGAAAGAGUACAGGUUAAGUAACCAAUAAAUAAUACACAUUAUAAUUGCAUAGUUUUGUGAGUUAUAUGAAAUGAGCAAAACAAACGUGCAACUCUGAAAUAAUAUACAAAUCAACACCUAAAAUUUCUAUGAUGUUAAAAUCAAAUUCAUCGAGUCUUCUACUUAUGGUACAGCACAUAUAAAAAAUUUAUCGCGCGAGUUUUUUCAGUUAAAAAGGUAUAGUACAUAGUGUUUAGCAAACUCAAAUUAAUGUCAUGUUUUUAUUGGUUGUAUUAUUUAUUUAUUACUAGCCAGAGACACACAUGGGUUUGCUUCAUCACUUCUCGUUGCAGCCUCAGGAGCAAUUUACCAUUGCAUGCAGCGAUUCAAUAUUGGACAGAUCAAAGGAUUCACUUAUUUUAGGUAUCAUAAUCUAGUACCAACACAUCAUUCUAUGUACCCAAACACUCUUCCCUAUUUACCAUAUAUUUCUUUGAUAUUGUUGCUAGGAUUAAUCAUAAGUUGAAAUUUAAUUAAUAAUUUUGGAACACAUUGGAGCACUGUCCGAAGGCAUACCUCCUACUAAUUUAGCCAUAAUCGCUAUAUGUAAAUACAUAUCAAACUUAUUAAAUAAUUGACAUUUAUUUAACCUUUUUAAUAAAAAAAUAUCAUGUAUAACAUAAAUAUAACACUCAUAUGCAAGUUCUAAAUAAAAAUAAAAGUAGUGUUAUAUAUUAUAUAUUAAACAUGUGGUAUAAUAAUUACAUUUUUCAUGAAUAUAAAUUAAAAAGACUAAAAAAUAAUAGUGUACAUACUACAACCGAUAUGAUUAUACAUCUUAUUGUUGUCCAUAUUCAAAGAAUAAUAUACCAACAUAUAUAUACACCCAUAUGAGAACUGUUCUAAUCAGGUUGUGUAUGUUUUUAUAUUAGUGAAGGAAACAAAAUGUUGCAGACGACGUGGGCUAUUGUUACGGACGAUGCCAGUGUGUUGCUAGCCACAGAAGUGGCGCUACACGAGGUGCAUAGUGACUGUACUGCUAUGGCGUAAGUAUGUUAAUGGCCAUAGAAGUGUUGAUGCGCAAGCCGACGUGCCUUACUGUUGCGGAAGAUGCAGACACCGCUAGUGUGAGCUGCCAGCCUCCGGUAAUUUGCGCAAGAGUUUGUCUUGUGCAUAGAAAUUUUCUCAAUAUAGAAAUAAUAUAUCAAAUCUUAUCUAUCACGAAUUCACGAUACUUACAUGAAAAAUAUUAAUUAAGUAUAGACCAUUUAAAAAACUCAAUAAAUUAUCAUUUCCAUGGUAGGAUGUUGGCUUUCCAUAUUAUAGGUUUUUGUUGAAUGACAACCUUCACGUAGGAUGUUGGCUUUUCAUAUUAUAGGUUUUUGUUGAACGACAACCUUCACAUGCUAAAGGAGAGGACGAUCUAGACCGUUGUAAUACAUAUAUAUGUUUUAGGCUGAUGUGUCACCGUGAGUAAAAUAAGUUGGUGCAAAGUUUGUCUUUUGUAUAGAAACUUUCUUAAUAUAAAAAUAGUAUUCAAAUCUUAUCACCAUAAAUUAAUGAUACUUACAUGGAAAAAAUAAUACUUACAUAAAAAAUAUUAAUUAAGUAGAGAGUAUUUUAAAAGAAAAAUAAUCUCAAUAAGCGAUCAUUUCCGCGGUAGGAAUGGUGCUUUCCAUAUUAAAUGUUUUUGUUAAAUGGAAACCUUUUACGUGUCACAGGAAGGGUGAUCUACCUUUGAACUGCGUACAUAUGUUUUAGGUCGUCAGAUACGUCUCGCGAUGACAAUACAGGUAAAACGAGUUGGUGCACUAUAGGAUUAGAUAUAGGAUUAGAAGAAGAUAGAAAAGUGUUACCUUCCAAUAUUUUAUUUUUUUACAUUAUUGAAGAUUUUUAAUUUACAAUAAAUUCAAAAAAAUAUGGAACAGAAAUAUUGAUUUUUGGCUUAUGGUACUACGCUUAAAGUAAUUUGCUUCACUCUUCAAUACUCUCUUCGUUUUUCAUCUCCAGAGUGCGUUAUAUCCGAUUCAUGAUAUAAGAAUUUUGAAUCUCGACCAAAUUUAUAUAAUCUUGAUCAGGCUCAUAUGGAUGUUAAUAAAUCUACAUACAUGUAUAAAUUAUAUUUAUUUUGUGAUGUAAGACUUUUUAAUCUUGACUAGACUCAUAUGAAUGUAGUGAAUCUAGACACAUAUAUAAAUUAUAUAUAUGGAUUAAGGAAUCUUAAAACAGUGUUAUAUUUUUCUCUUCUAUUACUCUUUUUUAGGCAUUCUCUUGUAUUACUGUAGUUUUGGUUUGCUUCGCUCGUUGAUAUGACACCACGUUAAGGUUCAAAAAAUGCUUUGAAUUUUUUUUCACGAUUGUUUACUUGUAAGUUAAAAUGUUGAUGUUUAAAUCAAUCUUACAUGCUUCCAUCCUACAUAAGAAUUUAAAUAAAAAUAUAAGACGCAAGUCAAAUGCAUUUAUCAUCCUACCAAAGAUUUAGGGUAAACUGUGAUUUAUACAUUUAUCAUUCUACCAAAGUUUCAGGUAAACUGUGAUUUAUACAUACAAAAAAUAUCUUUAGUGAAUAAAGUGAAUCUUUUUAAUAGUUGCUGUGUUAAAUGGGCCAAAAAAUAGUCAGAUAGUGAAGUGUUGCAGUGAAAUAAUUUGCGUGAGUAAAAUGAACUUUUUCUCUUUUAAUAUCAAUAACAUUUAUACCUACAAAAUGGUUUCAGUCUUGCUUGAAUUUUUGUAAUUAUCACCGUGCGUAUAUCCCAGGCAUGCUAGGUUGAUAUUUAAACCCGUUCUUUCUUGUAAAACCGAUAUUUAAACCUGUUUCGUCAUGUUGGGUUGAUAUUUAAACCUCUGUCAUGUCCUGUGCUGAACCUUUUGGGCUGGGGCGAGGUCACGUGGUAUACUGAUUUGUGAUUGGCCCGGUCCAAAGCGCUUCAAUUACACGUACAAAUGUACCAACGCAUGCAUCGCUGUAAGCGCGGGUCUGAGAUCUGAACAAAUUAACACCUAAUUACCCCGACGCGGAUCGAUCUGUCGCCAAAAGCAAACGGCAGGUUCGCACCGACACGAUGCCGUGCUGUGGCAACCGAUAAUAACAUGCUACCCAACCCGAAAACCGUGCGCCACCAUGAUAUGGUUGAUGGUUCUAACGUGAAAGUACCGGUCGACCGCAAGUGACAGAGAAACAAUAACGCUAGGUUUUAUUGGAAUGGUGUUAUUUUGCUCCAACUUAACAGAUACUUCCAAACACUUUAUAUUUGACGUCGUUGACUUCAACCAUUCAUCCUAUUUUGAUUAUUCAUUAUUUUUAUAAUUUAAUUUAAUACUUAAAAACUUUAAGCAUGACUUGUUGUAUUCUAUAUUUAUAUAAAAGUUUUAAAUAAAAUAGGGGGUCAAAGUCAAUUCAAAAAACAAUGUCAAAUUAAAAAAACUAAGGAGUUAUGUGUCAUGUUUUAGCGAACCGUUUGCAUCAAUUCCUAUGCAAAUCGCUUAACGUGGCUAGCAUGCGUGUUCUUUCAUGGCAUUUAUUUAAACUAGCAAAAUGCACGUGUUUUGCUAUGGGUUGAAAUAAAUUAUAUGUGAGUUAAUAUUGCUUAUUGGUUUUUGAGACAACUUCGUCCACGUAGAUGUCCUUGCAUACAAAACCUGUCUUUUACAGAUAAAAUAAGAUAAACUCAUAUGUAUAAGUAUUACCUUAUUAUAUUAAAUUACAUAAAGGAGGUAGGUAUACAAGUGUGAUCAAUUUGCCUUUUGCGGCAAAACACGAAACGAUACAUUUGCAAACAAAAAAUAAUUUAUAAAUAAAAUUUUUAUACACGUAUUCUUAGCGAUGUAAAAUUAAAAACUAAAAACUAAAAUACGAUUGAAAAAACUUAAUAUCAAUUUUAAAUUUAAAGUUGAAAUCAGAAUUUUGCUUAUAAGUACAAGUAUAAGAAAAAAGACGGUGAUGAAAGUGCUACGUACAACAGAAGUUGAUGGGAGAGUACAUGAAAUGUAAUUACAUUUAGAGCUUCCAGCUAAAAUGUGCUCCCUUUGUAAUAAAAUAUAAUUAUGUUAGGAUUUGAAUCAUAUUUCAUAGUAUAAGUAUUUCUGGCACUACUUAUUACUUAUUGCACUACCUGUAUCAAUCACUUUCUAUUAUAAAUUAUUUUUAUUUUAUCCUCACCUAACAUUCCUCUCCAAUCCAUUUCUCGUUUAUUAAUAAUCACUAUAUUUUUUUCUUUUUAACCUUGGUACCUAUGAAUAUCUAUAUUUUGAGAUGGAUGUAGUAUUACGUAAGUUCAGUUUUUUCAUGACGUGCAAGGACUAAACAUAAAAAAAUAUUAAUAGAAAAUCUAUAUUUAAAUAUCUCUAUAUGAUCUGCGAAAAAAAAUGUAUGAUGGUAAUUCGUUGUGGCACGUACAAGAGAUAUAGUGGUUAUUUGUUGUGGAGAUCAUGUUUAAUGGUAUUCAACAUCUUAUUCACAAUAAUAUCACUAAAGAGAAAUGGAUGAGGAUAAUUAUGUUUUAUGCUAAUCAUUGUCAGCAUGCUAAGGAAGAUGUCCAUUUUUGGUUUAUUGGAGGAAUAAGUGAAACACCGUAUUUACAAAUAAAAGUAAUUUAUAAAUAAAACUUUUAUAUACGUAUUUUUAUGGAAAAAAACUCCAAAUUAACUCUAUAUUUAAGAUUAAAAAUUUAAUUUUUUGCUUAUAUCUAUAAGCGUAAGUGAAAAGAUGAUGGUGGACAAAAGCUCUAUAAUAUUUUGGAAAUAGUACCAUUAGGGCCGCGUUCGGCCAAGGGGGCCUAAGAUAACUUAUGUGUGGCACAAAAAAUAUAGUAAUAGAUUAGUACAUAAUUGAUUAAUUAUAAAUUAUUAAAAAAUAUAAAAUAGAUUAAUAUGAUUUUUUAAAACAACUUUCCUAUAGAAAAUUUUUGCAAAAAAUAUACCGUUUAGCAGUUCGGAAGCGUACGCGCGAGAAACGAGGCGGAUAAGUUAACUUAUCCGGGGGCAAGAACGCGGCCUAGGACCGCGUCUGCCCCCUACGUUAGUUAACUUAUACCUCCUCGUUUUUCACGCGCACGCUUCCCAAACUGCUAAACGGUGUAUUUUUUAUAAAAAAUUAUAUAGAAAAGUUGUUUUAAAAAACAUAUUAAUCUAUUAUAUAUUUUUUAAAUAAUUAAUAAUUAAUUAAUCAUGUACUAAUAUAUUAUUACGUUUUCCGUGCCAGGUCAUAAGUUAACUCACAUGUACAUGCUGAACGCGGCCUAAGUCUGUCAUCCUAAUAUUAGAUGUGGAUCAUUAAUGCUGAAACCCCUUCUGGUGCUUAGGGGGUGUUUAGUUGGUGAAAUGAAAUUUUUUGUAUGUCACAUCAGACGUUUGACCGAAUGUUGGAAGGGGUUUUCGGACACGAAUGAAAAAACGAAUUUCAUGGGUAGCCUGUAAACCGCGAGAUAAAUUUUUUGAGCCUAAUUAAUCCGUCAUUAGCACAUGCGGGUUACUGUAGCACUUAUGGCUAAUCACGUACUAAUUAGGCUCAAAAGAUUCGUCUCACGAUUUUCCACGUAACUGUGCAAUUAGUUUUUCGUUUUAUCUAUAUUUAAUACUAUAUUUAGAUGUCCAAAGAUUCGAUGUGAUGUUUUUGGGUGAAAAUUUUUGGGAACUAAACAACCCCUUAAAGCAUCCCCAGCAGCUCAUCUAAAUUUGGUCAUCCAUAUCUUCAUUUAGAUGAUCAUCUAAAACACUUUCAUCCUUCAUAUCCCUUUGUACUCCAACAGAUCAUCUAUAUAUGACAUCCUCUAUAUCUAUUUGGAGGAUUGGAGAGAACAUCUAAAUAUAGAGUUUUUCUCUACUAAUAUGGAUGACAUCCAAAAAUAGAUGAUGAGAUAGAGGUUCUGCUGGAGCUUAACUUUUACUCUUCAUCCUCUAUUUCUAGGAUGAAUGAUGAGAUAGAUGAGUUGUUAGAGAUGCUCUUAGGUACCACCACAUUGUUCUCAACAUUGGGUAACUACUCUCUCUCUACAAGACAUACAGUGGUAUAUAUAUAUUUUUAGAAAAACACGGUGCAAAUAUAGGCGCAUGGAUUUUAGAACACCAUGAGAAUUUGAUGAGUUGAAGAAAUAAACAGUAUUUUCAGUAAUAAAAUAUAAGUUACAACUGAGCUAAAUUUAGGUCCCCUUUGAUCCAUUGAAAAUUUAUAGGAAUUUUGGACAAUUUCAUUGCUAUAGAAAUUUUUUCUACAAAGCCCUUUGAAUCAAAAGAAUGAACCCUAUGGAAUCCUAUGAAAUUCCUAUGAAAUGCCUCUUCUCACACAAGUUUUAGAGAAAAUUUAACAAGAGGUAGAACCUCAUGGAAAAAAUCCUAUGAGUCUUUAUCUCUCCUUAAAUUCCUAUGUUUUUCCUGUGGUCCAAUCAAACGGCUAUUCCUACGUUUUUCCUAUGUUUUGCAAUUCUCUAUUUUACACUUAUAUUUCUAUUAAAAUCUUAUAUUUUUCUAUUUCUUUGUUUUUUCAUUCCUGUGGUUCAAAGAGCCUUAUACCCCUGCUAGCGGAGUACCCGUGUAGAGAAACAAGAGAAUCACUACCGGCUGCAGAUAUAUACAUGACAGUAUGACACGAACUCCCAACUGAAAGGGGCUUCUUUGCUUAUGUUUGCUGAGACAGCUGAAAGCACUGCCAUAUGUAUUAAAAUAUCCAUACAAAAUCCUUACAGGCAAAGUUUUCGGUUGUUUGAUGUACGCCACCAUCUUUUUCUCAUACUUAUUCUUAUAAGCCAAAAAAUAUAUUUUUAAACUUAAAUUUAGAAUUGAUUGGAGAUUUUUUUCACCAAAAUUUAUUUUUCAACCUUGAUUUUUAGAUCGCUAAGAAUACAUAUAUAAAAAUUUUAUUUACGAAUUAUAUUUCGUUUGUAAAUAUACCGUUGCCAGACAACCGCACCCCUAAUUUUCUUAGAGCAAAGUUUACAUGGAUCGCCGAUCAUUCUUACUCCACUGGUUGUUGUUGAUUUAAUUAGGCGAAUGUUUUUUUAUUAAAAAAUUGAAAUUUUAACCCCAAUACUAUAUCAACGUCAGUAAAUACUACCUGUCAGUAAAUACUAUCUGUGAAAUAUCUGUACUAGGGAUAUCCGUAGACUACAUGUAUACAUAUAGUCGUAGGAGUACCGAAUAAAAAGUAGAUUAUAUCUGUAUGGUAUCAACCGGAGUUUGGUUACGGCUGGAUUGCAUGUCGCGUAUACCGGAUCCAAGUUGUAACCGAAUUAGGAUAGAUCUUAAUCUCAUCAGAUUAUGACUCUAUCUGUAAGCCCUAUCCCCCACUAUAUAAGGGCAUAGGGGCACCCCUCAUGGGGGAGGCCAGACAGACGACAUUUUUAGAUCGGCUAUCUUCUAGUUGAUCUGUCCACAAUCCAAUACAAUCGCCAAGCAGAAAUAGGGUAUUAUCUCGCUAGUCGAGAGCCCGAACCUGGGUAACCCUGUGUCUUCAUCCUAACCAUCGAUCUUUACGCCUCGCUAGCCACCCCAUAUAUAUUGCCGACAUCUAAAUCAUCAACAGUUGGCGCGCCAGAUAGGGGAAGCUAUUCCGAGGUCCUCGACGAGAUCAAUGGACCCAAACUCGAAGAUAAUGAAGACAAAAUUUGUCCCGGGGCAAACCUUCAAGUUUGGCGGCAUCAGAUUCCUUGUCGAUCAGGGCAGUGCGCUCUCCUACAUGUGUUCAGAUUCAUCUGGGCCUGAGGAGGUGGUGUGCCGCUCCGGACCAGACAACUCGGCGCUAUUUCAAGAUGAGAUCCAAUCUAGAUCUCACCACAUCGAGCUGCCGUCUCCUAAGUCGGCACCUCCGCUGCUCGGGAUCAAGGUCAUUGCAAAGCCGACUACUCAAGUCGCCGCAUCAGACACCUACAGCAGCUCGGGAAGCUUCGUUCCCCAGAGAGGUUUUCACCAUCACUCGGGGAACAACGAACGAGACUGAGAAGAAGCGGCAAGAGGAGCAAGCAGCUAAGCUGGCCGGAGAACAGCGGCAGGAAGACAAACGCCAUUGACUUGAAGACGAAGCCAGACGCCAACGCGAGAAUUAAUCUCGCAAACAACUAAGGAGCUAGUCGGACAAAGUGCAGCGUGAUCUACUCCACACUCGGGUUGAGGUGCAUGCAGUUUUUAAGACCCCUUGACGAAACGUCCAAGCAGCAGCGGAUCUACUGAGCGACGUCGUUCAACAGCUACCUCAACAAGAUCUACCGAUGGUUGAAACCAUCACCAAGAUCAAGGCAAUAGUGACUACAGCUGUGAUCCAAUACUCAUUGCAAUGCAACUCGGGAACACCACGGGUACGGUCGGAGGCUCAGUCGUCUAGGUCACCCCGAUCUAGAUCGAACGUUUCUAAACGACCAUCCGGAUCUCGGCCACCAAUUAGUAACAGAUCGCGUCGAACAUCUCCCGACCCAGAGCAAAGGAAAGACACAGCCAGUAAGCAAUGCUGCCUCAAUGACGAAAUCCGCCGACUGGAUAAACAACGCCAAGACCUUGAGGCCGAGAAGAAGCGUGUCUACCAGGAAGAUAGCUUCAACCUCCACCGAAAGAUCGAACGCCAACGUCAAGCCUGCCGGGAAGGUCGUUGUUGGGACCGCGACCAUCGGAGCCAUAGCCGGGGGUCUAGGCAUCGGUCACCCGAGAGCUCAGACACCGACAUGGUCGACGGUGUAGCGGCCUUCACCAAAAACUUGAGCCAACUUACUUGGCCGACUGAUUUCGAGUCGGCUGGUAUCAAGAGGUAUGACGGCUCCACCGACCCCAAGGCUUGGCUAACGGUGGACACCAUGGCUAUCCGAGCAGCCGGCGGCGACACUAAAGCAAUGACCAACUAUUUACCAGUUGACAUUGGUUGUUGGGGCUCUCCAAACAGUCUAUUGACUCCUGGGCGGAACUCCGCAAUCGGUUCAUAGCCAACUUUCAGGGUACUUAUGAUAGGCCGCGGCCCAAAUACGACCUAUACCAGGUCCAACAGAAGAAGAACGAAUCUCUCCGGGCCUAUAUUAAACAGUUCUCUAAGGUUCGCAAUUCCAUCCCCGGCGUCAAGGAUGAAGUAGUCAUCGCGCCUUUCGCAAAGGCGUGAAAGAUGAGCCGUUUAUUGCGAAAUUCACUCGCAAAGAGCCAACUACGGUCAAGGAUCUCUUUGACAUGGCUAACUGCUAUGCCGCAUCGGCAGAUGCAGUCUCUGCAUCUCAUUCCGACCGGCAUGACGACUCGGACGACAUGAACUGGGUAAUUAAAUCUACUGCUCAUUAGCUCUUCAUCUGUUUAUUGAAUCGACGUCUAGAUGCAGUUAUACGACUUUGUGGCUACACCCUACUUACUGUACGGAACCGGGUAAACGACGCUACGCUCCGCGCUGGCUAAGUCCGCCCGGGGGCUAUCGGGAUGGGCACACGCCGUGAAGCCAACUCAUCUCACGACUAAGACACAUACAACAGUAAAAGACUACUAUCAAACAGAUUAACACCAAGCAUGAUUGAAGUCCGCCGAGUGGUCAAGAUGAAACGAGUGGUCACCAAUGACCCUAGUUUCCAAUAGAAGGCUGUAGGUUCUUCAUCAACUUCGUUACCGCCGACUUCAUCCUCGCCGAGUGGUGAUCCCACCACUACACCGAAUGCAUGCACCGACUAGUAUCAAGAGGUAUGACGGCUGCACCGACCCUAAAGCUUGGCUAACGGUGUACACCCUGGCUAUCCGUGCGGCCGGCGGCGACACUAAAGCAAUGACCAACUAUCUACCAGUCGCCUUGGAUGGCUCGGCUAGACAUUGGUUGUUGGGACUCCCCAAACAGUCUAUUGACUCCUGGGUAGAACUCCGCAAUCGGUUCAUAGCCGACUUUCAGAGUACUUAUGAUAGACCACGGCCCAAAUACAACCUAUACCAGGUCCAACAGAAGAAGAACGAAUCUUUACGGGCCUACAUCAAACGGUUCUCUGAGGUUCGCAAUUCCAUCCCCGACAUCAAGGAUGAUGUGGUCAUCGCCGCCUUUCGCAAAGACGUGAAAGAUGAGCCGUUUAUCGCGAAAUUCACUCGCAAAGAGCCAACUACAGUCAAGGAUCUCUUUGACAUGGCAAACUCCUAUGCCGCAUCGGCAGAUGCGGUCUCUGCAUCUUGUUCCGAUUGGCACGACGACUCGAGCGACAUGAAUCAGAAAAAUUAAAUCUACUUCUCAUGAGCUCUUCAUCUGUUUACUAGAUCGACGUCUGGAUGCGGUUAUACGACUUCGGUGCUACACCCUACUCACCGUACCGAACAGGGUAAACGAUGCUACGCUCCGCGCUGGCUAAGUCCGCCCGGGGGCUAUCGGGAUGGGCACACGCCGCAAAGCCAACUCAUCUCACGACUAAGAGACAUACAACAGUAAAAGACUACUAGCAAACAGAUUAACACAAAACCUGGUUGAAGUCCGCCGAGUGGUCAAAACGAAACGAGUGGUCUCCAAUGACCCUAGUUUCCAACAGAAGGUCGUAGGUUCUUCAUCAACUUCGUCACCGCCGAGAUCAUCGUCAUCGAAUGGAGAUCUCUUCGCCAAGUCGGCCACACCCGACUUCAUCCUCGCCGAGUGGUGAUCCUAUCACCACACCGAAUGCAUGCACCGCUACCAUGUUGGACGCAUCAACUUCGUCGCCGCUAAGUGGUAAUCUAUUUACCAUGUCAGCCACGUCUCCUUUCGACAUCAGAAUCAUCACCACCAAAUCGUGAUCGCAUCCAUAUGUCGGUCGUCAUCAUCGGCAUCAACGAGAGAACUUAUGGAAUAUCGAACAACUAAGUCCUUUCAUACUUAGAACAUUUUUCUGUAAAAGUUUCAUUUUUCUCCAUCCUUCAACUGCCCACGCCAAGUGAUUUUCACCCUCAGCAAGCCAGUUGGGGGCUACACUGUAUUAUGUCAUAUGCUUCUUUUGAAGCUGUUGUUUAAAAGCUCUUUUUUGAUCAUGAGAUUAAUAUCUGAAUAAAGCUAAACAAACUUCGUGGCUACGCCCUACUUACCGUACCAAACCGAGUAAUACGCUACGCUCCGCGCUGGCUAAAUCUACUCGGGGGCUGUCGGGAUGGGUACACAGCACAAGUUUACACAACUCAUUUCAAAUUGCGAGAUCUAGAUCAGAAUAAAGACUUAAUUAAAACAAUAGCAAAACAAUUUACAUUACAGACAAACAAAUGUCUUGCAAAAGACAGGUUAGUGCUAAUGGCUAUAUUUCCUAUUUGCAGGUCAAAGGUCUGAACUAUGGAGUCGGCACCAGUUUCAGUCUCCUCCACUAGCACCAACAUGACAGGUUACUGCUAAUGGCCAUAUUUCCUAUUUGCAUGUCAAAGGUCCGAACUAUGGAUUCGACACCGACUUCAGUCUCCUCCACUAGCGCCAACACCUUCUCUGAGUUGCAAUCGGCUGUAAAAUCUUCGACGGUGGCUAAAAAGACUACCUAGGGUAAAGGGGCUUCAUUAUGGCGAAGGCUUGACGAGCUGCAAUUAUCGCCAUGUCCCUCACCUCCUCGGCCACAUGCCCGGAUAUCUCUUUAAAGCCUCACAAGGAUUUUAUUGGGUAGUGUGGAGCUGAAGCUGGUCACCAUAGUCUCGAACGACCCGAAGAUCACCAAAAGCCGCAACAGCAAGACGGUCCCGAGUAGCUUUGACUACAUUAAGUCGGGCCUCGAGAUUGGCUACUGUGGCACGGGUGCUCUAUCGCACCAUAUCUUCCAAAAUUGCCGAACUAAGACAGUUCAAUGGCUCCAAAUCUCCAAAUCAACUAAGUGUUACUAUGUCCUUCUGUGGGCCUAGCGGACCGAUGUGUAAAACUCGGUGCUGGCAUAGUUGAUACCAUGUCGACGAGAACAUUGCGAGUUUAUGUUUCACCCAAACGGUGACAUAAAAUUCGUGAUUUCUCACAAAUCAGGAAUCAACGGUACGCCUAUGUUAUGGGCCCAUGGCCGCACUCGUACAGACGUCAGUUGAUAUCGCCCAUGGCACUUAAUUGCGCUUUUCAGCCUGUGCCUAAACUUUGAGUAAACCCGAAUAAACUCGAUACUAACUACUCGGCUGUAACGGUUAAGCCAGUUGGCGUAACCUACCCCACGGGAAGAACAUAGCAGAAGGUUGUAUGUCUGGGAAAACACGACACAAAAACCAUCUCCAAACCACUCGAGUUCAAACCUCGAGUUCAAACCGCUCGGAGAGAGCAACCAGAGUUGGGUACCACUCAGGUCCGGAAGCACUCAGAACAGUGUUGUUCGAGCUCCGAACAGUGUUGCUCGAGUCAGAAAACUCGAAGCUUCGAGAAACAUCUCUUGGGUAACAGUUCAUAGAAGACUCUAUAUUUAAUUGUUACGCAUUUAAGCAUAGAGUCGGGGGCUACACCUAAUAGGUGCAUCUUCGAUGCACCCAUUCCUUUCUUCCAUUUAGAGCCAUCCACAGCCUCUACAAUCAUCACAGAGUACUCGAGAUCACUCGGGGAGCACUCAGGGAGCGUCCGGGAAGCACUCGGAUAACGUCGAGCAUACUGUGUGAAGAUACGUCUGAUGAUCAAUAAUCUACACGGAUGAUUUGCGCGGCUAUGUACGACUCCGGGGGCUGCUGUGGAAUGCAUGUACUAGGGGUAUCCGUAGACUACAUGUAUACAUACAGUCGUAGGAGUACCGAAUAGGAGGGAGAUUAUAUCUGUAUGGUAUCAACCGGAGUUUGGUUACGACUAGAUUGCAUGCCGCCUAUACCGGAUCCGAGUUGUAACCAAAUUAGGAUAGAUCUUAGUCUCAUUAGAUUAGGACUUUAUCUGUAAGCCUUAUCUCCUAAUAUAUAAGGGGAUAGGGGCAUCCCUCAUGGGGGAGGCCAGACAUACGACAUAUUUAGAUCGGCUAUCUUCUAGUUGAUCUGCCCACAAUCCAAUACAAUCGCCAAGUAGAAGUAGGAUAUUAUCUCGCUAGUCGAGAGCCCGAACCUGGGUAACCUGUGUCUUCGUCUUAACCAUCGAUCUUUACGCCUCACUAGCCACCCCAUAUAUAUUGCCGACAUCUAAAUCGUCGACACUAUCUCUGGAUUUUCUUGGGUGACACCAUUAACUUUUAAAUUUAUGUUUGAUUAUCCAUCUUAUUCUAAAAAUAAUUGUUAAUAAUUUUAUUGCAAUUUACUUUCAUUGUAUGAUAUUUUAAGAUCAUUUAUAAUUUUAUAUAUUUAUAAAUAAAAUAAAUAAAUAAAUGAUCAAAUAUAGAUUCAAAAGUCUACGGUAUUGAACAAAUACUUUAUAUGAUAUCUAGUUCACAUUAUAAUAUAUUUUAGCCCUCACUACAUUCAUAUAUUACAAAUGAAUCUAGACGCACAUAUAAAUAUAUUAGUUAAUAUAUUUGUAAAAAAUUAAAUAAAAUGAAUGUUCGAUUCAAAAGUCUACAAUGUCAGAAUGAAUACUUUAUAUGACAUCUAGUUCACAUUAUAAUAUAUUUAGCCCUCACUAGAUUGAUAUAUUGUAAAUAAAUUUGGACAAACAUAUAAAUAUAUUAAUUAAUGUAUGAAUGCAGGUAUGACUAAAGUAUCUUAUAAUCUGGAAUAAGGAGAGUUUAGCUAUUUUUUAUUAACUAAAUAUAAAAGAUUUCCAAAGUUUUGUGAUAACCUUAAAUUUAGGAGAUCGACGCUGCCAGCGUCGGAAAAAUAAUUAGGACACCACAGGUCCAAGAACUCAAGACCACCACCAGGGUAACUGCUCCAACGACCAUACUCCUUGUAUAGUUGUAUUUAUUAGUGGUAAAACAGUGAGUAGAGUACAGUAGUAGACACACUAAUAAAUCACUGCUUGGCCCCGUUCGGCAUGAGGCAGGGAUAGAUAAAGUUAUCUGACAGUAAUACUAUAUUAAUAUAUGAUUAAUUAAUUAUUAAUUAUUAAAAAAUAUAAAAUAGAUUAAUAUGAUUUUUUAAAACAACUUUUCUAUAGAAUUUUUUUUUAAAAAAAUACACUAUUUAACAGUUUGGAAAGCGUAUGUAUGGAAAACGAGAUGGUAACAUAACUUACUUGGGCUCCCGAUCACGGCCCUAGUAUGUAUCAUCCGUCCAAAACAAACUAAUUAGAAAUUUUUAGGUCUUUGAGCCCGAAAAUAAAGUAUUUUUGAAACAGAAUACCCACCCACGACACGACCCUUCGCCAUAGCUUGUGCAGUUGUGCUUGGAAAAUAAACCCAAACUCCAAAAUACAGAACAUAAAAAGACAGAACAACCAAAAAGAAGCUCUGGCCCACGCCACGCUCCAAUACGCUUCCACCUCCACCACUCCACCACGUCUCGCCUCGCCUCCGUCCAUUCCUUCCUCCCUCCCUCCCUCCCUCCUUCCACCUCCACCUCCACGGCCAUCACCAGGCGGAUCGUCCCUCACGUGGAUCCUCUUCGCCUGGGUGGGGGCCGUCGAUCUAGCAGGUGCGUCCCUCCCCCACCUCCGCCUCCGCCUCCCCCUCCCUGCCGAAGCCUGGCCUAGCUUCUCCGCGGGAGGGAUUCGUGCGGUCGCUGAACCGAGCCGCGGCCUGGAUGCCGAGGCCCGUCCCGUGUGGGCACCUUCGGUUUGCCGGGCGGGCUCGGAUCUGCAUUUCGCGUGGGAGGGUAUGGAUUGGAUCGUCGUGCGGGAUCGCAGCGAUCUGCGCGUGGGGGUGGCACGUUUUGUUUAGUGUUUGUUCCUUUGUUUAGUUGAAAUCUGGAUGAACGGAACCACGAAUUCCAUGUAUUGAUGCUGUUGAGGAAACUCAAUCUGAUCUGAGACUGAUCAUACUGAGAUGUGGUCAUCGCAUCGCUGCUAAGGAUUAUGAAUUUUUGUGAAUGCUUCGGGAAUUAAUGCUUAGUGGACGGCUCUUUCAGCUAGUGGGCUUACGUGUGGGUGACUAGUCGCAUCCAUUUUGGUUCACUUGUGCUAAACAAUUAAUCACAGGGAAUUUAGUCCUUUUAUUUUGUAAUUUAUGUGUUGUUUGCUAGUAUUUUCUUAAUACUGUUACUGAGGGAUCCAAUUCAGGAAGGCUAAAAGUAAAAUUUCGGCCAUCGGCUCAUUCCAUUACAUGGCUUAUCACUUCCUGAAUUUUACCUUUAUCAGAAGUAGUUCCUUAACUGUUAGGUGUGCCAUGUGCCCAUGUGAAGUUGCCAUGUUAAAUCUUCAGAUGAGUGAUAUCCUGAACAGUACUUGUGUUAGAACCUAGGUGAUGGAACUGGAUCACAUUGUUUAAGUGGCUACUAUUUCUUUUGAUCUUCUAGUGUAGGUGAUAUACUUUUACUUGCUGCAUAUUGCAGCUUCAAAGUUCUUUCUUUGAUCUGCACCGAUAUUCAUAAGAGUGCAGUAAAAAAUAUAAACAGUGGGUUUUCCAUUUAUAUUCGUAGGAUCACACUGAAAACAAUGUGGAGGUUCAAUCCCUUUGGGGGGAAAGUACAAAACGGAUUGGAAGGUCGCACCAUUGAUGUUGGUAAUGUUAAGAUUACAGUGCGCAAUGCUAUUGCACAAGGAGGCUUCUCUUGUGUAUAUCUGGCAUGCGACACAUUGCAUCCAUCAAAGCAGUAUGCAAUGAAGCACAUCAUCUGCAACGACUCAGAAUUGCUUGACCUUGUCAUGAAGGAGAUCCAGGUGAUGAACCUUCUGAAAGGGCAUCCUAAUGUGGUUACACUGGUCGCUCAUGAUGUUUUUGAUAUGGGCCGCACAAAGGAGGCACUACUUGUUAUGGAGUUCUGUGAGAAAUCCUUGGUUAGUGCAAUGGAGAGCAGAGGUAAUGGCUAUUAUGAGGAGAAGAAGGCACUUUUGAUUUUCAGAGAUGUAUGCAACGCAGUAUUUGCUAUGCAUGGCCAGUCACCACCAAUUGCACAUAGGUAUGUUGAAAGAAUUUAAAACUAUCAAAUAUAAGUUCUCCAUUGCUGUUAGAAUGUUAUAUGAUGUUUAUGUGCUUUUAUCAAGUAUCUCAAGGUAGGUUUGUAUAGUAGUUAUGCUGUUUUAUAUUUGAUUAGGUUACUUGGGUUCAAUAAGCAAUUACUGAUAUCUUAGCGAACUGUGUGCAUACUGCAUUUAUGUUCUGCUGUGAAGUGCGAAAUGCCUGUAUGGAUGUACCUUGUAGCUUGGCUAUUUUCACAAUGCUGCAUAAUAUGCAUACAGAUACUUAGGGUUAUUCCAGAUCAGGUGUAAAUGAGGGACCUGGUCUGAAGUUAUAGCAAAAGCUUCAUCGCUAUCACUUCAGACAUCUUGAUAUCUUACAUUCUGCCUCUUUUCUCAUUCUUUAGGGAUCUGAAAGCUGAAAAUGUUCUUCUUGGAUUAGAUGGUGCAUGGAAAUUAUGUGAUUUUGGAAGCACGUCAACAAACCAUAAAUGCUUUGAUAAGCCAGAAGAGAUGGGGAUUGAGGAAGAUAUCAUCCGGAAGCAUACAACACCAGCAUAUAGGGCCCCUGAGGUAAUGAAACAGUUGCCCAUGGCAGUAGUUUAUAGUUUUGAAACCUUAUAAGCCUCAAUGAUCCCAUGGAUGCAUUUUAUUUAUUUUUUCCAGAUGUGGGAUCUUUACAGAAGAGAAGUUAUUAGCGAGAAGGUCGAUAUCUGGGUAAAGUGUUUAAAACUUUUAAUCUUAAGUAAUUAGUGGCACAGCAUGUGCUACUAUAUGCUAUAUCUAUAUCCACUUCAAUUAUUAUGUCCAGGCACAUCUACUUAGUAUUUUUAGAUCCAUCUUUGUGGAUCGCACUAUUCUUAAGUUUUAAAGUUUGUAUAUUUAUCUUGCACUGCUUUACUCUCAAAGUCUCAAACUAAUUUGUUUACAACAUUUUUCAAUUGAAAAUUGGCAGGCCUUGGGGUGCCUUCUGUAUAGAAUAUGCUACUUCAAAUCUGCAUUUGAUGGAGAAUCCAAGUUGCAGAUACUUAAUGGCAAUUAUCGCAUUCCAGAGCAACCCAAGUAUAGUACCGCUGUCACAAAGCUGAUCAAAGAUAUGCUGGAAGCCUCUCCAAAUGACAGACCUGAUAUCACGCAGGCAAGAGCUUUGAUUGAUUGGCCAUUCAUCUCCAUGAUGCUAGGUUAGUCAUAGAAUGCUGCAUGUAGCCUUAGGAAUCACACAUCGUACUCUUUCUAUGGCUGAUGUUAGAAUGUGUACAUUUGGCAGGUCUGGUUUUGUGUAAAUGAACUACUGCCUCUCGAGUUACAGAAAAGCCUACCCGAUGGAGCUUCAUCAUCCAUUUCCAUGUGUUUGCAAGAUGAAGGUGUGCUGAAAGAAAUGCUAUUUGUCAUAUGAUACACUUCAUUUCAUAAUCUUGACAUGCUUACACUUGUUUCCGUUGAUUAAAGAUGCUUCAUUGCCCUUCUCGAUACAUUCAGUUGUACUGCACAACCCACAAUAGACCUGAUGCUGUAUGCAGUUGCUAUCUAAAUAAACCCUCAUAUUAGUAUUAUUUCCAGAUCAGGAUUGCCACCCCUAUUGUUAUCUUGACAUUUUGGAGCCAUUCUGGUUCUUAUAUUUAGCACCAAUAUAAAUCUGGAGGCUUUCUCAAUUAAUUUGUAGAGUAUGGCUCAUGAUUUUGCAUGUCCAAUAACUUCACUUAAUCUGAGAGAAUUUGGGAGAUAGAAAAGAGAAUGUUUCCAUGCUCAAUGUCUUAUCAUGAUAUAAUUGUUCUGUGAAAUGGAAAGUAGGACGAUGGGACUAAGAAAUUUUGGCUCUUAAGAAAUAUGUUUUGGAUAAAGCAGGAAACUGCACGUAUUACCAUUCAGAUUCUCCAUUUGGCCUCCAUUCUUGAGUUCCUGUUUCUAGAUAAUCUUAAGAUCACCUUUUACAGGAUAAGUUUGAUCAAUGUCCAUAUAAAUGUUUACAAACUCUAUAGAGAACUACUAUAUAGUUUACAGUAGUUCUGUUUUAUCUGGAAUCAACAGGAGUAAAUUUUAUAUAGUGGUCGCUAUCCUAUAAUUAUAUUGGUUAUUCUAUAAUCCUCUUUUAUGUGGCCUGUGACUGGUGGUAGGUACAAUGUUUGUGUUAGAUAGUGUAACCCACUAACCCCAUGCCAAACAAGCAUAUUCUGUUCUGUCCUAUGCAUUGGUAUAUCCCUUUCCCUACAAGGGGGCUUUUGGCCUCCCUUCAUGAUUUAUUUGAUGUCAUGAUUGUGGCACAUUUGCCACUGAUUUAUUUUCUAUAGGAUAAGCAACAUUUAUGUAAUGACCUAUGAUAUUCUUGUACUCAACCUUUUUUGCCAUUUACUGUUCUAGUCCAACUGUUAAUUCUAAAUAUUAUUUUAUUAUCGUCAAUUCAGUUUGAUAUUUCUUUUUUGCAUAAUUGGAGCCUCAUCCUUUUUUUUUUGGUUUGUCUAGGUGCUUAUAAAAGAACACAUGUGAUGCCUAGAAGGAACCCACCUCCAAGAGAACAAUCCAGUAGUUCAUUAUCUCAUGGCAGCUCAAAGGCAGGAGAUGGACCUCUAGGUGCAUUUUGGGCAACACAGCAUGCACAUGGUUCUGAAGUUACAGAUAAUAGGAACCCUUUGUUUGAUGAGGAACCAAUAAAACCAUCACCUUCAUCAAAGCAUAACCAAAGCAGGGGAGAUGUAAGCAUCAGUGCCCCUGGAGUUAGGCAUGGUUCUGGCCAGGCUGUUCGUGGUACACCGAGUAACUCUGCAUCCAACAAUGGGCUUGCAAGUGGGGCCAACACAAAUUUGUUCAUGGAAUCACAAAGUUCUUUGAAAACUAAACCAUCACAACCAAAAUUUGAGAAAGAUCCCUUCAACAGCUUCAUCGCUGAUUUUGAAGCAAACAAUCUCCAUUCUGGGACCAAUGCUGCUGGUAAGGAAUCUGAGCUUGAAGCAGAAGUGUCUAAUCUGAAGGAGCAGCUGAAGAAAACAUCAUUAGAGAAGGCCGAGAUGACAGCCAAGUAUGAAAAGUUGACUGCAAUCUGCCGCUCCCAGCGCCAGGAGAUUCAAGAGCUGAAGCGCACUCUUGCUGAGACUACACCGCCUCCAUCAAACAAAGUCAGCUCAAGAAUACCAGAAUCUGGAUCUCUGGUUCGUGCUUUGUCUGUAUAUCUGUUUCAACAUACUUGCCUAUUUGUUAAUUCUGUUAGCAUCUUACAUGAGACUUACAAUCGUGUGCAGCGGAAGGAGAAGAUUGAAGGAACGGUGUGGGAGCUUGAGCAAGGAAUGCUCGCGAACAACUCAUCAUUACCUAGCUCUGAAGCCAAAACAUGGCAGGCAUUCCCUGAGCCCAAAUCUCAGCCUGCUCAGGUCAGACCAAAGGUUGAUCAUACUGCCAAUGGAGGGCAAAACCUGGGUAGGAACACAAACUCAAGACAACCACCAGAAGGUUGGGGUUUUGGGCCAGAUAGUUUCAGGACAUCGGGGACCGCUGCCGCCCAGAUCAACAGAGCCACUGCUCAGGGGAGCUCUUCCCACAGAUUCAGCUCAGGAGCAGCGAAGAAAGUGGAGCAGCCAUCGGGGUGGGCCGGAUUCUAACUUCUCGUGGCCAUAUGGCAAUCGUCUAUUCUGAUUCUCAAUUACAAACUGGCAGGAUAUCCUGGUGCCUGUCGUUCUUGCCUGGCGUAGCGGUGUCAAGAUUGGUUUAUUUUCAACAUGUUUAUAGUUGGUUAGGCCGACCUAGACACUCCUGUUCUGCGGUCGUUUGUUACAAUACCUAGUCAAUAAAUACAUCUUAUGAUCUAAUUACAACGUCAGUAUGUAUUUAUGUGCGGAUUAUGAAAACAAGUGAUGACAGAUCGCCCUGGCACCGUGGCACGAGAGUAUGACAAUCGAACGCUUAAUGUUUUACCUACUGUAAUCACAACGCAGAUUGAAGAGCAAACAAUGCCUAACAGUACGUAACCGCCAAUUACAUUUUCAUAUUUCAGUGGAGGAAACGACAACAGCAGCUCUGGCACUCCCAUGAGCACUUUUGCACACCACACUUUAGUUCUUAACUUGUGCCAUUCCUGCACUAGAUGAUAUCAUUGCCAAUUAAUAACUUUACCCAAAGAAGAGAAGCAGCCACCGAGGGAGAAUUGGGUGUUGCGUUGCCGUGAGGCCGAAGCUGCAGAUCGGUUGUUUGUUUACAACAAAUCCCAUAUUUUUUUCCUGAGCGGAAAAAAGAGGACAGAGGCCCAUGCAACAUGGGCUUUCCAAGUCCACGGAGCCGAUACGGCGACCACUCCAGGACUCCUCCACAAGAGCUAUUCGCUAGAUUAGUACCAUACCGCUUAUCGACCAAGACGAAGACCAGCUUAAAUAUGCAUCUCACAUGCACAUCAGCGGCCGGGCAAGGUCGCGCGCGCCUGUAACUCCAGCUUCGGAGGGCUAAAGAGUUGGUGGCUGGGGUUUGUGGGCUCGAGCCCAUGGCGCGCGCAAAAUCGCCAGGUCGUGUUCCGUCGAACAGCUCAUUCCUCAGCCGGACGCCGUGCCGGCGUGCCCUGGAAGGGAGUGUGCCAGGCCGCCGCCCAUCAGUUUAAAAGCUGCUUUGGCGGAAAGCCGGUUGGGGGGGUAAUGCUCGCUCUCUCGCUCGUCCCGACGUCUCUGUGGUGUGUGCCAGGGCCGGUCUACGAAAGCGAGGCCCAUAAUAAGAGAGAGAAUGGGUGCAGCCCCCGGCAAGGGGUGGGGACGGCGGUGGAGUGGAUCGCGCGGCACCAGCAACGUCGGCCGGCUCGGCUUUCCGUCGAGCACCUGUCAGGCAGGCGCGGGGGGGGGGGGGGGGGGGGGGGGGGUCGCGUUGCCGUUAAGUUUUAGGCCGCGACCUGUGUGUAGAGCAGAGGAGGAGGCCCUCCGUGCCAGCAGCUGGGGUUGUUGGGACCCAAACAAAAAGAGGUCUCUGGGUUGUUGAGAGAUGAUGUGUUUACGGAGCAGGGACUUGGCGUUUGGCCCAGGUUGGUCGGGCCUGUAAAAAAAGGCUGGCGGGUUAAAAUUGGGCUUGUGGCCCAGAGCCCGAUAGGUGUGCAGCCUGGGUUAAACACGGAGCCGGGUUACUUUGACCCCGGGGCUUUCAUGGCAUUAGGGAGCGCAAGAAAGUCUCCCAAUGCAUUUGGCGUCUGAGCUCUGCGGAGCCAACUUCGUGGUGCAUGGGUUCGCCCACUUUAAACCCCACUGCCAACUCUUUUUUAUAAGUUAUAAGUACAUUAUCUAUUUUUUUAAGUGAAAUGCACUAGUCCCUAAAUUUGUUAGACAUGUCAUUUAGGUCUCUGAACUCUUAAAAUAUAUUUUUGGGUCUUCAAACUUGUCUAGGGUGUCAUAUAGGUCCAAACGGGUUCCGACCCGCUCCAUCCACUGACGUGACAUGCCACGGUGGCGCCUACGAGAAAGGAGAGAGAAGAAGUCUCCCAAUGCAUUUGGCGCCUGAGCUCUGCGGAGCCACCUUCGUGGUGCAUGGGUUCGCCCACUUAAACCCCACUACCAACUCUUUUUUAUAAGUACCUUCAUCUAUUUUUUUGGAGUGAAAUGCACCAGCAGCCCCUAAACUUGUGUGCACGUGUCAUUUAGGUCUCUGAACUCUCAAAAUGUAUUUUUAGAUCCCCGAACUUGUCUAGAGUGUCAUAUAGGUCCAAACGGGCUCCGACCUGCUCCAUCCGCUGACGUGGCAUGCCAUGGUAGCGUCUACGAGAAAGGAGAGAAAAGAAUUUUAUAAGUACCUUCAUCUAUUUUUUGAGUGAAGUGUAUCAGCGGUCCCUAAACUUAUGUGCAUAUGUCAUGUAGGUCUCUAAACUCUCAAAAUGUAUUUUUGGGUCCCCGAACUUGUCUAGGGUGUCAUAUAGGUCCAAACGGGCUCUGACCCACUCCAUCCGCUGACUUGCCAUGCCACGGUAGCGCCUACUAGGGUGCCAAAAAUGCAUUUCGAGAGUUCAGAGACCUAGAUGACACAUGCACACAAGUUUAGGGACUGCUGGUGCACUUCACUCUAUUUUUUUUACCAACUCUUUUUAUAAGUACCUUUAUCUAUUUUUUCCCUUAGGUUAUGUUCUUUAUCAUUUCUCUUAUAUAAUUUUAAAUUUUAUCUUAUGAUGCGUUCUACUCAUCGCUUGAUAUGACACAAAACGAGAUAGCUCAUCAGCACAUAAUUAGUUAACUAUUAGCUAACAAAAUCUAAAAACCAAAUUGAUGUUACUUUCACAACUUUUUUACAAGGAAAAAGUCUAUUUUACUACUCUCAUGUAUGGCGUAGGAUCAAAUAACCCCUACUCUUUCAUUUGAUCUAUUUAACCCCCUAGGCUCUUAAAUACAUAUCACUAUUCACCUUUCCAACAUAAUACAAACCGCUUUAGUGAUGUGACGCGCGAUAUGAUUUGACAGUUUGGAUUCUGACAUGGUGUCUUCUACGAGCAGCAGGCUAGGGCACAUGUAGAAGAGCCAUAGUGUUCAGAAUGCAUGAUGAUGGCACUGUGGCAAUAGGAUCAAGGAAGCAUACAUGCAUAUAACCCAUGUGUCACAUCAACAAAGCAUUUGUAUUAGGGCAAUUUUUUCAUCAUUGAGGAGGUACCAUUAGAUACAACUAUUUUCUAUGUAAAAUAAUUUAGUACUUUUUUGGUAUCUUAGAUAUUAGGCGGUAUCAAAUUUUAUAUUAAAAACAACGGUACCUCAUGGUACCUUCUCAAGGAUAGAAAAAAUACUCUUUGUAUUAAGAUUGGAAAGGUGGAUAGUGAUUUAGAUUUAAGACCCUAGGAAGUUAAGUACACCAAAUUAAAGAUUAGGGGAGUUAUUUGAUCCUACGCCAUACUUGCGGGUAGUAAAAUGGACCUUUUCCGUUCUAUAACGUUUUUUUACAGAAAAUACAAAAUUUGGCGAUUUAAUUUUAUCACAUGUGCACAAAUCAAAGUUAUAAGUUUUGUUUUGUGAUGUCCGUAUGGACCAUAGAGUGUAUUAUGGGGUUGAAGUACCUAUGGUUAGAACUAUUUUAGGCCAAUGAACAGUAUUCAACAAAUACAUAUCAACAUAUUAAAGAAUAGAAUAUCAUUAACAAAUCUAGUAAGCUAGUAUUCGGUAUUAAGAAGGUCUAGUAAGAAUACAAACAAUACACAAUAAUAUCAUUUCCAAUAAAUCAUUUCCGUAGUUUAUUGUAAACUUUAAAUUUAUAUGUUAAAUGAAAUCUAUGCAUGUUUAUUAUUAUUAAUUUGUCACAAUCUUUUACCACAUCUUAAGUUGUGGCCAUCUCGGCCAACUUCAGUGAAGAUUUACUAAUAGAAUUUCUCAUUGAAUAAGUUGUAUCUCUUCGUUAUUACUGGGAUGACGUUGUUAAAACUAAGGAUCAAGUUUUGUCCAUUAUUAAAAAAAUAUCCCCAUAGAAAAGAAACUUUUGUAGUUCUCCUUUUGUAGUUCUCCCUGACAAGGUGCUCAAAGCCGGAUAAUCAUGUAUGCACCACAACACAAUGGCACGAAGAUUGAACUUUUUUGCACUAAAUGCAUCAUAAGUAUUAACGCCUUCCCAUAGUUCAAGCAACUCUUCUAUAAGAGGCUCCAAGAAUAAAUCAAAAUCUUUCCCUGGAGACGUUGGACCUGGGAUGAGUAAUGACAUCAUGCAGUUGGAUGUGUCAAUGCAUUCCCAUGAUGGCAGACUCAAAGGCAUAACAAGCACAGGCCACAUACUAUACGCAUUGCUCACUUUUCCAAAUGGAUCGAAGCCAUCUGUAGCUAUAGCAAGCCUUAAAUUCCUUGCAUCUUCUGCAAAAGUUGGAUACUUCCUGUCAAAGUCCUUCCAAGCCUCCCCAUCUGCUGGAUGGCUCAUUUCAUUGUCCACCGGCUUUCGUUUGAUUUUGUGCCAUUGGGUGCCCUCGGCUGUUUGUUUUGAUGCAAAGAUCCUCUUCAACCUAGGUAUAAGAGGAAAAUGCCUCAAAACCUUACAAGGAACCUUCUUGCCGCCAACUCCACCUUCCCAUCUAGACUCAUUGCAUAUUGGACAGAAAUCUAUAUUAGCAUACUCUUUCCGAAACAAAAUGCAAUUAUUCUUGCAUACAUGGAUUGAGUUAUAUCCAAGGCCCAAUUCACGAAGAUAUUUCUUUGCCUCAUCAUAUGACUUUCGUAAUUGGCAUUGAGGGAAUGCUAAGGACAACAACUUCAAUAGAGCGGUAAAAGCCAUAUUGCUAAUUCGAUAAUAUGACUUGAUAUGGAGUAGCAUUACAAGAAAGGAAAAUCUUGAAUGAUUCGAUCCUGGGCAAAGUGAGUGCUUCGCAUCUUCAAGAACUCUAGCAAAAUUUGUUGGUUGACCAUCUUCCUCUGCCGCUGUGUAUAAUUCUCCUAUCAUCUCAGGCUCCCCGUGAUCAUCCUCGGAUUCAAACCCACCCACAUCCUCAUCAUAAUGGUAGGUAGUCUCAUGCAGUUGUUCUAUAGACUCGACAACUUCUGUAUCAAUUGAUUCUUCAUGAUAAAUCCACCGAGUGUAUGUUGCUGACAUACCAAAAAUAUGUAUAUGGUCAUGUACUUCUUGUUGAGGCAGUGAAGUAUGAUUAAGACAUCUACGACAUGGGCAUGGUACAUGAAUGUGUUCAUCAAAUCUUUGACCAAUAAAUUCCAUGAAUUGUUUAACUCCCUCCAUAUACGCAGGUGUGAAUUGUCUCCCACGUACCCAUGUUCUAUCCAUCUAUGGCAAAAAAGAAUCAAUUGAUUGGUCCAAACAGACAAAGAAUCGAACAUGUGGUGUGCAUAACAAAACAGAGUGCAAAUCAUUCUACUGACCUCAGUGGUUUAAUCUGCUAGAUCACGAAUUCAGUGGGAAUUUCUAUUGCAGAUGUCUCGAGGAACAGAGGCUAGGUUGGCGACAUGCGAACAGGAGGCACGGAAGCAUCUGACCUGCCCAUCGGAUGCCUUGCCGCGCCACCACCGGCCGAUCACUCCCUUGUAGCCGAUCCCCCUGCCCCGCUGUCGCCGCCACCAAGCGCCGCCUCCGAUGGCCGAUCCUUCCCGUGCAGCACCCCUGCCCCGUCGCCACCUUCUGGAUGCCCUAUCGGCACCUACCAGCCACACGCCGUCCACGCAGCAGCCACUCACGGUUUUUGGUUCGGCUUUUUGUAUGAUAGCUACAGGUAGCUACUACUUCUAAAUUAACAUCUAGAACACUAAAUUCGUAGUAGCGCAGCGGUGGAGUGCUUGAAGCAAAUGCCCAGGUGCAACGGUUCGAUCCCCACCUCCUCCCCUUUUUUGUCAAGUAUUAUUGGCUUCCUUAAUGGGCUAUGGCAUCAAUGGGCUUCCUAAAUGGGCUAUGGCAUAGCAGGCCCAAUAAAUAUAUAGAUAGAAAUAUAAAUUGCUUUCUCAAAUGGACCGGUCAAUAAAUUUGGGCUGCAAAACAUCCAAUAAACACACGUGGUCAACAUAAUGCAUUUGUUGACCCAACAAAAUCACCUAGGCCUAACAAAUACAAUGUCACACGUGUCUUACAUGUGGGACCCAUAAACAAAUGUUUGGUUUGGACCGGAUCCACGUCAGAUUGCAUUAUAUUGCAACGUGGACAUGUGUCUUAGCUGUGACAAAAACUUUUCUUGUUCUUUGACGAAAUUUUAACUUUCGUCAUAGAUGAUGGCAUCGAACCAUCGUCACGUAUGAUCUAUGAUGAAACAAAAAAUUCCGUCAUACAUAUUAUUCAUUCAAUGACAAAAAUUUACAACGUCAUAAGGAAAACGUCAUAGAUGAGCCAUUUUCCACUAGUGUGAAUGAUAUCUUACUAUGUGAAAAUAUAACUUUAAAAUGAAAUAAGAAUGGUCCACAUAUGUGGGCCACCUGUAGCUAUAUUGCUAAAGCAACUUUCAUGGACACUCUAUAUGUUCAAGCAGAUAGGAUCCAUAUACGCAUAAUAGCCACUGAACUUUUCGGCCUAAGCCUCCGACGACAGGCCUCCGCUUCGCUCCGUCGAAGUGGCCUUUAUGGAAGCAUAAAAGAAUUUGGAUCAUAACUCAAUAGAUCCCGGAGGAGCAUGAUACAUCCGACAAGGAGCACAUGAUACAACUAUCUUCACCUUUAUAUGUUUCCCUUCAGGGAUAAACAUGUAUGAGGUAUAAAACCGACUUCUCGCUUCCCACAUAAACAAGAAAUAGAGCGCUAUGAAAUUUCUGAUGGUGUAGAAUCGGUAUGCACUCAGACCAUAUGAAAUCUACGCAUUAAUAUUGAAAUAUGAUGUAAAAAAACAAAUAGACAAGAAAAAUCACAAAACAAAGAAGAAUAGACACAAUAAAAUAGUAUACAUAAAUGACUUCCACAACAAAUGAACGUUAAAAAAAUAGUGAUAUUAGCUGCAGUAUUCAAAGUUACAUACCACAGAGUUUUUAGAUUAUGGCAUACUCAGCUUCACCCAAAAAGUCUAAUAGAAAGCUUUGAUUGAACACUUCCUCACUAAACUCUUUUCCUGCAUCAUUUAAUCCAUAAUCAUGGUCAUCCCAUGUUUCAAUAACCUGCAAACUUUAGCAGAUGAUAGUGACAGUGUUUCAGACCCGUAAAGUUUUAAAAUGCUGAAUAAGAAGUGAUAGUAAUUUCUUAAAAAAAACGGUAGGAAUGCCAUAGAUUUAUCCGUGAGUUUGGCUGAUUCAGAAGCUCUCCCAAACAUAACAUAUGGAUGCGUUCUAAGAUAAAGAUGAAGAUUUUUUUUAGUUUUUGUUAUAGCUAUUUAAUGGUAUAAAAUAAUAGAAUUAAUUACAACGAAGUUGAAAUAUAUUUAAAAUAGUGAGAUGAUAAACUUAUAUAUAGAUUUUUUUUACAAAAGAAUUGCACCAUUUAGCAGUUGAAAAAACAUAUGGAUAAAAGUCAAGAAAAAAAAUCUACGAACAAUAUAUAGAGAAGAAAAUAGUCAUAGUAUUAGAGCAACGAUACGAGCAAGCAAGCACUCUUUUGUGUGUCAUAAUGUAGUUCGUCCUCAUUUGGAGAUUAGGGUCCUUUCUAGCAUGGAAAUGAUUCCUCUACUGGCAAAAACUCAGUCCAGAAUAGUUUCCUCACAAUGCUAUACAUCAUCUGCAAGCAGGUCGCCGGCUCAAGUUAUUGAAGUUUACUCAUAAAACUAUUCAGUUAUCUCUUCUGCCCAGCACAUAGCAAGCCUGUUAUGUGGUCUAUAAGACAACAUGCAAAGCAUUCGUGCCUGUGUGCACCGGUACUAUGUGAGCUACAGCAACUAGCAUACUUCAGUUUCGAUUCAUGCGCGUAUAACAAAUUCACAAUCUGUCGUCCGUGUGCGAGAAAAAUUAUACAGGCAGAUGUAAAAUUCUCGAGCCCUGUCAACUUAGCAUAGUCGAUUAAGAUGACGCACAAAAUUUGAUCGCUCAACUUAACAAACCAUCCAAUUAAACGACGACGCAGUGCGCAGCAGCAUGCAGCAGCGUCGAAAGAGCAGGCACAGCCGCAUAAGCUCUUGAGCCCGACACUAUGCUUCAGCAUGCAUUUCAAUGGCAAUAUACAGGGCAAGAUUGUUGCGAGGUCUAUACGACUAAACGAGUAGCUGCAGCAGCUACCAUUGCUUCAAUCGAUUCAUGCGGGUAUCACAAAUUCCGGAGCCCCGUCAACUUAGAAUUAACAGGCGUUAAGAUGCCGCGCAAAAUCUAAUCCAUCUAUUCAAUUGAAAAAUGAAACCCAAAAUCGAUCUCCAGUACGUGCAGCAGCCACACCACGCUUGAUCGACGCAGUAGACAUUCUACGCUUCGGAAUAGAAGAAGCAGGCAAGCAGAGCCGCCGCCGCCGCGCUGGUGGAUCCGCCCCGCUGCCAUCUCAUCUGCGUGUGCAGAGAGAGUGGUGAGAGCAGUGUUUAGUCCCACAUCGGCUCCCAGCGCGGAAUGCGCGCCCGAUAAAGCCGCGGCCAUCCCCGGCUGCACCGCCAAGCCUGGUAGCGCGGGCCUGUAACUCCAGCUUCAUUGGAGGGCAGAGAGUUGGCGAGUGACACUGGCACACACACAUACAUGGCCUUGCGGGAGGGCUGGGGUUGGGGGAAUCCUGGCUGAGGUCUCUUGUGUUGCGCCCCUGGGUCGGGUGAGCUUCUGAGCCCCGGUGGUCAGAAGAAAGAAGAGAGUUCUCGCCACCGGCGGGGGCCCCCCUCUUCUUCUUCUGGACCUAGUCACGCCGCUGGUUGUCGGUUUGUCCACGGGUACAGGUCGUCGCAGCCCCAUGCGGCGUGUUGGGCAUCCUCGACACCGUGGCGCCGCCAUGUGGCGGGGGCAGGGGGGGUUGCGUACGGUGAUCACGUGGACUUGCGUUGACCUGAGAAGGACCCUAUCCCUCCUUUCCGGGUUUCUCUCCCUCUUGUCCCCUUAGGGGGAGACCUACCUCCGGAGAGGGUUUUAAAGGGAGGGGAUUCCACAUGUGUUUGGGGAUCCGUGGUCCAACACGUUAGUUACCGGUGACGGUGGGGGUGACACGCCGUUCACGCAGCUUCUGACCUGAAGGGGGACACUGUGGUAGUUUGAGUUUCUAAAGCUGCGACGAUUAGGUUCGUCAACGCUUUGAUCUCGCCUGCCAUGCCCUCCGGUCAAGCCUAUAUAUCCAGUUCAUGGCUAGGCCUUUCAUAUAGGAGGUUCCACUGUAAUAUAAUCUAACAAUAAGUGAGUCCAGAACCUCUUGUAUGAAGCCUUGGGACUCGCCCACCUACUCUUCUCGCCAACUCUCUUUUUUUCUUUAUUUUUAGUUACCGAGAAAAUUAAUCUAAUUCGCUAGACAAAUUCCUUGUUCACAAGAGUUGCUUCCCUCAUCAAUUUCUUUGCUAAGUUAUCCCUUGAGUGAGCUUGAUCGCACGACGUGAGUAUAUGACGUGACAUGUCUUGGUAGAUUAAAAUGAGCUAAACUGUAUAUAACUAAUCGAGAAAUUAUAAUGCAAAUAAUAUGUUAAAUACAUAUAUUACUUGAUGCAGUGCAUCAAAAGAAAAAGGGAUCCGUUCAACAUUUAUAAUUAAGACAAUAGCUCAGCUGUAGUAUCAGUAAGUGACUGCAUGACCGUAAAGCAAUGUGCCAUCAUGCUACUAAGCGCGCGAGGCCCUCACCGGCGUGCUCACUAGUGGACUGCCUGAGCCGCCGGUAGUCCUCGUAGCUGAAAUCCCUGAACCGGCGCGGCAGCUCGGCGCUCACGAACGCCUCCGGCGCGCGCACCAUGUCGUCGCUGGGCGCCAGAAGGAAGAUCGCGAUCGAGAUGCGCGGCAUGCCCGCCACGCACCGCACCCGGUGCCUCACGUUGUGCAGCGUCCCGUUGCUCCACGCCUGCGCCCGCGCCAGACUCAGAACGCGAAACCAGACAAAGAUAAUAAGAGUAGGAGUUUGGGCAGAGACGUCAAUGUAGUAAGUACCGUGGCGACGUCGCCGAGGUUGACGAGGAACGUGCCGUACAGGGGUUCGACGGGCGAGAACUCGCCGGUGACCGGGUCCGCCACGUCGAGGCCACCGACGCAGUCGUCCUCCUGGAGCACGGUGAGGAAGCCGGAGUCCGUGUGGAUCUGCACGCCGGUCUUCCCCACCGUGUCCGGAGUGUAGUUGUACCUGUUGAUACGGAACUGGCACGGCCAGUCCUGGAACGAGCAGUCCAGGCCGAGGCUCGACGCCAGCUUCGCCGCGAUGUCCACGAUCAUCUCGUGCGUCUUCUCAGCGUAGCGCCUGAUUGCCUCCCUGCCGCAGAAUCGGAGUGACCACGUGCACUACAGUAACUUCGCGGCAAGAAGCACGGCGAGCGAAGGAAAGAAGCACAGCGAAGGCGGCGGCCCGAUCUCUGGCGACCGUACCUGGCGUGCGGCGGCGCGUCGAGGCAGGAGCAGAAGGCGUCGACGUCGGCGGGGGACGCGGCGUCGUAGAGGCCGAACGCCUCGUACAGCGGGUUGGUGGCGCUCGGCGCCCGGGGGGCCCCCCGGUCGGGCCGGGGGCGCGCUCGCCACGCCGUGGCCGGACACCCGGAAGCAGCCCAGGCGCCGGGCCGCGUCGCGCAUCCGCGCGGCCUCCUCAGGCGCCACGCCGGCGAGCCGCAGGUCGAUCACCGGGAUCUCCGCUGCGCGCGGCGUCGUCCCAUGUCAGCGUCUUGCAGAUGAGUUUUGUCGGGAGGAAAAAAGAACGGAAUUAUCGGCGCCGCAUACUGACGACUUGACGAGCACUUACUCCGUAGCUAGCACCACUCGCUGUCUCACUCGGACUCUGGACGUGCACCGAAUCGGCGUGCUCCAAAUGCAGACGAGCACGAGUGGUCAGCUAGUGAAGGUUGCUUCUGUGCCUCCCAAUCAUCCCAUGUCUGUUACGACAUGCUAACGUGUUUCACGCUUUUGGUUUUCCACUUGGCCAAAAAGAUGAUGUACAUCAAGAGACUUGAAACCGGACGAUAUGUCUUUCUAAACGGACAAAACGAAUGAUGGGAAAGGAACAUUCAAUGUGCAGACAGAGCAGAAUGCAUGGGGGCAGAUAAUGCAAGGGGUCAGGGAAUAGACAACAAUCAUCCUAUUCACCAGAAAAGAGCGAAAUUGACAUGAAAAGUUUCUAAACAUGCUAUACACGUAUGCAGAUUGUUAGUUACAUUCAUCUAGCUUGUGAUGCGUACAUUGAACAGCAGGGCAAUGGCUCAUAUUGGUAUUGAAAUCUCAUGUUUGUUCUAGGCAAAGGAACAUCCAUGGAUGGUGUAUAGUUCAGCUUUUCCAACUGUACUUAGACUGAAAUAUCUGCUUCUGUCCUCUGCACUAUAUGGUUAUUCCAUCUUGGAUUUCUUGGUGAAAAUAUUAGUAGUUGACAAGCAGACAAUUACUAUCAACACCACGGCUAUCCCAGAAACUACAUAAAAAAAAAGAGUAACAUAUCAAGACAAACUAUAUCUGGCAAAAAUAAUUUGUAAUAACAUCAUAAAGCAGGUACUGUUGAGAGUAACUGUCAUGCACGAGAAAAGAAAAGAUAUCUAAAAAGUAGAGAUCGAUAUAAAGAAAUGGCUAAAAAAGGUGAGAUAUAGAUAUUAAGAGCAUACCAGCAACUGUACCAAAGAAUAACAGAGCAAGCCGGUAUCGCACUACCCAUGAAAGCUCUGUUUCGAGAGUGCAAUGCUGAUACGAAUGCCCCUGUUUUUUAAUGUCAUGUGUGUUUGAUAGCUCCAGUUCAGAUAUGGGAAACUCCACGUCACCAACAGAGUUUCCCUGUAUAUCUCUCAGAUCGAGUUUAAUCUUGGGAGGUACUGCAUCCCAAUGUAUCUCGAUUGCUCCAAAGUUUGGCUGACCUGAUAGAUGCAAUAGCAAAACACCAAUUGACAAGUUAUAUAAGUGAGACACAUAUCCAACAGAAAUAAAUUAGAUGGACAAUAGAAUUCUUAAUAUUAUAUUUAUAUGUUUCAUCAUAAGAUUUAAUGGUUAACUGUAGCUUUUAGGGCAAAAAAAGGUGAAGCUGCUAAUGGUAACUAUGAACAUUGUGUCAACAUCAACAGACAAACCUAUUACUCCAACGACUACAAUAGAGUAGUAUCAUGUCACAAUGUCAUUAAAAGCAAGGCAAUACUUAAAAUAUGCAUCCUACAUGAUUCUCGUUUGUCUUAAAGAAAGGAAGGCUUGCCGUAUGUGCAUGAUUUGUAACGGCAGUUAGGGCUGAAGACUCGCGUAGUGGUUGGUGUCAACAAUGCCAGAAGUCUAAAGAGGGGUUGAAAUACUGCUGGUACAGAGUUCUCGACAGAUUGGGUAAGACCACUUGAGGUAAUAUCAUACAAUGGAUAUUGAGCCCCACAGUCGUAGCGAGAAAUUUCUCCAAAAUGAACAUCACCGCUGAUAAAUAACACUCCAUUUCUCUGCACAAAGUCACCGUAUGUUCAAAAAAAAACAUAAGAUAGAUAUCCAUUUUAGUUUUUUAGAUGGUAUUGUCUAUUGAUAGGCUGCAAAAAAGAGAGAAUUUAACACAGCUAUAUAGAAGAGGAAAAGUCUAAACAUUAAACUUCAAAACAUACUACAAGAAAAAGGCACCUGCCUGUGCCACAUAUUACAAGAAAAGGGCCAUCUGUGGUGAUAAAAAACAAUUGUUUCUAAAAAUAAUGCAGGAAGUACGCCAGCUACUACUAAAUCAAUGAAUAUCACUUUGGCACAGGUAAAGGAGAACUGAUUUUUCAGUAAAGAUCAGAAUCAAGGAAUAGCUUGUCUGCACAGGAAAGUAAAAUAAUCAACCUUACUGCUAUCGAUCAAUCUAAACAGUCGUUCUCUUUCCCUUGGAAAACGUGCCCAUGACUCCACAUAGAAUAAAGGUCCAGUGGUGGCAGAUAGAUUUGAUAUUACCUGCAGUGAAAGAAAAUUGUAUUAUUCUAAAACAAUUAUAUCACAUCCAAGAUGAAGAAUCAACGCAAAAUAAAACAUAUAAAGGUGAAAAUAACAUUAUUAAAAUUAUUCACUUGAAAGAAACUAUAGAUUGAAGAUUUUAUUAAAAAAUAUCUAUGUAACAGUGAUAGAUAACUUUAACUGGAAAUUGGGAUACUAUUAUCUUCCAUGAGAUUGUCCAAGGAGAUGGCAUCCAGCUUUGCAAGCCCCAGACAAGAUAACACGUUUUAGCACAUUAGCAGUUCUUUUAUGUAUGCUGUUAGUUUAUGGAAUUCACUAUGAUUACUCAUUGUUCUCUGGCAGAUCCAUUUUUAGCCAGUGUUCUAGAUCCAUUAUAUUUCAUAAACCUCAUAAAAAGCACCAGAAUUGACCCUUUGUUCAUUUAGUACCAGGAAGAAUAUCUUACUUGUAUUGAUGAUCCAAUGAUGGUGAUCUCUGAUCGAGGACCAUGCAGCUCCCUCUCCAGCCAUUGCCACUGAGGAUCUCCCAGUAUAGCUCCAUCACUUAGGAGAGGGUCUCUGUGAUAUCUGGUGUCCAACAGAAUUACCUACAGUAAUGCCUGACUAUCUUUUAAUAAAUGUAAAGUAACAAUGUAACAGUGUCUCAACCAGUUUUGCAAAUGGGUGAAACUUCUCAACUUAUGUGGAACUUAAUAUAUUUCUUGUAGUGCAGCAUUAUAUUGAUUUGAACUGAAUAGUUUCACCCAACAUUAAAUGCGUAUGUAAAGGAAAAUAAACAUUAACGAGAAACAAAAAUAUACAUCUGUAUUCAGUAUUCACAUGGUACCAAGUUGCUGUAAAACUUGAUAUCAUAUGGUAUCACAUCUUAAAUGAUGUUACGAAUUCCAUUUAAGGAGCUGAAACAACAAAAGAAAAAACUAUUGAUUAACAAGAAGUUGCAGCACAGGGCAGUUUGUAAUGUGCAGCAUUCAUAGUGUUAUCUAGGAGAUUGAUAUGGAAAAUUACUUGGUUGUGAAUCAUAAGAUCAACAGGGAAAAUGCCCCAUAUGGAAAGGAGCAGCAAUACAUUCAUGCAUGGGGAUGCCCUGCUUGAACAAGGGGUUGCCAAGAAAACCAAAAUUGGCAGCAAAAUUGCACAUGAUAUAAUGGGCUAUACCUUUACUCGUUUUCCUUCAGGGCCAAACAUGUAUGAGGUAUAAACACCAGCUUGUUGCCUCCUAAAGAAACAAGGAAGAGAGCACUAUGAGAUUUCUGAUGGUUUACAACAGAAUGUAUGCAGACCGAUAAACCUGCAUAGGAAUGCUCAGAUCUGUUGUAAAAGAAGAACAAGAAAUAUCAAAAAAAAAUCUGAAGAAUAAACACAAUUGAGAAUACCACAAUAUAAAUAAAUUUCUUCAUAAAAAAACACUUUUUUUAAAAAAAUUCAAUACUAGCUCAAAUAUUCCCAGGUAUAUACCGUGAACUAUCUCUAGCUUCAUCCAAAAAAUCUAAUAGAAGCCUUUGAUUGAUCACUUUCCCACUAAACUCUUUUCCUGCAUCGUUCAAUCCAUAAUCAUGAUCAUCCCAUGUUCCAAUGACCUGCAAAAUUUAGCGAGUGGUAGUGACAUAGUGUUUCCGACACCUAAAGUUUUAAAAAUGGAAUUGUCGAAACAAGAAGUGAUACAAUGUUGAAAAAUCUCCAUGAGUUUGGCUAAUUGGCUGAUACAGAAAAUGUCUGAAACAUGACAAAGAGUACAGUAAUGAGCAAAUUAAUCGUGUGUCAUUCAUCAUCAGUUGGAGAUUAUGGUCCUUUCUAGCAAUUCCAAUACGGCUGAAAGAUCAGCUAGAAUAUUUUCCCUUAGAUAUACUUCUCCUAUACUUGUAUGGUCAACGUCAUCCACUCAUGGGAGAAAUGACUACCUCUACCUACUUGUUUUGUUUGUAAAACACCAGCGACAAUACACAGCAAAACAGGGCACAAGCUUUACGUACAAAUAAUAUACAUCGGCACUGAGGUUCAACGGGCAAUUACAAAUUAGCAAUCUAACAAUGCAGCGUAAAAUGAGCAGCAGCGAAUCUGACAGAAACACCAAGAGCUCACCUGAGCCCUCUCCCUGAGCUUGGCGUACCCUGGCUUGGCCUUGGCCAUCUCGUAUCGCCUCCGCAGCUCGUCCUCCGGUGACGGGUAGAACCGCGGCACGUUCCUCCAUGGCCCCACCGUCCUCUCCUUCCCCCACGCCCGGAACGGCCUCUUGUUGUCGCCGUAGACGUUGUCCCCGAGCCAGAUGAACACCUGCGGGUCGAACCCCACGACGGCCUCCCACACGGGCUGCACACCACAAUUCGAAAAAGAAAAAAGAAAAAUCCCAUCAGACGGCCCCAAUAGAGCGCUACCACCUGAGAUCGAGACGUCCGAGAAGGGGGUGCAUUUCGUCGAGCACCUGGGGCGCGCUCUGGUUGGCGCAGGAGCCGAAGGCGAUCCUGGACACGACGGCGUCGCGGUCGGCGCGGAGGGAGCGGGAGAGGAGGAGGAGGAGGAGGAGGGGGAGGGGGAGGGGGGGCAGCGNNNNNNNNNNNNNNNNNNNNNNNNNNNNNNNNNNNNNNNNNNNNNNNNNNNNNNNNNNNNNNNNNNNNNNNNNNNNNNNNNNNNNNNNNNNNNNNNNNNNNNNNNNNNNNNNNNNNNNNNNNNNNNNNNNNNNNNNNNNNNNNNNNNNNNNNNNNNNNGGCCGCGGGCAGGCUGCCAUUGGCGGAGGCCGGGUCGGGCGGAGGAGGAGGACGGGUGGGGGAUAUUCCAGUUUCCAAGGAGUCGGAUCCCGAGCGGCGUUGGGCGUUUGGUUAGUAGGAGGGAGGGAGGAGGGAGGGACGCGUGGUGCAACGGAGGGGGAGCGGGUGCCGCGCGGAGACUGGAGACGGAGACGGAGACGGGAGGAAGAAGCUCUUCUUGGAGAGGUGAGAAGAGUGGUCGGUUUUGUUCUCUUAUUGUUUUUUUUUAAUAAUAAUACGGUGGAACUGAACUGUGUGGAAAUUCUGACUCAUACGUAAUGUUAUCUUUUGGUAUAUUAAAAGAAAAAAUAAAUAUCAUAUUUACAAACGAAAAAUAAUUUACGAGUAAAACCUUUUUAUAUGUAUUAAAAGCCAUAACUAGAAAUAAACAGUAACAAUAAAUCAACUUUAAAUUUAAGUUUGAAAAUUCAUAACUUUGGCUUAUAAGCGUAAUCAAAAACCAAAAGACAAGGAGUUGACAUUCUUAGCGAGAUUCUAAUCGAACUUUUAAUAGAUUUACUUAUUUCAUAAGACAUAAAUUUAUCUACAUAAAAUGAACAGCUAUAGCAUCGUGAAAUGGAGCAGAGAGCACAAACGUAAAAAUGAGUAACUUCGGCGUACAAGUAUAUAAACAUGUAUUAACCAUCGUCUUCAGUCCUCUGACAGAUCUAUAAGCCAACGAUGCUAUGCUUGCACCCUAAGAUUGAUGUUGUCAUUACAUCAUCGUCAACCCUGAUAGACAACCCUACCUAGGUUAUCAUCGAUGAUCUCAUGAAUACUUGAGACAUCGAUAAAGGAGAUAGAAUAAGAAUAAAAAUUCUACCUAGGUUAUCAUCGAUGAUCUCACGAAUACUUGAGACAUCAAUAAAGGAGAUAGAAUAAGAAUAAAAAUUCUAUACAAGGGUAACUUCAUAAACAUAUGAAAAAUUAAACGGUUCUACUUGACAUAUUAAAAACUCAUAGAAAAUUUAUCCAAGAAAACCUAAAACUUAUUUGAGAAGGACGAGGAUCCUGUUAGCGAGGACAUUUAACAAGAGGAAAGAUGACAAAGACCAAAAUAUAGAAGCAGCAGUUGUGGGCCUCCGUAGGUACAAGUCAUGAGCGUCAUAUGUUUAUUUUUCAUUCACCGAACCCAUAUCAAUAUGAACAAAGAGUAUAAUACACUUUGCUUUAUCAAAUACCAUUGCGCUUGUUCUCCACUUUAGCUAGCUAUGAUGGAAUUGUUUCCUAGUUUUACAAACUCUAGUGCAAUAAGUGCUAAAAAUGAAUAUACUUUAGCAGAAAAAAGAGGUGUAAAAAUAAAGUUGUUUUAGGAGAGAGGUAGUAAGUAUCACCAGAAAAUUUGUUGGAAGUCAUUUCAUUAAUUAUCCUAAUGUGAAAUACUACGUAUAUAAGAAACUUUACAUAAUUUUAGCUUCCUGGUACUGUCACAUUGGGCUUUGGCACCAAGAGGUGAGAGCUGAGGAGCCUUGAUUCUGAAGAAGCUCUUGCCUUUUUCUCACGUUUUAUUGACAAGCCUCAUCAAAAGUGAAAUCUGGCAAAAAAAAAAAAAAAAGAGUUGCACUUGUGAUUGGAAUAAAGCCACUUCGUAAAGAUGUCGCAAAGAAAGCUGCGAGAUGCAAAAAGCAUCACGCUGUUGUGAAGCUCAAGGUUUUUCUAUCCAAAAUUGUCCUCGUUAACCUUUACACUUAAUUGACGGUUUCUGGAACAUUGACUUGUGAGCUCCGUAUAAACGAUUUUUAAGCCGAAGGUCAGAACUCAGAUACAGAAUUGCUGGAACACUUACAAGUAAAAUUGAACUGAUUCAAAAGAUAAAAUUGUCGGCACAAUCUAUAUUUCUUCACUUGUCACCGAAAUAAACCCAUCCUAAGCUACAUCAUCAACAAUCUUAAGUCAUUUGAUCAUGCUACAUAUUAAUAUCAAGAAAAAAAAAUUAUGCGCAUAUGAGUUUUUCCUUGAUCCAUUCUAGACCCCUCAAUUUUGCUUGGGCUCUUGCAUAUGCCCGAGUUUCUGUUUUCAUGAUCUCUUUGCCUAUUCCGUUAGUCUACCGUUUUCUUUUCUAAAAUAACUCUAUUACCCCCUCUUCAUACUUAUGUAUAAUCUAUUUUUAAAACAUAAAUAUCAACUUUGCUUUAUAACAAAAUCAAAUUGGACAUAAUUAUUUGAUGCCAAAUUUGGAAAAACAUUCAAAUUUUUCAAGCAAAUUUUCAAAAAUGAUUAAAUCCAUACAGGAGUUCCAUUGAGAAAUUGAAACACAUAAUCACUUUUAUUUCGUUUAACUUUGGUGAAAAUAUUGUCCUAAUUUGAUCAAAUUUGGCAUGAAAUUUAUUUAAAACUUUAAAUCAGUUUUGAAAUCUAUUUUUAGAUUCUACCCUAUCUGGUUUUUAAAUUCUACAUUAGCUUAUAGUGACAUGAAAAGAUUUUAGAGUUCAUAGCUAGAUCUUAGAGCAGAUACAAUAGCAGGCUAUAAGCCAGCAGUAAGUAUAUUUUAAAAAGAUAAGAGGAUAGAGAGAAGAGAGAUGGACUACUAAUUUAUAGCCAGCUGCACACAGGCUCCAAAACAAAAUAUAUGUAUGACAUGUGAGACCAUGUAUUGAUAUUUGGUUGGAAGAUAAAUUAAAGCUAGUAAUUGGCUGUACUAUUGACCUUGCCGGCUAUAUAAUUGCAGUAGCUUCGGUAGACAGCAACUAGGCUAUGUCUGUUCCUCUUUCGAGGGACAGCAAAAACGAUUCGCAUUUGCUGCAUCUGAUUCCAAGGCAUUUGCUAUGAUCUACCAGCCAUUCCAGGUUCAGCAAAAUAAGAGUAAUUAUUUGCUGUUUGUAUAAAGUAGAGCGUUAAAAUGCAAGCCUGCAACUGAAUAUAGCUAAGAUCUUUAUAUUAUAUAUAGUCAGAAACCCAGGGCAUUUUCAGCACAAGUUACUAAGGCAUCUUAUCUACAUGUUAACCACACAAAUAACGUCAGCGCAUGCUCCGUCACCUUGUAAUCAUAAGGGAAUCGGGAUCCUUGCAAACUUAUCGGAGCAUUUUACCUUCCGAUGCAUGUGUAAAGCAAGGUUCUCAUUAUCAAUGACGCUUUCACAUAAGUGUCAUUCAAAAUCAAGAUGUCACAUAUUCACCACAUACAUACGGUUAGGGCACGAAUAGAUCACAUAGGCUGGUUCAAACAUGUGAGAGAGAUCAGGUCUUAUACACAUCGAGGACUGUUGGCCAUGGAGCGUCCAAUUUCCUUCGAACGUUAGCAGUGAAAAGGCAAGCACAUCAACAUCAAUACAACCUAUAAUCUGCCCGAAGUCAUGAGAAAGUUGCCUUCCAUCCUGCGAAAUUUCAUGACACUGAAAUAAGAGGUAUGCAAACUAAAUAAGGGAAUUGGCACUAAGAUCCUUGUAAGUUGGAGUAUCAAAUCAUGCCAUUUUUUGUGAAAAAAGGAAUAUAACGAAUCUUUGAAAAACAUAUAGGGUAAAUUGAACUUGUCACGUGGGUACAGUGUAGCACAUGAACUUGUAGAACACUUGUUUUUAUGCACGAACCAAAGCCAAAUGGUUCAGCAAUGCUAAUUUUACCAAGUUGGAUGCUGAUUAGGACGUGACAUAAACACUCACAUUGGCGCAAGGCUUUUCCUGAUAGCUACCUCCCUCCGUUUCAUAUUGUAAGACAUUUUAACUAUGUCUAGAUUAAUCUAUAUAUCAAUGUAUGUUGUUUAUAUAUAUGUCUAGAUUCAUUAGCGUAUAUAUGAAUAUAGAGAAUGUUAAAAGUCUUACAUUGUAAAACGAAGUAGUAAAAGACAAGGUAUCAAGUAACUAAUCCCCUGUUGUAGGAACUAAUUAUUUAGGUAAUAUGCAUUAUUAGGAUAAACCCUUCCCUAAUCUGCUGUUAGGGUACCACGUGCCAUAAUACGCUGGGAGUUGCAAUGAAUCAAGAAAAUCUCAUUGCCUUUUUCUUCAGAAUAUGGAUGACACAUGUACAAGUAUGUAAACUAGAGAAUAUGAAUGCUGGUUGACAAUCUCUUACCUUCAUUUUUUAUAGUACGGAGAUCUGCUAGAUGGCGCAUUGUUGGCCUCCCAUGAGGGCAAUUCCAAGGGGACCGCAGUCCUGUUAAAUUCUUAAGUAUCUGAAGUGCAAAAGAAAAAUACCCUACCGAAUUAGAUUCAUAAGUAUCUGAAGUGAAAAUGUGAGAGGGCUUCAUUAAGUUGGAUUCUUAAGUAUCUGGAGUUUAGAUACAAAAGGGACUCAUUGAUAAUCUAUACUAUUCCAUCCGUUUCACAACGUAAGACUUUCCAGUUUUUCCUAGAUUCAUGUGAAUCAUAAUAAAUCUAUACACACACACACAAAUUAUAAUAUUCAUCAAUGGAUGAAUCUAGCCAAGGCUAAAAAGUCUUACAAUAUGCAAUAGAGGUAGUACUAUAAAAGAGAGUAGUGGUGGUAGGUGCUGAAUCUACCAUCCACCACCCCACCAACUCCCCAAAUGCAAACAUGUGGGACCACUCACCAUUCUCUCUUAGAAAAACUUGACAACAAAAACCUCUAGUUAGUUGUAAAUUUCAAAAUAGAUUCUCUAUGUUCCCAUGUGAUCGCUUUAAUUUUGUAAUAACGUACAAACAUUUACUAGCAUAAAAGAAUAUUUGUUUCUAGGGAGCAGUGAGCACGAGCACUGACCACAACUAUAUCAUUAUACUAUAUUUCUGAAAAGAUAGAAACCAUACAAGGUUUGUCUUCUUCUAAAGGAGCUCAUACGGAAGUUGCUUAUCAAAAGCUUAUUUGCUCAAAAAUAAUUUAAUCUGUGAUUACCUUCUUCAUCUCAGCUUUUGUCAAUGGAUCACCUAUCAUAGUAGACAUUCGGCAAGCCCUUGAAGCCAACAUAGCACGAACCCUCGAAGGGCAAAUAGAAUCAGUUCUAUCGAGCUUGUAACUGCUGAUUAUUGAACAGUCACCUUGACUGUCAGCAAGCAUGGAGAUUAACUCCUUCACAUCUACAUCAAGGAAAAUUAGAAUUAAACUACUUUUCGACACACAUGCAAUGUACAUUUCAGGAAUAAGAAUAAGUGAUACCUUGAGCACCAAAUGUAAUAUUCUUACUGAAUGGAACAGCUUUUAUAAAAAAGCGGUUGCAAGGUGAAGCAUGCACAUCUUCUGCUAAAACAAAACCAUUUUUUCUGAGAGAUAAAAGAAUCAUGUAAGUAAAGCUUUUGCUCAGUCAAUUGUCAAAUAUUAUUGAGUGUGAAGAAAAUACACCGUGCAUGAUUCCAGUUGUUAUGCACUAAAUGCAAAACAAUUGGCCGACAGACCUGAUAAGUACAGAGUAGUGGACAGGAGUUAUAGGAGCCUGCAAAUGCAAUACCUGAUAGUGCUCAUGUUCAUAGAAACGAUAACUUCUUCCUCUGGUGACAGUUCUAGUCUCAGUGGUCUGUAUUUGAAUACAAUCAGAUAUACCCCCCACAGUAGUACAGUACCAGAUAAAUACUUUAAAAGAAGUAAUAAUAGACCUGAUUUCAACAUUCUGAAUACAACAAAACACCCUACCAUCAUUUAUAGGUACCGAACGAGUUCAAUGUAUCAAAAUAACAGAUGGAAAUUACAAGUUUUGCUUACUCACUGAAGGAGUGGCUGUAUGUUUAAAGUUGUUGACUGUGAAAGGUUCUCAAAGUUGUACUUCUCAUCAGCAGCAUGCUAGUAAAAAAACAAGAACAUCAAUCACCAGAUAUGACUACAUGAUAUAUCUUGCAAGCUGCAACCCAGAUAUCCAGAGGUUUAUGCAAUAAAAUUACAUCAUUAAAUAGAAUAUGUGUACAGACUGUAGAGAGAUACCUGAUCUACAAUAAAUAGGUCAUGGUCCAGCUUUCCAAUGAUAAAACCAAGAUUAAACUGCCCAACAACCUGUAGGUGUACUAGUUAUUUAGCGCUCUAAAAACUUCUUCAGCAAAGUAUUGUAAAUAGAAUCCAUACAACAAUUCCCUUUUCUAAUAUUUUGUCCUAUUUUAGUACACUGAAAUUACACCACUCAAGUAAAUAAGCAAACAUUUACAAUAAAAAAAUUGGACAAAGAUUAUCCAUGUUUUGUGAGGAACUAGUAAGAAUGACAAGACAUAUGGUACUUGGUUGGGCCAUGAACAGAAGCAAGCUAUCAAAAGCACCCUCAUCAAAAAACGGUUAUAUAACUGGUUUUACACACACACACAAGUGUAUGUGUGUGUCAGUACGGCUUUAAUUUCAUGAUUGCCAAAAGUCACUGUGAUUCCACCCAAGCACUGGGCCAGAGUAUAUAACUAUAAAAUACUAUCUCCAUUUCAUAACGUAAGAUGUUUGACUUUUUAGUUGUAACGUUUGACCAUUUGUCUUAUUUAAAAAUUUAGUACAAAACCACAAAUAUAAAAAAUAACAAGUCGUGCUUAAAGUUCUUUUAUAAUAAAGUAAGUCACAAGCAAAAUAAAUGAUAUUUUCAUAAUUUUUUGAAUAAGACAAAUAAUUAAACAUUGCAAGCAAAAAAGUCAAACAUCUUACAUUAUGAAACGGAGGCUUACACUCUAGAAAACCAAAAGGAGAACACUCACACAAGGCAAAUAAACCACAUUAUGACCUAGAUAACAAGUGGUCAUUCAUUGACGGUAUAUCAACAGUAUAAUCUCACAUGGAACCCUAGAAAAAUGAUAAUAUUCAAAAUGUGGAAUUAAGUCAGGCACCUCCAUUUCUCCAAAGUCAUCUUUACUGAAAAAUCUGUCUAACUCACUAGUGGCUGCAGCUAAAGAUUUCGAUUUCCCCUCCUCAUUAUCUGGUACAUUAUUAUCCAGUGUCGCAGCUUUAUAACACCUAGGUAGGAAAAAUAAACUAGUCAUUCAGAGACUAGAAAACCCAACUCCUGGUGAAAAUUUAACUUGUCUACAAAAACAGUUAAGUGCUACCUUGUUGUUUUCUCAGGAAAACACCCUUUAUUUGUAUGUGAUAUCAUAAAACUAUGCUUUCUUCUUCUUCUAAGGUCAGCAAGUGUAAAUUUCAUAACCGGAAAAGAUAAGGAUCCAGAAUGUAUUGCAUUGCCAUGACCAUCAGGAUGAGCAUCAUGCACAGAAAUAAUUGUCAAUUCAUUUUGGGGCUCCACUUCUGAACAUCUACCAGGAGAACCACACUUGGAAUGGCGUCGAUCAUGUUGUUUAUCCUGCAACGAAUGAAGCAUUUCAUUUUGCAGUUGAUCUCAUCAUCAGAUAUUCAAACAUUAUUGUUCUCUUUUCUUUGAACUGGAACCAUGCCCAAUCACAAGCUAUAAUAUCAGAAAAGGCCACUCCACAAACAAUGUGUGCAUAAUCCAAAAUUAAAAACAGGUUGUGAAAAUUGCUAGGACUAGAUUGAAGGUACCUUAUUUAGUGACAACAGUUGAGAAAUUCACCAUUAACUUCUUUAAAAGAUAUGAUCACAAGGCAUACACUUAGCAAUAAUGUCAAGAAACAAUCAGUCAAGGCAAAUAAAGCAAGAGAAGUUAAAAAAAAAGAUUAUGGAAAUAUUAUAAUCUCCUAGAGAAAUAUAAUGAAGAAACUUGUAGGAUUCAAUCCAAAAACUUCUACCUUACCGCUUCAGAUUCUGUAGUGUGAACAUCAGAUGGAUGCAAGUGAGGCACCUCAUCAGUACGAGAAAAAAUAUUAGGUGGUUCCAAAUACUGUGGUGAGUCUUCUGUUGUCUCGGGUACAAAAGAUUGCGGAGAAUGGUGCCGCAAAGGAUUUGUUCCUUGAGGUGUGUUAACAAUAUUAGAUAUACUUGAGGUUAGUGUAUCUGGUGCAUUUGCUCCUAGUUCUGUUCUCCUCACUUGCUCCAAGCAUGUUUCCCUUCUCAGCACUGGAGCUUCAGAAAUAAGAUUGCAACUAUCUUCAUGUUUCCUUUUAUUUUGUGAUAGAAAGUUCAUGAUAGAAGGUUGAACAGUACUUGAAGGAGAGGACUUUGUAGCAAGCCCUGUUCUAACUUGAUUUGCUCGUGUUAGAUAGCCUUUUACUUGUGUGGGCAUUUUUUCUGGUUGCUUAUGCCGAUAGGCCGAAAGCCAAGCAGAUCUAUCAACCUGAGCAGGUGGGCCUCUUGGCAAGGGACUCACAUCUCUGGGUUUAGAUCCAGUGGCUACUGUUUCUGUUACUGAAGAAGUCACUUUCUGAUUCUCUGGUGCAACCUCGUCAUCACUAUCUGUUUCAUCCAUGUGAUCGUCAUUUUCAGUAGCUGAAACAUUCUCCUUUUCUAUUAAACACAUGUUUUCAUCAGACCCACCAAUGGCUGGAUCCAUUUCCUUUUCAGGAUCUUCAAUGUUGUUGAUGGAGAAACUGCAUUGUUGAGGGCAGUACAUAUUCUCAAUACCUUCACGUAAAGAUAGCAAAAUGGUCUGCUCGGAUGAGAAGAAAAUUUUUCUCUUAUCAGGCGCAACAUUCACAUCAUAAGAUGUGGUUGGAAUACAGAAAUUCAAUACAGCCACAGGGUAUUGCUUGGCGUUUGAGCUUCUGUAUAGCUCAUUAACAAGUUUGGAGACCUUUGGCACAUCGACAGGUCUGCCAUUAACAUAGAAGAACUGUCUAUCCCCUGAAUUGCGACCGCUACCAGGUCCAGGUUUGGAAAGAAAGCCAUCAACUUGGCAGCCUUCUGAGAUUGUCACAUUGAAGGGCUGUAGGCACUUGAAAGUGUUCGAACCAAAUACGGUAAUGAUAUUGUCUUUCAGUGAACUACUCCCUUGAGUUCUAAGCACCGCCAUUUUAGAAUUCUUGCCGGUGGUAUUUGUGCAAACUAAUCUGACCCCUUUGGAAAUCAAGGCAUAGGCCUAAUAAAGGAAAGACAUGAUAUUUAGUAUGUUGAGAUGAUGGAAAGUAAAGGAAAAAAAACACAGCUUUUAACAGAAGCAUAACUAAACAUGCCUAGAGUAAAACAGUGGAGAAGUAUGACAGACAUGUAUAUUGUGUAAUAUCCGGAAUAGACUAGGUUCGACAUACAACAACUUUACAGAAAGAAAUCGCCUGCAAAAAAAAAACAUGGACAGUAAGAUGAGCAAUCUCACAUUCAGCAAGGAGAUCACUUUCCCGUACUCCUUCCGAAUGUUCCUCCUGAACUCCUUGCUCCGAACAGGCAGCGUGGAGAACAAUUUCUCGACGGUCACGGCCGUCCCGACCGGCCGCGCCAUCUUGCUCUCGCCGGUCACCAAGCCCGAGUGCGCGAACUCCAGGCGCGUCCCGACCUGCUCGUCCUUGGUCCUCGUCUCAACCGUCAGCUUCCCCAGCGCGCAGAGCGAGCUGAGCGCCUCCCCACGGAACCCGAAGGUGGCGACGGAGCUGAGGUCGCCGAAAUCCGAGAUCUUGGAGGUGUGGUGCUUCAGAGCAAGCGCCUGGUCAUGGCGACGAGAGGGGGCAUGGUCAGCAGCUAAUCCAACCACAGGAGCAAGGCAGCAGCGAGAGGGUGGGAGGAGGGUUUGUAUGGGGGGUGCCUGGAAAUUGCUCGGCGCGAUGCCGGUGCCGUUGUCGGAGACGGUGAAGGAGUCCUCGCCGUAGCCGCGGAGGGUGACCUCGACGGUGGUGGCGCCGGCGUCGAGGCUGUUCUCGACGAGCUCCUUGACGGCGGAGGAGAGGUCGAAGAUGACCUGACCGGAGCAAAUCCGGUGCACCGCGGACCUCCCGAUCGGCCGUAUCGCCGGCGACGAGCCGCCCCCCAUGCUCCUCCUCCCUUCCCCCGCCUAAAACCCUACAAAACCACCCAGCACCGCACGGGGGCGGAGGUUUCUCCUCUCCCUCGUCUCCGAUGGCAGUGGUGCUUCAGCUGGGACUGGGCCCUGGAUGCGGUGGCCCGUGAUCCGGCCCACCUGCUUAAGCUGGGCUUGGGCCCUGGAUGCGGUGUGUGAUCCGGCCCGGUCGCCACGUCUACAAGCCACGAUGCGGUCGGGGCGUCGGGCGCGUGGCCACCUGCCGAGCCGUUUCGUUUCCCCGCGGGGUAGGAAAGGAAGAGGAGCCGCGGCCGCCGCCGCCGCCGGGUCACAUGGACCUGCAUCCAUGGAGGGGCUUUUUUGACCACGCGGCCGCCGUCCAGUCCAGGGAAAGGCAGAAAACGUGCCGGUUUUGCGUUCGCUUCGGUCGAUUCUGCACCCCACACCCACCUCCACCCCCUCCGGUGUGUACGAUUUGCGUGACGAGGGCGUGUACGAUUUGAUUAUUUGGCAUCGCUACGUAACUUUGUUUAAUAAUUUGUCAUCUUACACGUUAGAGCAGGUAUAAUGCAGACUAUAAAUCGACUAAAUAGUAACAUGGAGAAAAGAGUGGAGAGGAAAGAGAAGAAGCAGACUAUAAACUUAUAGCUAGCUUGAGCACAAGAAUACGUGUGGGUCUUACAUUAAUAAUGAAAAUAAUAAUGAAAAGUCAAUUACUACGAGUGGACUAAGAAAAAACAAUAAAGAGUUUAUAGCUAACUUAUUAUUCUUAUUCUUGCUCUUAUAGAUACAAAGACGAAUUGUCACGCAUACAAAUCACGGUUUAGCGAGCCGCUUUUAUCAUAUUGAUAUCUAAUUUUUUUCAUUGCACACUUUCUAUAUGAUUAAACCGUGCACCGUACCAUUAAGUCAAGAAAUAAUCUGAUGUAAAAGAAUAUGACACGUAAGUAAAUGUCUAUGCUCAAAACUAUUUCAUAAUAAUAAUAAUAAUAAUAAUAAUAAUAAAGUUUUUUUUCUCACAUGCAAUUAGCUUGAAUUAAAAAUAACGGCAUGUUAGAGCUAUGUGGUACCGAUUUCUCACACUAUUCCAUACUAGCUUUUACUGUUAUUUCUCUAUAUUUUUUUUAGAAAUACACCUAAAAUCUAGGCACCAGAGGGAACCUAUUGCGACCGUCCUUCUUUCUUUGGUCACAAGAAAUACAGAGCAUGCUCGACGAAACAAAAGAAAAAACGUUUCUUUUUCAUUCAAGUGGGGAAAUAACAAACCAGCAACAAGUUGGAGGCAUGCGAAAAGGAAUCCAAAUCAUACACGGAUACUAAACGAAUUCCGGAAUUCGUCGAGGACCUGGAACAAACAAGCCGGGUCCUAUAUAGCAACAAGAAGGAAGUGCAAACAAGAGAAAAAAAUAGUUGAGGAAGAAAAGGCAAAAAGAAGAAAAAAGAAAGAAAGAAGAACAGAGCGCGCAAAGGAAGCGAGGAAUCGCCGAAGGGGAGGGAGGGAAAGCGGCGGCGAAGCAAAUGGCGGAGACGCCGAGCAAGGCUGAAUCCAUGAGGAAGUGGGUCGUGGACCACAAGCUACGAGCCGUGGGUAAAUAUCUCCUGGAUCUUUUUUUUUCUCCCUGGGAUUUUCAUCUUCUCCGCGCGGAUCUGCUAUUUUUCGUUGUUUCUGAUGUGUCGAUUGCUACCUGAGUCGCCCCCAAUCCAUGCGCCUUCUGAAUAUGAGUUCAUCUGAUUUCCUUUAUCUGAUUUAGUUUAAUCUCACUGCGGAAAAUUUUUGUAUGCUGUUUCCCUUUCCCCAAAAUUUUUAGAUUAGUUUUGCCUCUUGUUCCGGAUGUUUUCUAACCUUUGCGUUGCUUGUGUGGGGGAAAGGUUGCCUGUGGCUUACUGGGAUCAGCAGCUCGAUUGCGUACAACUGGUCGAGGCCCAAUAUGAAGACUAGCGUCAAGAUCAUCCAUGCAAGGUCUGUGCCUUUUUUCAAUUACCUUGCCUCCAUGUCCAGGCUAUGGUGUGGUGUCUCAUCGUAAUUAUGAGUAUAACUUGAGGACACAUCUUGAUAUCACGACAAGAAAGAAUGAUUUUGAACUUUGCCACGAUGCCUGAAAGAUUGUUUUUGAGCAGUGCCAAAUUGAGAAGGUUGAUUAAACAUAAACAUGAUUGUAGUAUCCAUGUGAUUGUUCCCCACAAAACCUUUUAGGGUUGAAUCUGCGCAGAGCUACGAAGUGACUCAAGCAACUCACGUUUCAACCAAAACCAGACACGAUUGCUCUACAUGAUUCAUUGAGCUUUACUUCUAUUGAACUGUACAUAAUGUACUAGCUUUUAUUGUUAGAAUUGGAACUGGAAACAAGUGGUUAUAAAGCGUGCAACCCUAGAUGUAUCAAAGCAUGUGGGAUUUCACAGUCCAUUGGACUGUAGUUUGCCGUUUAUUAAAAGAGCUGUUUUUUAAAAUUUUACAAUGAUUCCACCAGACAAGUAGAUUUAUAAGGAUGCACCAUUAUUAAUCUGGUGAAAUAUCUGUUUGUAUCGGUUGUGCAUUCAACAGUGAAUGGCUUAGAUUAACCCCAUGAAUACCAUUCUGCAGGAAACUAGACAUUAAGUGUAUACUUAUCUAGUUAUCUACGUUACUUGAUAGUGUGCCUAGUUGGCAUAUAGAAUUAUAUGAGUAAAUAUUGCUUGUAAUUAUUGUUUUAGAUUGUUGCUAGCUGUAUGAAGUAAUUAAUGCAUCCUUUUGUCACUAAAAUUACAAGGAUGCAUCAUUAUUUAUCAUGGACUGGUUUCUUAAGAUUCCUUGUUCUUCAAAUUUAUUGGGUCUUUGGUGUGCUACUUUGAUCACUAUUUUUCUAUUAGAAUACAAUGAUAGUGUCCGACAAAAUUAUAAUAUUGUAAGAGUAUUUAUAAAGAAAACUCUACCCAUAUGAUCUUUAUGGUUUUAAACUAAACAUUUUGAGAGCUAUUGAUGAUCAACGUUUCAAAAGUUUAACCAAAUAAAGUCAAUGGUAUCAUAUAUUUAAACACCGAGGAAGUACCUUUGUUAUUUGUGACUUUGUGCACCACUGCGCCUACAUACAUUUGGUGAUGCUAGUGCAUCUGAUCCAGUAAGUCAAAACUAGAUCAGCAGAUAUGCAGAGUCCAAUUCCGUAUGUAGCUGUAUGUUUUUCUUUUACUCUUUUUGGGUCCGAUUAGAUGGAUGUACAAGACAAAGUUUACCGCCAUGUGUGAUUUGUCUUAUUUUUGAAGGGUUUACUGACUAUUGUAGAGACCAGAAGGUUAGAAUUCUAAGCUGUUAUUUUUCAACGUGUCUGUAUCAGUGCUAUUACAACCUCCUUUUUAAAGUUGAGCAAUGCACAACAUUGUGUAAAAAAUCCUAGAAGUUUCUCUUUUCCGUAGUAGCUGUUAAAUAUGGUUCUACCUUAACACCAUCUAAUACAUUAGUAGCAGUAUCUGAUACUUUCGAUCUGAAUGCCUGUAGAUUUCUUGUAUGCAGGCAGUUUACAUACGCUAAACUUCAUUCCAAAUGACUGCCCUUGAGUUAUGACUCAAAGUCAAAUCAUGCUACAAUUUGAUAACCCACAUACUUAAUAGAACUGUUGAUGUUGCAGGUUGCAUGCUCAAGCCCUAACUUUAGCUGCGUUAGUCGGAUCUGCAAUGGUGGAGUACUAUGACCAGAAGUAUGGCACAUCUGGACCGAAGGUGGACAAAUACACAAGCCAAUACCUGGCACAUUCGCAUAAAGAUUAAGUUCUUUAUAUUCACCGUUACAUGGCGGGUAUUUUAGGUUUCAUUUUGGGGUGAGCUCCCCAUGAUGAUUCUUUUGUCUCCUUAACUACAAACUGAAACUUGCCAGGAAAUUCCUGAGCAACGAGGGUGUAAUACAGAGUUGAUCUCCAUAUAUCAAUCUCAGAUUGCGAUAUGUAACCUCACUUUGCUGACAAUCUUGAUAUUAUUAUUUUCCAAUGAAGAAAAGGGAGAGUUCCUAUAUUGCAUGUUUCUGCAGUUGAAUCUGCCGUAAUAAGACAAAGCCCAUGGAUUUUUGUUCUUACUGUUGUAGUGCAGGAGCAUUACUCAUGUACUAUCUCUGUUUUAUCUCUGUUUUAUAAUGUAUUUUAUAAUGUAAGAUAUUUAACUAUUUUGGUUAUAACGUUUGAUUAUUCGUUUUAUUCAAAAUUUACGACUUGUCAUUUUUUAUAUUUAUAGUAAAUUUUGAAUAAAACGAAUAAUCAAACGUUAUAACCACGACUUGUCAUUUUUUAUAGAUAUUUACCUAUUUUGGUUAUAAUAUUUUCAUAAUUUUUUAAUUAAAACAAAUGAUCAAACAUUGUAAGAAAAAAGUUAAACAUCUUAUGUUAUGAAACGGAGAAGUACCUUUUAAGCAUUCUUGCACUCUCAUAUUUUGGCUUUUGCAUAUGCCCUAAAGCCAAAAUUUAAAUUUUUAAUCUUAAAUUUGGAGUUGAUUUUGAGAUUUUUUUCAUUGUGGUUUAUUUUUCAGUCUUAAUUUUCAAAUUGUUAUGAAAACAUAUAUAAAAAUUUUAUUCAUAAAUUAUUUUCUGUUUGCAAAUAUGUCAUUUAUUUUUUCUUGAAAAAGUGAAAAUGACCCCCUAAUCAUUAUUGGAUAUUAAAGUGGAGCAAAGCUACAGCAACUCUGGUAUUUUUCUCUACGGGGGGAACAACUGCUGUUCUCGUUUUGUUGAAUGAGCUUCUACGGAAAAAGGAAGAACAUAUGCAUUGAGGAAUGAGCAGCUGCUAAAGAAAAAAAAAUCAGCUUUUUAUAUUAUAUUCUAGAAAUAUAUGAUGGAAUCUAAAUUUUGAAUUCAUUCAUGUAUCAAUAAAAAGAGAAUGCAUAUGUAUAUAUAAAGAAGUUCCUACAUGAAUCAGAACAUGGAACCUAUUGUCCUCCCUAUGUUUGCAAGUUCGUUUAGGACUGACUGGAGCAAAAGCAUGGCUUAAAUAUUUGAACGAGUGCUUUAGCUUGUGUCAAUUGAAAUAAACAGAAUGCAGAGUUACCGAGUCAAUAACAACCAGAUGGCAAGGGCAGUAAAAAAUAUGUGCAGAAAUCCUCUGAAGUUACCAUUCCAAAACUAUAUACAGAUGUUCAAGCAAAUCUAUAAUCCUACAUACAGAAAGAAGAAAAUUGCUAUGCGUACGACUCAACCAUCCAACGGCUAUAGUGACACUCACCUGACCUUUUUUAUCUAAUCAAUGGUUACAGUCGUACACAAGUCGUACGAUUGGAUCGUACAUGUAGCGAGACUGCAGAAAGAACCUAAAUGAUAAUUAUGAUCUCUUCUGCUCCUCUUUUACGCAAGGAUGACAAGAGGAGGAUGUAACCAGUGACGCCAUCCAUGUAUCCGACCACCAGUGUAGAGGACUUCUACGGCAAUCUAUUGUUCAUUGCUGAUUGGAAUAUAAGAAUCACAAAGUGGUGGAAAUAGAAUCUAAGAGACCCUCCAUUGGUAAUUCUACAGCUACCUAUGCAUUCCUAAAUUCACCUAAGUUGCUGUGGCCUAACUCUUGAUUCCAGCUUUCUCACAUUGCGAGCAAUAACAGCUUGCUUUUGGUGACGACUGUAGCUCUUCCUUUUACUGCACAAAAUAUAAAAAAGUUAGUUUUAGUAAUAACACAAGCAUCUGAAAGGGGAAAAAGGAUCAUAUGUGUCAAUGUGUAGUCACAUUAUGCUAGAGAGCCAAGGAAGAAAAAUUGCAAGUUUUUACAUGAACAAAAGGACAUAAUCUAAAGCCUUUGCCUGAUCUUUCACAAGAAUGUUCAGGUUCAAAACAGGCAAUAAAAGAACCAAUUGUUCAGAUAUUGUAUCAAGUUCCAACCAAUCACACUAUUUGUUCCUAUCCAUGUGAUAUAGAAUAUGGAAGAAAAGAAUGUUUAAUAUAAAAACCUGAUAAACAUAAGGCCUACUGUAAGAACCAUUCCACCAAUUGCCCAUGGAACUCUUUCAAUAGCAGGCAUUUCUCUUGCCCAUCUGCGAAAAUCUUCAAGAUUCCAAGAGACCACAUCACUUAAUGAUGGACGCUCUUUUGAAGAUGCCCAUGAACUAGAGAUGGAAUCAAAACUUGCUUUCCCGCCAUAGCAAAAAGUGUCAUCCACUCCACCGGAGUUGAUCUCCGAAGCUUGCACAGAGAAGCCAGCAGAGUGACAUAGCUCUGUGCCAUUAGAGACCCAUUUAUGUGCUUUACCACAAAGGAUGUCACCUAAACCACAAGGAGACAAUGCCUGAUAAAGCAAGAAGGCAUAUCAGAACUUAACUGCGAAGUCCAAUAAAAGUAUGACAAGAAAGCAGAUGCACAGCCACUGUAGCUAUAAGAAAGUAAGAGGCAAUUAACAUGCAACAACUUGAAUUUCUAACUGCCCAUGGUAUAUGUAUUGGUGGAAACAAGAUUACAUACUGUUUAAUAUAUGAUCAGGUUUCCCCUAAUAUAUAAUCUAUAAUUCUGGAUCAGACUAUGAAAUCCCCACAAAAGAAAAAACAGACUAUGAAUGGAAUGAUUUGUAUAAUUUGGCAACUACAACUUUCCUUGUAAAGUACCACAUUAACAUAGUCAGAAAAUUUUGAUUAGACAUAGGUUAAACAGAAGCCUUUUACCUGUGAUUUGACAUCAAUAGCAAAGUAUGCCUCUGAGCAAGCUUUGAAAACCAUGUCACAGAAUGAUGCACAUAUAACAGGAGGUCCAGGCCUAACACCCACCCGUGGAUCACAAACUGAACACUCGAGCAAUUCCCACAAAUGAAGGCAUUCUUGGCUGCCUUCCCCAGUUGAUGCGAGUUUUCUCACUGAGAGCAGGGCAGAAAAUGUCUGAGACACAUCACAACAUGUUUUCUGCCGGAAUAUUCUACAUAGUGCCAGGUCUCUGCGCCCCUUUGCUGCUCUUCCAGGAGGUUUUCCUUCAGAUGAGAAGGCAGGGAACCGUCCACCAGGUGAAAUACACACACCUUUCUGUUCUCCUGCGACGCCAACCCAUAAUGAUUUUUUAGUCACGUAUGACUACCAUAUGAUUCUCAUUUACCGGAGGUUCAAGCAUGAGAAUUAAACAUACACGCCUCAGUUCAUUGACAUAAACUAUUCAUUUGAUUUCAAGCCACAAUGUUCAUAACAAAAGUACUGCUUUUACUCAAGUGGCUAAAUGUCAAUGCUCAUCCUGCUCAUAACUAAAUUCGAUUUGAAGAAACUGAUAUUACCUAGUGAAGGCUGGUACUGACUACUAACUUCAGACGAUGCAAGCAAAAUUCCGAACUAAAUCCUAAAUCCACCACUCCACCCACCGAACUCAAUCUACGCGUCCACAGGGACUGAUUCCACCGACCAAGCACAGAAUGCAUCAGGGAUCCAUUCGAGGGCCCCAAGAACCAUCCAGUAACAAGUGCAGACAGCUAGCGGCCAACAAAAAUCUACAGAUAAACUAAGCAAAGAGCAGCACGAGAUCAGAAGACGGGCACGCGGGGGGCAGGCGAUUGUCCGUACCAGCUAACGCGACCGGCGAGCAGAUGAGAAGCAGCGGUGCGAGGACGAGGAGGAGGAGUACGAGAGCAGGGGCCGCACGCGACGCCACGGUGGGGCUCAUCGGCGGCCCGCGGCCAGCCGGCCGGCGCGCUUCGGAGUCAGGGUGGGGAAAAAAAAAACAAGAUUCAGCGGUUCACUCGUCGAUCCGGACCGGACAAGUCAACCAAGCCCCCCGUGCCACACCUCUCGAGCCACCACGCCCGUUCGAUCUCGCGUCGCGAUUCGUGCAGACCCGGCCGCCGUGGGCGCCGUUGCUGGGCCUGGAGAAGUUUAGUGGGCUGGUCGUCUCAACAAAAAGACCCAUAAGAGAGACGCCGAGAUGCUGUUUUGAGCGCGCGGGUUUAGUACCACCUCGCCAGGCGAGAGCGGAGGAGGUGGACGAGGCGGGUAUAAGAGGACGGGCAGUGCAACGUUGUAACUCAUACCUUUCUCGGCCUUUUGGCUAAGAUCAAGUGUAGUAUCUGUUCUUAUCAGUUUAAUAUCUGAUAUGUAGGCCAUGCGCCUACUUUGAUAUUAAAUUUAUUUUUUAUGGGGGAGGACUCGCAACAGUAGCUUGCUACUGGGGUACUCGUGUGUCUACCUAGCGUUGCCCUACUGCUUGGGCCUGGCGCACCCCAACCAAAUCGAAGUUUAAACAUUUUCAUGUCAGGGUUUGUGUAGAAUGGAAUGUUUGCCUAUAAUGUUACGUUGAUUUCAUGUCAGCUGGGACUCCUAUGCAUGUUUGUAGUCACAGACGCAAAGAUCCUUCGCAAAUGUACUGAAUUAUGUUUUGGCAACUGGACUGAAUUAUCACUUUGGAUCGGUACAAGUUCAACAUCAUGCCGGCAAAGAUUGAAGUGUUAAAAUUAUGCACGACGGCCAUUUGUUUUCUGUGGUUGAUUAAUCCAUUUUCGAGUUGGGGACUACGGCGGGGGGAGGCAGCACAAAGAAAGAAGAGGAACACUUGACGUUUUGGAUCUUCUUGACCAAACCAUUAUUACGAACUUCACAACCGAAAAAGAACAAUAAAAGCUUAAAAUAAAGCCAUAACAAACCAAACAAUAUAAUCCCCUCAAAACGGCACACACGUCUCAAGCCUGUAUUGUAUCCGAAGAAACCAAACCGUUUCGUCCAUGAAACCCGGCUGUUUUUGUACUCCACGUCGAACACGUCACACAGAGUAGUAGAUCACACAUCAAACGGGCCGCAAUUGUGCUCUUUAUUUUUUCUUUUGUCCACCUCAACCAUAGCCCGUAAUUGCUCUCUCUCGCAGAACCUAAAAUGUUCAGAGCAGAGAAGCGAGCCGUUUGUAACGAGGGAUUAGGCGCCGCUGAUUACUCGGGGUCCCGAUCCGCUUCAAGAGGAGGGGGUCCAACUGUCCAAGUCUUGGACCAUCUUAUCCCGCUUAUUUUGCAGACACGUAUGUAGAUAUGCACGCGUACGUGGGUCCCACGCUGAUGAGCUGCCACGUACUCGAUUUGAAAACCCCAAACCAAAUGAUAAAUAAUAAUAAUAAUAAGAGAAACAAAAAGAAUUAAUCAACAAGUACAUUUCCAUUAACGAGUGAUUAAUCAAGCACAUCUCGAUCUUGUUGUGCUUAAUCUCUUGCGCCUUUUUGGUUAAUGAUGAUAAUCUACGUUGCGUACGUUUUUUUUUUUUCUUCCCUUGCAGCUGGCGGUGGUUCCGAUCAGUACGCGAANNNNNNNNNNNNNNNNNNNNNNNNNNNNNNNNNNNNNNNNNNNNNNNNNNNNNNNNNNNNNNNNNNNNNNNNNNNNNNNNNNNNNNNNNNNNNNNNGCGGCGGCGUCCUCGUCCAUGAAGAUCUGCCUGCACCGGCAAUCCACGCUGCAGAACGCUCUGUCCCCUCUGCAACCACCACCAAGAUACUAUGCACCAUGAGCAAACCACCUCUGCAAACAUAACAUUGCAACCCACCAACAGAGACAUGGGAGCUUUGCUUUGCCAUGGCUGACCACCAUGCACACGGACCUGUACAUGUAGAUGUCCUUGUCUCCGGCGAGCUCCUUGCGGCAGAGGAAGCAGCGCUGCAAGAAGGAGCUCGUCGUCGCCGCCGCCGCCGACGGAGAGGUGGAGGAGAUCUUGGGGUGGCUAUGGAGGGUAGCCUUGCUGAUGACCUGGGGAUGCUUCGUGCUGCUGGAGCGGUUCUUGUGCGUCGUCUCAAGAAGGACACUCAGGCCGGCCAUGGAAGGAGUGUGCACACUAACCCCCUUUGAUUUCUCUGCUGUUAAACUCUGUGUUCUUUGUGCUCUCCUAUGCUCUUGUUUUGUUUUUUGGGAAUUUUUUUCUCCCCAGCGAGGGGUGGUGCUGCUUAUAAAGGAGGAAGGGUGUGUGGGCUGGGCUCAUGGAGCAGUUUAAGGAGACCGGUUUUGAUUGGGAUGGUGGGAUACCACUCACAAAGGUUUAUAUUUUGAACAUUGAGUGAAAAAAAAAACAAAGUGACGUUAGAGCGAGUACAGUAAGAUAACUUAAGUGAGACUUAGAUUUAAAAAAAUGAGAAGAGAGGAAAAAGAAUGACUAUAAAUUUGUAGCGGCAAUAGCAUAGGGUCCACCAAAUUAAGAGAGAAAUGAGUCGGAUAUUAAUGUUCUACUAUAUAUCUAUAGCUAAAUAUUUUAUGAGUAAGACUGAUGGUAUGAUAAAUUCUAUAGCUAGCGACAAUCUAUAUUUAUAGGAGAGAGAUUGUUGAAGUUAAAAUCGGACUGAAAUGUAAGCUCUCUAUUAAAGGUUUCUCUCGCACUAUUAUAAUUUGUUUCAGGAGAUCGAAUUAAAUAAGUUGAUAGAAAAAGUACUGUUGUAGUUGAAAUUGGAACAUGUGCAUGGUCUUUAUUAAGGGUUGUCCGACGCGUCACCAAGAUUUGCUUUAGUAAAUCAAAUUAGAUGAUUUGUUAAGUACACAUAAAUCAAAUUGAGGUUAAACAAUGCGGAUAUUAAUGUUAUAUAUAUAUAUAUAUAUAGCAAUUAAUUAGGUAAAUUAAAAGAAGCAAUCUGCCUUGUGCACCUAAAUUUGGUGGCCAAGUCCCAUCUCAUUUAUGUCCCCAAUCUUGCCAGUAGCAUGUCAAUCAAAUUUGCCAUGCUCAACCUCUAGCCAACAUUUUAGUCUUUUUUACAAGAUUAGAUUUAGAUCACUCUGGUUGAUCAUGAGCUCCACUUCAAGAUAAUAUUGAGUAUAGGCAAGUAAGCACCACUCUUUUUCUCCACAGUGGAGUCCAUUGACUCAAUGCUCACUUAAUUACUCCCCAAUUGCUGAAGCAUUUUGGCAGUGUUUGGGCAUUCUUCAUUGGAGCAUGAGCAUGAGUGCGUGACUGCUGAUUUGGAAGAAAAGAUGCUUCAAUGGGCAGGGAUGAGCCCAUCAACCUGCACAGUUGGCCCAGGCAAGGCUGGCUCCUUUUACUCUCCUCCCUCCACGUGUACCCGAGAGGACUCCUUUGUCGCUUGCUGCGUACAGAUCCACUGUGCCCGCAUGUGCUGUGGCCUCUGUUGUUGGUUCCUCGUUCGGGGUAUCCCUACCACGACCGACGGUCAUCGGUUCUGACUAUUUUGUUUUGUCGUUUGGUGCUCUUUGUUUCUAUUUGGGUGAUAUGUAGGAGUAGUACGAGUGCUACAACACAUCAGUACUCUAAGGUAUAUUGCUGUACUCUUUUGGUAUCUUUUGAUUAAGGUUCAUUGAACCUCAAAUCAUAUUAUUAAGUAACAAAUUUUGAGCAAAGUGCUCAGUACAUGCUGUUUUAGAAAAGAUAAUUUGAAGUGUGAAGCCUUUUGUAUCCUACCCGAUAAAUUUUUAUUACUUCAUAAAUACAUAGUCAUAAUUUCUUAUAUUUUAGGAUGGAGUUCCUGCAAUGUAAACUAAGGCAUACUUUUUUUAAAAAAAAACAAGUCUACUACUUUCAACCGUUAAGUUCUCCUAUAACAUAAAUUGCUAACAACAUACUACUAUGCACUAACAAAUAAAAAAAGUCCACACAAAAGCUCUUGCAUACUAACUUUCUCCGUUUCAAAUUAUAUAAUUUUCUAACCUCAUCUAGUUUACUUGGAUGCUAAUAAAUACACAUAUAUAAACCAUAGACAUUGAUUUAUGAAUAAAUCUAGAUAAGAAAAAAAAGAAUAUAUCUUUAUUACGAGUGGUCUGAAGAAAAUAGUGGGGGACAAAGAGCAGCAGGACAGCACACAGAUGGGGCUACGGAGUCGGGUGGGCGCAGAGCGGUCGGAGGAUGCAGGUGCAGGAGGUAGUGACCUCCAGCCCGCUGAAAGCAAGAUACGUACGGAUAGGUCAUCGCCGUUUGUUUGUCAGCUUGUCCUACGUGGCGCUGUCACCCAUGCCUCUCUGCCCAUUGGCUGCCCGGCCCUCUGUUCUGUGUAGCCCUCUCGGCCUUUUUUGGCUGUGUUGCCACCUCCUGGCACUUUGCCAUAGGAGUUGAUCAGGUUGCUCCAUUGCCAUCAAACGAGCUGCUCUAGCUACAAGUUUUGGGGUUUGUUUGGAGGCAGAAUGUCAUGAUAAUUUUGUACUCGGUGGAGAGUUCAGUUCUUCGACAAAGAAAAAUGAAACUUUACCCUUGCUAUCUUCUUCGAACCAAACUUUCGUUCUUUACUCUUAAUUUUUUAAGAUUUUAUGUGCACGUCUUUUAAACUGCUAUACAAUAUAUUUUUUUAAAAAUAUUUUUAUAUAUAAGUUUAUCAUCUUACUUAUAUAAAAUAGAAUUUUAAGUUUAUAGUAGCUAAUUAUAUCGUUUACACUAUUAAAUAGCUAUAAUAAGAAUCGUAUAAUCUUUUAUUUUUUUACCUAAAAGUUAAAAAGAACGCAAUUCAUCAUCGAUGUUGUUAGCGUUAAAAAACAAGGCUAGACCCUUAGUGUAUAGUUAAUCUAAACGAAAACAACAGUGACAACAAACUCUCAAAUGCAACUAAUCUAAAUUAUAAACAUAAAGACAUUACAACCAUUCUCAACACUCAACUCCACCAGCCACGAUACUCACCACAGACCACAACUCCAACAAGUAAGCUCAAGUAAUAUAACUCUUCAUACAUUAGUCAUAACUUGAUGUUACUAGCAUUACCCUACCACCCUUAUGAUUGACGACUCCUAACUUUAUCUGAAAACUCAUAUUGCAAUUGCUUGAUAAAUUCUAUAAAUAUUUUAAUAAAAACUAUACCUCAGUUCCUAUGAAAAUUGCCUAUCCGAAGUCCUUAGUUAUCUAGAUCCGUAAAUCGCACCAUGUAAUUAAUGUUUUUUCUUCUGCUAGCUGCUCCAAGGCAGAAGUUGUGUAUUACUUCCGUCUCAUAUUAAGUUUAUUUUUCAGGUUUUAGAUAUAAUGUUUCAACUCUUCGUCCUAAUUGAACUUUUUACGAUUAAUAUUUUUGUUAUUACUAAAUGAUAAAACAUAAAUAGUACUUUAUACGUGACUAUUUUUUUAAUUUUUAUACUAUUUGUUUAAAUAAGACGGAUGGUUUGGAUGUAAAAUUAUUAUGAAACAUAGGUAGUGCCACUUUGCUACCAGCUAUGUGCACCUACUCCCUCCGUCCUAAAAUAAACCAAUUUUUCACUUUUUACCUAUAAUUUUUGACUCUUCGUUUUAUUUAAAUUUUUUUGCGAUUGAUAUUUUUAUUUUUAUUAGACGAUAAAUCAUAAAUAGUACGUAAUACGUGUGAUUAAUUUUUUUCUAAUUUUAUAAAAUUUUUUCAAAUAAGACGGAUGGUCAAAUAUUGAACACGAAAACCGAAGAAUUAAUUUUUUUUGGGCAGAUGGAGCAUUCACUUGACACUUCUUAUCAACUCCUUUUCGUUUCUGAGAGGCAAAUACCUCUUAUCGAUUGGACGUGUCUGAGGAAAAAGAGUCAUUACGAGACAAAAUUAUGGGGUGAUGUGUCACUGUAGCAUCGAUGACGCUAUGCUUCCCCCAACUUUUACGAAAAUAACAGCUACUGGUUCCUUUCAUUCAUUGGGGGCUAUUAGAGCUAGGACCCACUGAAUUAUGUCGGCUCUGUGUCACGAUUCCGUAAGAACCUGUCACUAGAUUAGCUACUAUUUAUCCUUCGGUAAUUUUUUUAUAACCAGCCUGAAGAGAAAAAAUUGGUAUAACAACCUACCCUUAAAUACAAAAUAUUUGUUGGAAAAAGAAAAAAAAAGGUGAAAGCUUAACAUUAUCCACACGCAUGUUAAUAGUCCGGUCCGUACACGCAGGGAAGAAUCAUCGUAGAUGAUUUCUUGGCAAAUGUGUAAGAACGAAAUGUUCGAGAACUCUCUCUUCACAGCUUUGAGUGGGUUUUACCAAAAACUUCACAAAACUACGAAAACAGUUAUGUUUUCGCCUAAAAGCCCGCCCUUUUCAACAUCAUCGUACAAUUGGUUGGCCUUUCCUCCGAUGUCUAUAACACAGCCCAAUAAUCGAUCCAAUGACAACACAUACUACGUCAAGUUCUACUACAUAUAGAUCCUAACUUUUUACUUAUGUUUGACUAUUUGCCUUAUUAAUUUUUUAAUAUGUAAAAAUAUAAGUUAUGUCUAAAGUACAUUUUAUAAUGAAUUGAGCCACGGUAAAAGUAAACGAUAAUUAUAUAAUUUUUUUAAUAAGAUAAAUAGUGAAAUGUAUGACCAAAAGUCCACCACGUUAUUUAUUGAGAAAAAUGGAGAGAGUGUAUUAAAACAAGAACUGUUCUUAUUUUCCAAAUGGCCCAUAUUAUAUCAACCACACCAACCACCAUCAGAUCUUUCAUUUCUUAACCAAAAUGUUGCAUGUUACACACUGGUUUUUCAAAUUGGAUGGACAACUGACAGCACUCCAGAUAAGUCCAGCCAGUGGCCCAAUCACUGAACAAAUGUUGAAUGGUUCCAUUUUUCUCCCAGAACUAACAAUCACCCGGCUGUAGAUGUAGUAUCAUCUUUUUCAGUCUUUUUCAACACAACGUCCCCAAGAACACUAACAGUGUAAUUUCAGAGUACUUACAGUGCAACAACUUGUAUUUUAUUUCCAUUUGAUGUAAAUUGUACUCAGGAAAAGAUGUUGCAGUAGCAGUCUCAAUUAAAAACAUCCAAUUAAAUAUACUCCAUGACACAAAUAAAUAUGGACCUUAAGUGCCCCCAUUACGAUUCAGAAGAACAUGAAAAUAUUCCCUCCAACCCAAAAUUUUGACAUAGUCUUCGAGGUUCUAGUUUGAUCAAUAUUAUCUAUGAACAUAAGUUAUUUUAAGCAAAACGAUUGCAGAUUUUUAUGGGGAUUUUUUUUUAAGAUACCCUUGAAUGAUUGUGAGUCGUCCAUUGCUUUGGAUCUAACACAUCUGAUUUUAUUAUAUUACAACGCUAGUAUGUAUAGUAAAAAUUCUAUAAGGGUAAAAUUAGAACUAAAAUAUAUAACUCCGUGAUAAAAUUGUGUGUCUUAUAUCAUUUUAAAAUAGAUAAAUACCUUACCAAAGUUUGGAAGAAAUAUUUAAUAUAGUUAUAAAAAAUAUAUAGUACUACGCUACUACUGCUACAAGUAAAAAGUGUCGUAACAUUGCUCUUUUAUAGUUUAUUUAAUAAUAAAUCUAACAUUAUUUUUACAUGAUCAAACUUUUUUGAUCUUUUUUAUUAUUAAUAGUUAAAGUUUAAAAUAUUUGUAUUGAUUUUAAAAUAGUUAUAUUUUAGGACAUAAGCAGUGGCAAACAAUUUUUUGAGCAUGUCAUUUGGGGAACACAACCAAAGGAAAAUCUUGGGCCCUCGGUUGGAGCCAAUUGGCGUGUCUUUGUUUCGCACCGGGUGCAGCUGUGCAGCACUACAUUACAAAGAAGAAAAUGCAUCACAUCACAAAAGCAGUUCUCAGCUUUGUGUUGUGCUUCUCUUUCUCGAGCCUGUUUCGGCGAUCUGUUGGCCUCGGAACAUAGUAAAAAAAAACGGACCAAGGUUGAUCCGCUCUGGCCAUCAAUUCACCGGUUAAACCGGUGUUAUUUAUUAAUAUUAUAUCUAAUUUAUAUUAUUUUUUUAAUACAACUAUAAAAAAUAGUAAAUUAGGUAUAAAUAAACUAAUAUAUAUUAUUAUAUGGUUACAACAUUAAAAAAAUAAUUAGAGUAGGGUAACUAACAAAUUUAUAAUGCUUAUUAAGACAAAUUAGAAAACAGUUUGAUUUUUUAAAAAUUGGCCGGUUCACUAAAAAGCACCGGUUUUUUAUCGGGUCAACCUAGGUCAAUUGUGAGGGCAGUCUUUGAGCGUAACCGAGCCGUUGAGGAUGUUGGUUUUGGUUUUUUCGGUUCAACCGUAGGUCUAGUUUUUUUUCACUAUGCUUGUAACAUCCCUGCUCUGGAGUACCUGAAAUCUCUCCAUCUCCCUGGAGAGUGCUUGAGCUGAGUCGCGGAAUCUGAACAGCACAAGAGCUUAUUGACUAUCUGGUUACCUGUGUGGAGCGGCCUGGCUUGUACCAUGGACUUUUCUGGAUGGGAGAUGGUGGAUAGGAGAUGGUCGCUUAGUUUUUCGAUGUGUUUGGUUCGUGGGCGAAGCUGGAUAGGGUGGCCUAGGAGAGGAAUAUUCCAUAAAGAUGUUGGAUGGGUGUAUCCGGUCAAAUUAACUGGAUGAGCUCAUCCACCUUCACUAACGAUGUUCAUUAGUGAUUAUUUAGUGAUAUUUAUUGUGUUUUGUUAUUAAUUAGUAAUUAACAAGUUUAAAUUAGUGAUGAUAGAUAUAUUUUAUCGUUAAUUUGUACAAAUUAGGAUAAUAUUUAUGUUGAUUAAUUAAUUUACUAUUUAUUAGCAAUUAAAUAUGCUCAUCACAUCCGUCCUCAUCUCUCCAAACAAACAAAACAUUGGAUCGUCCCAUCCAUCUAACCAAAAAUAAAUUUGGAACACCAUAUUCCUAAAAAUAUGAAUAGUCAUAUCUUAUCCCACCUGACCACUAACCAAACACACCCUUAGGCCCCCUUUGAUUCAAAGGAAAUUUAUAUGAAUUCUAGAGGAUUUUAUUCAUAUAGGAAUUUUUUGAAUCAAAAGAAUGAAUCCUAUAAAAUCCUAUGAAAUUCCUAUGGAAUUCCUCUUCCCAUACAAGUUUUGGAGGAAAUUUAGCAAGAGGUAAACCUUAUGGAAAAAAUCCUUUGUGCCUUUAUCUCUCCUCAAAUUUCUGUGUUUUUCCUGUGGUCUAAUCAAAUGAUCAUUCAUACUUUUUUGUGUUUUGAAAUCCUCUAUUUUACACUUACAUUUCUAUCAGAAUCCUAUGUUUUUCCUAUUCCUCCAUUUUUUCUAUUCCUGUGAUUCAAAGGGGCCCUAAAUUUCAUAGGAAUUUUAGAGGAUUUUAUUCAUAUAGUAAUUUUUCUUACAAAACCAUUUGAAUCAAAGGAAUGAACCCUAUAAAAUUUCUAUGGAAUGCAUCUUCCUAUACAAGUUUUGGAGAAAAUUUAACAAGAGAUUGAACCUCAUGGAAAAAAAUCCUUUGAGUCUAUAUCUCUCCUUAAAUUCCUGUGUUUUUCAUGUGGUCCGAUCAAACGGUCAUUCAUAUAUUUUUUCUGUAUUUUGCAAUCAUCUGUUUUACACCUAUAUUUCUGACAGAGUCCUAUAUUUUUUCUAUUUUUCUAUUUUUCUAUUCCUUUAUUUAAAGAGACCCUUAUUGACUAUCUGGUUGCCUGUGUGGAGCGGCCUGGAUUGUACUAUGGGUGCAAGCAUCGGGAAGCGUUUGUUGAAUUCCGGUUCGAGCCAGACGCAACUAGUGGUUAACGGCUACUUUUGUUUAAGAAAAUUUAUCAGUGUACACGGUUUGGCUAAACAAUUUGAAAUUCACUGAGAUUACUAUGUAUAUAAGAGGAUCCGUGUUAAUUUGGUACUCCCUCUAUCCUAAAGCACAAUGACUUUUAGCGUUUGAAAUUUAUCGCGGAAUAUAACAUCUCUGCCAACUUUUAUCUCAACCAGUUAUAAGAUUUAGAAAUUAUUCGCUUAGUUUCUCAUCUCACCAACCAGUCAACCACAACCACCUUAUUUUAUUCCAUUCAAUUCGUUAAUCUCCAUAAAUAAUAAUAAUAAUACAACCUCUUACAUUUAAGGACAUGAAGUAACAUUUUUGAGUCGGCUUUUUUUUAAAGUUCUCGUCACAUCGGAUGUUUGGAUGUUAGUUAGAAGUAUUAAAUAUAGGCUGAUAACAAAACUAAUUAUAUAAAUAAAGACUAUUUUAUUAGACAAAUUUGUAAGCCUAAUUAAUCAACGAUUAGCAAAUAUUUACUAUACCAUCAUAUUCUAAUCAUAGACUAAUUAGGCUUAAUAGAUUCGUCUCACGAAAUAGUUCAGAGUAUAGGGUAGUUUAUAUUUAAUACUUUAAUAGUGUCAUGGAAAGGUAAGUAUAUGAUUUCCUAGGCAGAGUGCAGAGAAAAUCAGAAAUGAUGAGAAGCUUCUAUGGUGCAUGGCACCUUGGUGGAAGCACACGCCACGUACCUGGUCUACCCCAAUUGGAAUAGAGUAAUACUAGUAGCCUUCUGCUCUUGUGAGGGAAUGCAGCACACGGAAGGAUAAAGCAAAAGAAAGGAAAAGAACAAUUCAAAUGAGAUAUACUAUAUUCGAAAAAAAAGCUAAGCCAGAGAAAAUCAAGGACAAUCAGUCAGAAGGCGACUGAAUUAGAGUAAAUGUAUUCUUCAUUGAGCAUGAUGAUGAUGAUGAUAGCUUUCAUUUAGUCACAGCAAUAGCUAGCUAGCCUAGGGUGAUCGAACAGGCCAAUCCAAUUGAAAAGAUUCAUAUCUUGAUAAUCUGCAAGUACCUAAAAGCCACUAGCAAUAAGCAGUUCACCACUAACGGUGAUGGAUCGCCACUUAAGGAUAUUUCUGUGUAGAUUGUACCGGAUUCUGAACAAAAGGCAUCUUAAUGUCCUAUUUCUGCUGCCCCCAAUUGUAAUGCUUGACCCAAUAGGCAAUCUCAGCCAUAUUUCCAUGGGCGAUACUACUUUAUACCUUCUUUAUGCUAAAAAGCCUUGCAAUCCUCUAGCAGAUCGGCCAUGAUUAGCCACCACCAUGAACUACUAUCGUGCUUUAACUAGUUCUGUUUAUGGCGUAUGCACAUAUUCUCUAUAUUUUAUAUUAUAAGACUUUUAAAGUUUACCUAGAGCCAUUCAUGUAUCACACAUAUAUGUUUUGUAUAUAUGUUUAGAUUUAUUAGCAUACAUAUAAAUCUAGUUAAUACCAAAAAGUCUUAUAAUACGUAACGGAGGAAUAAAUCUUUAGAACCAAACACAGUGGAUACAACGGUAGAAGUUGUAUUGACGAUUGCACUUAAGAAUCAAGCACAAAUGAAGACGCAGUGUUCAAGCAUCUUAUGCAAACUUUGUUUACACUAAUAAAAACUGGAUAAAUAACAACAACUUGCCAUUCAUUGUUUUUCUGUUCUUUUAUUUCAGGGUAAGAAUUUAGCUGAUAUUUGUCAAGAAUUACAUAUUUGGGAACAUGUAGCUAGAUGCAUGGUUUGUCGACUGGUCACCUAAGAGAAAUGCCCAGUCAGGUUGCCAGUCCACUAGCAAGAAAAUGCCCAGUCAGGUUGCCUAGUUCAUCCCAUUAUUUAACACCAAAUCUGAGCCAGCUUUGAUUCAUUACAAGUUUAUAAACGCUCAGCGGAGAUACUGAAUUAUAAGAGCAAAUCAAUCAUACAUUCGCUCAGCACGAGAGCCUCAGCAAAGUAAUCGUAAGUCAAGAGUACACUAGGAAAAACACCACACAACAGCAGAAAGCAGCAGCACAUCACAGCUUUGAAAUCAGAUCAGCCUGAACGAUGUCCUCCUGUAACUCAGCUUCCUUGGUGUAAACAUCAGAUGAAGGAGGCACGUCGAUGGCAGUCGAAUAAACCAUCAGGCUGGACAAACAAAACAAUAUAGCUUCUGUUCUUAGAUGACUCCUACUGCUAUCUGGAGUAAUUCGGAACAAGAAUACUAUCUGUUCGUAACAGAAGCUAAACAAAUCCACCAGAGUAAUGCAGAAAGAACUGGAGUCUACUGCUAUCUCCACUAACGAUAAAUGAAAUGUUUUCUCUAAGAUAAUGAAAAGCACGCAUUUCUGGGCAUAGCCUAAUUAUUGGAAUAAAUUUAAAGGACACAUAUACUAAUUUAAAACAUAAGUAGUAACAAAAAUGGGACAAACCCCACUUACUAUAAAACUAAAGAAAAUAAGCAACCAAUGGGGGCAGCGCCGACGACAACAAAAAAGUAAUUUGUGAAAAAAUAUAUAUACAUAUUUUUAUGACCUAAAAGUUUAUAAAAUAAACUACAAUAAGAAAAACUAUAACAACUACUCUUAAUUUUAGGUUAAAAAUAUAAAUUUUAGCUAAUAAGUCUAAGAAAAAAAAGAAAAGAUGAGACGCAUGGUGUCGUGGUGCUGUUGAUGAGACGCUGGUGACGACGGGCCUCUUGGGCCUUUGGGACCCAACGUUGAAGAUGACGGAAGUUGACACCACCGCUGCCGGGGCUGCAUGCAAUCGGCGGCAGCGAAGGAAGCGAGAAGGGGGAGUUGUCAUGGAUCUGGAGCAGCAAGGCCGGGGAGAUCGACGGCGGCAUGCACGAGGAGGUGUGAGGCGACGAGCGAGAGGCCGAGGAUGGUCGGCGCUGCGAUGGCGGCCGGCCGGCCGGCGGCAUCAGGCAGGGUAGAAGGUGGAGAGGUCUGAAGCUUGACGGUGAUAUCGUGGGCCAAAAGGGUAGGGGCCGAGCAAGCUGUAUGACUUGUUCUUGUUCAAUUGGAGAACCGGUUCAUACUCAUUUGGAAUUAUAGCAAUAUUUACACUCUAAAAUAGUGAUAUUUACGGCGUAAGUGGGUGUAAAUCUAGUAUAAUGAAUGUAUAAAUUUCAUUGGCAUGUUGUAUAAUUCUAGUUAUAAAAUAGGGCAAUUGUCCUGCACCGAUCCAUUCUGCUGAAAGUACUUCCGUUAGUUUGUUUUCUUGUUGUACUGUAUGUUUUUAUUGAUUUCAUGCCAUUUCUAUCGUUUUGUUUGGCACAGUACAUAAUAAUUCCAUUUUAGCCGGCUAAUGGGCUGGCUUUUGAGACUGCAGCACACACUCAGAUUUGCAGCCCUUUAGGUUCAUCAGAGCAUGCAUGGCAAGGUGUUAGUAAUGGCCAACGGCCCAAUCGGUUUCGACCGUUUCCCAAAUAAUAAUAAUAAUAAUAAAACGAUAGUGAUUUUGACCGUUUUCAUCGUCCCAGUGUGCAUGCAUAGACAAAGCAUUUCCGACCACUCAUUCAAAUUUUAUCAUUCAUAUUGUCAUUUGAUGAUUAUCCAAAAUUGAUUUUCUAUUCAUAUCAGUUAUCACUCAAAUAGAAUCCAUAUUACAUUAUCUAUAUAUAUUUUAUUUAAUAUUUUACAACAACACUCUCUUAUGUCUUCUCUUGUGAUUGAAUGUUGAGAUAUGGAGGGAGGAGAGAAAACAUUUAUAUUUAGAGUUUCUCUUUUUAUAUGGAUGAUGUUCUAUUUUUGUAUGAUGGGAUAUAUAAUCUGUUGAAACCUUUUUUUUCUCACAUCUAUUUUUAGGAUAGAUGAUCUGCUGAGUUUGUUCUAAGUAUGCCCAUUGCAAAAAUACAACUCCAUCAUUUGGAUUUUGCUUAUGAUUAUAAGCUAAAAUUUAAAUUUUUAAUCUUAAAUUUAAAGUUAAUUUUGAUGUUUUAAUUGUAGUUUAUUUUUUAACCUUGGCUUUUAAGUCGCUAUAAACAUGUAUAUAAAAGUUUUAUUUGUAAAUUAUUUUUCGGUUGCAAAUAUAUCGUUUGGCUUUUAGUCAAGAGUCGCUCUUUCAUGGGUGUCAAUCCCCUCCUCCUCAUCGCCACUCAAGCCAAUUGUAGAACAUCUCUGCAACAUCACAUCUUCAUGGCUCCUCGACGAGUAGUCACCAGAUUUGGGGUUGCUCCUAGAUUCUAUUGUAGUGAUAGAUAAGAGGCUCACCUGGCAUACAAACGAUGGCAGGGUGAUGAGGGCUUCCCUCUUAGCUUGCGAACAGUGGUGACGACCUACGAAUGAUGGUGUCAACAAACUCCUCUCACCAUGUCGAUCGCGGCGGCGAUAAUAGUCCUACUUUUUCUACAAGCAACAUUCGUAGAUGACAUCAGUGCAUUUCCUUCUCGGCUUACAGGUAGCAACUAUGACGUGUCCUGUGGACUACAAUGGAAGUAGGGACUUUCCCUAGUCAACAACGAUUGCCUCAUCAAAGACCCAUGUGGAGAACCAACCUGCGGGUAACGACGGUGGCAGUGGAAGUUUUGCUUGAUUGUUUGAUGAGGAAAGAAUGGCUUGGGGUGAUGGCCUACCAAAUCUAUGCCAUCCACUCCAAGAUCUGAUGGUUGUCAUGGCUCAAUUGGUGGUGAUGGUGACUUUGUUAUUGGAGGUAUAGUGGUUACGAAGCAUGAGACAAGGUCAACUCGGCGUGUUGUGAUGGGCUUGAAGCGUGUGCAAUAUUAAUGGUCAAACUGCUAAAAAGGUAGGUAAAGGGAGACCAAGUCGAAAGUCUACACGGUGACGCAUGUGGACACCAUUACCUCCUUGGAGGUGUUUGUUUGGGUGUCCUGAUCCUAUUGUGUUUGGAUUUUUCAGGUGCAAACCUAGCCCAAUUCUUGGGCUAGCGAUUGUAGCGCAAGCUAGCAUUGUAUUCUUAAGGCAUGUUUGAGAAAAUAUGUGGCAAUUCCUAGUUCUACCCUACUUUGAGUCCUAAUGGUGGCCUUUGGGAAGUCGGAGUUGUUGCAUCAAGGUUGACGAACUUGACAACAAUAAAUCAAAACUAUGCUUGGUUACAGGCUAGGUUUGGUCGUUGUCCUAUAGAGAAGUCAGAGUUGUUGCAUGGUUGUGAACUCAACAACGAUGACCCAAGUUGGACCUCAUCAAUCAUGCUUCGCUCCAAUGUAGGGUAGCAAGCUUUUCGGUCUACAAGGUCUUCCUAAUCCUGACGUUCCCUAGUGUAGCAGCAGUCACCCGAUCAUGUGGAUGAUGAUGUGAUGACGAUAACAUCGCAUCUUUACCAAUGUGUGAGAGUCUUUGUUAGAUCUUCUAGCUUGCUACUCCCUCCAUUUCAUAUAUGUCUAGAUUCAUUAGCACACAAAUAAAACUAGGCAAGUCUAGAAAGUCUUAUAAUAUGAAAGCGAGUACUUGGUUUUGCAGAUCUUGUGGUGAACAACAUUUGCUCAAUGUUAAACUUGGAUGUCCAAUUUUCAUGGUCGUUUAUUGGUUGGCUACUCGAGAGUUCGUUGUAGUGAUGGUUUUUGCCCAAUUUUUCAUAGUUAAUUGUGUCUCAUAAGGGUUAGCUCAUUUUCUCAUUAAAAUGGGACUCUCCUAGGUUAUUUAUUAUGGACUAAGGAGAUGUUAGAAGAUUCUCUUUUAGUCACUUUCAAUGGUUAUUUUUUGAAUUGAUUAGAUUCUAUCUGUAAGCAUCUAAUUGGCUUUGUAGUUAUUGGAAUUAUUGAAAUCAUAUGAAUUAGUGUAAAAAUACUUAUAUUGUGUUAUAAAAUUUAAAAAUAGAAAUGUUUAUAUUUUGAAACGGACUUAGUAUAAAACAAUAAAUGGCUCGACUCUGGGGGGAAUGAGAGAGAAAUCACCGAUAAAAUCCUAAACUAAACUUUUACUGGAACUGAAAGGGCGGCCACGUUUGUGAUAUUUUCAUCACAAAUUUAAUAUCACCACUUCCAUUCCACAUAUUAAACUAGAUUUCCCUAGCGAUCAAUCGGAGGCCAAUCUCUUCUAGUGUGCGUAGAAGACAAGAUCAAGUAUUCCAUACCUGAUACAGGGACAAGGACACCGAUGAUUCUUCUCCUCAGCAACAUCCGGCAUGGAGCACACAAGUUGCUUUUCUGCUCUGUGGUCCUUGGCCAACGGCAGCUCCAAUCGCUACUGCCAAACGGGAACAGAAAAAGGAAAAACACGAAGCAAACCACAAGCUUGCCAGCAGUUGAGACAACACCCCAACAAUAUGAUUCUUUCUGGACCACAACUGAUCUCACUUGUUAAACGUUUAUUAGAUGAACAAAGAGGAAGUAAGCCUACCUUGAUAUCCAUGAAAAGUCAGAUAGCACAGCAGAUUCUUCUGCAAAUAAAUAGUUAUAAUUCUGUCCAUGGAAAAUCUUGAUAAUGUAAGUAAUAACUACUGGAUGUAUAUUUCUGGCCAUGGAAUAUCUUGAAAAUGUAGUGAUAACUAUUGGAUUAACAACCCAUUGGCUGUCUGGCUGUAUGUUCGUCUGUCAUAAGAACAGUAAAUCUAACAGGAGAACUUCACAUGUUGCUGGUUUCAUCUACUUAAUCUUCUGCAAGAUGGAAGCGCAUCCGUUUCAGAACCACACACCAAAUACCUUUAGAAGCCUUUCAUAAUAAACCGCCGCAAGAUGUUAAUGUCAUGCUAAACAUUUGCACUGGAGAAUCAAAACAACAGAAACGGACAACAUUUCGAUCUUUAAAAAGGCGACGAAGGGGAGGGUGGCCCUGAUAGUCACGCAGACUGAAAACAGUCAAGUAGUUGCAACCCCAGGUUAUGGAUUAGGCAGGAAUCUUGCUCGUAUCCCCUUCCACCACUCAUUCCAAGCCACCACACGUUCAUCUCAGCCCGAGCUGGGCCACCACAGAAAGCAAGCCCUUCCAUCCAUCCACAGAACAAUGCUCGCUUCUUUCCACAAACUCCUAUGGCCACCGCUUUCCAUUCACCUUCCUCCUCUCCUCCCCCUUAAUCCCAUCUCUCAUCUCUUUGUUCUUGGUGCUUCCCUGCUCACCCCUGUACUUGCUUCUGCCACUCCAUGUCUCAAUCUUCCCCUUUCUUCUCCAUUGCCCGAGCACAUGCUGGAGCAGGAGGGCGAGCUGCGGCUGCCGCUCUCCUGCUCCGUCACCCUGUUGCUCAGCUGCCACCUCGCAUUCAUGGCCUGAGAUACUACCCUUCGGCCAUAGUGUCGCCUGCUAAGACACUGAACUCACACCUGGUCCUUCCCCGAGCCACAAUAUCAUCCUUUGCCAGUGCUGAUAAUGGCUCCAGCGGGAAAGCAGAAGCUGAGGAGGAGCAGAACGGGGAAUCAGAACUGUCCGAGAUGGCCAAGGCGUUCCAUAUAUCGACCCGGAUGGCAAUGUCAAUCUCAGUGGUGAUUGCAUUUGCAGCGCUCACUGUGCCACUGGGGAUGCAGUCACUGGUCUUCCAUGGGACGCCCAAAAUGAAGGCACUGGCAUAUCUGACACUGCUGUCAGGGUUCUAUAUGGCAUGGAAUAUUGGGGCAAAUGAUGUGGCGAAUGCCAUGGGGACAUCAGUAGGAUCUGGUGCUUUGACACUCAGGCAGGCAGUUCUGACUGCGGGCGUGCUAGAGUUUUCUGGUGCAUUCCUUAUGGGUACCCAUGUCACUAGCACCAUGCAGAAGGGAAUCCUAGUUGCAUCUGUCUUCCAAGGAAAGGACUCCCUCCUCUUUGCUGGAUUGUUGUCCUCCCUCGCUGCUGCUGGAACAUGGUUGCAGGUAAUAUUUCAUCACUGAGCGCUUUAUCACCCUUUUGAGCUCUGCUGAAAUCAUGCCGAUCAGAUGAUGCAAUCAUGUAGUGCCAUUAGCAGAACAGAAUAACUGAGACUUCUGAAAGUUUCAGUCUACAAAACAGAAGAUUUAAGACUAUCCAUCCUUGACAUAUUCAUGAUGCAAGAAUAGUAUUCUACCUAACAAGGCCCAAUCAGUAGACCUCUGCACUGAAGAUGCCAAGGUUAAGCCCCGAAAAUAAUAAAUUAUAGCAGGUGCAUAGUGACGGCUUUAUUUGAUUCAAUGAAACCUACUGUAUGAGAACUUUCUGACUAAGCAGAGUUGAAUGCACAACAAAUUUCUUUUGAGGAAUAAACACCAGUACAGUAAAUAACUAAUCUUUCAUGGUAGUUAGUAAAAACUGAAAAUGGAAAGGUGGUGAAGACAAUUUUGGUGGGACUGAAUGUUUCCUCAUCUUAAGCACUGAAGUUAAUAUUUUAAACUGCAGGAAAAUUUGAAUGUAUACAGCAUGCCCAUCAAAUUUAAGCAUUAGCCAAAGUUCCCAUAGUAUGAUCCUUUGUGCAAUUUUAUCAGAGCAUGGCAUGUUAACAUUUAUCAGAGUCAACCAGAAUUAACACUUGCUAUUUCUAGGUUGCUUCCUCCUAUGGCUGGCCUGUUUCAACUACACAUUGUAUUGUUGGGGCCAUGGUUGGUUUUGGUAUAGUAUUUGGAGGUGUAAAUGCAGUGUUCUGGAGCUCCUUGGCAAGAGUAUCUUCAUCCUGGGUCAUUUCACCUUUGAUGGGUGCUGCAGUCUCGUUUAUUGUCUACAAGUGCAUACGCAGGGUAAGCACUACACUAACUUUACUUACAGCAUACUAGAUGGGAGAACACAUAAGACUAUUCAAUCCAAUAGUUACUUAGUUAGGAGUCACAGUAUCAUAAAUAGAAGACAUAAGACUGUGCAAGACAAGAGAAUAAACUUAAUUUUCUACUUACCAUAUUUCAUUUCAGUUUGUAUACAGCGCACCAAAUCCAGGUCAGGCUGCGGCUGCGGCUGCACCAAUUGCAGUUUUUACUGGGGUUACUGCAAUAUCGUUUGCUGCUUUUCCUCUCAGCAAAACCUUUUCGAUCGCUAUCCUGCAAGCAUUAGCCUGUGGUGCAAUAGGAGCCAUAAUUGUUAACAGAGUGAUAAAAAAACAGCUUGGUGACCUACUGUCCUCAGAAGCAGAAAAGAUAGCAUCUGCUGACAAGAUGAAUGCUCAGCAAGUUGGAUUUCUUUCAGACAUUGCUGGGCCAACCGGAGCCCAAUUGCAGAUUGUAUAUGGUGUAUUUGGAUACAUGCAGGUCUUGUCAGCAUGCUUCAUGUCAUUUGCUCAUGGAGGCAAUGAUGUCUCCAAUGCCAUAGGCCCCCUGGCUGCAGCUUUGUCUAUUCUUCAAGGUGUAGCAAGCAGUGCUGAGAUAGUCAUACCUACUGAAGUUCUUGCUUGGGGAGGCUUUGGAAUUGUUGCAGGCCUUACAAUGUGGGGUUAUAGGGUCAUAGCAACGAUUGGCAAGAAAAUCACCGAACUAACACCAACUAGAGGUUUUGCAGCAGAGUUUGCAGCAGCUUCUGUUGUAUUGUUUGCAUCAAAGCUUGGACUGCCAAUAUCUGCAACACAUACACUUGUUGGUGCAGUGAUGGGAGUGGGAUUUGCAAGAGGGCUCAAUCGGGUCAGAGCAGAAACAGUGCGUGAAAUUGUGGCCUCCUGGGUGGUCACAAUUCCAGUUGGUGCCAUAUUAUCUAUCUUCUACACAUUGCUCUUAACAAAGAUUCUGGCAUACUUUAUGUGAGUGAUUGUGAAAUGUAAUUACUGUUUUGAGAGGUGUACAACCCAUUGCACUUCAUACAAUUUUGAUUGGAUCAUUGGAAAAGGUUCAGCAAUGGUGAAGAGAUAAGCUGACUCCAAAAGUCUCAACAAGAAUUUUUUUCAAGAUUGCCAGGGUAAAUAAUCAUUUCUUUGGCAACAGAACACACAAUUAGGUAAAAUGCUAUUACAGCAAGUUAUAAUGUUACAGACUCCAGCUUGUCCAUCCGUUUAUCUCUAAUGUACUGCCUUGUAUCUUUUGUUUUAUAUCACAAGGUAGACUAUAAUAAUUUCUUGUAGAGAUACAAUUAUACAUAAUAGACACCAAUGGUUCUUCUAUCCUUGCAGUUAUGUUACAUUAACGGCAUGGUUCUUUCAUAGCCACUGAGAAAUAAUAAUGGUUUUGUGGUAUGGACAAAAGAGAAAGGAUCACAAGAUAAGAGGGCAAGUUCACCGAUCACCACUAACAAAUAAAUAAAACAUGAUUAUGCAUGUGUUUCGUGAGAAACAAGGAGCUUUGUGUUUUGUUGUUUAAUUAGAAACGAAUAUUGAUCAUCGUAAAUAGAGGCAUAGGUCUUCAGGGGAAAAAACGCAUGCAUAAGCUAAUAGAGACUAAAGGUAACAGGUUUAUGCAUGACCAGGACAGACAUUCACAUAUCAUAAUAUUUUUUUCCUUUUAACAGGACAGAAAUGUAGUGCACAAUACUGUAUUCCUCCUUUCCAAAAUAUAGGGUAUUUUAUUUUGUUAAGACAAGAGUUUGACCAAAGAUUAGUUUAUUAAUAUAUCACUUGUAUGACACAAAAGUAUAAUAAUAAAAAAAAUACUUUCAAAUAUGAAUUCAACCAUAUCAAUUAUGUCAUAAAAAAUACUACCUCUAUCCCAAAAUAAGAAUAUUUUUAGCCAUUCUACUUCAUCCCAAAAUAUGUUCAUUUUUUAUUAAUCAUUGUAUUGGAGGGUAUUUUAGUCUUUUAGCUUUUGUAUUGGUAGGUAUAUGAUGAGUGAAAAAUGAAGUUAUUUUAGAAUGGAGGGAGUAUAUCCUAAUAAAGUAAUCUUCGGUUAAAACUUUUGUCCUAACAAAAUAAAAUACGCCCUAUAGUUUGAAAAAUAUGAGGUAUUGACUAACCAUCCACGAAUUACUCGAGAUAAAUGAGUCCCUAAUAAUAUGCUAUUGAUUCAACAAUUGUUAUGCCACCUCUACACAUAUCUUCCUCCCUCUUUCGAGGAAAAGAAGUGCAGACAAGAGAGUAAACUUUCAGAAGCUACACAGACUCAGAACAGCAUUAUUCAUUUAGAUUGAGAUAUGCAAAUGCACCAACAAGCUAAUCCGAUACAUGUCAUCUAAGCAGCAAUUACGGAAGCAUUCAGAGUAUUUAAAAGGAACAGUACAAGGUAAACUGAACACGUCGAGAUAGAUCAGAUUGGGGAUAGCAAGCUGCAACAAGCAUACAUAUGAGGCAGGCAGAGAAGAAAUGGCGACCCGAUGGGAGAUAUCGGGGCCGGCUCAGCCGGUUUCCUGGUCGAAGUCGUCUCCGUCGGACUCCUCCACAUUGUCGGCGUCGUCGUCCUCUGCCUCGGCGUCGUACUCCUCCUUGACGUCGCCGGUGGGCUUGCCUAUGAUCACCAGGUUACUAUUGGUCUUCCGGAUCUCGUUCAGCUGGAACGGGUCGGGGCCCAAACAAGGCAGGUGUUAGCAGCGGUACGGUGGGGUGGAGGUGGGGGUGGGGGGCGUAGCGUGGAGGAGAAGAGUGGUGUGGUAGCAAGUACCUUGUCCUCGAGGUCGGACUCGGCCAUGGCGAGGAGGAGCUCGUCCUCCUGUGUGGUGGCGGGCACGGGGAGCAGCGUCGACGCGGGGAUUAGCGGCGGCGACGGCCACUGCCGCAUCAGCGCCGGGAACUGCAGCAUCUCCGCCCUCCUCCGCCGCCGGGUUGGGGAUCGGGGGGAAUGAGGACGGGCUGAGAGGAGGGGUGCCCUCGUCGAAUCGAGCGCUCCGCCUCCGCUCGCCGCGGUUUUCGAACUGCAAAACGCGCUCCGCCGUCGCGGCGGGGCCACGGCGGCGUGGGGCUCUUCCAUUUUCCUAUCCACCCCCUCCGCGCGGGCCGUCGUGGGCCACGCGAUCGAUUAGCCCGGCCCACAACGAGGCCAGCGCUGCUGUCAAACGUGUUCAUGGGCAGGCCCAUGAACUAUCACGAUCGAGAGGGAGAGAGGGGAGACGGAGCUUAGGAAUUUUUGGAAUUUUUAAUUUUAUUAAUUAAAUAAUUUACCAAUUUAAUUUUGUAUUUCAAAAAAUUACAAAACUAACCUCCUGCCGCCCUCUAGGAGGGCGGAAAGGUGACGUAGCAAACGGUCACUCGGUCACAACGAACGGUCCGGAGCGGAUUUUAAACCCUCGGGGAAAUGUCCACUUAUCUAUUACAUGCUAUCCAAAUAAUCAUAAAAAAAUUAGAAAAAAAUAUAAAGAUAUAUUAAUACAAGAUAUAUCACUACACAAACAUACAAGUUCAAAUAUAACUCCUACACUCCAUAGCCAAAAUAACAAAUAUGACCGUGAGUAUACGUAUACUAUUUGAAGUUUAACUUGUUGUUAUUUUUGUUAUGUACUGUAGAAGUCAUAUUUGAACUUGUAUGUUUGUGUAGUGAUAUAUCUUAUAUUAAUCUAUCUUCAUAAUUUUUUUAAAAUUUUUUUAUGACUAUUUAGAUAAUAUACAAUACACGAGGGGAUAUCUGCUAUAGAAUACUUUCCCCACCAAAUGUGUAUAGCAAUACGUGCACGUGUGUGUUGGUGUAUAUGCGUACGAGGCGCGAUUAAACUGUGCGGCAUCCUAUUUUUACACCUCGAGAGAAAAUGGAUAAAAAACACCUGUCUGAACACGACGAUUCCACCUAUAAAAACCGCUCGGCCGUUCUCCCGUCUCCCCUUCCUUUGGCCACCGGGAUCCGCGCCGCGCGCCAACGCACGUUACGUAGCCACCCACCCGAGCCCAGCCGCACGCCGCCGGUCGCCGGUCGCCGCCAUGGACCCGACGCCGCAGUCGCACCCGAUCCUCGCCUACGUGCUGUCCCGCCUCCCGUCGCUCCUGCCGGCGUCCCCGACGCUGUCCACCCCGCGNNNNNNNNNNNNNNNNNNNNNNNNNNNNNNNNNNNNNNNNNNNNNNNNNNNNNNNNNNNNNNNNNNNNNNNNNNNNNNNNNNNNNNNNNNNNNNNNNNNNNNNNNNNNNNNNNNNNNNNNNNNNNNNNNNNNNNNNNNNNNNNNNNNNNNNNNNNNNNNNNNNNNNNNNNNNNNNNNNNNNNNNNNNNNNNNNNNNNNNNNNNNNNNNNNNNNNNNNNNNNNNNNNNNNNNNNNNNNNNNNNNNNNNNNNNNNNNNNNNNNNNNNNNNNNNNNNNNNNNNNNNNNNNNNNNNNNNNNNNNNNNNNNNNNNNNNNNNNNNNNNNNNNNNNNNNNNNNNNNNNNNNNNNNNNNNNNNNNNNNNNNNNNNNNNNNNNNNNNNNNNNNNNNNNNNNNNNNNNNNNNNNNNNNNNNNUGGGUGGUGCGGGUGCUCAGGGAGGCGGAGGAGGGGAAGGUGGUGGAGCGGGUGGUCCUCGCCGACCGCCAGCUGCGCCACCUGCCCGAGCCCUUCGGCCGGAUCCGCGGCCUCCUCGUCCUCGACGUUUCGCGCAAUCAGCUCAAGGUCAGGCCUUCUCGUUCUCGCCAUUGCAUAUUAUGAUACAACUCUGUAUUAUUUUAUUCACUCCAUGUUAUAAGAUUUUUUAUCUUAACUAGACUUAUUUAUAUACGAAAAAAUCUGAACACAUAUACAAAACAUAUAUAUUUGUAAAUAGGUGAAUUUAGAUAAAUCUAAAAAGUCAAACAAUAUUUAUCAGUCACGACGUUUAGCUUUUGUAUUUUAAAUGCCGAAAUUAGAAAGUGGAACGGAUCCUCCGAUUGGGGAAUUCGGGUGACACAGAGACUUGUUACGUUUGUGUAACAGUUUUGAUCUAGAAACGUUUUAUCACACAGUAUGUUAAUUUUGGACGGUGUAAGAACGCAAUGCUGGUUAAAAUUGAGUCAUUGCGAUCAAUUCUCUUAGGUUACGAGAAUUGUUUGUGCAUGUUUAGUUUUAUACAUGAUCAUGAGACAUGUAUGAAUUGUGAGCAUAUAGAAAUCAAAUUUGGUGCAAAAAACAGUCUCUCUCAUCCCUAGAAUUGCAAAUGAAAUAGUUUCAUUUCCAUAGAAAUUAAGGCCUGGUUUGAUUUAGAUUAUUGAGCGGGCUAUUACUAUGGAUUUAUCUUCUUGAUUAUAAGGAUAAUUAAAUGUUCUGAGAAAUAAACUUGAGAGAUAGCUUAAAAGAAGUGGUGUGGUAUAUUUCUUUUUAGAAAAAAGGUAUUGCUGGUUUACAACCACAGAAAGCUAGGGAACAUUGUGAAGUUUUUUCAUCGUCUGUUUUUGGUCUCCUGCAACGAUUAAGUUAUUGCCGGCCGGAAAGCAUUUUUGCCCAUUCAGUUUUCUCUAGAGCUGCAAACCUGCAACAGCGCAGCUAGCUCGUGUGAUCUGUCAGUCCUCUUUCUUCCUUGAUCCUAUACACAGCAAGCAAUUCUGCGGUUCUUUUACAAUGUUAAUCAACAUGGAUGAACAUGGGCAUGCAUGUUGGCCAAAAACCCUCCGUGUGCAUUCAUUCCCCAGUUUUAGUUCCAGUUGUUUUCGUCGGAUUUGCAGGCUGUUCCGGAUGCCAUAGGCGGGCUCGAGCAUCUGGAGGAGCUCCGCCUCGCUUCGAACACCUUGGUUUUCCUCCCGGACUCCAUCGGCCUCCUCUCCAACCUCAAGAUCCUCGACGUCUCCGGCAACAAGCUGAGGUCUCUCCCCGACAGCAUCGCAAAAUGCAGGUAGGUAACUGACCAUCCAAGCAACGAUCUUCUUGCCAAUGGUGAUCGAUCACGAUGGUGGUACAUCCAGGUCGCUGGUGGAGCUGGACGUGAGCUACAACGUGCUGGCGUACCUCCCGACGGGGAUCGGGCAGGAGCUGGCGAGCCUGCAGAAGCUGUGGGUGCACCUGAACAAGCUGCGGUCGCUGCCGUCGUCGGUGUGCGAGAUGCGGUCGCUGCGCCUCCUGGACGCGCACUUCAACCAGCUGCGGGGGCUCCCCGCCGGCAUCGGGAGGCUGGCGGCGCUAGAGUCGCUCAACCUGAGCGGCAACUUCAGCGACAUGCGCGACCUGCCGCCCUCGAUCGGCGACCUGCUCGGCCUGCGCGAGCUGGCCCUCACCAACAACCAGAUCCACGCGCUGCCGGACUGCUUCGGCCGCCUGGAGCGCCUGGAGCGGCUCCGCCUCGACGAGAACCCGCUCGCCGUGCCGCCCAAGGAGGUGGUGGCCGGCGGCGUCGGCGCCGUCAAGGCGUACAUGGCCAGGAGGUGGCGCGACGCCCGCGCCGAGGAGGAGCGCCGGGGCGCCGCCGCCGCCGAGAGCCCCAGGGUGUCGACGCCCAAGGAGUGGCUGGGGCGCCGCGUGUCGUCGCUGGGCAGCUGGGUGUCCGGCGCCGCCGGGCAGCAGGACAAGGCCGCGGCGGAGGAGGACGCCUACCUCCAGCAGAAUCUGUGAGCGCUGCAGCCGCCAUCGCCAUUGCCUCCUUCGGUGCUUUCGUCCGCGUGGUGUACAGAGAACUACGGACCGAUCCGCUUCGCUGCUGCGCCGUUCAUCAAUUGUUCAUCUACUCUUUGCCUUGCUCUCGAUGGUGGUUCCUUCCUGAUCAUCCAUCCAUUGCUGUUUAAAACUUUUAAAGUUUAAACCCAGGAUACUGGACCGCAGUUCCUGUGUGUUUCUUUAUUUACCUUGCUGAUUUGAUUCCUCACCGGUUUGUUGUUGUUUUCUUAAACAUUUUAAUUUUUGUUGGGUUGCUUAACCAUGUUGGGAGUUUGCUAAAUAGUGAACCAUCUAUGGAAAUUGGAAGGCCAUACAUUAUUUUUUUUUAAUCAGGUAGUAUUCCAUAGACGAGACAUUACGAAUUCCAGUUUGGAAGGCCAUAAAUAUUUGAUGAAAUAUAGGUGGAACAUUAUGAGUUGCAAUGCAUUUUGUGAGUUUAAAUAAUGAAUUAUCUUUGUAAGGCCAUACAUACUUAAUUUUUAAUGAUGUACCUCCAUAGUAUAGAUGAGAUGAUCAGACACUACCAGUGGCACUUGCAUACAGUAUCACCUGCACCACCGCGGCUAUCGCUCUUACGUAGAGAUUGCGACGGGGACCCGCUACUCGAGACCCGAUGGUUAUUUAUUCUAUUAGGGUAUAGGUAUAAGCUAAAUAUAUCAUCCGUGGGUAAGUAAUUGGACAAAUACUUUCACUCGAUGGGUAAGCGGGUAUGGAAACGUUCUUAUGAUCCCCAUACCCGUUUAUCCAUGAGUAAUAAAUACUCACAAGUUUAAAUGCAUGCCAUGGCCUAAUAUCAUAUUAGGCUAACCUAAUUAACCAAAACCACAUGUAUUUAACCCAUCCAUACCUUUCCACCACACUAUAUGAAUAUAUGAUGUCCUCAGUAUCUAGCAUCUAUGCAUAUACUAUAUGGAAACUGUGAUAUUUAGAUUGUUUUGAACUUUUACGGGUAUAUGGAUAACCCGACGGGCAAGGUUUACCCAAACUGGUAUGGAUAUGGAGAAAUUUUUUUAUCCGUGACGGAUAUGGGUAUUUUAAUGGUACGAAAUUUUACUAGUGGGUAUAGGUAUGAGAUAGCAAUACCCGAUGGAUAUUUACCCAUUGCCAUCCCUACUCUUGCAACACUGAAAAUGAAACGACACCCUCGAAGAACGCCGCUUUCUCAUGUUAGGGCUCUCCCCUAAACGUAAGCAGAGCACAGAUCGACGUUCUCAGGUCGGAGCAAAAUUUUCACUACGACAGCAGCAGCAGAGUAACAAAUACUAGAAAAACACCACAGGACAUACGAACCCAUCACUGGGGGGAAAAAAAGCAGGAAACGACAGAACAGUAUAUGAAUGAGAGCAUACGAAACACCUAGGGGAUGAUUAACAACAUAUUUGUAAAAAUAAUAAUAAAUAAAACUUGUAUAUAUAUAUAUAUAUAUAUAUAUAUAUAUAUAUAUAUAUAUAUAUAUAUAUAUAUGUAUUUUAGCACUCUCAGAACCAAGGGUGAAAAUAAACUUCGGUAAAAAAAGACUCUAAAAUCAACUUCAAAUUUAAUAUUAAAAAUUUAAAUUUAAAUUUAUAAGUGCGAUUGAUAUACGCAAACAUUAUAUUAAACUAUCAGGUUCCAGUCAUAGCCGUAUAUAGGGGCAUCGAGCUGCUAAGCCCAUAGUAACGCAGUUUACCUGACAAGGUAACCGCUUUAUCGCAGGCGCGCACGCGCACAUAGCACAUCGGCGACAAAUAUACCAAAUCGCACAACACCAGGUCUGCAGUUCAUAAGCAAGCAAGCUGAGACAGUACACCUCGUCUCAUUAUUUACGCAGACAUAUAAUAAAAGUUCUAGAUAAGGAUGUGCUCAAGAGCACGCGAUCUUCACUGGUCCUUCUUCUCCCUAGCGAUGAGGUCCAUCACAGCUCGCUUGAUGCUUCCUCCAUUCUUUGCGAGCACCUCCUUGUUUAUCUCCGAGUCAUCAAAGCCCUGAAAGGUGAAACAACAGCUAGGUUUACAACCUUGCCAAAUGCCAACAUAAUCGUGUGCAUGAGCGCUGUUCAGAAUGGGACAUGUAUCUUACCAUCUCCUGCAACUCUGCGAGGAGGGGAUCCCAUUCGCUGACGCCACACAGAUCAUCGACAGACUGCUCCAGGUUGUACUUGUUCUGCCUGAGUAUCUCCUUGUUCAGAUCGACUUGCCUAAAACCCAUCUCCUCAAGUUCCUUCAGCAGCUUCUCUUCUGUGAGGUUGUUGAUGCCAUAAUGAUCAGAUGUUGAUGCACCAGCAGACGCAGGUGCAUUACCAGGAGGCACAUUAACAGUUGGAGGCACAGGAGACACAGCAGGUUCAGGCGGAGGCACAACAGCGUCAGGCACAAAAGCAGCCGGAGUUGAACUGGAGGGAACAUCAACAUCAAUGAUGGGGUGAAGAGAAGCUGUGGAAGAAACAAGGGGCACAGGCAAUGGAGCAGGCUCAGGAUUCUCGGGCUCAUCAAUUUCACGGUGUAUCAACUGUUCAAGUAAUUCCUUGGUUCUGCUGUUGACAUGUUGGCCGAAGACUUGAUCCACAGGCUCAAUGUUGACAUCAAUCAAAUUUGUGUUCGUGUUGUUGCUUUCUGGGGGUAGAUUCAAGUUUAUAGCGGCAGUCCUAUUGUUACUGACAAAAGAAGGAUCCUCCACCUGCAGAUGCAACCAGAAUUCUGAUGUUAAGACAUAAGGAUCAAGAUAAUACAUCUUGUUAGAAAAGGCAAUUGUAGAGUAAUAACCUGGAUGUGAACCCAAACACGCUGACCAAAUUUCUGGCCAGAAGGUGAUGCUAGUCUCCAGUAAGAUAUAUACCUCCCAGGCCUCCCAGGUGCCACGAAAUCAACAGCGACAUCAAUCUCCUGAUCAACAGGGAACCCAUUCACUGGAAUCUGCACAGCAUACCAACUCAAACUUAAGGAUUUUACAUGUUUUAAACAUUACGCAGCCUAAACUACAAUUAAAACAGUAAACUGAAAAGAGGUCGUAGUAUGCCAUAGUAGCUACCUCUAAUGGAACAGAGGUCUGCAGUGCAAACUGAUCUCCACCAACCCAGAUAAGCUGUGUGCCCAGGGGCCACGUGAUAGACCCAUUGUUAUGCAUGCGCCAAAUUUUAGUAAAUGGAGUUGAAGGUGCCAUCAGAGUUCCAUCCAGCACAGUUACAUCCAAAAUGAAGCGACUUUCAAGUUUCUCACGCUUUGACUUCAUGGCAGCCCGUGAAUGGAUCUUGCGGCACUGAAAAUUAUAGAACAAAUUAAUCAUUAACAUAUUAUUAUUUUUUAUGCUUAACCUAUGUACACAAACCAGAGUUUACCCAGGACAAAUGGGUUUGCCAAAUAAAUGCAUCAACAAAUAUGGACAUGCAAGCUAGAACCAAGUACGCCUGUGCACUCAUGCCUAGAGCUAGAACAGAUUUUGUCAGAGCACACAUGUACAAAUUGGGUACUCACCAAUGUAGAGUCUCCCACUAAUCUCUGGGGUAGGAGUGGCUUGUCAAUCCUGGUGUACUCGACUUCAUUACCCAUCCGAUGAAAGCAGGCACCACACAAAUCAUAAUCUUCUUUUCUGUUGGCAAAGAGAGAUGUCAGAUACUGAGAUAUAAAAAAUAAAAUAAAACUAGAUAGCAGCUAUAGCUCAACUAAAAUCUUACGUUUUAGACUUGUAUCGUGGCCCAGGAAUUGGCUGCACUCCACAACCAUCACACUGAAUCCAUCUAUGGAAUGUGCAUACUGGUGAGCUCUCAGUCUUAUUAGCAAGGUCUCCGUGCAGAUGGUUAGAAGACAAGAGGCGGCCAGGGUAAGGAAAAUGUGGAGAAUGUCCAUAGCUCAUGGGUGCGGGGGGCACCUGUGGUGGUACAUGGCUCAAGGGAGUAUGGGGCCGGAAUGUGCCAGCUCUGUACAAUGGAAGACGCCAUCUGGAAUCACUGUUGGCUUUUGAAUCAGCUUCAGACUGCCAAAUAGAUGGGUGAAAUGUUGAUCCACGUGCUGGUAGCUGAGACCAACCAUUCGGAGAUUGAAUAGGAGGAGCUGGACGGAAAACUGGAGCAGGAGGGGCAGGUGGUGUAUCAGAGGUCAUAACAGAUUUUCCCUUGCUUUGUGCAUCAUUAAUUCCCUUGCUGAUUGAUUUGUCCUCAGCUGAGUUGGUUAAAUUGGUAGAGAACAACAACUCCUCAAUGGAAGGGUAUAGUGAUGACUGUCGACCCUGAGAAGAUUUAACAUUCAACGUAGCAGGAGCCUCAACCGGCACAGUCUUAAGACCUCGAGCACCUGAUGAUUUAGAGUUCUGCUUGUCCAAGGGUCCUGACACCAAACUUGUGUCAAUUUUGGGCUCUUCAUUAGUUUUGAGAUCAGCCUGUGUUUGGGGCAAACCAGUUGAGCUGCUGGAACCAUCCGUACGCCCAUUAGAAGGUUGGUUGUUGCUUGGUGUGACCAGUUUAACAAAAGGUUUUAUUAGCUCAGCGAUAUGUGGUGGCGCGGCUUCAAGUACUUCAUGGGACAGCUUCGCAAGUGCAUCAGGAACUGGCUCCUGGAUAGACUUUAUAGCUUCAUCAAUAGCUGAUUUUACCUGAGACAGCCUAUCUUCCUGUGCAGUGGACCUCAACGGAUAAGAUAUGGGCUUCAGAACCUCUUCAAUAACAGAUUUAAUCUGAGUUAGUGGGUCUUCGAUAGUGGUGGGUCUCAGGGGUGUAUUAUUUGAAUCCUGUUGUUUGGCCUGAGGUGCUGCAGUGUGGCUGCUGUUUAACUGAACAUUAAUCCUGAGAGGAUUCAGUUUCUGAUGAAUAGCAGCAUCAUGCAGGUCGUCAUCAUCAUCCAGCAUGACAAUAUCCCCAUCCUCAUCAGUAUAAGUCAGAAUAAAGUCGAUAUUAGGAUCAAACUUAAAAGCAGAUGCAAUCUUGGACCGGAGAGCAGAUAAGUUCAGACUGAAUUGUGGUCCUUGCACAUACCCAUUGAACCUCUUGAGAGUUUCACCAUAUUUCACCUGAAAUACAGAAGAGGGGAUUUGAGAACUGCUAAUAACAAAAUUUGAAUCAGAUGACAUUAAACACAGAUGUUGACAGACAUGCUUGAUCCUCACCAUCAAGAAACUAAGUAGGCCUAAUAACACAUAUCCAAUAUAUAUUUAUAGGAGAUCGGUUGAAAGAAUAAUUGAAGAUCCUAGGAUCAAUUUGAAUGAUAGUAUAUUUAGUUUUAACUGCCUUUUUUUGUAUACUUUGACGUUCACCUAGCAUCCUCUUUCUUAAUCAAGUUGCAAACAGAUAUUUUUUGCGUUUCAGAAAAUAUGAAAACUGAUGAAGAUAAUUAUCUAAUUUCAGACAUUAGUGAGUAAUUUUUCAUAGCAGGUAAAGAAAAUAAGCACUGAAAACAACCUCAUGCUAAGGUUCAAUGGCUUUCUGCAUUAGUCUAUCCAAUAACGCAUUGUGGGGGUAGUUAAUUCCAUAGAGACUUCUAUGGUACUAUUGGCUCCUACUUGAACAUAUGGGUUUAGCCCUUUGGGCAAUGUUUUUCCAGGUACCACCAGCUUGGGGUGGAUAUUUUAUUCAAAGCAUGUAGUGACAAGGGCAUCCCAUGUUUCAUAUAUAUCAUUACAGUACACAUAUAUAAAGCGCACAUAGAUCAACUGUAGAAGGUAAUAGUGUAUUAAAAGGCCAAAUAUCCUAGAGAAUUUUUUAUUAUUUUAAGCAUGGAUUUGAAAAGCAGACAAUUUGAAGAUGAUGAAUCUUGAUAUCUCAGCUAGGACAAAAUAUCAUUAUUCAGAUUUCACUUCAAAGAUCAGUAAUAUCAUAAUCAACAUACCUAUCAGUUAGCAAAAGGGUUAAAAUUUAAAACAGCAAAAACUACUUGAUGACUGUAUUCACGAAAAAAUCACUUCACAGUUGAACAACGUGCAAGAUUAUCACUGUACAUAUGAAAUUUAUACGGAUUUGAAACUGGUGACAAUAGUUUGCCUCCAAAUGGAAGAAGAUAAUGUAUUAUUAAACUCUCCAGUGUAUAAGAUGAUAGUGAAUUAAUAAGCCUCUCCGGUGUAUAAAUGAACUGGAGAUUUCAGAUUAGCCCUCUCCCUCCCAACCUCCACUGGCCUGGGGAUAUUUAAUCUCAACAGCAUGUGCCCGCUAGACAAAUAAAUUCCUGAGUACUCUAAAUUCCUAUUACUAAACAAGCAGGCAACUUUAAACUUAUAGAUAAUGGAUAUGCUUAUAAAAGUUUUGAGGUUUUGGAACAUUCAGAAAGAAAAAGUGAAUUAGGUAAAAGCACAUGACUAUAUAUAUACAAGUGAGGCCAUAAAGGAAACAAAUCACAAUAAAGCAUCCUAAGCACGGGAGUUCGUGAAUAAGUAAUUCGAGACAGCAAGAAACAUGCUAAGCGGAAACAUACGCCUAAGAAAUGGUACGAAAUGGUACCAGACUAAUACAGUAAUACAGAGUACUUUAAGAUGGCUGAAUAAUUAUUUUUUCUACAAGGUUGUACUACGUAUUAUUUUGAAACGGAGACGGAGGUAGUAAUAAAACCCAACACCAUCAUAAACCAGUAAAUGAAUAGAAUCACAAACAGAUGGACUACAGAUCAUAAACUAAACUCCUACGUUAAUUUCCUUUUGGCAGAAGGUGAUACUGAAAUAACACCGAGACAAUGGUGCCCCUAUCUUUUUGCUUUUUCGCUUAUGCUUAUUCUUAUAAGCCAAAAUUUAGAAUUUUUUAACCUUAAAUUUAGAGUCAAUUUGAGGUUUUUUCACCGAAGCCUAUUUUCCGGUCUUGAUUUUUAGAUCGCUUAGAAUUCUUAUAUACUCAGUAAAAGUUUUAUUUGUAAAUAUAUCCUUUUCGUUUGUAAAUAUGUUGUUUGGCUUAGAAAAAACCAACAAUCAACACCUCGUUGAUUUGACCAAAGAAAAUUAUUUAACAAACAAAUAUAAAUGACAUCCCAGGGCCCAGGCAGUGGCGUGUCAGCCAUCCGCAUUCAACAAAAUCAUCCGGUUGUCCUUAAAAACCAGAUCAUGGACGACCUUUGAGAUAUAACAAAGAGCACGCUUAAAGAUCAACCCCCAAUUUUCUGGCAGGCAAAGAAAACCCCGCGAAUCCUAGAACGCAACACCACACCUUUCGUCAAUCAAACCCCGCAAAAACGAUCGGCACACAAGCCCACUGAACCUCCAUCUUCACGCGCCGCCCAAACCCCAGCUAGGAGGCUAGGAGCGACCCCCCACCCAACCCGCCCUCACACGCACACACCCCUCGACAAAACCAAAACAAAAACACAGCUCAAUCCUGAAAUUGGGGGGGAAAAAAGAGAGAGGAGAGCCCACGAUUAUCUCACCUUGAGGACGACGUCCCACUCGUCGGGACGCGCCGCGAGCCCCUCGUACAUCGGCGAGCUCCGGCCGGACAUCGCGGGGCGAAGGACGCGGCGUCGAUCGUUGUGCCUCCCCCCAGAAAAGGGAGCGGGAGAAGGAAGCGAGGGGAGGAGCAGCUGCGUAGCCGUGAGCCGCAGCGGCGGGAGGAGAGACCGCGGCGGCGGUGGUGGCGGUGGCGGAGCGAAGAGAGAGCGGAGGAGUGGCGAUGCGGCCGAGUCCUCGAUGCGAGAUGGGUUCUCCGUUUUAUCGCGCAAACCGUUUCCUUCGAUGCGAAGCCUGGGGGAGGAAGGGACGGUUGAAACCAUUAAACUCGCGGCUCCGGGCCCACACGUCGGGGGGGGGGGCCGCUCCGCGUGUACACUUGGAAGGGGUGGUGUAUACGAAAUUACAUGGGAAGCUAGGGGGGAGAAUGUAAAAAACGUUUCCGUCCCCAUCCUGCUCUCGUGGGUCCCAUGGUGUGCGGGGCCGACCUGCCAGUGAGCGGAAUUGGAUAAGGGCUCGGAUUAGCGUAUUUUAAUCCUGCAUCUUCUUUGCGCGCAAGACGGGAGCACCACCAGGGCAGGCCUCCGUGUCUCUGACCUGUGGGCCCGGUGGGACCAGCGUGACGUUUAGGUUUGUCGGUGGGAGCGUGAGUACCCGUCUUGUUUAGGCUUUGUUUAAUUCCCAAAAUUUUUUUCUAAAAACAUCACAUUAAAUUUUUAGACACCUAAAUAAAGCAUUAAAUAUAAAUGAGUAAAAAACUAAUUGCAUAGUUAUAUAAGAAAUCUUGAGACAAUCUUUUGAGCCUAAUUAGUCUAUGAUUAGCCAUAAGUGCUACAGUAACCAAUAUGUGCUAAUGACGGAUUAAUUAGACUCAAAAAGAUUCGUCUCGCGGUUUCUAUGCUAACCGUGAAAUUCAUUUUUUCAUUCGUAUCUAAAACCCCCUUCUGACAUCCGGUCAAACAUUUAACGUCAUACUUUUCUUAAAAAUUUUCUCAAUCUAAACACCACCUUAAUUCGAAGAAACGAUUUGUCAAAAAUGCGGCCAUCCAUCUCUUCUUCUUCUUCUUGGCGUGUAAGUUGGGCCUUCGCGUUUGACGACUGGGCGAAGGAACUGGGAUUGUGUGGGUCGCCGUCGUCGAAGGCGUCGAGGAUGACGACGAGAGCGCACGGAAGCGAGGCCCAGUUUCAGUGAGGGAUGAUACCGUGGGGGCAAAUUAAGGGCGUGUUUAGGCACUUUUCGCUUUCAUGUCGGACGUUUUACCGGACGUCGGACGUUUAAUCAGAUGUCAAAAUGAGUCUUUGAAGAUGAAUGAAAAAAUAAAAUUUAUAGCUCAUCUAGAAACCGCGAGACGAAUCUUUUGAGCUUAAUUGAUCCGUCGUUAAUAUAUAUGGGUUGAUGUAGCACUUAUGGAUAAUCAUGAACUAAUUAGACUCAAAAAAUUCGUUUCACGAUCUCUAAAUGUGCAAUUAAUUUUUCAUCUAUGUUUAAUACUCCAUUUAAGUAUUCAAAAAUUUGAUGUGAUAUUUUUUUAAAAAACUUUUUGGAACUAAACUAGCCUAAACUAUUUACCGAGCAUGGACGAAAAUGACUCGACAACAAGCAAAACCACGUUACUAUUUCCAUUUCUAUCUUUUUUUAAAAAAUGAAACAUCAAAAUAUUGUCGAAUAAAAAACGAGGUGAAUAUUAUAACAUAAAUUUAUUGUAUUAUAAACCUGUAAAUUGAACUUUCAAUAUUUUUCUAAACCCGUUGAUCAAAAAAUCCAAACUUUAACAACUAACUAUGCCAUAUUAUAUAUAAGUAUUGCAACAAGUUCAUAAAUCACUUUGUGUCUCGAUACUAAGUAAAGAUUACAUGUUAUUAUAAAUUAAAUUACACAUCUAAUAUAUUAUUAAAAAUCACAUAUCAUAUCACAAAAUAAAUUGCACAUCAUAUAAAUCAUUACCAAGUAAAGUGUUCUUGUAUAUGUCUUUACUAGUUAAGGAGUUAAGGUUAACUUGAUUAAGUAGGCUAUUUGGACUGAUAUUGUGGAUCUAUGUCAUAUGGGCACGUAGAAAUUACGAGAAAAAAAAUAUGGAAUGUUUUACCAAUUCUGAUUUCCAACAAAUAGUUUCAUUUCCAUUUCUAAUAAUUUCUUAAAAAAAUCCAACCGACAAUUUCCGUUUCAAAAACUGGUCCAGAGCUCGAAAAGUUUCCAAACCGUUUUAUACCAAGUUUUGAUCCAAAAAUAAGUUUUGGAAGGCUUUACUUUUAAAACUAAAAAUUAAAAAGGUUCAAAAAUUAAAAAAUUCAUAGUACUAAGGGUGGGUAUCCGUCGAAUUGACAAAUUUGUUCCGAUUUUUCGGUCUAUUUGAAAUUCUGUUUAGCAAAAACUCAGGGUUGAUCGGUCUCCAAAGAAAACUAAGACCGUGCACUUCAAUCUUCGUAAUUAGGUCCGAUUUCAAUCAUGACCGAAAUAUCUUGUAUACAAAAUAUCUUAGAAAAUACCAAUUGCAUGGUUGAUGAAUCAAAUCCAGAGUUGAAAAAAAAAUCAAAAAACAUAUUGUUGAUGAUUGAUGUCGGCAAUAAAUUUAUAAGGUGGCUAUUGGGCUCGGAACUCAAUAGUUAAGACGAAGAAGAAGACCAUUUAACCAAAUUCAAAUUCAAGCUCUCGCUUGGGUGAAAUAAUACCCUAAUCCUUCUUAACGGUUGUAUAAGUAUUGAAUGUGUAUCACCAUGUCCAUGGUGGGGUGCCCUGUAUCCCUUUAUAUAGCGGGGUAUAGGGCUUACAUAUAUGUUAGAGUCAUAAUUUGUUAAAACUAAGAUCUUAGUCUAUUUUCCAGUCUUUAAUUUUAAUAUUAAAAGUUUUAUUUACAAAUUAUUUUUCAUUUACAAUUAUUUCAUUUGAAUUUUCCCAAAAAAUUCGAACAAUAGGGGUGUAAGCCAUAACACAAUAUAAUAUAUUAAAAAAAUUAAAUAAAACAAUUGUCAAACUUUAUGUAAAAGAUCAAAGUAUCGUACAUUUAAAUGUGAAGCUGGCAAUAGAUUAAUCAGCAUUGUUCGUGAAACCAAGCGAGGACGUACGGACGUACCUGCCUGGAUAAUAAAGUGGAAAUGAUUUCAGUCAAGAGGGCCACGCGCACUAUAGCAAUAUAACUCGCCCAUUUAUGUCAUUUUCAGUACAAUUAUUCAGCCACAGCUGUAUUCUAAAGUUUGUGAUGGACGAUGGAUUAAUGAUGAGAAUUGACGGGAACUAUUUGACGGUAAAAAUAAAACAAUCAAAUAUUACAAAGUAGGAAGUUGACAUAAAAAUAUCUUCGAAGAAACGUUGACGCAGGAAGCUAAAAAAAUCGCAUUAUUUAGAAGCUCAGGGUUCGUGCCAUGAUAAUCUAUAAUCUAUGUCAGAAAAAAAAAAUCCACAUGUCUAAUACAUAUAUUUUCUCUUGUAUGCUUGCAUCAAGUACGAUAUAUGCAUGUGCAAACGGUGAGUGUGCAUCAGUGCAUGCUAAUGAACAUCAGCGUUUGUGCUUCAAUUUUUUUUAAAAAAAAUCCAAAAUUUACCAAAUUAGGUUCUUUUUAUUUAUGCUUAGACUUAUCAUCUUAAACUUUCAAGCCGACUUUUCGGUUUAUAUUUCUCAUAAAAGUUGAAAGCUUAAAAACUUCCACCACUCUUUUGGCAUUGGGUUAUAUUUAUAACCCAAAAUUUAAAUUUGUAAUAUUAAAUUUGGAGUUGAUUUUGAUGUUUUUUCAUGGAAGUUAAUUUUUUAGUUUUGACUUUUAGAUUGUUAUGAAUAUGUAUAUAAAAGUUUAUUCAUAAAUUAUUUUUUAUUUAUAAAUAUGCUAUUUGGUCUUUUCUUUUUACAACCCUAAAGAUGACCCUCGGAUGUAGAUGGUUGGGGCCACGUUAAACUCGGCUCAAUCUGAAAAAAAGAUUGAGCCGAGUUUAAUUGCAAUCAAUUAGAAGAAAAAAAAGAAUUACUGCAUUUCGUAACUGAUUUUUGAUCUUUCUAUUUCGCUUCUUUUUUAUUUAGACCUUAUUUAUAUCUAAUUUUAUCUACUUAUCUAGUUAUCUAGUUUAUCUACCGGCUCGAACUCGAAUUUGAUCGCCUUCCAUACUUCACAAGCUGCGGAUAGUUCAGGACUCCAUUUGCAAGCUGAUCGGAUAAUUUCACUAUCUUCACAAGCAAGAUCGCGCCCUUCGUUACGAGCUUGUACACAGGCUUCUAAAGCGACCUGAUUAGCUGCUGCACCAGGUGCAUUACCCCAAGGAUGUCCUAAAGUUCCUCCACCAAAUUGU